rnacentral:lncRNA from 1 species
AUUGCUAAGCCUGAAACUAAGGUACUACUGUUUCCCAGAUUAAGUACUUCAGAGUUGCAAAAUCACUCUCUGUUUGUUCCAGAUGAAACAUAUAACUAUGUCAUGAUGAGAUGAUAAUUUUUUAUGUUUUCAGGAAAUUUCAAGCUUGAGUGUGGAGCCAUGUGAAGGUGAAUCACUUAUAGUUACUGUUUUCGAAAUCAAAAAGUCAGAGGUAUGUAUUGAAAUAUGUUCUAUCAUUUUUCUUUUGGAACAAGAAUCUAUGAACAAACUCACAAAUUAACCAAUAGAACUCACUCUUAUGGUAAUCAGAUUCCAUCCUUCAUUGAGAGGGAGCAUGAAUUCCGAUUUUUAGCUGUAAGUUACUAUGCAAUUUCUUUUCUUCAUAAGAAUCCAUCCCAAAUUCUCCAGAUUUGUGUUAUUAGUUCUAACAAUGAACGAAUAUGUUGGUUUCAUAGGUCCUCCCUGUAACACUAGAAGGUAGCCAGUAUACUACACCCGCUGUGAGUGACACCCUAUUAACAUAUCUACUAAAGAGUUAAAUGCACAUUUAUGCAACAAUUACUCACCUUUCAUCCAAUUUACACAACACUACCAAUUUAUUCCACAAUAUUUCACAUUUUUAUCGAUUUAUGCAACAAUGUUCUAUUUUUUUCACCAAAUUAUCUAAACCGACACAAAUUAUCAAAACACCUUCUUAUCUACUCAUUGCAUAUUUCAUCUAAAAACUAUUUUUUUUGCAUAAUUUGGGAAAAAAUAUAAACACAGUUCUACAAAUGCACAUUUAACCUUUUACUAAACGAGUAAAUAACAACUUCUUAAGGGAUUUACAUUUUGUUGAUUUUUGGUUAUGAAUGCCAGGUUCUGUGUGCACGUUAUAGCGAUGAGGAAUAUUUACAGAAUAGAUGCAAAGGUAUUUCAAGUAUUUAGUUGAAUCAAAAUAAUUAGAUAAUUAAAAUGUAUCCAACUUUUGUCCUUUUUUUUUCAGGAAGCCAAGAGGUGUACCAUGAGCGAUAUGGACGAUUUGGUAUUGAGAAGAUUUGGAGAGAUGAUGUGCUUCCUUGUCGUGUUUAUUGUCGGCAUUGGUAAGUUUUUGAAAAGUUAAUCACACAACAACAAAAAAUCAUUUAUCUAGAGAAAAAAAAGUUGAUAAAAUGGAUAAAAUCAUUUUGUGUAGCGUAUUGGCAGCAAAGAAUCUUGGGAAUGAAGCGUAUGAGAAUUUUUUAGAUCAUACGUAUCUUGCAGACCGUAUAACAACCCUUGGGAAAUACUUGGUGACAACGGGUUGUGGUAUCAUGGAAGAAGAACCACCCGAGGUUCUUAAGGUUCGAUAUGGUGGUUAGUCUUGAUUUUGCUAUUUUUAGCAGUAUGGUUCCUAAUUUAAAGGGUUUUAAAUUAGGAACCCGAUUGUAGGCCAACAUUUCAAUGUUGGCCAUAACAUUUGCGAGAUGAGAAUUUAUAAUGUCAAUGUGUAUUAGGCUGGGACUCGAGUGAUAUGUGAUUUCUUUUUAUCAUACCCAUGGUGGUGAUAGGACUCGCUUUAUUUUUUGUCUGUGCAAAAAAAGACGUAAAUGCCCUUGUCAUCCUCAUCAACAAAAAUAUCUAUAGAAACCUUGUCUAGUCUAGUUUUGUUGUGUGUAUCAAACACAAGGUAAAUGAGGUUUCAGCGAGACAUUGUGGUUUGGGAGUUGUUUCCGCUUGUGUUUUUGAUCCAUCAACAUAAAAACAACAGUUCUGAUUUUUAUACAUUUGUUUUGAUUCUCUCUAUUUUGAUUAAAAUGAGGGUUAUAAAAGUCAAAACAAAUGGAUGAGUCAAAAUCAUAAUUGGAAAGUGAUUUACCUCCAAAUGUAGUUUAUCUGGGGAAAAGAACAUUGGGAGUGCAACCGAGGGGAAUCUUUUGAAUUAUAAGCAAUGCAUUCACUAAGGGGCUAGGGACUGUUUGAUAGUUUCUGAUUGAGUCAAUGUUUGGCUGAGUAAGACGUAACCCCGAAUCUUACCUGUCCAAGUAAAAACAUUUCAGAUGAGUCAGGACCGAAUCCAUUAAAUCAAUUAGAGGUUUCUAAGCGUGAUAUCAAACAGUUUGAAUAUGACCGUCUAGUCAAAUUUAGUUUCUUAGUCGCUUACCAGACUCAGUAAGAGGUAUAUUAUAUCACAAAAUAACUACUUUCUAAGUAACUAUCACAAAACAACGGCAUAUAUUACAAAAUGAGUUUUACAUGUUUUUGGCUUAGUUAAAAUACUUUGUAAUGGUCUCAAAUACAAAAAAGUUUUGUUUUUUUAUUUAGUUUUAAAAAAUAAUAGGCAAAUUUGCUAAUAGCGAAUAAUUUACCAAUAUAUGUAAUGUCCCGAAAAUUUUGUACUAUAAUACAACAAAUGUGUUUGGGGAUUAUGUUUAAGAGGUUUGUACCAUUUUGUAUUACAAGUGAACUAGAUUAUAACCCGCGUUAAACGUGAGGGAACGCAUAAAAAAAGUACAAAUCGUUGAAGGACAUAUUUGUAGACAACUUUUUAUGUUAAAAAGAAUUGGAUGCAUUAAUGGGUUAAAAUGAAUUUAUUCAAUUCGUUAAUACAUAUAUUAAACAAAAUUAAUACCAUAAAACAAAAUAAGAGAUGAGUUGAUGAUUAAAAAAUUAACGCUACCUUUGAUAUCUUUUUCAUCAGCCACUGAUUACCACGGUGAUUCUUACUUACUUUUUUUGACCAGUCAUAACAAUAAAAAGAAUACUAGCCUUCGUCUAAAUCAAAACCGAUGACAGUAGCAAUGAUGGACAAACUAAUUUCCUAUUUCAUAAAUUUUUUUAAAAAUAUAUCAAAAAGUUUAAUAUAUAUAUAUAUAUAUAUANNNNNNNNNNNNNNNNNNNNNNNNNNNNNNNNNNNNNNNNNNNNNNNNNNNNNNNNNNNNNNNNNNNNNNNNNNNNNNNNNNNNNNNNNNNNNNNNNNNNNNNNNNNNNNNNNNNNNNNNNNNNNNNNNNNNNNNNNNNNNNNNNNNNNNNNNNNNNNNNNNNNNNNNNNNNNNNNNNNNNNNNNNNNNNNNNNNNNNNNNNNNNNNNNNNNNNNNNNNNNNNNNNNNNNNNNNNNNNNNNNNNNNNNNNNNNNNNNNNNNNNNNNNNNNNNNNNNNNNNNNNNNNNNNNNNNNNNNNNNNNNNNNNNNNNNNNNNNNNNNNNNNNNNNNNNNNNNNNNNNNNNNNNNNNNNNNNNNNNNNNNNNNNNNNNNNNNNNNNNNNNNNNNNNNNNNNNNNNNNNNNNNNNNNNNNNNNNNNNNNNNNNNNNNNNNNNNNNNNNNNNNNNNNNNNNNNNNNNNNNNNNNNNNNNNNNNNNNNNNNNNNNNNNNNNNNNNNNNNNNNNNNNNNNNNNNNNNNNNNNNNNNNNNNUAUAUAUAUUUCUUAUACUAUAAUAUUCGUAAGUAAUCAUAUAAAAAAAUUUAUUUUUAUUUAAUAAUAUAUAAACACAAUAAUACAAGUAUUUUAUUCGAUACAAAAUAAAAUAUAAAAAACCCAAAAAAUACUACAAAAUUUUAAAGCGUUUUUAUGUCUUCGUAUUCCAUAUUUUCUUUAGUUUAUCAUUUUUCAUCUCUUCAAUGUUUUUCACAAAUGCUUCCAAAUCUACAAGAAAAAAAUGAUUAAUGUAAGAAAACUCACAAAAAUACAUAUGUGCGCAUAUAGACGUAAUUUAUAUGUGGUUCACUUAUGAUUUAUAUGCGAAUCACAUGUAAUUCAUAUGAAAUUUACUUGUGAGUUACAUGUGGUUAACAUCCAAAUUAUAUGUGAAUCACAUGUAAUUCAUAUGUGAUUCACUUGUGAUAUAUUGCUAAAAUGAAACAAAUUAAAAUAAACGAUAUGGUUAGAAAAAAUAAAUAAUUAAGAUGAUUCACAUGUGAAUCACUUGUGAUCCACAUGUGAAUCACUCGUGAUCCACAUGCGAAUCACUUGUGAUCCACAAGUGAUCCACAUGUGAAUCACAAGUGAUUCAUAAAGCUCAAUAUAGAAGCAAUUAAAAAAAAUAUAUGGUUAGAAAAAACAAAUAAUUAACAUGAUUUACAUGUGAAUUACAUGUGAUUCACAUGUAAAUCACAAAUGAUUCACAUGUGUCACAAGUGAAUCACAAAUGAUUCACAUGUAAAUCUCUUUAUUCAUCAUCAUUUUUCUAUAUAAAUUUUUUGAUAUUAUAUGAUAAUUACCUAAAAUCCAAUGCAACACCAGUAGUUGAUGAAGGUUUGCUUAUAAAGCACUUGGAGGGUGGUAGAAAACCCUGAAAUGUAUUAUAACAAAGCAAGAACAAGAGAAUGGACUUGAGAGAGAGGUUGGGAGAUCAAAAUCGGCUAGCCACCACUAUAUUGUGAAUUAGUCUGAUUUUUGGGGUUAGGGACUUCUUUUAUAGCUUAGGAUUACAACCAUGCAAACCCUAAUGACUCUUUUUACUUCUUAGUCUUUUGGGAUAAACCUUCUUGGACUUUCACAUAGGUUUAGUCCAACUCUAAUCAACAUGAGUCAUGAGCCCAACUAGAAGUAUUACUGAUUUACUUAAUUAGUUCAUGUAUCCUUAAUUAGUUUCUUUUGAUCACUAAAUUAAUACCAAAUUAAUUCUUGAUAAAUACUAAUUAAAUAAUGUGAUUCCUCAAUUAAUAUAUUAUACUCAUACUAUAUUAAUAAACCACAAUAACCUCUUCUUCAAGUAUCCAUCCUAUCAAAUUGUUCCAGAGUGUUACAACCCAAAUGGACCAUGCUAUUAUCGGGUCAAGUACAUACUAAUUAUAGCUAUGGGCUUAGAAACCUAAUCCAACAGUCUCCCACUUGGAUAAGUCUAAUAACUAUAAUUUCCAAUGUUCUUCAAAACCCGAGUAGCAAUCGUAGCUCUCUAAAAGCCAAUGUCGAAUCCUGACGCGCCAUUUAGAUAAGGGAUCAUAUAAUCCUCUGUUCUUCAAGAUAUCAUGCAGACAAAUACAUGGAACAUAGUCAUACUUAUUGUCCAGUUGUUUGUUUCUCGAUUUAUGAUUUGUUUGACAUAGAAUUUAAUUGAACACAUCAAUUUAGGUCUGACUGGGCUCGACACAUAAGUCAAAACAAAAUCAUCGAGGGGCCCAUAUAUUGCUUUUAAUCCUCUUAGGAUAAAAGGAACAUAUAAACUUCAACUUAUAUGCUUGUACUAACUAUCGGUUAAAUCAUAAACAACAACAUUUUUUAUAACAUCGAGUUACUGAUGCGUUUUCGCACUAUCAAUGUAUAACCAACUGAUAAUUAUAUCUUUGUUUGAAGAUUAUAUGAUAUUAUCAUCUCACAAUCACUCAUGAUAAAUUCCAUCAAGUGAUUGAUGUAUGUGUGGGUUGAUCCAAUACUCAAAUCUUAUUUUAAGAUUACUCAUGAAUGUUGAAGCAAACUUUUGCAAUGUCUAACUCCUUAGACAAUCAUACAAAACACAUUCAUGACAGUCUACUUACAAAUCUACUUCGAAAGUAUGAUCCACUGUGGAUAGUUUAAAUAAUCUUAUUAUUCUGGAAGUCAAAAAAUACAAAAUGAAACAAUAGUAAAUAAAUGACACAAGAUAGUAACUUUACUUAUAAAUAAAAUUCCUUUUAUUCAGUCAUCAAAUGUCAAUUACAUUUUAGCUAUUACAAGUUUCUAAAUAUCUAUUUAAUCAUUAAAACUAAUAUCGUCCUUCAACCCAAUGCUCCUUGCAUGUAGCAAGUGCUUAUCCCUACUGAGUCCCUUUGUAAGGGGAUCUGCUGGAUUCUUCUCUGACGAUAUCCUCUUCACUACGAGUAGUCCUUCUUCUACUUGAUGUCUUAUAAAGUGAUAUUUUCUAUCAAUAUGCCUGGAUCUUCUAUGAUCCCUUGGUUCCUUGGCUAAGACAAUUGCACUUUCAUUGUCACAGAAAAUAUCCAUAGGCUCUUCUACAGUUGGUACAACUCCAAGGUAUCUAAUGAAGUUCUUCGGCCAUAUUGCCUCCUUUGCUGCUUUGCUUGCUGCUAUGUACUCUCAUUCACACGUUGAAUCAACCAUAGUUUCCUGUUUGGAACUUUUCCAUGUUAUUGCUCCUCCAUUAAGGGUAAAUACCCAGCUCAACUGAGAGCGGAAAUUAUCUCUGUCGGUCUGAAAGCUGGCGUCACUGUACCCUGUCACUCUCAAGUCAUCUCUCCCACCGAGGGUAAGGACCCAGUCCUCGGUCCUCCAGAGGUACUUAAGAAUGUUCUUUACCGCAGUCCAGUGAGCUUUACCAGGGUUCCCUUGAUAUCUGCUGACCAUGCUUAGAGCAAAGGCCACUUCAGGGCGAGUACAUGUCAUAUCAUACAUGAUCGAGCCAAUUGCGGAAGCAUAUGGUACUCGACUCAUCUCUGCUAUCUUAGCCUCUGUACUCGAACUCUGAGUCUUACUCAUUUUGGUAUUGUUUUAGAUUGGCAAGUCUCCUCUCUUGGAAUUCUCCAUGCAAAAACGCUUCAACACCUUGUCCAAGUAGGUACUUUGGCUAAUUCCUAUUGUCUUUUACUCUUGUCUCUCAAUAUCCUUAUCCCUAGAAUGUAAGCAGCUUCUCCGAGGUCCUUCAUAUAGAAACACUUCCCAAGCCAGGAAUUAACCUCCUGCAAAGUUGGAAUGUCGUAUCCUACGAGCAUUAUAUCAUCCACAUACAACAUGAGAAAGCUAACUAUACUCUCACUAGCUUUGACAUAUACGUAGGACUCAUCCUCGCUUCUAGAAAAUCCAAACUCUUUGACUUUCUCAUCGAAACAAAGAUUCCAUCUGUGAGAUGCUUGUUUCAAUCCAUAAAUGGAUUUCUCAAGCUUACACACCCUAUUAGGGCACUUUGCAUUAACAAAAUCCUCUGGCUGAUUCAUGAAACAUCUUUAGCCAACUUCCCAUUAAGGAAAACGGUUUUGACAUCCAUUUGCCAUAUUUCAUAAUCAUGAAAUGCAGCAAUGGCUAGCAUAACCCUUACAGAUUUAAUCUUAGCCACUGGUGAGAAGGUCUCAUCAUAUUCAACUCCAGGAGUUUGAGUAAAGCCCUUCACAACCAAUCGGGCCUUAUAAGUGUGUACUUUCCAAUCUAUGUCGGUCUUCUUCUUGAAGAUCCAUUUGCACCCGACUGUAUUACGGCCCAGUACAUUGUCAACCAAGUUCCAAAGUUGAUUGUCAUACAUUGAUUGAAUCUCGCGGUCCAUUGCCUCUUUCCAUUUAGCAGACUCAGGGCCUGCCAUGACUUCCUUGUAGCUGUUAGGCUCAUCCAAAUUUACCACUGUACUAUCAUUGAUAAAUGUGUCACCUUCAGUAGUAAUAUGGAAACCAUAAAACUCAGGUGCCUGUCUAACUCUACUGGAAUGCCUCAGAGGUAAGGAAUCGUCAAUCGGUUCAACUGGAGUUUCCUCCUCAGGUUGAGCGCUAGUGUUUGAGGUUCCUUUAUCACUUAACUCUUGAAGCUCUUCAAGGUCAAUUUGCCUCCCACUGUCCUCUUGGCAUAUGAGUUCUCUCUCUCUCUCUCUCUCAAGACUCCUCUCCUCGCAACAAAGACAACAUUGUCACUCGGUCUAUAGAAGAGAUAUCUAAAGGAUUUUUGUGGGUAGCCAACGAAAAUACAACGCUCACUAUGAGGUUCGAGCUUGUCGUGAUUUUCCUUUCUCACGGAAGCCUCGCAACCCCAAACCUUGAUAUGGUCUAAAGAGGGAACCUUCCUUAUCCACAACCCGUGAGGUCUUUUGGUAACCUUUUUAGUUGGGACUAGAUUAAGGAUAUGGGCGACAAUCUUUAAGGAAUACCCCCAGAAUGAGAUAGGUAACGAAGCUCGACUCAUCAUGGAAUGAACCAUGCCCAACAAGGUUCUAUUGCGCCUCUCAGCGACACCAUUAAGCUGUGGUGUCCUAGGUGGUGUCAAUUGUGAAACAAUUCCACAUUCCUUAAGAUAGUUGUGGAACUCGAUACUAAGAUACUCUCCUCCAUGAUCGGAUCGAAGCAUCUUUAUCUUCCUGCCUAAUUGAUUCUCCACUUCUUGCUUAAACUCUUUGAACUUUUCAAAGGUUUCUGACUUAUGCUUGAUUAAGUAGACAUACCCAUAUCUACUAUAAUCAUCAGUAAAAGUCACAUAGAAGCGGUUAACAUCCCUUGUGGCGGUUCUGAAGGGUCCACACACGUCGGUGUGUAUGAGAUCUAACAGACCCUUACUCCUUGCACAAGAACCAGUGAAGGGUGAUUUGGUCAUCUUUCCAAGCAGACAAGAUUUACAAGUGUCAUCUGACUUUAAGUCAAAUGACUCCAAAACUCCAUCCUUUUGGAGUUAGGGUAUAUGCUUCUUGUUGACAUGUCCAAGACAACAAUGCCAUAAGGAUGUUUUUUCCAAACCAUUGGAUGAAUCGAUAUGCAACACAUUAUUUCCUAAGUUAUCUACAACCAUCACAAUUUCAUAUAUACCAUUACAAGAAAAUGCUUCAAAAUAAAGUACAUCAUUAAAAUAAGCAUUAAAACCACCAAUUUUAUUAUUAAAAGAAAAGGUAAAACCUUGUUCAUACAAACUAUGAAAGGAAAUAAUAUUCCUAGCCAUAUCAGAUAAGUAGCAACAAUUAUUGAAGUCUAAUUUUAAACCAUUACUAAGCAAUAAAAAAUAAACUCCAAUCUUGGUGACAUACGACUUUUUCCUAUUCCACAUGAUCAAGUUCAUCUUCGCGUGCUCCACAUCCCUACUUUCUUUUAGACCCUACAAAUCAGAACAAAUGUGAAAACCACAUCAUGUAUCAAGGAUCCAAGAGUUAGCAUAUGAUGAGUUAUUAGACAUAAUAGUAUAAAUACCUGCAAAGGAGGGUUUGAUCUCCCCAUACUUUAUGUCCUGCAAGUAUUUGGGGUAGCUUCGCUUCCAAUGCGCUUUUUCAUGACAAUGGAAACACUCUGCUUCCUUUGGGUUUUAGUAGGUUGUAGCAGGACCACCUUUGGACCCACUAGAAUAGGAUCCAACAUUGGACUUUCCCUUGUGGCUCUUUGAGGAAGAUUUCUUCUUCUUUCCCUUCCCAUGUCCAAUUGCCAAGACAGGGGCAGUAGCAGUAGGAGUAGAAACAACAAAUUUUCCUUUAAGACUACUUUCGGCAGUCCUUAAAAAGCCUUAAAGCUUGCUUAGAGUGACCUACUCCUUGUUCAUGUGAUAGGUUAUACUAAACUGAUCAUAACAAGGACGUAAAGAGUGUAGAAUAAUAUCUAUGGUCAACUCUUCAUCGAAGUUGACAUUCAACUUCAGCAAGUGGUCCACAAACCUUUGCAUCUUUUGCAAGUGGGCCGUGAUGGACUCUCCAUCCUUCAUCUUGGUUGUAAUCAUGAAGGCUAUGAUUUCAUACCUUUACUGCCUUGCACUUUGAUGGUACCUUUCCAUCAAAUCUUGGCACAUUUCAUUAGGCCAGAAGUCCUUAUAGGACUUCUGAAGCUCAACAGUCAUGGUAGCAAUCAUAAUACACGACACUUUGGUCGCGUCCCUCUCAUGGGCCUUGUAUUUAACAAUCUAUUCGGGAGUAGCGGUAGAUUCAUCAAUAUCCUUAAGCUCUUUAUCUAGGAUAUAUUCUUUGUCCUCGUAGCGAAUGGACAUUCGGAUGUUUCGAAUCCAAUCAUUGAAUUUCGAUCCAUAAAAUAUGACCCUCCCACAUAGGUUCAUGAGGGAGAAAGAGCCUGAAGGGUUUGGGUUUGAAGUAGUGUUGGAAGACAUCUGAAAAGAAAGACAAAGUUCAAAUUAGAUAAUGAUCCUUAAUAUAGCACCCAAAUAAAAUAUUAAGGCUAGGAACCAACACAAUACUUUACAAUUUGGAGAGGGAUGCCGUAAUCCAAUUGUAAAAUAUUUGAAGGUAGGUAAAUGACGAUUUACCAAUUUCCACCAUGAAAAACAAAAUUGAUUAUUAAGUUUUAAUUGGAUUGAAAUUCCUAGAUUCUUUUGAGAUUCAUUGAAAUCUUCAAUGUCAUGUUUUAAUCUCUAUUAUGCCCUUCAAGUUUGUGAUUGGGAUGCCGAGGAUCAAGAACAAGGUGUGAAUAACCAUGCAAAUUAGCUUGGUACACCUAAUGUCACACCCCCAAACCAGAACGGCAGAAAUGUUCGAGGGUGGAGGAAGUCAUUUGUAGUAUCACAACAAUUGCAUCAUAGUAAUCGAAGUAAACAUAACCAUUACAUUAUAAUAUGAAUAUUUACAUUUGCUUGAAAACAUAGUUUGUAUACACCAAAAAUAUAACAAAAGAUAAAGACGAGACUCCAAAAAAAUGCCCCGUCUUCUCCAUAAGCUAACAAGAGUACCUGUCUACUAUUGUCCUGAGAAUACAAACGAUUUUGAAAACAUAUCAACAUAAAGCUGAUGAGUUCAUAAGCAUGUUUUUAUAAUGGAAACUAGUCACUGAAUUUGUAUAAAAAUUGUUUUCUAUUGUAUGUAAAGUAUGAUUCAUUUUGACAUCCCUGGUUACUACCAGUAUGUAGAAUACGUUCUUGUUUGAUGACACUGGUUACUACUAGUAUGUAAAGUACAAAAGUUCGACUGGGAAAAUCCCUUAUUUUCCCUUGUGAGUUGUUGCUUUAAUGGUUCCGAAACGGUGAGGCAUAAGUAUAUUCCAUAUUUAUGUGAUUAAAGCAAUUUUUCAUGAGCAAUGUAUUAUUACGUAAAAGUGUCUUACUAUUGACGAGUUUUAUGACCAUACUUAAACUUGAUAUGAUGUGAAACUGACGUCGAUAUCCUUUAUGACAUUUGUCACCCGUAGACCUGUCGGUCCGACUGUAGCUAGCAACAAGGUGCAGGAUAGUCAGUCCCAUAUAGAUCUAUACACAAAAGCCACACUUUCCCUCCAGGAAACUCAGGUUCAUAUGGGUAGUCCUCCACUUAUUUAAUGUUGUAAGCGGCCAAGGACUUGUCUCCCAAUUAUGUUAACGACUUUACAAGUAAUAAUAUAGAAAGCGUAAAGUUCUUUCAUACAUGAAUUCAAUGUAUGUUUUGUAGAGUAAAAAUAAUUAUACUUAAAUAAUUAUUAAUUGUUGUACUCUUGUAAUGUGUGUCAUAAACUAAAUCUGUCAUAGUUUAUUUGUUCAAUCGUGUAAGUAGUUUGCAUCUGUAAAACUGGUAAUGAAAUUUCCCAAACUAUACUUAUUAUAGUUUGACUGUUAUGUUCGUGAAACUAUUUUGAAAACUAUGCAAUUAAAUUUAGAAAACAUCCCUUAUGCUCUACAUAAUACAAAAGGGAUAAAGUAUCUAACUGUUUUAUGAAAACCAUUGAUUUGUAUAAAUUGCAUAAGUUUUGAUCCAUUGAAAACCUUUAAGUUUGGCUUGUGUCCCCCCUGAAAAACGUUUAAAAAACAUAAAUGCGUAGGGGUAUGAACUCACAGUUUGUUGUGAGAUUCGAAUGUAAGUUGAUAGGAAUUUUGAGUGUCAAAUGAAACCUCGGACACAAACGAAUCCUAUUUAACAUAUAGUAGUACAUAUAUGUAUUAGAUAAGGAUAUAACACCAUUAGUUAUGGAAGGAAACCACCUUAGGGACUAGGAAACACUUGAAACUAAGUGUUAGAAUCACACGUGAUUAAAAGAGGGGAGUUUGCGGUCACAACAAAGGGUGUACGAUCAUGGGUUUGCGGCCUAAUGAGGUUCUCGGACCAAGAGUUUGUGGCCAGGUGUUUGCGGUCCAUGGGUUUACGGCCCAUGAGUUUGUGGCCGUAAACACUCGAUGAAAGGUGCGAUUUGCGGUUUUUCAAGGUCCUUUCUAGCCUCAUGGAAGUGUUCUAGGUCACAUGCAUGGCUUAAGGAAGAUUUUAAGGCCAAUAAUCGACCAAAAACUAGGGUUUGCGGCUAAUGAGGGGUGUACGGCCGUAAACCCUCCAUGAUCAUGUCUUUUGGGUCGAUUUUAAGGUGAAUAACAAGCAUUUCUAGAAGAUAACAAGCAUAAGAAGCAGUUACUUACUAUAAGGAUGCUUGGAAUGAGGUUUUUAGCCACCAGGAACUAGUGUGUGUUCUUGGUGAGAGAGGAGAUCUAGACAAAGAUGAGUUAAAUGAGGUAGGAACAUGGAUUCAUCACUAGAUAAGAGAUUAAAACACAUUCAAGAUGGAGGAUCACUUACAUUUUUAGGAUCUUUGAGCAAAAUCGAUGGAUGUAGAGAGAGAGAUAGAGUAGAGAGAGAAAGACUUUGAAGUGAGUAAAGUGUGAAAUAAAGGCCAAGCAUCCCUUAUAUAGGGUUGAGUUUUCGGCCAAGGGGUGGGUGGGGGUAUACGGCCGUAAACUCGAGUUUGCGGCCGUACACUCCUCUCGAAGGGGUGUUCGGCCCGGAUGCUACGAUAUGACUUAGAAAAACUCGUUCUUAGACCCAAAUAUUGAUUGCAAUGAGCUUAGAAUAUUCAAUUAGACCCAAAAUAAUGCUAAUGAGAGCAGAAAUAAAUCUGAAUUGAUUGAUUUUUAAACGGUUCGAACAUAAAGAAGUUUCGGGUUGUAACACCUAAUGUUACAAAUCACACAAUCAAUGUGCCAGUUAACCACACAUGCUCCAUUGAUCAAUGAUUAACGUCAAGCUACCCUUUGCCACACAUUGUUAGUCCCAAAUUAGUGUGCCGGUUAACCACACACGCUCCACUAACGACUUAACAAGGUGCAAAGUGCAAUUUCAUGGAAUAACACCAUUUUCAAAUUUUUCCUAAAGUAACUAAGAUUGGGAAUUAGUGUCCUAUCCUACCCAUUCGGCUAAUGACCCUCCACCAGUCAAGGAAGCGAUGGGUGAGAGUGGACACCCAUUAAACCAACAUUUUAUAGGCAAUAACCUUUUACCCCCCUUAUAGAUUGACUUCAUGAAUGAGGCCUACUAACGGUAAGUCUUACUUGUCUUAUACAUAUAUAAGUAUUAAACUUUAAUAUUAUAAUAGUAUAAGGGUUGGAUUUUAAACUUUUAAAAUUCUAGGGUUUGGAAUUAAAGUUUCAUAAAUGCGACUCUUCAAGUUCCAAAACAUAAGGGCAAGUUUUGUAACUUGUCAAAACUUUUGAUUUCCAUAAAUCAUGGAUUUUAAAGUUCCAUGAAUGAGACCUUUCAAAUUCCAAACUUGAGGGCAAGUUAUGAAACCUUUCAUGAGUCUUGAAUUCUAUAACUUACAUGAGUUUAUAGUUUCAUAAAUUAUGACUUUUCAUUUUCCAUAACUUGAGGACAAGUUAUGAAACUUUUCAAGAACCACAUAAAGAUCAAAUGAACUAAUCCAAUUAUCAUAUAAUUAAUCAUUUACCAAUUUGACCUAAUUUUAUUCAUGCCACAUGAUAACUUCAAAUUUUACAAAUAACUAGUUUUUCACUAAAUCAAGUAAUUAUCUUAAAAUUGGACAAACUUCAUGUUUUGGAUGAGAAUAAAAAUUACCAUAUUAGUAAAAUUAAAUUUUAUCAACCAAAACAGUUUGUGGUAAUGAUCCUAAUCCAAAACAGGCCAAAAACUUGAAAAAUUUGCCACCAGAUGAGCCAACUCGUUGAGCCAAGCUUUGGACUUGUCGAGUUCAUGGGAAAACUCAUCCAACUCAUCGAGUCCAUAUAUGGACUCGUCGAGUCCUUCAGACAGUGGCCAGAAAAGUCAUUUUUCCAACUUUAAAAAUCACACAUUUGCAUCAAUAUAAUAGAAAGCACCCUUGGCUCUGAUACUUCUGAUGGGUUUUAUGUACUCUAACAUUCCUAUGGUGCACAUACAACCCUAAUGAUUUGGAUCAAAGUUUUCUCUAAUUAUACAUGCAACAUUGUUUUUCCGAAGCAUAAAGCCUAAACUAGCUUGCAAGGCAACAUUUGAAUCAUAAAAAUAGUUAGAAGAUUACCUUGUGUAGUAGCUUGCUUGUCUUUGACCUUUAGGAGCCUAGCACCUCAAGUGUGAUGCCUAAAAUGUGUUAUAAAAAACCAAGAACAAGAGAAUGGACUUGAGCGAGAGGUUGGGAGAUCAAAAUUGGCUAGUCACCACUAUAAUGUACAUUUGUCCGAUUUUAGGGGUUAGGGACUUCUUUUAUAGCUUAGGAUUACAACCAUGUAAACCCUAAUGACUCUUCAUAUUUCUUAGUCUUUUGGGCGGAAACUUCUUGGAGUUUCAUAUAGGUUUAGUCCAACUCUAAUCAACAUGAUUCAUGAGCCCAACUAGAAGUAUUACUGAUUUACUUAAUUAGUCCCUGUAUUUUUAAUUAGUUUCUUUUGAUCACUAAAUUAAUAUCAAAUUAAUUCUUGAUCAAUACUACUUAAAUAAUGUGAUUCCUCAAUUAAUAUAUUAUACUUAUAAUAUAUUAACAAACCACAAUAACAUCUUCUUUAAGUAUCCAUCCUAUCAAAUUGUUCCAGAGUGUUACAACCCAAAUGGACCAUGCUAUUAUCGGAUCAAGUACUUACCAAUUAUAGUUAUUGGCUUAGACACCUAAUCUAACACUUUACACGUCCAAAAGUUCUUAAUACAAGGUCUUAAUCCAUUAACACCCUUCUACCAAAUGCAUGGGACACUUCUAGCCAUUGGAACCUCAUUUUUUAUGAUUAAGGACCCCUGCAUGGGUCUGAAAGGAUGACUCAAAACAUUCAGAACAUGCCAUGCUCAGAUGGAGCAUUUGGGACCAAAAAGAAGCAUAAAAAGAACCCAACAAGAGAUCUAUCAAUGAAACCAUAAAGGUAUGGACUUUAUACCUUUAGAUGAUGGAGAAGGAAUCCAAACUCCCAGAUCCAAACCUUGCUUCAAGUUUCCAAGCUUCUUGAUGCACUUACUUUGCCUCUAAAUCACCAAGAAUUCACUUUAAGGCUCUCACUCUUGCACAAGGGGGACAAGGUUUUGCAAGAAUGAAUCAAGGACUUGGAGGCUGAAAGCAUAAGGGAAAAUGGUCAAUAAUGAUGUUUAAAUACUCCCCGAACACUAAACAUUAGGUUUCACCCGAACAUUAGUACGCCCAAUGUACAUAUGUGUACACCCAGCGUACUAGGGUGUGCCCUAGUAUGCUUAGUGUACUCACAUGUAUGCCCAACAUACUACUCCUGCUCCCAAAAUUACCAUAUUGCCACUACGACUCCCUAGGGCUACAUCUUUAUAAUCUAAGGACCCAAAAAUGAAAUACUUAAAACCAAAGGAAGGAUUUGAAAAUACUUGAAACCUGGGAUGUUACAAUUCUCCCCCACUUGAUCUAGACAUCGUCCUUGAAUUCUGUUGCAACAAAAAUUUUUGGGUAAUGCUCCCGCAUCCCAUACUCUAGCUCGCAGGUCCACCCGGAGCCCCUCCGAUGCUGCCAUUGUACCUUUACCAAAGGUACUUCCUUGUUACGCAAAACCUUAACCAUUCUCUCCAGAAUAGCUACUGGCCUCUCAACAUAGUUUAGGCGUUCAUCAACCUGAAUGUCAUCCAAGGAGACUACCACGUCCUCAUCUAAUAUGCACUUUUGUAACUACAAAACGUGGAAAGUGCUGUAAAUCCGACUGAGCUCCUCAGGAAGAUCCAAUCUGUAAGCAACCUUGCCAAUCCUAGCAAUAACCCGAAAAUGACCAAUAUAUCGGGGACCCAACUUCCCCCUCCUCCUGAAGAGGAUGUCAAUUUCAUCUAAGGAAUAACCCUAGGCCAUCAGGCAUCAUAUGGUCAAACAAAUCUAUCAUGCAGUUCCUGAAGAUCCCUAGCUUAUCAGUAGCAUGCUGUUCUUACAUAUCACAAAAUCAAAUAACAAAGUGGUAAUUUGGGGUGUACUUGUUGGCUCCGACUGAUCAUACAUAUCGUAUCCUCUUUAGUUUAAAAUCGACUUUGAAAGUUAUUUUUAAAACCUUUACUUUGAAAAUUAUUUUUUUAAAACCCCUUUUCCUUAGUUUGAGACAGGAUUCACACGAGUGUUCCUCCAAUUCACUCAAACCAAGGCUCUGAUACCAACUUGUAACGUCACAAAAAUUACAACAAAUUUAAACCUUUCAAAACAACCCGUUUGUUAAGCAAAGUGUUUACAAAAACAUUGUCUCCAAAACAUAAUUUAAAGUCAGAGUUUCCCGAGAUCCAAUCCGUCAUAUAACCGAGGAUGUGUACGGUCACGCCUUCGUCUUGCCACAAAUCAUCCGAAGAACCUGAAACCAUAAACAAACUGUAGGCAUGAAGCUUAGUCAGUUCUGUUGGAUUAGGUGUCUAAGCCCAUAACUAUAAUUGGUAUGUACUUGAAUUGAUAGUAGCAAUGUCCUUUUGGGUUGCCUUCAAACCUGACAAUUGAAUAGGAUAACUAUUGGAGAGAAAAGAAUGAUUUAUUAAUUUAUUACUUGGUUAAUAAAUUAAUUUGAAAUAAAGAUAAAUGAUUUAUUAAUGUAUUAUAGAUAUAAUAUAUUAAUUAGAAAUCAUAUUGUUUGAUUAAUAUUUAAUCAGAAAUGGAAUUAAUAUUGGGAUUAAAGGAAUUAAUAGAAACUAUAGGGACUAAAUGUGACAAUGCUCUAAAGUUGAGCAUUGAAGUAUUAUAGAACCUCCCUUAGAGGUGGGGAACGAAAUCUAGAGUGUCCUAGGGUUUCAUUGGGCUCUAAGGGUGCCUUGGAAGCCUUAGGGAGGAAGUUAAGGGAUUAGAGUUAUUUAAGAUACACCUGCCUUAUCCUAAACCUUCCUUAUCACCUAUAUAAACCCCUAUAGGGUUAGAUUUCGUCCCAUGCACUCUAAGAAAGGCUUAGAUCCGAAUUUUCACUUCCCUUAUCUCUCUCCGUAGUAAUCCUUGGUUUCUAGGUUUGUUUGUAAGCCAUUAGAGGCGCGACACUUGUGGCGCUUGCUACCAAAGUUCACGAUCUUCAAGGAUUUGAUUGUUAUUACAAUAUUAAAAUAAAGGUAUGUAUUCUAACCCUAACUAUAUGUUAAUUUUGAAAAUUACAUGUGCGUCUAAGGGUUUCUAGUUUUUGUGUUCAAUGCUUGUAUGUCUAAUAGUGAAAACAAAGAUCCUCAAAUUAGGGUUACAUGCACACAUAUGAUUGUUUGCUAUGUAUAAAACCCAUCAAUGGUAUUAGAGCUUUUAGUUGUUGUUUUCAAUUAGAUUUGAUACAAAAGUAUGAAUUUGAUAAAUUAGGGUUUAUGGAAAAUAAACCCUAGGGCUUGGAUUUUUGAAAUUAGGUUUUCAAAACCCUGGUUUUCGAAAUUUGUUCGGGUUUCUUGAAUCCUUUUCCUUUGGCCCCAUAUUUUCGAUUUUAGGGUUGGUAAACCCUAGGUUUUUCGAAAAUACCUUCCUCCCCAAGAUUAGAUUUCAAAAUUUUAGGGAUUAGGAUAAUAUUAUCUUUGGUAAUUAUCUUAUUAAUUGUUUAAAUGGAUAAUUAAAGAUUUUGAAAUAUCCCUUCCCAAAUUUUCCAAAUCCAGGGGAUAAAAGGAUUAGGUUAAAUUAAUUAUUUAAUUUAAUGGAUAAUCCUUUAAGAUUUAAUAAUAUAAAUUAAUUGUUUAAUUUCGGAUAAUUAUUAAAUCAAAGUUUUAAUAUUUAAGAUUUUAUAAUUAAAAGGUAUUAAUUUUUCGAAAAUUUUAAAUUUGAUUAAAAACCCUAGUAUUUUGAAAGUGUAAAAUACAUCCUUAUACUAUAUAAAAUCACNAAGAUUAAUCAAAUUAAAAAGUCUAAUUUAUUAAUAGUUUAAACCAAAUAGUAUUUUAAAAGUGUAAAAUACAUCCUUAUACUAUAAAAAUUAAAAGUCUAAUAUAUUAUAUAUGUAUACGUAAAGAGUCAGUCUUACCGUUAGUAGGCCUCAUUCACGAAGCUGGUCUAUAAGGGGUGUUUAAGGAAGCGGCCUGUAAAAUGACCGACAUUGGGUAUCCACUUUUACCCACCGCACUCUUGGCUAGUGGAGGGCCAUUAGCCGAACGGGUAGGAUAGGACACAACCUUCCAUUAUAAGUAUAAUUAAAUAAGAAGUAACUAAACACUUUUAAAAAUUCCCAAAUCUUAGUUACUUUAGGAAAAAUGUGGAAUUGGUGCUAAUCCAUGAAAUUGCACAUCGCACCUUGUUGGUCGAUAGUGGAGCGUGCGUGGUUAACCGGCACACUAAUAUGGGACCAAUGAAGGAUGGCAAUGGGUUUCUCGUAAAAUUAUCAUCGAUCAAUGGAGUAUGUAUGGUUAACUGGCACAUUGAUUGGGUGGUGAUCGACAUCGAGAGUACCAAGCUAAUUUGCAUGGUUAUCCACACCUUAUUUAUGAUCCUCGGCAUCCCAGUCACAAACUUGAAGGACAUAAUCGACAUUAAACAUGCCAUUGAAAUGUUCAAUGAAUCUUAAAAGAUCUAGGAGUUUCAAAACAUUUAAAACCCAAUUUUCUUUUCGUUUUUCAUGGUGGAAAUUGGUAAAUCGUCAUUUACCUACCUUCAAAUAUUUUGCAAUUGGGUUACAACAUCCCUCUUCCUAAUUGCUGAAUAUUGUGUUGGAUCCUAGCCUUGAUAUUUCAUUUGGGUGUUAUAUCAAGGAUUCUUAUCAACUAACUUGAAAUUUAUUCUGUUUUGUAGAUGUCAAAUGACUAUGGUCUUCCCGAAUCCUUUGGAAAAAGCUUUCCACUUGAAGGUGAUGUUCUACGAUUGGAUCGUGGAAAUGUAAAUCAUGCUUCACUUCCUACACCUCCUGCAAUAGUUCUCUCUGACCCACGUGUUCUAAGACUUGAAAAUUUCAAGGUCACUCAAGCCCUAUUGGCAAGUAAAGUCACACAUUGACAAGUUGGGAAUGUUGGGUGUCAUUGUCUCAAGGAAGUUGGCUGUUGACUUAGUUCCUCAAUCACUUCCCAAAUCAUAUAGUGAGUUCAUUAGAGAGUACUAUAUGAUGGACCAUUACGUGACCCUCAUUGAUCUUACCUAUUUGCUUAUUGCUGCUGAAUCAACAACGAUUUGGCACACUAGUCAAGCAAAUUUGUUGGGAAGAUCAACCUCCCAAACUUCAUGGACAUUGACAAUGGCAACAUUGGAAGUCAAGAAAAGUCUUCUCUUCCUAAUGGAAAGGGAUUGGAUAAGGUCAAACCGUUUAACCAAAUGGUAAAGAGAAAGGCUGAAUCUGAAAUUGUCCCAUGUGCUGUUCCAAAAGAGUCCGUUUGUUUCUACUGCCAAGAGAAGGGGCAUUGGAUGCGAAGAUGCCAUAUGUACCUGAAAGAUCGCAAGGAUGGGAGAGUCAAGAUGUAUGAGUCUGCUUCAGGUAAAUCCACUAUCUAACUCUAUUAUGGUCUUAUUUGUAGAUUCUUAAUAAAUGAUGUGAUAAGAUUACAUUUUGAUAUUUUGUAGGAUUGAAGAAAAGAAAGGAAGCUUAAAAAGGAUGAGUGAGCUGAGUCUGAUCACAAAGGAAUGGAUUUCGAUCGCAUGGUUCGAAGAUCGGAUUUUUGAGCUGCUACUUAGAAGAGUUAGGAUAGAUUGCUUAGGAAUAUUUACAUAGUUUUCAUUUGUAAUUACGAUUGUAAGGACAAGUUUUUCUGCUUUUUUAUAAAGAAAAUAAAUUUUGAUUUUUGUCUUAUCCUUUCAAUGACUUUUGUGAAAAUUGAUGUUUGUACGUUUCUAUUGUUAGCAAUAUUGAAAAUGGAUGUGAUUCUUAGUUAUGUUAUUCAUGGAAGCGUCAAAGAUUUACCAAAUAGAGAAUGAUUCUUAUCACCCAAGUUUCAACUGGACAAAAACUUGGAAUUGCGCGACUUGUGUUGUGUGAUGAAUGAGAACCUUCGUAUUUGGGAAAUUGAGACUAAUUCCUUGUUCACACAAGUAUGUGAGUAAAGUGAAGGACUAGGGGAUCUAGUAUACAUUUUUGUGCACUAGGUCAAGUCCGCCACAAAGAAUGAUAAUAAUAUUUGUCAUGAUUUGCUAAAGGUUUAGUAAAUAUGGUUAUGCUUACAAGAUUAAGUGUAAUUCUGAAUCGUUAAAAAGGUAUCAAUGUAAAGCAGAACAAAUAGGAAGAAUCAAUUAGGAAGAAAGAUAAAAGUUUCUCCAAUCUAAAAAGAAGGGAGAGUACUUAAUUAUCGUGUUCUAUGAUUAACCAAGUGAUUAUGAAACCGUGUCGCAAUUGAUCCUCUAAGGACACCUUAGUGCAUUUGUAUGGCUAAGAAGAGAAAUCGACAAUUUUUGAAAUGGUUAAAUCGAUUAAGGAGAAUCAUACUUCGUUCCAAAAACAAGCCUUAGAGUCGUACUCCAAGAUUGUGUACUGAGUGAUAUGUUGUAAGUAGGUUUAUAACACAUCAUCAAAUGCGGAGCAGAAAUGUUUCUCACUCCUGCACGUUUGAAAUUGGUAAGUUGUGAUGUCUUGGAUAAGACAAAGACCAACUAAGACCAAUCGUGUGUUGUGGUUUUGUCUUGAUAGGAACCCGCACUAACUCGUGAGUAUUUGUUUGUCAAGGAAUGUUUUUUGACAAGAGAAUCUUAUAUGUCAAGAGGUCAGUGGGAGUCUUAAUGAUCUUGAAAAGUUUCAAGAAAAAAUAAAGAAUAAACCUAGUUGUUCAUCACUAGCACACGACUUGAGGUUUAUAACCUAUCGUGUUGACAUAGUUUUGUUUCUGUGCCAUUCCAAUAAAGUUGACUAUGCAUGUGAGUUCUAAGAGUUCUCAAUUGAUUGCAUAAACCAAAACACCUUGAUUGCUGAAAGUUCAUUGAUCUGUAUGGGUGAGCUGCUUGACUACUUGGUAGACAUGGUAGGCCCUUGUGCUGCCAGGUGGCAAGAAAUAAAGAUUGAACAUGUUCAGUCCAUAUGAGUUUAGAUUUGUCACAAACCUUGUCUUAAGAUUAUGGUUAUGAAAAAUUCACAUGGAUAGAAACACAUACACCAUAAAAUCUAAGUGACAAGGUUUCUCUCCAUUUCAUGAAAAUGAUUGUGAGGAAACGCUUUCACUAGGAAGAUUUUAAGGAGAUAGGGAUUGUGAAAAUUGCGGUCUCAAACCCAAUCAUGAUUACGACAUCCCUCUUCAUGGUUCGAAUUGUGAGAUUUGGAAAUUAGUCUGAACAUUUGGAACUUAUUAAUAUAAGUUCUGAAAUAGUUUAGACAUACCUAUGGGAUUUUUAAUAAAAGGGGUAUGAAAUUAGAUAAAGUCUUAUUAAAGCAUCAUGUAUCAGAAAUAUGAACUUUGAUAAGAAAGUCAAUAAGUAUUGAUUUCUAGAAGUCCAGCUGUUUUCUGAAUACAUGUCAAAGCUAGUGGGAGCAUAAGUGUUAUGCAGGUAAAGAUAUAAUUAUCAUGUUAGUGGGAGCAUGAUUAUUAUGUUGCAAGUUAGCAAUAUUAAUUAUAACAAAAGUUUCAAUUCGCAAAGUUGCAAAAGUUGAAAAGUCGUUUUGCUAUAAUUAAGGGAGAGGAACUUAUACUUCAUUUCAAAUCUAAAAGCUUAGAUCAAGAAAUUUUAAUCAAUUUAGUCAAAGGACAUAUAUGAAUGUUAUGUUGAAAAGAUUCAACAUAUUGGAAUUCUAUAUAUAACAAUAUUGUAGCAGGAGUCUGGUAAAAUAUAACUUCUUUAUGCAAGACAUUAUGUAUCGUAUCCCAUACGCUUUGGGUAUAGUAUCGAUUGCAUAUGCUGUAAUAUUCAACUGUUCUAAUUUUCCAAAUGUCUAGGGCAUUAAGAGGGAAAAGGACAAGAAUCAGAUAUGACUAAAGUAAGUUAAAAAUCUGUCAAGUACAAUCUAAGGUUCGCCAAGGAUUCUUCACUUGUGGGCAGUUGGAAGUAUAGAAAUGGAUGGACCAAAUUGACAUUAUCAUGAAAAGAUAGGAUUCUAUUUAGAAUGUGUUGUCAUAUGGAAAAUAUGGAAAAUUUUCGAUAAUGGGAGUUGGAUAUUAAGAAUUUAUGUAGAUUAGAAACUUUUAUGCAAGAAGGAUGUGAAGGGUUUUGAGCAUUCUAACACUCCUAAGGUGUACAUGCAACCCUAAAUACCUUGGAUCUAUGUUUUAUCUAUUAUACAUGCAAAUAUCAAUUUUCCAAGGUAUUAUCCUAACUAUCAUAUUAUGAAGUACAAGUAAUAUAAAAUCUAGUAGAAUAACAUACCUCUUUGUUGUAGUUUGAUUCCAUGUAGCUUAAGAGCCUAGUGCCUCAAGUGUGAAAUGGUUCACACAACAUACGAUCCAUAGACCUCUUUAUAUAGUGUGGAGGAUUAGGGUUAUAUUCAUGUAAACCCUAAUACCCAUGACCUUUCAUUUCCAUAGGAUCCAUGGUUUAAACACUCCAUGGACUAUCCAUGAAAGAUUAGCCCAAUCUAAAUGAACUUGGCCCACAACAUAUAUAUAAGAGUCCAUAUUUAACUAGUUCCUUUUGAUAACUAAAUUAAUUCUAAAUUAAUUAUUGAUCAAUACUAAUUAAAUAAUAUGGUUUCAUAUUAAUAUAUUAGAACUUAUAAUAUAUUAAUAUAAAUCACUAGUAUCCUUUUUUUUUCUCAUUUUGUCUAUCCAAUUGUUCCGAUGCCAUGCAACCCAAAUGGACCAUGCCAAGUCGGGUCGAAUACAUAUCGAUAAUAAUUUGGGCUUAGACAUCUAACCCAACAGGAUGUUCAAAGGAAUGCACUUUGAAUGUGAGACUUCAUAUCUGUGGAGUUAUCUUGUAACAAUCUCUAAUAAAGCACUUUGUAAUUUCAUUAGCAAAGUCUUUGUGACUUUGGUGCUAUGUCAUUAUAAAAGGAUCAUUGCAUAAAAAGUUAGAAGCUAACACAUAGCAAGAAUUUGGUAUUCUUACACUUGUGAUAAGGAUUGGGAAUUGUGAAAUGAGAAUCAUUGGAAAUGUGUUCAAUUGAUCUAUUUCACAAAGUAAGGACCAUAGGUAAACAUAGUAUGCAUGCUUGGAUUCGAUUAUUCUUGUGUUUCACUUCGCAUGUUUUGACUUCACGAAUAACUAGGUUAUUCAAACAUCCACAGUCAAUCAUACUUUGGAAGUAGGUAAUGAGGUAAAACUGUAAUGAAUCCGACUGUAGAUUGUCUGAAGUGUUUAGACAUAGCAAAAGUCUGUUGCAGUGUUCAUGAGUGCUCCUGAAAUAAGAUUUGAGUAUUGGAAUAACCCACGCUCACGUGAAUCACUUCAUGGAUUUUAUCACGAGUGGUUGUGAGACGAAAAUAUAUUAUAUUCUUGAAACGAAGAGAUAUAGUUGCAGUUUACAAGUCGGUUGCUCAUUGGCAAUAUGUAAACGCACUAGUAACUUGGUGUUAUAAAACAUAUUGUUGUGUGUGAUUUGAUGAGUAAAUAGGGCAAGCAUAUGAGUCGAUGUUUAUCCGUUCCUUUUAUCCAAAGUGGGAUAAAAGCGAUAUCUGUGGGCCCCUCGAUGAUUUAGUGAUGACACCCUAAGCGCUUGGCAAUGCUUGGGCUAAGUUGAUGUGUUCAACUAAAGUCUAUUGUCAGCCGUCUUAAAUCGGAAAUCGGGAAACAACUAUUGGACAAAGAUAAAUUAUAAUACAUGUCUCAUGUCCAUACUAUAUCUUGUAGAACGGAGUAAUAUUUGAUCUUUUAUCUAAGGACACGUCACUGACUAGGUCAGAGUUCGACAACGACUUUUGGUAGCUAAAACUUGCUAGUCAAUUUUUGAAGUUAUACUUGAACCUAUAGUUAUUAGACUUAUCCAAGUAGGAGAAUGUUGGAUUAGGUGUCUAAGCCUAUAACUAUAAUUGGUAUGUACUUGAAUUGAUAGUAACAAUGUCCUGUUGGGUUGCCUUCAAACCUGGCAAUUGAAUAGGAUAACUGUUGGAGAGAGAAGAAUGAUUUAUUAAUUUAUUACUUGGUUAAUAAAUUAAUUUGAAAUAAAGAUAAAUAAUUUAUUAAUGUAUUAUGGAUAUAAUAUAUUAAUUAGAAAUCAUAUGGUUUGAUUAAUAUUUAAUCAUAAAUUAAUUUGGAAUUAAUAUUGGGAUUAAAUGAAUUAAUUGAAACCGCAGGGACUAAAGGUGAAAAUGUUCAAAAUUUGAGCAUUGAAGUAUUAUAGAACCUCCCUUAGAGGUGUGGAAUGAAAACUAGAGUGUCCUAGGGUUUUCUUGGGCUCUAAGGGUGCCUUGGAAGCCUUAGGGAGGAAGUUAAGGGAUUAGGGUUAUUUAAGACACACCUGCCUUAUCCUAAACCUUCCUUAUCAUUUAUAUAAACCCCUAUAGGGUUGGAUUUCGUCCCAUGCACUCUAAGAAAGGCUUAGAGCCGAAUUUUCACUUCCCUUAUCUCUCUCCAUAGUAAUCCUUGGUUUCUAGGUUUGUUUGUAAGCUAUUAGAGGCGCGACACUUGUGGUGCUUGCUACCAAAGUUCAAGAUCUUCAAGGAUUUGAUUGUUAUUACAAUAUUACAAUAAAUGUAUGUAUCCUAAACCUAAUCAUAUGUUAAUUUCGAAAAUUACAUGUGCCUUCUAGGGUUUCUAGUUUUUGUGUUCAAUGCUUGUAUAUCUAAUAGUGAAAACAUAGAUCCUCAAAUUAGGGUUGAAUGCACACAUAAGAUUGUUUGCUAUGUAUAAAACCCAUCAGUGGUAUCAGAGUUUUUGGUUGUUUCUUUCAAUUAGAUUUGAUACAAAAGUAUGAAUUUGAAAAAUUAGGGUUUAUGGAAAAUAAACCCUAGGGCUUGGAUUUUUGAAAUUAGGGUUUCAAAACCCUAGUUUUCAAAAUUUGUUAGGGUUUCUUGAACCCUUUUCCUUUGGCCCCAUAUUUUCGAUUUUAGGGUUGGUAAACCCUAGGUUUUUCGAAAAUACCUUCUUCCCUAAGAUUAGAUUUCAAAAUUUUAUGGAUCAGGAUAAUAUUAUCUUUGGUAAUUAUCUUAUUAAUUGUUCAAAUGGAUAAUCAAAGAUUUUGAAAUAUCCCUUCCCAGAUUUUUGAAAUCUGACCUGAAGCGAUCUCGGCUCAAAAAGGACAAUCUCCUCCUCCAUAAUCUCCAUGAUCCCCUCCUUGAUGGUACUGAAAAUCACCGGGGGUAGCGUCAAGGAUGCCUCGAGUUACCUCGACUGCGAUAAGCUCACGCAACCUCUCAUCAAUCGGCUCUGCCCUGGAUCCUGAACCCGAACCCGAUCCCGAACCUGAACCUCCUUGAGUAGCCAUCAACAUACUUAACUGAAAAUACAACAUAGAAAGCAAUUGAUAAGGAAGUUCAAAGGUAUUUCUCCCCACCAGACUCUUUAGAGCUUCCAGGUUUGUCCUCGUCUUGGGUACAGGUCCUGUGCUUUUAGUUGUACGGGCCCAAUACUACCUUCCACACCUACCUGUACCUUCCCCCAACGCCAUACCUGAUACCUCUAAUUUACCAAACCAUAGAUAAAACAUGACCUACGAAACACAACACAUAUGCAUAUCCUAGAAUCUUCAGGGAUUUAUCAAUCCUCAUAGAACCAGAAACCUCAAUCAAAACCGCAAGUUGCCUUAUGCAUGCAAGUUAUACAUAAAUAGAAUCACAUAGACUGUCAAAUAAAGUUUCUACCCUAAGACCACAAUGAAACAAGGAACAAGAAGUAAGGUAGAAUCCAUCAUUCUAGGGCUAUGCAAUCCUAAACCAUAUACAACUUUGAAAGCAUACACUUAGCAAAUAACAAAGUCAACAUCGAUUCCAAGCAUUAUAUUCAUAGCAUUGAAUUCUCCUAGGCUAUAAGGCAUCACACAAAUCAGACAAUUCUCAUAAAUCCUGAAGGUAUCCUUAGCCCUAUUCUAGCAUGCAUUUUACAUAUUAACAUACUAGUUGCAAUUCAUAAGCAUGGUUAAAUUUUUGGAAUCACUUACUUGAGCUUGGCCAAUUACGCGCAUUGAACUCUCCCUUUUUAUUUAAGAAAACGAUUUCAGAAAAACUUGACUUUUGUUUCUUUUUUAAAAAGGGUUACCAUUUCCUAUAAUGACCUAAAAAUACAAGGUAAAAAUUUCAUUUUUAAUUUAGUAAAAAACACUUUAAUAACUUUGUUCCAGACAUUGAAAGCAUUUCAAACAAACAAUUAUCAGAGUCUAAUCCUAAAGAUCACAUUCUGCGGAAAUCAUGGGUGUAUGCGCUGUGAUCGUCUUGGGCCCCCUUUUAUUUGAAACCUGCAGUACCUGAAACAAAAAUGAAAACCGUAAGCACAAAGCUUAGCAAGUUCCCCAAAUACCGCAUACCAUAUAAUAAACAUAUUGCCAAACAUAUCUGGGUGCUGGCCUCCCAUUCGGUCUAUUCCAACUGGAGCCAAGCAUGUCUGGGUGCUGCCCCCCNAUACCACCGAGCAUAUAUGGGUGCCGGCCUCCCCUUCGGUCUAUUCCAACCGGAUACCGGGUCUAUUUCACUCUCUACCACUACCAUAUAAUAACAUAAGCACAUAAUCACAGAAACAUCAACAAAUACUGGCAACCCAGACAAUUAUCACAUAGACAAUCAUCUUACUAUAAACAUCAACUAGUGGACCGACAUUGGUGCCUUUGACCCACGAAUUCUACGAUGGGAGACUCACCUCGAAUGCAGAAGCUCACAUAACUAGAUCCUUAGCUGCUGCCCUGAAGACUUCCCGAGCUCCAAUAGAUUGCAAAAGAUGUGAACUUUUUGGAUCUACAAGCUCCCUACAGGAAAUGAGUCAUCAAAUUUCUUCUUCUCUUACACAAAUCACCAUAAACACUCUUCUCCAAGCUCCAAAAGCUCAAUCAAGGCACUCUAGGCUUUCUAUGAUGUUAAAAGGGGUGGAGGUUGACCUAAAAUGACCCAAGGAAGGAUAUAAUGUUGCUUAUAUAGGGUGUAAGUCGAGAAAUUAGGGUUUGGUGCUGAAAGGAGUACGCCCCACGUACGCCUUUGUACGCCUGGCGUACUCAAGAAACACUCGUGAUCUUCUCACACUGUACGCUCUGCGUACUCGAUGCCUCUCAAAAUCCUAGAAUUUCUUGCAGCCAUAACUCCUUCGUUCUAGGUCCGUUUCCGACAAAAUUUUUAUCUACAAGAAGGCGACGAGAAGCCCUACGCUUCUAACAUCUAAGCAUAAAAAAAACCACCCGAAAAAAAUCCAAAAUGCAUAAAAUAUCAAAAUAUCAAAUUACGAUUAUACCCUUGGCCUCUGAGGACACAAUCGAACACUUGGAUCACUUAUACCAUGACACCCGCAUCUGAAAUGGGCCAAAUCCUUCCCUUCCCAAGGCCAUAAGCCUCAUGACCACUGAAGAUUGGGCCACGGUCCCUAACAAAGAAGAAAAUCCAAAAUCAAGUGUUACAACUGUCCCCCACUUGAAUUAGAUUUGGUCCUCGAAAUCACUCCUUACUAACACUCCUAACAAAACAACCAUCCUGAGGUAUGUAAUCAAAAAAUUAUGCGCAUAAGACAACCUUCCAAAGACAACCGAAACCCAAACCCAAACUUCCAUCCUGAAGAAAAACAAACCCUAUGCCCCCAAAGGAAACCACUUUUACUUCUUUGAAGCCUGAAAUCCGCAUUGGUCUGACUACCCGGCAGACCGCCCAUGCUGUAACAUUACCAAACCAAGCCUUUAUUAAAUAACAGACCAAACAUAAACUUCUAACCCUGAUCAUCUUGAUGCUACCGAUAGAACAAAGUCGCUAACCCUAAAUAGUUGCGGUGCACUUACACUUGACGGAAGGCUCAUAUAAUCCUUCGAGUAAAAGAUUCAUCCUUGCAACGGUUAGACUCAAAUGAGAGCUACGCAAUAAGGUCAAAUCAAUUACCCCAAGAUUAUUUAAUCCCGCUAUAAGUAACUUAGUACUUUUGAUCAACAAGCUACCCCAGACACAUGAAUCCCCAACUCUCCACUUUUUCUCGAGGCUUCACGCUGCCUUCUAUCUGCUUUCCAAAAGUAAUUGAGACCUCCUGGGUCCCAACUUAUCUGCCAAUUAUCUGUAAUACAAGAUUCCCGUCCGGUUUCUGAGCCAACAAACAAUCACACAGUUGCCCCACGCGACUUCCGAAAGAAAACUUCGACCGACAAUAACUACCCGAACCAUCUCGACACCAAACCCGAUGCUAAGCUGAAUGCUACAGGACCAAAUGUAGUCUUACUUCAUAUCUGGUCUCCCCCGACCUACCAAUUUCUUGAUUCCAAACAUGUUGUGGCCUUCCUACAACCUUGCGAACAGACCCACUUUGGACUAAACCAUCUGGAGAUAUCCGUGAGCAAUCACAGAUUGUCACAAUCUCCCUAAUGAACAGGGACGACUGAUAAAUGUUACGGGAUACCCCGUGGUCUUACAAUACUCCCCACUAACUACUAGUGAAUGCUAUGUGUCACCCCACAGUCUUACAACACUUCCACGCUACCUCAACCACCGCUAAAUGCCUUACCGCUAAUCUGUCUAUCCGGACACCAUCCAGAGUCGAGCAUGCAGUCGACCAAACACCCAAGCCAAACUCGGGUUACGACUGGAACCUCAACCUAGGUCCUCUAAAGCCCGCUAUCUGCCCCACAAGAUACGGACCCAAUGUUGGGAGGUUUCCCGAACUCCCAACUCACCCAAUCCUCAAUCCAGACAGCCACUUGGACCGCUUUCCUCCCCAACGGGGAUGCAAAACUUGUCCUAGCUUCACAACUGUUCUUGUUCCUGAAUACCUGAAUGAUUCUCCCCCACUUUGGUUCGACUAAGUCUUCACGGAACUUGAGAAUUGAAGGAUUCCUAAUCCUUGUUACCCUUUAUUAAUCAAACUACUGACAACCUGUGCUUACCAGUGCUAGUACUUAAUCACUAGCCAAACACAAAGACCACACAACCUCUAAAGACCAGAUGAACACUUCCCGAAUCUUAUCAAAACUGACAACUCCAGAUGCCUUUAAAUGAUACCACACUCAACUUGCGAAGUCCAAAUAACAGAUGCUCAGACCAAAAGCUCGAUGAUAGACCAUUUCCCUUGGCGCUUCCAAAAGCAAAUCCAAGCACAAUGGCUGAAAUCAUUGAAUCUUAACGAUGCUGGAUAACACUAGUGUUCCAUUGCUAGCCAAGCUCAAUGAUCACCCCAAUUCUCGAAAUUAUGAAGGAUGCUCUUGAACUCUUAACCAAUUAGAUAGUCCAAACCACCUCCCAUAUUACCAUACUAAUUCCUAGAGUUCUUAUGUUGGCGAUGAAAAACCAUAACACUUGCCCCGACUGACGAAUCUUCAUCCCAACACCCAUUCUUGAAGAAUCCCUGAAUCCUAAUCGACUGCAACCUAAGAAAAUAUGAAAAUACUCUGACGUUUCUGAUGACCAAAUCAACUCAUGCAACUGUCACUACCAUCUUCCCGCUACCCCUCUCCUUCUACCAAUCCGCAAAACUUGAACCCACGGUUCUCUUAGAGGCACCUGCCGCUCUUACCGGAACCAUUAUUUAAACAGUUGAACCCUAAUGAUUACUAGAGAACCAACUUGCCGAAUCUUGAACAUAGACCUUCAACACAGUGCCCCUGAACCGAUCUCGACCAUAAACCAAGAUAACACUGAACACUCCAAACCCGCUAAAAGGGAAACAACCUUUCACUAACCACUGCUAAUUCAUGGCAUGCAAUUGGCAUAUAACAUUUCUUGAAGAUAUAACCCAAACAUAAGCAUAUCAUUAAACCCAAAGAUACACUUACCCAAACUGAUGCAAGAUUCCAACAACAAAUACAUAUAAAACCGAAAAGAAAGCAAAAGAUAAUAUACCCGCAACCUCGUCUGAAGAAACCUCGAAUCCCCCUUCUUGCCAAAGUACCUACGAUAAAAACUGAGUUGCCCCAACCACUGAGCAGGGGCAAUUCGCCCUUAUAUGACUAGGCUGAUGACAAUGAUUCCAUAAAUCUACUUCCAAUGUGAAUUCUUGGCGAUUGUGACCCUUCCAUCCGCACCUACCGCACUUAGACCUACUGCACACAUCCUCCCAUGUCCCCUCAUCCUGCAUGCACUCAUCUCGACCCCUCGGGUAUCUAACACCAGCUAUAGCAGCGUCCAACUGCCCUGAUCGUCCAACCAUGCCAGGAGUCUGUUUCCUCUUCCUUAGCUGACUAUCUAAACUAAUCUCCUGCUCCUGGGUUAACCCGACCACCUCAUCGACUGCCUGAAUAGCUGAGGCCUGACCCUAGAUCCCGAUGGCCAAUCUAUUAGUGACAUGCCAAAAGAUGUCAGGUAACUCCUCGUGGAGAGCUCACAAAACCGCUGCGGCAAUCCAAUCUUGUGGUUGAAUCUCCUAAAGACAUGGUGCACAACUCACCUCCGAUCCCAAACGACAAAAACUAACAAUAUGAUCCUCCUUUAUGAAGGGUCUUGGGGAUCCACAAGCUUCGGGCUCCAGAUGAGCUCCCAACUGCCCUGCUGUAAUCUCAGCCUGAGAGGUCCCAAGUUGACUGUCCAAUACCUCCAAAAUCCCAUCCUUGACUGAACCAAAGAUCACAAAAUUCUGCUCCAACAUACCGCAUGUAAUCCCCGAUGAGAUGAACUCCUGCAUCUGCUCGCUAAUCGGCUCAGCACCUGCACCUGAGCCGGAACCCAAACCAAAACCAGAACUAGAACUUAAUCCACCUCCUUGAGUGCUCAUCUCCAAAGUGAAAUACAUCAUGCCAAAUAUCGAAACAUCCUUAAGAACUCUCAUCCCAUAAGCUUCUUAGAUUCUCCAAGACUCUCACUAAUUCGAGUAUGGAUCCCGUGCUUCCAGUAGUACGGGUCCAAUACUACCUUCCACACCUAUCCAUACUUUCCUCAGCAAUCAUCCCGAAUCCCUUAAUUCACUUUCUCAACAAAAGCACCAAAACUCACUAAACCGCACCACUAAACUUACUGAUGUAUAUCCUAGGCUCUCCUAGGUUCCCGACCCCACCCAGUCCUCAGCUACUGAAGGACUCCCACCAAAGUCAAUCAAUUUCCUCAUGAAUACAGUCACAUGCAACAAAGAUCAGAUAAUCCUUCGAGUAAAAGACUCAACCCUAGAAUGGUUGGACUCAAACGAGAGCUAUGCAAUAAGGUCAAAUCCAUCACUCUAAGAUUAUUUAACUUGUGGUACAUGUAACUUAGCAUAUUUACUUAGCAGUCAAUUCACAUUACUAAGAGUCCUACAAAGCACAAAGCAAGCAACAUUUAGACAAUGGAAAAAUCUAACCAACAUACUCUAAUCAAGCCAUUCUAUCCACUUAUCCGGAAACAAUUCUAGCAUGAAAUUCUAAAGCUCAUACAAUCAGGCAUAUAAAGGCAUCUCUCCUAUCACAUAAUACUGAGCAGAUCCUUAUCCCUAAUCUAGCAUGCAAUUCUCAUAAUCAUAGCAUAUAUAAUAAUAAACACGUAUUGGUAUUUUGGGAACCACUUACUUGAGCUCGACCGAUUGCACGCAUCACACCCCUUUCUUGUUUAAAAAUUCCCUUUUUAAUUAGAUGUUCCUUUUAUAAAUUAUUUCACCAAACCCUCAGUUUGAGUUCAAGCACAUCCGAGAGUAUGCUUGAAUCCAUUAAACCAAAGCUCUAAUACCAACUUCUAACGACCCAAAAAUCAUAGGUAAAAAUUUCAUUUUAAUAUAGUAAAAACACUUUAAUAACUUUGUUCCAGACAUUGAAAGCAUUCCAAAGAAACAAUUAUCAGAGUCUAAUCCCAAAGAUCACAUUCUGUGGAAAUCACGGGUGUAUGCGCUGCGAUCGCCCCGAGCCCCAUUUUAUUUGAAAACUAGAGUACCUGAAACAAUACUGAAAACAUAAGCACAAAGCUUAGUGAGUUCCCCAAAUACCGCAUACCAUUCAACAAAACUAUUGCCAAACAUAUCUGGGUGCUGGCCUCCCCUUCAGUCUAUUUCAACCGGAUACCGCCGGGCAUAUCUGGGUGCUAGCCUCCCCUUCGGUCUAUUCCAACCGGAUACUGCCGAACAUAUCUGGGUGUUGGCCUCCCCUUCGGUCUAGUCCAACCGAAUAUCGCCGAGCAUAUUUGGGUGCUGGCCUCCCCUUCGGUUUAUUCCAACCGAAUACUAGGUCUAUUUCACCCCUAUCAGUACCACAACAUUACAUAAAAAUAUAAUCAGGGAGACAUCAACAAAUACUGGCAAACCAGACAAUUAUCAUAAAGAUAAUCAUCUUACUAUAAACAUCAACUAGUGGGCUGACAUUAGUGCUUUCAACCCACGAAUUCUGCGAAGGGAGACUCACAUCGAAUGUAGAAGCUUACAUAACGUAGAAGCUAAGAUAACUAGAUCCUUAACUGCUGUCCUGACGACUUUCCGAGCUCCAAUAAAUUUCAAAAGAUGUGAAAUUUCUGGAUCUACAAGCUUCCUCCAGGAAAUGAGUCAUCAACUUUCUUCUUCUCUUACAAAAACAACCAUAAACACUCUUCUCCAAGCUCCAAAUGCUCACUCAAGGCACUCUGGGGUUUCUAUGAUGUUAAAAGGGGUGGAGGCUGACCUAAAAUGGCCUCAGGAAGGAUAUAAUGUUGCUUAUAUAGGGUAUAAGUCGAGAAAUUAGGGUUUGGUGCUGAAAGGAGUACGCCCCGCGUACCCCUUUGUAUGCCCUGAGUACUCAAGAAACACCCGCGAUCUUCUCGCCUUGUACGCCCUGCGUACAUGACCGGUACGUCCUGCAUACUCGAUGCCUCAUAAAACCCUAGAAUUUCUUCCGGCCAUAACUCCUUCGUUCUAAGCCUGUUUCCAACGAACUUUAUAUCCACAAAAAGGUGGCGAUAAGCCUUAUGCUUCUAACAACAUGCCUAAGCCUAAGAAAAACCUCCCGAACAAAAUCCAAAAUCCAUUAAAGAUCGAGAUAUCAAAUUACGAUUAUACCCUUGGCCUUCGAAGACACAAUCGAACACUUGGAUCACUUAUACCAUGAUACCCGCAUCCAAAAUGGGCUGCAUCCUUCCCUUCCUAAGGCCCUAAGCCUCCUGAUCACUGAAGAUUGGGCUGUAGUCCCGAACAAAGAAGCAAAUCUGAAACCGAGUGUUACAUUUCCUCAGCUUGAGUUCUGAAACACCUGAGAGUGUGCCCGAAUCCCUUAAACCAAGACUCUGAUACCAACUUGUAACAGCCCAAAAAUACAGAUAAAAAUUUGCUUUUUUUUUUUUUUAAAAUAGAAAGUAUAAUCAUAAUUUGUUUCUAAAAAUCCAUUACGUCAUUUAAUUUCCAAAUAUCAGAGUAUCAAUAUCGAUAAAUGAGGAAAUUGAUGGGAGUGAAUAUUUCGCCAUCAAGCCAGGCCCUUCCCCUCAGUACCGGAAGUAAUUGAAAACACCCAAAUAAUCUGUAAGCAAAAGCUUAGUGAGUUCCCAAAAUACGACAUAACAUAUAACCACAGAAUACCACACCACAUACAUAAGAUUGCCAUGGGCUACCCCCAUGGUCUGAUAUCCAAGUGCCAUGUGCUACCCCCAUGGUCUUUCCCGGGAAUGCCAUGGGCUAGCCCCAUGGUCUAAUAUCCAAGUGCCAUGGGUUACCCCAUGGUCUUCACACAAGUGCCACGGGCUACUCCCGAGGUGUUCAGAUAAUGAAUUGCAUAACAAUUGUCAAUCCACAUGUCAUAUAAUGGGCCGACAUUGGUACCUUCGACCCAUUGAUAUAGUAAGAAGACUCACCUCAAACUGCUGAUAAAAAUAGUGCUCGGCUAUCGGUCCAUAUAUCUCACACUGAAUAUACACAUGUUAACCUAAUAAGAAUUAAGCCACAAACUCAAGGCAUAGGCCAAAACCCUAAGUCCAAACUCCUCUAUUAAGGCCCAAAAGUCUUUCUCUAUUAAUGGGCCUAACAUCCAAGAUCAAAAAAAAAUUUAUGGGCUACAAUGCCUAAAAGGCCCAACCAUGCCACCUAUGGUCCAACAAUAAGUUCAAAGGCCCAAAUUGUAACAUCCUGGAUAGUGUGACAUCCCCAAAAUCACGGCCAGAAAAGACCGGUUUAAUUUAUGCUUUAAAAAUAAUUUCAGAGUAAUACUUUGAUUAAAAGAGUAGCAGAAUUUGUUCCCAAAACACAAUAUGAUAAAAUAAAGUUUAUCAAAUCAUUUCUUAAAGAAAUAUAUUUUCAUUAUAUAACAAAAGUCGGGAUUUCAUGUUUCGAUACAUACCAAAAGCAUAAACAGUACGACAUAGACCUUAAAACAGUUAUUUACAACUACUGGUCUAUAAACAAAAAUAUCUUCACAAGUUGUCCAACUUAUGCUCUCGCGUCACUACCUAUAAUAUAAAGAAACCGAGUGGGUCAGGCCUGGGAGCCUGGUGAGCAUAUUGGGUUUUCAACCCAUAAUAAAUAAUUAUAUUUAACUUCACCAACCAACAAUAGCCCGAUUACCCAUUCCAGUUAUCCUCACUUUACGCCCCUAAAACAACUAUUACAAGGGACCUAAUCUAGGUUUUUUCAUCGGGAUGGGCAUUACUGCAAAGGGGCUUCCUCAAAAAUAAAUGUCCUAAAGGCAACCAUGAGGGGGAUAGAGUACAUCGGUGAACACAUCGUUCACAACACCUACAGGUUAUGAACUUGCCAGCGUUCCACUGGACUGUCUAGAAAGAGUCCGUGGUCAUCAUCGAUACUCUGCUAGAUGACUAGAUUAACAACAAAAUCGAGACCUCUCAUCAUUUUAUUUCUUCACACAUCCACUAUCUACCUAUGUUCUACCCAACAUAUUUGUAGAUAAAAAUGUGUGUGUGUGUGUGUGUGUGUAUAUAUAUAUAUACACACACACAACAUAAAACAUGUAUAAAACAUUCAAUCAAUACUCAUUUCAAAUAACACAUAACAUAUAAACACAUAGCACAUAUUUUAUGGAAACACUUCGUAUUUAUUUGUUAGAAGAAAGUAACUACACACUCACUUGAUAAGAUGAUUAUCGGACAUCAUUACAGAUCUACAAGUAGCAAUUCUUCAAUGAAACCAGGAGAUCUUCACAAACACUGGGCUUCUUGCGGGCAGAGCUUCUGCUCGAAACUAUUUUCUUCUCAGGAUCUUUAGAGCAUCGGGACUUGCUUCGGGUGUCGGGAUGAUACCGGGGCUUCGAGGGCAUAACUUGCACGUAAAAUGAGGUAAUAUGGGUGAGAGAGAAGAAAUUUGGCAACCAAACUCGGCUGCCUUCAUGUUCUAUUUAUAGGGUGCUGAACCCCUGAUUAUGCUGGGCGGAACCCCAAAGUACGCUGGGCGUACUCUCCUAUCGACAUGUACGCUAGGCGUAUUCCUCGUAUGCUGGGCGUACUGUGUGGAUAAGAUCGGAGGCUUUCGAGGCUGCGAUGUGGCUCAUCCGUGGCCAAGAACACGAGUAUGCUGGGCGUACUCCCUUACACUGGGCGUACUCCGCAUUUUCAAACUUCAAAAAUUUGUAACUUUCGCAUACGAGCUCCAUUUUUGAUGAUCUUUAUAUCCACGUGUAGGUGAGACUAUGCUUUACAAAUGCAUUUAGACUCCGUCGGCUAAUUUUGACUUUAUUUUUAUUAUAUUAUUUUUAGUAGGCCGGGACAGGAAUACUCCGUUAGAAAUUCAUAACUUCUUCAUCUGACGUCCAUUUUCAUUUGUCUUUCUUCCGUUACACUACUAUUGACGAUAUCUUCGAUUCUCGUUUAGAUUGUUUCGGCUAGAAAUCACUCGAUCUCAAAUCCGAACUUCGGAUUGCAUACUGUUAAGCUGAAACUUAGAAAAAUCAUAACUUCCUCAUACGAAGUCAGAUUUGGACGUUCUUUUUAUGCACGCUCUCAGUUUAACGAACUCUACGACUUUUAUUUAGAUCACUAAGGCCAAAUAUCGCUCUAUCGUAAAUUCACUAUUUACUUCAUGCAGUGUCGUACCGGUUUUGUCGCGAAACUUUGACAGGUCAUAACUUCUUCGUUAUAACUCGGAUUUCAGCAUUCUUUAUACAUUCGGAAACCUUGUCACGACUACUGCAACUUCCUUCAUAGCUAUUGGGUUUAUCUAACAUUUUAUUUUAUCGCUUAUUUUUAUCCUUAAUUCAUUUAAGUCACACAAUUAAGCAUAAAACACAUAAUACUCAAAUCAUAUAUUUUUAUUAUUAUUUCAAAAUGGGUUACGAAGGUUAACCUAGACUAUUACAUCAACAUUAAUGCCUAGCCUAGAAACACGGGCGUUACAGAUAGUUUUGUGAUUUAAGGCCAGUGGGCCUUAAUCCGAGUAUGAGAAGGUUUUGAGGCUUUGAAAGAGAAAGGUUUAGACCCUUUUGGGAUGUGGGUAAGGUAGGUUGUGUGAUAAAAGAGGUUGGUUUGUGCUUUAGAGCCCAAAUGUAUUGCUAAAGGUGUUGGUUCGGGCUUUUCAUGAAUUUUGGAUCUGAGUUUAAGUGGGCUUCAGGAGGAAUAAAGUUGAUAGAAGUGUAGGGCUUCUUGUUACCUUUUCUUGGAUAUAAGGAUCGUCAAAAACAGAUUUAUAAAGAAGAAGUUAUGGCCUUCAGAAGUUUUGUGGUUUCAGGCUUAGCCGAGUACGCUGGGCGUACACAAAGCAUACACUGGGCGUACUAGUGAAAAAGGAAGUACGCUGGGCGUACUGACCAAGGGUGGUCGUGAAUGUUCUUUGGAGUAUGCUGGGCGUUUAGUGAUUGAUAUCUUAGAGGAGCUGGUAAAGUAAAGACAGAUCAGACCUGAACCGUAUUUUAGGGUCUUGGACCCUGUUUAAGCUCCUUAUCUCAUAACCUAACCCUAAUACCUUCAGCCUCCAUCCCUCUAAACCCUUGAAAUCGAUCCUAAGCCUCCAUUUGAGUGAUUCUUGAGAAUUUUGAUGAUUUAGUGAGUUUUUGGUGCAUAUUGUGGAAGAAGGAGUUCCUCGAGGAAGCAUUGCUUGGCUUGGAGCUUGUGGAUCCAAGCCCUAAUCAGGUUGAUCUAGCUCUAGAAAGCAUAAAGUUUGAAUCUUGGUGGCUUUCUCAUGCGGAUCUAGUGGGGUGAUGAAUUGUUAUGUUUGGCUUUGGAAAAAGAAGGAGCUUUGAAAGAGAAUAGCUUGAGCAUUUUGCUUUUGGAUCUAUGCUCUUCUCUUGUUGGUCCAUCCAGAGGUAUCAAGCUCUAAACUUGCUUAUUGUUGUGCUAUUUUUUGUUUUGGGUCCAUUUUAGGGUUUUUGGUCUCAAAGCUUGAAGCUUUAUGAGUUGUUGAACUCCAGAACCUAAUAUAUGUCCCUUUAAGUGUUUUUAUUGAAGAGGAUUCAUAAAAAUGAGGCCUUGGACGUUAGAACCACCUCAUGCAUAAGAUAUGAGCAUUUUUCGAAGUAAAGAGUAAGAGUUUUUGUGUUUGGGACUUCAUCUGCCAUGCAAAUGCUUAAAGUCACGAGUUUUAUUGUGUAUGAGCCUUUAUGGAGACCAGAUCUAGAGUAUAGCCAUGGUCUUAACAGAUUAAGACCAAGGGAGUGGAGAUAGCAAUCCUGGACGUACGCUGAGCGUAAUUCUAGUACACCCCAUGUACUGACGAAGUGUCCUCGAUGGCCAAUCUGAAUUCAUGAGUACACUGAGCGUACCCAGGGAGGUAUGCCCCGCGUAACCUCACUGUGGACUUUUGGGCUAAGUCUCAUUUUGGGCCUUGAGUGUUGGGCCUGGAGUUUGGGACUGGUUGCAAUAGAGUUUUAGACCAGAGGAAUAUGUAUAUAUAUAUANNNNNNNNNNNNNNNNNNNNNNNNNNNNNNNNNNNNNNNNNNNNNNNNNNNNNNNNNNNNNNNNNNNNNNNNNNNNNNNNNNNNNNNNNNNNNNNNNNNNNNNNNNNNNNNNNNNNNNNNNNNNNNNNNNNNNNNNNNNNNNNNNNNNNNNNNNNNNNNNNNNNNNNNNNNNNNNNNNNNNNNNNNNNNNNNNNNNNNNNNNNNNNNNNNNNNNNNNNNNNNNNNNNNNNNNNGCUGGUGCGCAACAACAACAUUUUUAGGGGUUGUUCAUCAUCCGAGGUGAGUCUUCUCACUAUACUUUACCAAGAGUGGUAAUUAUGUGUGACCAGAGGGUCUUAUGUGCUUGCUUGAGUUAUGAGAUACAUAGAACGAAUUGGAGGGUCCAACGAACUAUGAGACUGGAUGGUCCUCACUUAGACCGCACCGGAGGGUCCAACGAGCAGUGAGACCCGAGGGUCCUCACUGAGACCAGACCAUAGGGUCCAACGAGUUGUGGGACUAGAGGGUCCCACUGAGACACAUUGACCGUAGGGUCUUACCGACCUAUAGCCUCGAGUGGCUAAUUAUUUGUGCGUGAUAUUUUGGGGAACUCACUAAGCUUCGUGCUUAGCGUGUUAUGUGAUAUGCGUUUCAGGAUUUUUCAGGAUCGUGGGAAGGCACCGACUUGAUUGUACACACCAGAGUAGGAGUUAUAUUUUUAGUAUCCUGGAGUACGAAUCAAACAAUUAUGGAGUUAUGUUUUGUAAAUUAAAUCAAUGAGAUUUUUGUGAAAUGUGUUACGAGAAUUAUAUGAUUUUAAAAUGAAAAUUUUGUUUGAAAAUUUACGCUGUUACACAAAUACUCUAAUAUAUCCAGGCCCUAGGCUAAGUAGGGCCCAAAUGGAUCAAAGGCCUAAUGAAAGCCCAAAACUCACUGAAAGUGUACGCCCAACAUACAUCAUCAAUACACUUAACGUACUGAGUUCUUUGGAGGUACGCACAAUGUAUAAACUAGUACGCUUAACGUAUAAGCUACUUUGCACAAAAAGCCAUUAAGUUCUUAAUUCAUGAAGCCACUUCGUCUGAUUCCAGAUCUUGGUCAUCUUAAAGGUCCUAGGGCAUAAAGUUGGUAACUUUAUGCCUUUGCAUGCCAUAUGGGAACCCAACACCUCAUUUUAUCCAUUAAGACUCCCUUUAAGAUCUUAAACUCAUGCAUGGUGCCAUAACAACCAUCAAGUUAGAAUUUUUAUGCUUUUACCAUGCCAAAGGAACUUAGAUCUAACAUUUCUAACCUCUGGAGUUGCUCAAACUCACAAAAAUGAUCCAUGGACCAAAAAUGGACUUAUUACCAAACCCUAACUCAAACUAGCAAAAGGACAAGCAAGGUCUGGACUUUUUACCUCCAAAAGUUCCGCAAGAUGAAGUAGAUGCAGGAUCUAGAAGCUCAACCAUGUCCAAGACUUGAUCACCACCUUCUCCUUCUUGCAAACACACUAAAAUGGCCACCAAAAUCACUUUUAAGCUCAAGAAUCACACUCACUUGCAAACUAGGGUUUAGGUACGAUAAGAGGCAAUAAAAGCUGUUUAGGUUAGGUCCAAAUGGCAUAAGAGUGUUAAAAUAGGGUUCAUGUGUGACAUCCCCUAAUUUCUCGGCCAGAAAAGACCGAUUUAAUUUAUGCUUUUUAAAAUAAAAUCAGAGAAAUCUUUUUAAAAGAUGUUGCGGAAUUUGUUCCCAAAACAAAACAUGAUAAAAAUCUAUCAAACCUUCUUUAAGAAAUGUAUCGUUUCAUUUCAUAUCAAAACCUCGGGAUGUCAUGUUCCGAUACAGAUCAAAAGCAUAAACAAGACAUUAUAAGCCUUUCAACACUUAUUUAUAACUACUGACCUAUAAUCCAAAAAUCCCUCAUCGUCCUCCGACUAUGCUCGGGGUCCACUACCUGUAACAUAAAAAGCUGAGUGGGUUAGGCUUGGGAGCUUGGUGAGCAUAUAGGGUUUUCAACCCACAAUAAUAAUAAACUUACUAAGUUCAUCAAUCAACAAUAACCCUGAUUACCCGUUCCUGUUAUCCUUACUUUACGUCCCUAAACACUUAUCACAAGGGACCUUGCCUAAAGAAUAUUAUCGGGAUGGACACUACUACUAAGGGGUUUCCUCAGCCAUACAUGUCCUAAAGGCAACUAUGAGGGGGAUGGAGUACAACGAAUGAACACUCUUAGUUCAUUAACACCUACAGGUUGCGGGCCUGCUAAUGUUUCCCACUCGACUGUCUAGAAAGUCCGUGGUUGUCAUCCAAACUCCGCUAGAUGACUGGAUCUCAAAACACAUCGAGGCCUCUCAUCAAUUUUAUUUUAUCACACAUCACAAUCUACCCAUGUUCUACCCAACAUAUUUGUAGAUAAAAAUACUUAUACAGUUUAAAACUUGUAUAAAACAUCAACACAACAAUCACCUCAAAUAAAUAAUUAAUAUAUUUACACAUAGCACGUAUUAUAAGGUAAAUACUUCAUAUCUAUGUGUAAAAUGAAAGUGACUAUACACUCACAUGAUUUGNUGAUUUGAUGAUAAUCGAGCAACAAUUCGUUGCUUAAAACGAUCGUUUCUAAUAAAACCGAGAGUUUUAUUGAGAAACCGGGCUCUACAAUGGUCGGGCUUCGAAACCGACAAGAUAAAUUUUCCGGGCUUCUCGGGCACUUCGUGGAGUAUUCCGGGCUUUGGAAUAAGUACCGGGGCUUCAUGGGAUUCUAAGAUGAAGAAAAUAAGAAGAAAGGGGUGAAAGAUGGCAAAAUCUCAAAAGUAUCCGAAAAGGCUCGCAGGAGGCUUCUAUUUAUAGGAGUCUGAAGUCGGCUCCGGGGGUGGGGUCCGCAGGCGAAGGUGCGCAGAUGGCAGCACGUGCGAGGGCCUCGGUGGCGGUUGCUGAUUGGACCACGCUUCUGAUGCGAGGGGUUGCGACAAGAGGCGGAUUCAGAAGCGAGGCGCGUCAGAUAACUAUUGGAACUCAGCUUCGGUUGAAUCAGAAGAGCACACGGAGCAACACGGGGCAGUCUCGCAUGCGAGGUGACUCAUCAAAAUUUCGGACACGUGGCACAUGCGAGGCGAGGACACGUGGAAAAAGUGUGACUAUGCGAAUUUUCUCGAUUUUUGUGCAAAAACUUCUAAAAUCCAUAACUUUCGCAUAUGAGCUCCAUUUUUGACGUUCUUUAUAUGCACGCGUAGGUAAAAUUACGCUCUACAAUUUUUGUUUAGACUUGGUCGACUAAUUUUGACUUUAAUUUUUAUAUUAUUAUUUUUAACAGACCAGGACAGGAAAUCCGUUAAAAAUUGAUAACUUCUUCAUCCGUCGUCCAUUUUCGUCAGACUUUUUACCGUUGUGCUACUAAUGAAGAGACCUUCAAUUCUCGUUUAGGUUGUGUCGGCUAAAAAUAAUUCGAUCUAAAAUUCGAGUUUUUAGCUGUCUACUGCUAAGCUGAAACUUCGAAAGAUCAUAACUUCCUCAUACGAAGUCAGAGUUGGGCGUUCUUUUUAUCGAACUUCUCGGUUUAACGAAUACUAUGACUUUCGUUUAGAUCACUAAGGCUAAAAAGUAGUUUAUCAAAAACUCACUUUUUAGGACAUUCAGCAAUGUGCCGGUUUUGUCGCGAAACUUCGACAUGCCAUAACUUCUUCGUUACAACUCGGAUUUUGGUAUUCUUUAUAUCCCCAAAAUCCUUGUUUCGACCACUACAACUUUAUGUAAAGAUAUCGAGCUUAUCUCACACUUUAAUUUUGACGCUUAUUUUUAUUCUUAAUUAAUUAAACCCUAAUAAUUAAGCAUAAAACACAUAAUUCACAUAAUAUUCACAUAAUUCCUUUUCAUUUCUUCGAAAUGAGUUAGAAAGGUUAACCUAGACUAUCACCUAAAUAUAAAUUCCUAGGCUAGAAACACGAGUGUUACAAUUCUCUCCCCUUAGGAUGAUUCCGUCCCCGAAAUCAUAUAUCACCAAACAAAUGCGGGUAGCGACUCAUCAUGUCACUCUUCGUUUCCCAAGUGAGAUUUGGCCCACUCGUAUGUUUCCAACGCACAAGCACUAAAUCGACCAUCUUGCGUCGCAACUUCUUAGUCUUACGGUCAACGAUUACCUCAGGUUCUUCAAUCAACCUCUUGUUUUCAUCCAACCUUAACUCAGAAAUCGGAAUUAUGUCGGGCACAUCUCCCGUGAACUUUCUUAAAUAACACACAUGAAAGGUCUUAUGAAUACCCUCCAGUUCUUCCGGUAAUUCUAGCUUGUAAGCUUGAUUCCUGAUCCUCUAAAGAACUUUAAAUGGUCCAAUAAACCUUGGACUCAAUUUUCCCCUUUUACCAAAUCUUAUAAGUCCCUUCCACGGCGAGACUUUAAGAAAAACCGAAUCUCCAACUUCAAAGGUUAUCGAUUGUCUUUUCUUGUUAGCAUAACUCUUUGUCGAUCUUGAGUAGCUAACAUUCUUUCCCUUAUCACUUUCAACUUUUCAGCAGUCUGAUGGACUAUUUCAGGUCCCAUAAACUGCUUUUCCCCAGCUUCCAGCCAACAUGAUGGCGUUCGACACUUUUCCCCAUACAAAGCGUGAUAAGAUGUCAUCUUAAUGCUUGAGUGGAAACUAUUAUUAUAGGAUAAUUCUACUAGAGGUAAGUGUUCAUCCUAGUUACAUUGGAAUUCUAGGGUACAUGCUCUCAACAUAUCCUCCAAUGUUUGAAUCGUUUGUUCGCUCUGACCAUCUGUUUGUGGAUGGUAAGCUGUACUCAAACACAACUUGGUACCCAAUUACUCUUGUAGACUCCUCCAAAAUCUUGAGGUAAAACGGCUGUCACGAUCAGAUACAAUCGUUAAUGGAACACCAUGAAGCCUCACAAUUUCCUUCAUGUAAGAAUUCGCAAGUUUAUCCAUAGACCAUUUCUCGUUGGCUGCUAUGAAAUGUGCACUCUUAGUGAAGCGAUCAACGACCACCCAAAUCAUGUCGUGACCGUUCCUUGUUUUGGACAGUUUAGUCACAAAAUCUAUGGUGAUGUCUUCCCAUUUACCCAUGGGUACGGGUAAAGGUUCUAAACUCCCAUACAGUUUCUGAUGUUGUGCCUUAACCCUAGCACAAGUUACACACUCGGCUACAUACUUAGCAACAUCGAGCUUCAUCAUCGGCCACCAAUAAUAGGGCUUUAGAUCCCUAUACAUUUUUGUACUGCUGGGAUGAAUCGAGUAUAUAGUCUUGUGAGCUUCUUCCAUCAGAAGAUCUCUUACUCCACUCGUCUUAGGUACCCAAAUCCUAUCUUGGAAUACCUUCAACCCUUGGUUGUUUGUACCGAAUGCUAACGUUUUGCCCAAAUGUUCUUCCUUCCGGUCAUUUUUCUCUGAAGCUUCCUCUUGAGAUUUCUUUAUACUUUCCACAAUUGUCGAGACAAAUUCAAUUUUCAACACUCGUGGCCUUUUGUUUUCAAGGUUUACCUUCCGACUGAGAGCAUCAGCAACAACAUUUGCUUUACCAGGGUGGUAAAGUAUCUCACAGUCAUAGUCCUUGAGUAACUCUAGCUAGUGUCGUUGCCUCAUGUUUAAUUCCUUCUGAUUAAAGAGAUAUUGAAGACUCUUAUGAUCAGUGAAAAGUUUACACUUAGUACCAUAAAGAUGAUGCCUUCAUAUAUUUAAGGCGAAUACUACAGCUGCCAACUCCAGAUCAUGAGUGGGGUAGUUCUUUUCAUGCUCUUUCAAUUGCCUCAAUGCACACACUAUCACUUUAUCUCUUUGGGUCAGAACAAAACCUAACCCAACUCCAGAGGCAUCACUUUAAACUGUGAAGUCAUCAACCCCGUCAGGUGACAAAAGAGUCGGUGCUUCACACGACGUCUUCUUUAACUUCUCAAAGCUUCCUAUGUUUCUCAUUCAAAGUAUAGACAACUCCUUUGUGGGUCAAAGCUGUCAAUGGAGUCGCGAUUGAAGAAAAGCCUUGGAUAAAUCAGCGAUAAUAUCUAGCUAAUCCUAAAAAGCUUCAUAUCUUCAUAGGACCUUCAAUUGUAACCUUCGAGUUACAAAAUAAAUCCUUAUUGAGGACUCCUUCUUCUUCUUGGAAUAAGUACUUUCCUUCAUUUAUUGUAAUAGACCGAUGGGUCAUGUUCUAAUGAUCUCUCAUUGCAUACUGCACUAAUUAGACUCAGAUCUCCUAGGGACAAAUUUCAAAACAAAUUAUACCUUCCUUCAUGUUCUAAUGUGAUACAAUCACAGUUCGACAUAUAGCAUUUCUAACUACCAACUUCUUUAACAAUGAGUGCGAUACUUCUAUUGAUCACUUUGAUCAUCUUUCACUUCAAUCUUCUAGCUUAAGUCAAAUGUUACAUCAAAAUUGGUUCUCUAAACCACAUAAUAAACUCAUCGUAGUCGGACUCGAUUCGAUAUGACCUCUAAGGUCGGAAUAACAAUCAUCUUCUUAGUCAUUACCGAAAUGAUGGUAACGACAGACUAGAACAAGACGGAAUCAAAUAAUAGCUCCUUGGUAACCUUGUGACUUUCCCUGAUCCAAGCGUGAGUCCUAUGCUUCCAGUAGUAUAGAUCUCUACUACUAUUCACACCUACUCAUACUCGUCCCAAGUACUGUCUUGCAGUCCCCAAGUCCUAAAAGCACAAAACAAUUUAACACAUACGAAUGUGUCCAAUUAAUCAUAAAAUUUUCCUAGACUCUACUAGGACUUCUUCCAUGCAUAUCUUCAAUGAUCAACUCUACUUCAACUUGGUUGGUGAUGGAAAUUCCGGACGAUGGGACAACUUUAAGAAUUACACCAAUCGUUCCAUUCAUCAAAUGACAAAACAAGGGUUUAUUUUAUUUCCUUGAAAUGAUUACACAAAGGUUCAAGUUUACCCUAUACUAUGCCUCUCAUAGGCUAAACCACUUGUUACUAUUCACAUUACUACUUCGUAACUUGAUCUUCGGGUAUCAAGUCUUUACUUCUACUUCCUAGCGUUAAUAAUCGCUUCGUCAAGGAUAUCCUGAAAUUCCUUUGGCGUUGGUGGUGCACCUGGCCUUGUUACUUCAUUGUUCUUCGGAUAGUUCUUAGAAAUAUGGCCUUCUUCUUUACAUACAUAAUACACCUCCUUGGGAAUCAUACACUUAUUAGCGUAAUGCCCUAUUUCUCCACACCUAAAGCACUUCACCUUCCAGUCACAAUUCCCAGAGUAUUUAUUUUUGCACUUUUCGCACCAUUUUCCUUUACCUUUUCUUUUGCUAGACUUUGAGGAUAUGUUGCUCUUGUUGGGCCUUGAAGACCCCUCAAAUUUCCUCUUCUUGCCAACUUCAACUUUGUUGGCGGUUCUGUCAUUGAUCAUUUCUUCAAUAGACUUAGCAACCCUAAUAGUUGCCUCAAGAACAGAUGCCUGACAUACUGGCACAGUAAGUUCAUCCUUACUUUGUUGAAGUAAACGUUUUGUUUCUUCCAUUUGUUCACCUAACAUCUUACGCACCAUUGCCUGCACCCCAGUCAUUGCGAUUGGCUCAGGCUGUGGAUUAUCACUUUCGAACCCACUUUGAGUACUCGCCAUUUCGAUCUAUACACCAAUCGUAGGUGAAUUUAGAUCUUCACUUUCGUUAGACGUUAAGUCUUUGUUAUCACUCCGAAACGUUUAUAUGUUAGUUCCAAUAUCGUAGUCAUACAUUUAGAAUCCUACACACAUAAGGUUUCCAGAUCCAGUCGGCAACAGACCAUAGAUCCGAACAAAUAAUAGCAUCAUUAUAGCUAUAACACAAAACAUUUAGCACAUAAAAGCAUUUUAGGCAUCCUUCCUAAAAUAAACUAGUGCUAGUGUCUAAAUUAUGGCCGGGAAAUUAGGGGAUGGACACUACUGCUAAGGGGUUUCCUCAGCCAUACAUGUCCUAAAGGCAACCAUGAGGGGGAUGGAGUAUAGUGAAUGAACACUCUUAGUUCAUUAACACCUACAGGUUGCGGGCUGCUAAUGUUUCCCACUGGACUGUCUAGAAAGUCCGUGGUUGUCAUCCAAACUCCGCUAGAUUACUGGAUCUCAAAACACAUCGAGGCCUCUCAUCACUUUUAUUUUAUCACACAUCACUAUCUACCCAUGUUUUACCCAACAUAUUUGUAGAUAAAAAUACAUAUACAGUUUAAAACUUGUAUAAAACGUCAAUUCAACAGUCACCUAAGUUAAACAAUUAAUAUAAUUACACGUAGCACGUAUAUCAUGUAAAAUACUUCAUAUCUAGGUGUAAGAUGAAGGUGACUAUACACUCACAUGAUUUGAUGAUAAUCGGGAAACAAUUCGUUGAUUAAAACGACCGUUUCUAAUAAAACCGAGAGUUUUAUUGAGAAACCGGGCUCUGCAAAGGUCGAGCUUCGAAACCAGAAAGAUAAAUUUUCCGGGCUUCUCGGGCACUUCAUGGAGUAUUCCGGUCUUUGGAAUAAGUACCGGGGCUUCGGGGGAUUCUAAGAUGAAGAAAAUAUGAAGAAAGGGGUGAAAGAUGGCAAAAUCUCAAAAGUAUCCGAGAAGGCUCGCAUGAGGCUUCUAUUUAUAGGAGUCUGAAGUCAGCUACGGUGGUGGGGUCCACAGGCGAAGGUGCGAAGAUGGCAGCAUGUGCGAGGGCCUCGGUGGCGGUUGCUAAUUGGACCGUGCUUCUGAUGCGAGGGGUUGUGACAAGAGGCAAAUUCAGAAUCGAGGCGCGUCAGAUAGCUAUUGGACCUCAACUUCGGUCGAAUCAGAAGAGGACAUGGAGCGACACGGGGCAGUCUCACAUGCGAGGUGACUCAUCAGAAUUUCGGACACGUGGCACAUGCGAGGCGAGGACACGUGGCAAAAGCGUGACUAUGCGAAUUUUCUCGAUUUUUGGCAAAAACUUCUAAAAUCCAUAACUUUCGCAUACGAGCUCCAUUUUUGACAUUCUUUAUAUGCACGCGUAGGUAAAAUUACACUCUACAAUUUUCGUUUAGACUUCGUCGGCUAAUUUUGACUUUAAUUUUUAUAUUAUUAUUUUUAAUAGACCGGGACAGGAAAUCCGUUAAAAAUUCAUAACUUCUUCAUCCGACGUUCGUUUUCAUCAGACUUUUUACCGUUGUGCUACUAAUGACGAGACCUUCAAUUCUCGUUUAGGUUGUGUCGGCUAAAAAUAAAUCGAUCUAAAAUUCGAGUUUUUAGCUGUCUACUGCUAAGCUGAAACUUCGAAAGAUAAUAACUUCCUCAUACGAAGUCAGAUUUGGGCGUUCUUUUUAUCGAACUUGUCGGUUUAACGAAUACUAUGACUUUCGUUUAGAUCACUAAGGCUAAAAAGUAGUUUAUCAAAAACUCACUUUUUACGACAUUCAGCACCGUGCCUGUUUUGUCGCGAAACUUCCACAUGUCAUAACUUCUUCGUUAUAACUUCGAUUUUGGUAUUCUUUAUAUCCCCGAAAUCCUUGUUUCGACCACUACAACUUUAUGUAAAGCUAUCGGGCUUAUCUCACACUUUAAUUUUGACACUUAUUUUUAUUCAUAAUUAAUUAAACCCUAAUAAUUAAGAAUAAAACACAUAAUUCACAUAAUAUUCACAUAAUUCCUUUUCAUUUCUUCAAAAUGAGUUACAAAGGUUAACCCAUACUAUCACCUAAAUAUAAAUGCCUAGGCUAGAAACACGAGUGUUACAUCAUGCCCUAAAGUUAGGGUUUUUGUCUUAGGCCACGUAUGCCCUGUGAUCGCCUUAGUACGCCCCGCGUACAUGGUGCAUGUCCGUGUCCAAACCACCCUAGUAUGCUAAGCGUACACAAUUGUACGCUUAACAUACGUAUGGACCUCCUUUGUAAAUAAGUUUCUGAUGAGAUUAAAACUUUUAAAUCUAAGAAGAUCGAUUAGAUCUCAAACAGGCAAAUAAUAUAAAACUGUAAGAACACGAAAAUAUAAACGAGACAAGUGUGAAUCAAACGAGUCGAAUGAUUAAAACAAAAUCCUCAGAAGAGCUCGAUUAAGAACAUCAACUGUAGAGGAUUGGAAGGUUACAAGAACGAUUAAAGAAACCUGUAAUGCUAUCGUUAAGCUCUAGAAUAAUUGCUAAAAUCGUUAUCAAUCCUUAACCUAAUAUGCAUGCAAGCAUAUACUUAUAUAUAAAACAUAAAAGGCUCUCGGUUGGACAGGCCCAAACCAGAGUACAAAAUAACUAUACUAUCGAGCCCAAAAGACGCAAUCUUCAAAAUAAUCUUCAGCCCAACAAUCUCCCCCUUUGCGUCAAUUUGGAGCGAGACCUUCACUUGUUACUUGGGCCAGCAGCUGAAGCAGGUACCUUCUUCUUCACGAUGCUAAACAUACAUUUGGUGAUGGAGAGAAUGGUCUGUCAAAACCGGAUGUACCAAUUGAUCAUGUCGUUGAAGUACUUGAUGUCAUCAGCCGAGUUCUCUUUACACCGUUUGAUAAUCGAUAACACAUGCUCCAAACAAGCUGUGGUGUAAAGGUGUUUGUCAGCUAAAGCGAAGAGACAUUUCUGUCCUUCCGCUCUAGUGAACAUAACCGAGUUGCGUCUCGGGUCGAUCUUGCCCAUUUGCAUUUUGUUGAGAUCACUGGCCGAUCCCACAGGAGCUAUCUUCGGUUUCUUCUUGAAGACUGUGGCGACCUCCUGAUCCAUUAGGGCAACCUCCAUGAUGUAGCAGGCUAACAUCCUUUUGACAUGGUCUAUAAUGGGACCAUAUUUGGCUUCAUCAGUCAAAAGGAUAUUAUACAGGACACUCCAAUCAUGAGGAUUUAAAUUCGGUAGAUCUGCCAGGGAGAUAAGAUGAGCAGUUCUUGCAGAUCCCCGAAUAAGCUUGAACCGAACGUUUGUGAACCUCCCUUUGGCGUAAGCCUUUAGCACCCGGACGUUCACAAUCUUCUGGGCGCUCCAAGUAAGGUAUUAAGGACGAGCAACCGCCAGAUAGAAGUCAAUGAGCUCCCUGUCAAGCUCAGCAUUCGGAUGAGGGACUUCAAAGAUGUUAGAGAAGGCGUGGAAGAUGAACGCCUUUCGAGUCAACGGCAUGUCGAACUGCGAGUCGACAGUAUUGUUGCAGUCGAACAAGAUAACCGGCUCGAGCCAUAAUAUGAUGGGAGUUUCUAUGGCCUCUUUAAUCAUACGCUCCCUGGUCCAGGCAGGGAAGAGAGUCUUCCGGCUCUCAAGGAGAUCGUGGGCUUCCUUUUGCUUGCGUUCGGCUUCUUCAGCCUCUCGCGCCACACGACUGGCAUCAUCGUCAGCAUUGCGACUGUUCUUUCGUUUUAACAUGUCAGCAAUGGUCUCCCUGUCUUCAUCUUCAUCUUCAUCUUCUUCCUCAACUAUGUUUUUGCCUUUGUUCUUCACACCCGAACCCGAAGCUUGACCAGUCUGAGGUGGUUCGGUUGUGUGAGUAGCUUUGGAGGAAGGAGGUGGUUUCGAUCCUUUCUUCUCAUCUCCCCCUUGUUUCGGAAUGGACANNNNNNNNNNNNNNNNNNNNNNNNNNNNNNNNNNNNNNNNNNNNNNNNNNNNNNNNNNNNNNNNNNNNNNNNNNNNNNNNNNNNNNNNNNNNNNNNNNNNNNNNNNNNNNNNNNNNNNNNNNNNNNNNNNNNNNNNNNNNNNNNNNNNNNNNNNNNNNNNNNNNNNNNNNNNNNNNNNNNNNNNNNNNNNNNNNNNNNNNNNNNNNNNNNNNNNNNNNNNNNNNNNNNNNNNNNNNNNNNNNNNNNNNNNNNNNNNNNNNNNNNNNNNNNNNNNNNNNNNNNNNNNNNNNNNNNNNNNNNNNNNNNNNNNNNNNNNNNNNNNNNNNNNNNNNNNNNNNNNNNNNNNNNNNNNNNNNNNNNNNNNNNNNNNNNNNNNNNNNNNNNNNNNNNNNNNNNNNNNNNNNNNNNNNNNNNNNNNNNNNNNNNNNNNNNNNNNNNNNNNNNNNNNNNNNNNNNNNNNNNNNNNNNNNNNNNNNNNNNNNNNNNNNNNNNNNNNNNNNNNNNNNNNNNNNNNNNNNNNNAGCUCCUCUCUUUGCCGUUGCUACAGCCGCUGUAACUGUCGCGGCAGCCGUCUCUGCGAGAGCCGCAUAUCGCUCAUCAAAAUACUCAACCAUGGCGGUCCUGAUCGACCCAAACAAUUCUGGCGACUCAGCCCGUAACAAUGCAGCAACCUCAUCGGCGUCGAGUCCAGUCGCGAGAAGUAGAUCAACCUUCUCAUGAAGCUCUUUGAGAUUCUUCUUUGUCACUGGAGCAUCAUCCUCCUCGUCACUCUGAACUUGAAACGGACUAUAGUAGACCGAAUCAAAGUUCAUGUGUUCACCACCAAGGUAAGGGUUUUCGCCAUCGGAGGCAUUUUCUGGAGAUGGAGGGGGUGGUGAAGCUGGGGGUGUUGUGGUUGGGGUAUGGUUAGGUUGAGUAUUGGGUGGUGGUUGAGUGUGGGUAGGUUCGAAAAUUUCGAUGCAUCGGAGACGAUGAUCUUCUUGGUAUGAAACGUACCAACAGAAGACAUCGAUGCACCGUCGGCAGUGGGGAUGUCGAACUUGUCCAUCGCCCAUUUUGUAAUUAAGAUCCAGAACCGGGCCAACGACACCUCAGAGUGUCGGGAUGAUGAAGAAAGGCUCUGGAUGAGCUGUUGCCAUAGGACCAACCCAUAGUCCAGGUUAAUCCCGUUGUAGACCCCGUACAUUAUUGACAGGAAGAGACGACUNUAAGCCGUUCCACUGAGGCGGCAGGCAGGACUUUUUGAAUUUAGCGACAGAGGUGAGGACCUCUGUGUACCCCAUGUUGUAAAACAUGCUAAAUAGAUGCCCAACCGGAAUCGUCUCCGGAUUUAUUCUCGAUGGGUCAACAGCCAACCCAAGCAUGGUGCAGAAACGCUGUCGAGAAACAGAUAUCUUGUGUUCAGCAAUCUCGAAGAACACCCGGUCAACUGCCUUGUCAAAAUAAGCAGUCGCGUAAACCUGCGAUAGGGCCACCAUGGGCACAGACUCGAUCCUGGAGAGAGCGGUGGCGAUUUGGGAGUACUUCAGGCACUCGAUGAUCGGCGACAUGUAGGAGUCGUACGCCAGAGGAUUGAGAUCGAUCACCAGGCAUUGUUGCGGACGAAUGGGAAGGAUUUGUGAUGUAGCAUGGACGGAAGAAGAUUCUGCCAUUGUUGAAGGUAGUCGAAGAAGAAGAUGAACAGUGAAGCUUUUGGGAGGUUUUUGCUCUCUAGAAAAUCCGGAAGCAGUAAAAAGGUAAAUGGUGUUGUAGACUGCCUUUUAUAGUGAGGGAUUGGAGAGAGAAAAAUCGUUUCAUAUCUUCUAUGCGAUGAUCACGUAGGAGAGAUAGUGUCAGAUUCCUAGGAUCACGCUACCCAACAAGCGCCGUUUCAGAAGAAAAACGGUUCAAAUCCACACGCGCCUUUAAAUGCCAGAAGGAUGUCGCUUGGAAUUCGCACACGCGUCCUUAAUGUCAGUAAAAGUAAGGCCGUUUCAAAUUCACACUCGCCCACUUUUUACCGUCGUUUGAAUUUUAAUCCUUUUAACUCCCGCCGAGUCAGCAACCUUUUUGUCUUAUCUUUUUAAAUGACAACUUUUGAAUUAAAUACCCACGUGGAUUGUUUUUGACCACAACUUUAUAAUUAACCACCAAGUAAUCAUACAGCCUGUAAAAAUUAGUAACGGAUGUUCGGAAAAUCAAGGAUUUUCAUGCAAAGAGUGUAAAAGAAAAAGAAAUAAAGCAACUCUUUUAAGGAUUUUCUGUGAUGUCAAUAAUGACACGAAACUGAUGAUCCCGGGCACGAGUCUCUUCCUUCAAGGUCAAAAGAGACCUUAAAGUGUUAGUGUGGAAUCCCGUUGAAUUACGAUCAAACAUUUAUUAAGAAAUGUUGAAAGGCUUCUUUUAAUUAUGUUAAAUAAGGGUGGCUUUCGCUUUGAUUCAUCAAUUCUAUUCUUGAAAUAAGAAAGAAAGUGAACAAAGUACUUGUGAGACCGGUGUAGCCUGUUGAACAAGUAGGUAGGAAUUUAUUUUAAAUUGGCUUGGAAAAAUAUAAAAUCUCAAAAAAAAAAAAAUGAAAACCUGGAUCCCAAGGGAAGAAAUGUUAUGGUGUUUUAACAAUUUCAUAGGAAUCACACAAAAGAAAAAUUGAGAUUUCAUGAGGGUACAUUCGUCAAUACUUUGGUGAAAACUUGAGCAAAUUAAUUGUUCACCGUCAAUUCAUUAGGUGUUGAAUUUUGGGUUUCACUCAGCUCGUAGUGACAUGAAACUAAGAUCAUAAACACAGAUGUUGUGUAACCAUAAACCUCAGUGGUAAUUUCUGAGAGUCUCAAGGGUUACGUUGAUGAAACGAAUGUAAUGGAGAAAUGUAAUGGAGAUGGUGUAAGAAAUUAAAGUACCUCUGCUGCGAAAAUAAGGACCAAGCAGAAAACUCUUAUCUCAUGUGAGAAGAGAGUGAGGUAGCUCACGAUUAGAAUAAAUGUGAUAGCCUAAUUGGGAAGACAAGGUUUGUUUAUACCAAGUCAUUAAGGCUAUUAUUCAGAAUCUUAUGAGGCUUGGGACACAUACAGCAGCAUGCUUCUAGGGACACUUAAGUAAUCCAACAAUUAUAUCCCCAUAAACGAACGAACACAUAAAUAAAAUAAGAAAAUAUUUUUGGAGUUUUUGAUAUAUAUAAAAAAAUUAAAAGAAAAGAAAAUAAUAAAAAAAAAAUUAAGCAAGAGAAAAAAUAAGACUUAGAAAGAGUAAAAAAAAACUUUGGAAAAAUUUGGUAACCGAACCCGAACGUUCGGUUGGUUUCGGUUGAGAAAAAUUUGAAAAACCGAACCCGAGCGUUCGGUUGGUUUCGGUUCGGGAAAAUUUUGAAAAACCGAACCCGAGCGUUCGGUUGGUUUCGGUUCAAGAAAAUUUUGAAAAACCGAACCCGAGCGUUCGGUUGGUUUCGGUUCAAGAAAAUUUUGAAAAACCGAACCCGAGCGUUCGGUUGGUUUCGGUUCCAGAAAAUUUUGAAAAACCGAACCCGAGCGUUCGGUUGGUUUCGGUUCAGGAAAAUUUUGAAAAACCGAACCCGAGCGUUCGGUUGGUUUCGGUUCAAGAAAAUUUUGAAAAACCGAACCCGAGCGUUCGGUUGGUUUCGGUUCAAGAAAAUUUUGAAAAACCGAACCCGAGCGUUCGGUUGGUUUCGGUUCAAGAAAAUUUUGAAAAACCGAACCCGAGCGUUCGGUUGGUUUCGGUUCAAGAAAAUUUUGAAAAACCGAACCCGAGCGUUCGGUUGGUUUCGGUUCAAGAAAAUUUUGAAAAACCGAACCCGAACCUUCGGUAGGUUUCGGUUUUGGAAAAUUUUGAGAAACCGAACCCGAACCUUCGGUAGGUUUCGGUUUUGGAAAAUUUUAAGAAACCAAGGAUUUUAGACAUGCAAUUGGAAAAUAUUUUCAACACUAAGAAAAACAAUUUUGUACAAGAAAUAUACAACCAAGAAAAACUACCUUUGAAGUGAUGAGCGAGUCAGAUGGUUUAACCGAACCCGAACGUUCGGUUAGUUUCGCUUCUUACGUUUGAGGUUGAGAGGUAGUGUGAGGUACUGACUCUGAUUCCAUCAUACCUAGCCCUUGCAAUAUUCUGUUGAAUGAUGCUUCAGGAAGAGCUUUGGUAAAGACGUCAGCCAGUUGAUCAGUGGUUCUUACGAAGUGAACUUCGACGUUUCCAUCUUCCACGUGAUCUUUGAUGAAGUGAUACCUCAGUGCUAUGUGUUUGGUUUUAGAGUGUUGCACUGGGUUAUGACAGAUCCUAAUUGCACUUUCAGAGUCACAAUAUAGUGGGAUCUUCUUCAUAUUGAGUCCAUAGUCUCGAAGUUGACUCUGGAUCCAAAUCACUUGAGAGGUGCAGGAUGCAGCGGCUAUGUAUUCCGCUUCGGCAGUAGACAACGACACGCACGUUUGUUUCUUGGAUUGCCAGCUGACCAACUUCCCGUCAAGGAAUUGACAGCCACCAGUGGUGCUUUUUCUGUCGAGUCCACAUCCUCCAAGGUCAGCAUCUGAAUAGGCUUGAACGAAGAAGCCUGAGUUGGAAGGAUACCAUAGACCUAAGGAGGUGGUUCGCUUGAGAUAGCGUAAAAUGUUCUUCACUGCAAGCAUGUGAGGUUCGCGUGGGUUUGCCUGAAAUCGAGCACAAUAACACACAGAAAACAUGAUGUCAGGCCUGCUAGCAGUAAGAUACAUUAGUGAGCCUAUCAUUUGACGAUAGAGCGUGAUAUCAACAGCCGGUUUGUCUAGGGAUGGAGUUAGCUUGGUGCCGAAUGCCAUUGGGACUUUGACUUUGGAGUCUCCCAUCAUACCAAACUUUGCUAGGAGAGUCUUCGUGUAAGCUUCCUGAUUGAUAAAGAUGCCUUCGGGUCCCUGUCUAAUAUUUAAACCAAGGAAAAAGUUAAUAGGACCCAUUGAGCUCAUUUCAAAUUUAGUCUCCAUCAACUUUCUGAAUUCAGCUGUUAAGCUGGGAUUCGUAGAGCCAAAGAUGAUGUCAUCGACAUAAAUUUGAACUAUCAUAAGGUGGUUACCUUCCUUUUUGCGAAAGAAGGUUGGGUCAACCGAACCUUGUUUGAAUUUAGACAUCUUUAAGAAUUUAGUUAGCGUUUCAUACCAGGCUCUCGGAGCUUGUUUAAGGCCAUACACAGCUUUAUCCAGAAUAUAGCAAUGAUUUGGAUACUUUUCGUUCACGAACCCAGGAGGUUGCUCCACAUACACGGUUUCUUCGAGUUCUCCAUUAAGAAAUGCACACUUGACGUCCAUUUGGAAAACUUCAAAGUUUUUGUGGGCAGCAUAAGCAAGAAAUAUUCUUACAGAUUCCAGCCUAGCUACAGGAGCGAAAGUCUCUUCAUAAUCAAUCCCUUCCUCCUGACAGUAUCCCUUUACUACCAGACGAGCUUUGUUCCUUAUAACAUUCCCUUCCUUGUCCAUUUUGUUCCUAAAGACCCAUUUGAGACCAACAACCGAAGCAUCUGGAGGAGUUGGAAUGAGGCGCCAGACUUUGUUCCUUUCAAAUUCGUUCAGUUCGUCUUGCAUUGCUUGAACCCAAUCAGAGUGAUCGAGGGCAGUGUUAACUGUCUUCGGUUCAACUUUUGAUACGAAUGAGUUAAACAUACAAAACUCAACCUUUGAAAAUAAGGAUGUCUGUUUUGCCUUCAGUUGUGAUCGGGUCAGAACCUUUUCAGAGACAUCACCAACCACUUGAGAGAUAGGAUGAUCUCUGGUCCAUUUGGUAAGAGGAGGAUAAUUUGGAUCAAAGGUUGGGUCUAGUUCAGCAUUGAUCAUUUCUUCUGGCUCAGAUUGGCUAUCGUAAUCAAGCGUCAUAUCAUCAUGCUCCCCCUCGAUUGAUGAGCUUUGAGAAACUUGAGGUUCAGAGGUUUCUUGUGGUGCUGGACUUUCAGGCGUUGAAGCACCUUCGGUUGGAGAAGCACUUUCGGUUGCAGUUGUAGAGCUUGGCUCCCCCUCGACAUGUGAGCUUGGCUCCCCCUCGACUGAAGCAUCGUUGGAUGGAGGUUCAUCAGAAGUCGAUCCUCCUUCAUUCAUUCUCCUUGCAGCUUCUUCGACAAUCUGCUUCAUGUGGUCAACCUUGUUGUCUGCUGCACCUGCUUCUGAGAGAGAAGCUUUCUCUGGUUCGUCAAAGAGCUCCAGAAAUUUCUCGAAUAGAUUAGCGAUCGAGACUGUGACUUGGCCAGUUUGAGGAAAGAUUUCCCCAGCGGUGUCUUCUUUGGCCUGUAGCUUUUUGACAUAGCUAUCGUCAAAAGUCACGUAAUAGGUCUCUUCGAUUUUUCUCGAACGCUUGUUUAGGACUCUGUAUGCUUUGGAUGUGAGAGAGUAGCCCAGAAAGAUUCCCUCGUCGGCUUUGACAUCAAACUUGUUGCGGUGUUCUUUAGAGUUAAAGAUGAAACACCGUGAGCCGAACACGUGGAAAAAUUUCACAUUGGGCUUUCUGUUGUUUAGUAUCUCAUAAGGUGUGAGCGUGAAUCGCUUGUUGAGAUAAGACCUGUUCUGUGUAAAACAAGCAGCAGAAAUAGCGUCAGCCCAAAAAUAAAGAGGUAAGGAAGCGAAACUUAGCAUAGUUCGGGCAGCUUCACACAAAGAUCGGUUUCGUCUUUCGACUAUUCCGUUCUGUUGUGGUGUGUAGGGAGCUGAGAAAUUGUGACUAAUUCCCUUUUCUGCAAGAAACUCUUCAAACUCCCUGUUCUUGAAUUCAAGACCAUUGUCGCUUCUGAUGUUGCGAACGACCUUCUUGAUCUGCACUUCAAUCUGCUUAAUGAAUAAUUUCAGCUUAUGAGUCGCUUCAGAUUUAAGCUUUAGAAAGAACACCCAUGUAAAUCGUGAAAAGUCAUCAAUAAUAACAAGAAUAAACUUGCUACCACCGAUGCUUUCAACAGAUGAAGGACCACACAAAUCGAUAUGAAGUAAUUCGAGUGGUUCAACAACUUUUGUGUUGAUUACAGAUGGGUGACUUUGACGACUCUGCUUCCCCAUUUCGCAUGCAGCACACAAAUGCUCUCUGUCGAACUUGAGCAAUGGAAGACCCCUAACAUGACCUCCAGUGACAAGUCGGUUGAUAUCUUUAAAGUUGAGAUGAGAGAGUCUUCGGUGCCACAACCAGCUUUCGUCGGAUUGAGCUUUUGAUAACAGGCAUAUGGCUGGGUUUCCUUUGAUGGGUUUCAUGUUUAGAGGAAACAUUUCACCCUUUCGCUCUGACUUGAGAAUCACUUUCUUUGUCUUUUUCUCUAUGAUUUCAGAACCUUCAUCAUCGAAUGAGACUUUGAGACCUGUACCUCCAACAAGCUGAGAUACACUGAUGAGGUUGUGUUGGAGUCCUUCCACAUAAGCUACCUUCCUUAUAGUAAAGUCCCCAUUUGUUAUCAUCCCGUAUCCCUUUAUGGUGCCGAAAGAAUUAUUUCCAAACUUGACAUUGCCACCAUUUGCAAGAGAUCUGUAUUCCCUGAGCUCCUCUUUGCUCCCUGUCAUGUGACGUGAGCAGCCACUAUCGAUGUACCAUUCUUCGUCAAACUGCUCGUCACUUAUAACCUGCAAAAAUUAAGCAGAUUUAGGAACCCAAAGUUUCUUGGGUCCAUGUGAGCUUUUCAUGGGAACAGGAAUAGUAAGAGAGAUGUCAACUAGAUAUGUUCGUUUUAUUAGAGUUGUUUCAUCUUUCUUUUUAAUGGUAAAAACUUUUAUCUUAUUAGGAUUGGGUGCGUUCGGUUUGGACUCUGGUUUGGAUUCAUUGACCUUCUGUUUGCCCUUUUGUUCAGCUGACGAAUAAGACUUUUGAGAGCGAACAGAAUUAGCUUUAGAGCAAGAUGGAAAUGAAUUGGUGGAAGUAGAAGAAUUAGAAGAACUAGAAGAGGUGGGUUUGGAAUGAGAGGACUUCCUGGCUGGAGACUCUAGGUGACCCUUUUGCUUUUGAUCAUUGGAGGGACUUACCUUAGAGUUUUGUUCUCUUUUGACUUCAGAACCGAACCUUUGCUUUCGGUUGGAAUCGUUCUUUGAACCGAACCUUUGCUUUCGGUUGAAGUCAUUCUCAGAACCGAACCUUUGCUUUCGGUUGGUAUUCUCUUGUGAACCGAACCUUGGCUUUCGGUUGUUGUGGCUCUCAGGCUUUCCGACAGGAUUGUUUUCAUACUUCAGAUUCUUGUCUUGAUGUGAGAAGUAUGCAUUCUGGGAUUGCCAGAAUUGCCUCCUUUCAGAGAGAUUCUUCCUGUAUCUUUGGUUCCUUUCACGUUUCUUAUUCCUCAUCUGCUUCGGUUGAUGAUGAAUAUUAGCUUUCAUUUUCGGUUUCUCCUUGGCUGGUUCAUUUUGAACUGUAGGAGUUUCACUUUGAACUGAGGAAGUAGAGGGAACGUCUUCUUUUGCCGAACUUUCAUCCUCCUGAGGAAUGUCUUUCGUACCACUGGUGCUUGGCUCAUCGAAAUUAUCUGGCUUAUUCAAGGGUUCAGGUAUGUAUCUACCUUUACUCAUCCAGGAGGUUCUUUCAGAUAAGCCUACCGUUUCGUUUGCAUUAUCUAUUGGAGCUGACCAGAAGUACUCAUCACAGCCAUCAGCAUUGUCUUCGUUUACAAUAGCUGUGAGUUCAGCCGUCUGAUGUUCGGUUACUCCAGUGACCUUGUAUACUUGAUUUGGAGUGGUCCUGACCUUUUGAUACACAACUGCUUUCUCUGCUAAGAUCGGGGACUUUUGUUGGGACAAUCGAGCGAACUCCACUGAAUUUUCAGAAAUAAGAUUCUUGUGGUUUUCAGGUUCGCUUUUAACAAAUUCUGAGCAGUCAACCGUGUCCUCUACAGAAAUUUCACUCAUGUUGUCGUCCUCGUUAAGCUCAGAUGCAUUUUCAACAUCAAUUUUGUUUUCUGAGCUUACGUUGGCGUUUAAAGAGUCAAAUUUUUGUAUGGUUUCGGUUCUCAGUUUAAGUCUAUCAUUUUCAUCCAAAAGAUUUUUAAGCAUGUCCUUGUGGUCCUUGGAUUUAAUGAAGGACUCAAUUUUGUCCAGUCCAUACAUGUAGGUCGGAUUGACAUCAUCAGACGAUAUCACACUCUCACAAUUAUAGGCUUCAGCAUCGAUUUCAUCCUCCUUAAACUCAAGGAAGGGCAAAAUCAUGCGAUGGAUCUUUUGGCCUAUUUCACAGUCCAAGUGAAGCUGAGUAAUAUUAGAAUAUAAACGUUUUGCAAUUAAACAAAAAACAUUCCGCUGUUUUAACAAUUUUAAAUUGUCUCUUUGCAAAUAAAUGUUUUCGUCUUUAACUUUAACUAAUUCCGACUCCUUUAACUCGAUCCACAUUCGCCGCUCCUCACUCUUCGACGCCACCCUGCUUAAUUGAUCAGUUAGGUUAGAAUUGGUGACUCGAGUUUGAGUUAAGCUACUAUCUAGAUGAGAAAUUCUUGUAUUAACAUUUUUUAGUUCUUUCUCAUAUGAGGAUUGUGGUACUUUAAAUGAAAUGAAAACCGAUUGUACCUUCUUUAUCAGUUCAUCAAGCUCAUUGAACUGCUGGCUGAGUGGUUUGGCCGUAAAGCACAUGUCCUCCUGCCCCUUCGGUUCAUCGCUUCCACCAUCAGUGUUGUAUCCCCUCAUCUGAGAUACAUCAGACACCAUGAAGCAUCUUCCUCCACUGCUCUCCUCCUUUGCCACAUAAGCCUUUCCAUGGGUAGGCUUCCUUACUUCAUCGUCUUCUGAGUCGGUAGACCAAACUUCCGUGCUACCGAACUCGUCAUCAUUAACCGAACCCUGCACAAUAAGAGCAUUAAUAGAAGGGUUAGCGGUAGACUUCUUCUUUCUCAAUUCAUCCAGCCUUUUCUGCAACACAGCUUCCUCAUCCUUUUCAUCAUCCUUUUCAGCCAUCUUCUUAAGCACACAGUCUUUAGCAUAGUGGUUUUUCCCACCACAGUAGUAACAGCUUACUCCGGAAUCGCCAUCCACCUUCGGUUCCUUCUUGGGCUCCUCAACCUUCGGUUCAUUGUUCACCUUUUCUGAGCUGUAACUCCCCUGCCAGUUUCGGUUUUUAUUGCUGGGGAAUCUCUUCUUUAUGAACCUCUUGGGAUUGGACACCAUCAUGGCAUAAUCCUCAGACGUGAGGUCAUACUCCUCCAAGUUGAGGUCUUCAUCCUCCAUCACAGCUUUACUUUUUGAUAGGAGGGCCAACGAACCAAGGCUUGAAACGACGUUCUUCUCUUGCAGCACAAUCUUCUCUUGGGACUUGAGAAUGCCCACUAGUUUCGCCAGAGAAUAUGAUUUAAACUGUUCAUGUGCUUUGACUGUAGAAACCACUGCUCUUCAUUCGGACCUUAGUCCAUUUAAGAAAGUAACCUUCUGCUCGAUAAGAUUCCUUUCAAUAUCGUGUUUGAUCAUCUUGCUGAGAAGAUGAUUGAAGCGAUCGAACGUCUGGGUCACUGUUUCUUCGGCUCCUUGCCUGAAUUCUCCAAACUCAGAUAGAAGCAAGGUUUGGAUAGAAUGUUCAAGAUCCUCGUCUGUAGAGUACAGUUCGCGAAGUCUAUCCCAAACUUCCUUUGCCGUCGUGCAUGAGCUGACCAACCUGAAUGUGUCGGACUGAAGGGCGAAUCUGAUCAACCUUAACGCCUUGAUAUUGCACUGGAAUUUGUCCUUUUCAUCUUGUGCAAUAUAUUUCACAUCCUUCAGCAGAUCGUUGUACUCCUUUUGAGUUUUAACUAUUCUGGACGUUGCAGAAUGAGAAAAUGGUCCAUUGAUGAUAGCUUCCCAUAUGAGGUACCCAUUAUCCUCAGAUCCAAUCACGUAGUCUUCGAAGUGAUGCACCCAUACUUCAUAGUCAUGGGUGUAUAAGAUUGGAAUUUUUGUCGUCGAACCGAUGCUGUUGGAAAUAUUAAUAGGGUUCGAUUGCGUCUCGUCCAUUAUGAUCGAAAAAACCUGUUAAAAGAUCAGACUUGUAAUAACUCAGAUUAGGGCAAAACAAUAAAUAUCAAAAUACGUCAAUAAUGAGAUGACGGCUCAAUAAAUAUCAGUAAUUGCGGAAAAACCCUAAUUGAAACCUUUUCACAGAAAAGAUGUGUAUCGAUUACACAGCCUCCCGCUCUGAUACCAAUUGAUGAGAUUAAAACUUUUAAAUCUAAGAAGAUCGAUUAGAUCUCAAACAGGCAAAUAAUAUAAAACUGUAAGAACACAAAAAUAUAAACGAGACAAGUGUGAAUCAAACGAUUCGAAUGAUUAAAACAAAAUCCUCAUAAGAGCUCGAUUAAGAACAUCAACUGUAGAGGAUUGGAAGGUUACAAGAACGAUUAAAGAAAUCUGUAAUGCUAUCGUUAAGCUCUAGAAUAAUUGCUAAUAUCGUUAUCAAUCCUUAACCUAAUAUGCAUGCAAGCAUAUUCUUAUAUAUAAAACAUAAAAGGCUCUCGGUUGGACAGGCCCAAACCGGAGUACAAAAUAACUAUACUAUCGAGCCCAAAAGACGCAAUCUUCAAAAUAAUCUUCAGCCCAACAGUUUCAUUACAAGGGUUAAAAGGGUAAAUACGCGCAUUCCGAAUGUUAUAUACAGACAGUCAACUACUUGAUUAUACCAUAAGCCCUUCAUCAAAUAAGAACAUGAAAUAAUGCUCAACCAAAAAUAUUUAGGCUAUAGAAUCUUAGUUAUGUACAACUAUGAUGCAUACACUAAGAAACUACAAUAAUGAUGUCAAAUCUGUAUAAGAAGUAAUCCUAGGGUAUCAAGCAUCAUAUAUCAGAGAAUCCCAUCACAUAAUUCCUGAAGAUACCUAGCCUACCACUAGCAUGCUGUUCUAUCAUGAAAAACAUAUCAAAUAACAGUGUGCAUAACUUGGUGUAUACUUUCUAGCUUCGGCUGAUCGUACACAUCACAUCAUUCCAUGGUUACUUUUGAAAACAUUUUUUGAAAACCAUUAAAAAAAACUUUUACAGCUCCCUAUAUUGAGUUUAGAUUCACACGAAUGUUCAUCCAGUUCUCUCAAACCAUGGCUCUGAUACCAACUUGUAACACUCUAUAUAUCAUAGAAAAUUAAAAAAAUUAAAUUUCAACCAUUAACCAACAUUGUUUACAAAAAGAGUCAUUGCUUCAAAAGUAUUAUUCAAAAUCAUAGUUUUUCCCAAGACCCACUAACACAAAACAUGAAUAUGUGCACGAUCACACCUUCUCCUUCCCGCGAUCAUUAGAAGUACCUGAAACAAUAAACUGAAACUAUAACCCAAAGCUUAUCGAGUUCCCCCAAAGUACCAUCAUGCAACAUAUAAAAUACAUAGAUUAACAUGCUGGGUCCACAACCUCCCGGUUGGAUUACCUUCGUCCACACCCUCCCUGUUGGAUUGCCCUGUAUACCAUAUACUAGGUCCAAAACCUCCCGACUGGGUUGACUUGGCUAGUUUGUGGAUUUUGACCUAUUUUGACCCAAGGAUAUCUUGGAUAAAUUGGUAGUAAUUUAAGUCGGGCAAUAUUUUGGGAUAAUAGCUGUCGACUAGAGCCGGUUUUUGGGGAAGGGAUUUAUUCAGCUUGUGUUCAGACUUUCCUCACUGAACUUACGAGUCGAAGGCACCAAGUCCGACCCAAUGGAUUGAUAUCCUGUUAGAUACUGAUUGAAGAUAUGUUGAGUAUGUGAUAGAUCUGUAUGAUUAUAUGAUAGUUAUUGAUAUAGGUUAAACUGGUAGAUCUGUAGGACUACAUGUGAUUAUUAGCUGUAUAAUCACAUAUCUCCUGUAUGUAUAUUAUAUGAUAUAUGUUGACAUGUUAUGUUAGGGUUGAGAUUACUGCUUUGUGCUAUCAGUCAACAGACCGUGACAAUCCAACCGGGAUGUUGUGGGCUAGGGUAAUCCAACCGGGAGGUUGUGGACACAACAUGCUAAUCUAUGUAUUUUAUAUGUUGCAUGAUGGUACUUUGGGGGAACUCACUAAGCUUUGACUUACAGUUUCAGUUUAUUGUUUUAGGUACAUUUGAUGAUCACGGUACGACGAAGGUGUGAUCAUGCACAUCUUCUUGUUUUUUGUUACUGGGUCUUGGGAAAAACUCUGAUUUUGAAUAAUACUUUUGAAGGAAUGUCUCUUUUUUUAAAUAAUGUUGGUUAAUGUUUGAAAUUUAAUUUUUGUAAAUUUCUAUGAUUUUUGGAGUCUUAUAUUGGUUUUGGCUUAUAACCGAUCCAAGCCCCCACACACCCUUGUUAAUCAUCAAAGAAGAAUCCAAUCAGAACUAACUAUGUUCAACAAUAACAACCAUAGGGUGUUAUAAAUCCAUUACCUCAAAUGUAGGGAUCUUUUGAUGUCGAAGAACAUUAAUCAAGAUAAACUAAUAAUGAUAUUCAAUUAAACCAAAGGUCUUUUGGCCUAGCACUAUCAUAUGUUGGAAAAGUGACCCUUCCUAAUGUUAGAAAAACGGGUUAUUUCGAUUGCUUGGAUUCCACUAAAAGUCAUGAUACACUUUCAAAUUGAAUUAUUUCGAUGGUACAAUCAAAAUCUCAAAUGGAUAAAAUUCAAUGACAACAACAAAGAAUGAAAAGGUUAUGAUUCUUGUGUGUACAUGAUUUAAAUAACCAGAAAGGUAUAUAACUCCUUCUCCGAAAACUAUCAUAUUGGCAUUUACAAACUGCUACAAAACUGUCACUAAACUGACUUAGUCAGCUUGACAAACAAGAACUACAUAUUUAACAUACAAAGCGAAGCUAAAAAGUUUCCUGAUACUUGUAAAAAUCAAACGAUGUCAAAAAAUUAGAUGUUACAAAAUCUAGUAUUAACUUAGAUUUAAUAAAACUUAUAGAUUACCUGUUUAUAUAUCAUGAAAAUUUAUUCCCAAGGUCAUCCUUAACUCACUAACAGAUUUUAGGAGUAAUGAUAUAACGAUAUCUAUUCGUUACUCCUCUGAUAAAAUUUUGGAUUCUGUGUAGUCGAUAGGUCGUAUUUUUGGAUUGCUAACAGGAGUAGAAAAGCUAAAAUCAUUUGGGUCGAUGGGCUUCGUAAGCCUACUUUAGCUUGCAGUCCUAUGUAAUGUUUUUUUUCCUUGCUUCCUGCUAGUUUUUAUAAAAUUUUAUGCUGUUCCAAAAAAAAUUUUCUUUGAUAUAUUGGUCGGUCGACUUUGAGAUACAAUUAAGAAGGUUCUCUAGCCACAUCACACAUCAUCCUCCCCCAAUGACCACCACACAAUAAUAUCGAUUUGGUAUAGACCAACAACUCUCUUUCCCCAUCUCAUUCUGUCUUCACUUCCUUACUUUUCAGUUUGCUUUAUAAUAUUCAUACAUAGAAACUCAUUUUGAAGCAGUUAACACACAUAAAUGUCCUUAAUAUUGGAAUCCCCAACGAAGUAGCGUCGUUAAGUAAAGAAUGCAAGUGACAAUCUAAGUUCCUCUUAAUAUACAUAUCUUUUAUUAGAGACCGACCGCUGUCAUCCUCAAUAUAAUUCAUGUGUCCCUAAGUCCAUUUUCCAAUUCUUUUUGGAUUUGAUAAACUUGUAUAUACAAUUUCCUCUCUUUAUAGUGUUCAAUCUUCUACACAUCUUUUCAUAUGUCAUAAGCUUUGCUUUAGUUAUUGCUUUCUUCUUCCAACUUCUAUUGUAUAUAUUUCUUUCACCUCUCUUCUUUAUUUUGACCUUGAAUCUUCUUUCUCCACCAUUCCGAUUAUUAGCUUAGCAUUUCCUGCUAGACGGAUAUGACCUCCUGCUAGAAUUACCAUGUAGACCGAGACCCCCUACUUGUAACUAACCUAUUCGGUCCUAAUAGAUACACAUGUAAAAAGCUAAUAACUACUAACUAAGUGUUAAUUAUUUAAUAUAAAAUAGAGAUAGAACAUCAAUGAUAAAUAUUAAAAAUGCACAAAAAGUCAACGUGAGAAAUUAUAUUGCAAUAAAUUUGUUGUCAAUACAAUGCGUAAAUGAUUUACAAAAUCGAAAGUUCCGGACACAAGUUAAAACUUAAAACCCUAAAAGAGCCUACAAAUUUCAAUCGUCGACAUACCCCACCACAAAGGCACAAAUAAUCAAAGAAACAAGUGUAGAUGUAGAGGCCUUUUUCACCACAAUCACCCUUCAUCGGCCAUUUCGAAGGCCACGUGAAAUGUCACUAACGUGGCCCUAUAAAUAUCCACUCCUUUGUCUUUAACCCCUCCCCCUCCCAUAUAAAACCCUCCAUCCUCCUCCUUAACCACCAUCAACAACUACCUUCUCUCCUCCCUCAAAAGUACCACCAUCUUUUCCGACAUGGCAGCUUCUUCAAUCUUCAUGGCAACUCCCAUCACACUCCUCAAAAAAACUCCCACCUUCUCCGUCAAAUGCAUGUCACAAACACCUCAAAGCGGUGAACCGGAGAUUUCAAAACCAGCAACCACCCCAACACCACCAAAGAUCAACAUUCCUCCUCCUCCGCCACCUGCUCCAAAGGUCAGCACGAAGUUCUCUGACGUGUUGGCGUUUAGUGGACCUGCACCGGAGAGGAUCAACGGAAGGUUAGCCAUGAUAGGGUUUGUGUCGGCGAUGGCUGUGGAACUGAGCAGCGGUCAAGACGUGUUCACCCAGAUCGGCAACGGCGGUGUUGCGGUAUUUGUCGGGACAAGUGUGGUGUUGACGUUAGCGUCGUUGGUGCCGUUGUUUAAAGGAGUGAGUGUGCAGUCGAAGUCGAGUGGACUGAUGACAUCAGAUGCAGAGCUUUGGAAUGGGCGGGUUGCGAUGUUGGGUCUGGUGGCUUUGGCUUUUACUGAAUAUGUUAAAGGCAGUGCCCUUGUCUAGAUAAUGUAUCAUAGACUUUUCUAUUACAGAAUUACAUCUAAGAUAGGCAAAUGUAUAUUCUUUUGAAUAUUUAUGUGUAUCGAUUUACCAUACAUAGUUCAAAUCAUGAAAAUCAAUUAAUCAUGUUUUUUUGAUAAUAUAGUAUAAAACAAAUAUGAUCAAUCAAAUUGAACGAUUGUGGUAUCUUUCAAUAUAAAAUUCUUUUUAUAAAAUUAAACAAACAACAUACUAAGAUAAAUUUUAGAGGCAUGAACCUAGAUUAGCAAUAUAAGAGUCAAAGUCUACAAAGAUAUUGAAAUCCUAGUUUCACAACUUCCUCUUUGAAUGUUGAACUGAGGUGAUCUUCAUUAAUUCAGACCAAAUAUGUGCAUAAGUCCAGCCUAGUCAAUUAGCCAAUUUAAGAUGACAAGUAUCCAAAAUUCAAAUACAUUACAUACCUCAAUUUCAAACAAAACUGAAAAAUAUAAUGACUAAUGCUCACAAAAUGAUCACUUUCGGGGAGUGGUCACAGUUAAACUACCGGAAAAGCGCUGCAAACUCAACGUUACAUCUGCUCCAUCACCAAUUCCCUAAACAUUGGAAAUAGUUACCACUCUAUAUCAUUUAUAUUUAUAUUUUAUUUAUUUUUUAAAAUUAGAUUAAAUAAAAAACAUAAUUAUAAACUUAAGUAAUCAUUUUACUAAUUAAAAAAUCAACUAAACAUAUUAUUAAUUUUUAAAAUUAUUAAACAUAUCUAGUUAUAUAUAGUUGAGGGUUUAACUUAAUUCAAAGAAAAAUAAAAGGGUAUAAUAAGAUUAAAAGACACAAUUUUAGAGACCAAAUUUGUAACUUCAAUUAAAGCAAAUUUGAAUCGUCUUCUUCACCUGUCUUCUUCAACCUUUUUCUGAAAAACGGGUCAUUGCUCAAUACCAUUUUUUUUUCUUUUACUUUGAUGGAUACAAAAGAAAAGGAAAAAAGGGUUAAAUACGUGACCUUUGUUGUUGCUACUUUCUUAUUCGUUGUCUUCAUCCGUCUUUGCACCCACGUUACACCCAAACCACUGGCCUUAGGGGCGGUGUGGACAUAUCCUUAGGCCGGACACAUCAGCAAGAUGCGUGGGUUAGUCCUCCCACUCCGGUUAGCCUUAAACACUUAUUAAAAGCUAGUGGACGUCUUUGCACCCACGUUACACUCAAACCACCGGCCUUAGGGGCGGUGUGGACGUAUCCUUAGGCCGAACACAUCAGCAAGAUGCGUGGGUUAGUCCUCCCACUCCAGUUAGCCUUAAACACUUAUUAAAAGCUAGUUUAUUUCUUGUUAGUUUGAAAUCUAAUGUUAUCAUCAAAUCUAUACAAGAUUGAGAUUGAUAUCAGAGUAACAAUCUCCAAAAGAAAAAUAUUUUACUCAAAAGAAUAUAUAUAUAUAUAUAUAAUGAAUUAUAUCCUAAGAAGUACUAUGCAUGAGUAUAAGAUUACUAUUAUCUUGGGAUCUAUUAAUUGGUAACUAAGCAUACUUCCAAGUUACUAUAUGAAAUUUAGUUAAGGAUUAAUGUCAAGUUGGGUGCAUGCACCUCACUCAAAGGCCUUGUAUUUUUAUCGGUCCCAAGUGACAUCUUACAAGGGCCGUUUUGGAGUUUUUUCUUUCCCCAAUGUAUUAACAUUUAUUUUUUUUUGAUAUUUUUGAACUUUUUAUUUUCUUAGAAAAGUAUACAAAAUAAAAUAUAUACAAGUUUACUUGAAGAUAUGAGUGUUUAUCAGGUUAUUCUCUUGAACUAUCUAUUCUUAGAUAUGAAUAAAUGUGUUUGUCUUUAUCAUUUUUCCCCUUUGUCAAUUCUUGACUAAUAAGGUAAUAGUCGUUCUUGGUGAGGGAUUCACCUCUCUAUUGAUUCUUCAUUCUAAUUAAAUGUUUGGAUUCAACAAUGUCCGAUUGAGUAGUUCUUUAAAACCGCAUUCUACCAUUUGCAUCUUUAUAUUAAUCCCAUGAAUUGGGGAUUCCAUAAACUGAAACUCUUGGAGCUCAAUAGUGUAGUUGAAAAACAUUUGUCGAGCCUACCACUUCCAUGAAAUAGGAGAAUUUUUUCAAUAAACUAAGUAGUUCCUUCUUUAUGGAUCAUCUUUUCGUUACUCGACCCCUGCUUACAUGCGAUUCCUACUAGAAAAUAGAAUUGCAGACUAACUGCAGCUGCAGACAACCCUUCGUUUGGCCAGAAGGGGUUUGAUAUUCCUUGGAGAAAAAUCUCAUCCUGAAAAUAACAAUAUCCAUGAACACAAUGGCUACGAAAUACUGAUUUUCUUAACCGACGAACCGAAAUGUUACAGCCAUAAUGCUGAAACCUCAUUACUUGCCCGCCCUUUAAACAGGUAGAACCAUCCCUGAGCAUAGAAACAUAAACUAAAUCCUGAACCCUCCAGCUGAGGUCUUUGAUAUCCAAUUUUCUUGAUCCACAUCUUUCUGAGUAUAGAUGUUGCACUAAUACACUCGCGAUUCCCAAUGCGAGCUUUCACCAAAAACCCACUCGAAUAUGGCCACUCAUAUUCUUCUCGAAGACCCUUCCCUACAUCUAAUGAGCGUCCAAUUAUGAAUCUGCCCGCAAUUCCUGACUGGAGACACUAACAGAAACAUGCAUAACUGAUCCUCGAAACAUACCGACCACGAUCUUCACCCAAAACCAAACCAUAUGAUGUACCAAAACCUUAUUAACCCUUGAUCCUCUUCUAUUCCAUUACUGACCACUGCUUCGCCGAGCAAGAGAUAAAUCCAAGAAUUUCUGCUUUACAUCCAACCCCUUAUAGAAUCAGGUGUACCCCCACCUGGACAACCACUUGAGACAAUCAUAAAGAACUUUAUGACUUGCGACUUUCCAACCAAUCCCAACUUGAAAACCACAACAAUAGCAACAACUUGCGAACAACCAAAAAUAUAAUGUAUACAUCCCAUAAGGACUUUCUGAUUCCUGACAGAUACUCCCAACAACCUUUACUACUUCCUUUAUCCAACCAAUAGAUUUACGACUCGCUCGUCUCCCAUCAGUGUAUCGAUACCGAAAGCACCACAAGCAGAAUAAAUGAACAACCAUGUUCACUAGGCCCUCAAAGUAUGACUGGAAUACCCCUUAUAAUGUCCUCUGAAUAUGUUUGGAUUGCCUCUGAGCCCACAACAUGAAUCUGGAAUGCCCUCCCUGGCCUUCAGCCCAUGUCUGGAAUGCUCUCGAUAUCACAACGACCUUGACGCCAUCGCAUCGCUCGCCCAUCACUCCAGGCCCACAGAUACUCACCUCAUUCCAUUCCCUUGAAGGGACUUAAUCAAUUCCCUCACCACGCCAAUUGUGCAUCACAAAGAUGCCACCAAAGCAAACCUUACAAAACAUGGACGUACGCGACCCGUGAAUAGGAAAAUAGAUGCACCAUUGGCCCGAUUCGAAGGCUAAAAUCCAAAAGAACCAUGCACAUGAUUCGAACCAAGUGCUCCAAUGCUAUCUUUACCAGAUUACAUGAACUACCCCCAUACACAUACUUAAGAAACCUAGAAUAUCAUCCAGAGAGAGAAGGAAUGUCAGAUAUAAUCUAAAAAUACCUCAAUUAAUAACAUAAAACAUCCCCAUGAUCAGUUGAAACAAGAUCCCAUACUUGAUUGAGACUGAACGGAUUCCAUCGCUACACAACUAGGUUGAGAAGACUUCCGCGGAUAUCGAAGGUUGCCUAAACCUGAGUCUGCUAUUAACCAAGUUCCCACUCCACCAUUGAGGGUAAACACACUCGAAGGACCAAAGAACAUAGAUCAUACCGAACUUGAUGACAGAUUGGCCCGACCACUGCAUCUCGGCUGACACAAUUAAACUUCCGAGUGAACUUUUAUUGAAUGAUGAACCCCAAAAUUAGUGGUCGAGGACACAUUGACACUUAAUCCAGAGAAUCAAGACCCACAUGGAACUGAACAUACCCGCUUCUGGAAAGAUCCACUGACUAACGUCUGCCUAACUAAUCUGAAAAUAGCAAUCCAACAACAAACUCGCAUAUCCCUCAAUGGCUAAAAAUACUCAACCUUAGAAUCCCUAUUCUCCCCCACUUUAGGCUCAAACUACCACUUACUGGCGCUAAAACCAAAUCAUAACUCAAACCAUCUUGAGCAUGUACUACCCUUCCUAACCCUGGAAGUUACGAGUCUGCUCACUGCUUCCCCGAACUCGGAAAAACUGAAAGGGCGUAACCCUAUAUCUUAUAUUCUUCAAACCUAGAGAUAUGAGUUGUUACUAUGAGUUGGUUAUACAUUUGAUUGCACGAAAACGCAUUGGUAACUCGAUGAUAUAAAACGUGCCUUUGUGUAUGAUUCAACAAGUAGUAGAACAAGCCAUAUGAGUCGAAGUUUAUCCAUUCCUUUUACCUUCAGGAUAAAAGCGAUAUCCAUGGGCCCCUCGAUGAUUUAUUAAUGAUGACACAUGUGAGUGCUUGGGCAAGCCAUGACUGAUUUGAUCUGUUCAAUCAGUCAGUCAUCAUGAAUCGGAAAUCAGGAAACAAUAAAUGGAUAGAGAUAAUGAUUUAUAAUCCAUGUCUUAGUCCAUAUGAUAUUUAGAAUGGAGGAAUAUAUGAUCCCUUAUCUAAUGGACUAGUCAUUGACAAAGGUCAAAGUUCAUCGACGAGGUCAGAGUUCAACAACGGCUUUUGAGAGUUACGAUUGCCAGUUGGUUUUUGAAGUCAUCCUCAAUAAUAGUUUUAGACUUAUCCAAGUAGGAGACUAUUGGAUUAGUGUCUAAGUCCAUACCUAUAAUUGGUAUGUACUUGACCGUACUCGUCAUUGUCCAUUUGGGUUGCAUGGCAUCGGAACAUUUGGAUAAACUGUUUGUGAGAAAAGGACAUUUGUGACAUAUUAAUAUAUUAUAAGUUCUAAUAUAUUAAUAUUAAAUCAUGUUAUUUAAUUAGUAUUGAUCAAGAAUUAAUUCAGACUUAAUUUAGUGAUCAAAAGAGACUAAUUAAAUAUAUGGGGAUUGAUUGUGUAAAUCAUUCAUUCUUAUAUAUGUGGGGUUAUGAUCCAUUAUUCCUUAUGUUGGGUUUAACCCAUGUGGUGAUCCAUGGAUACUCCAUGGAGGUUAAAACCCAUGAAGCAUAAGGAAUUCGUAAAGUCAUGGGUUACAUAGUGUAACCCUAAUGCGCACACUAUAUAAGGACCCCUUUAGCUCAAGAAACGGCACUAGUGAUACUUAUAUGAGGGCUAGCCGAUUUCAACAUAGGGUUCUUCUUCUCAUGGUUAUUCCAAGUGUUGAUGAUGUUGUGUGNNNNNNNNNNNNNNNNNNNNNNNNNNNNNNNNNNNNNNNNNNNNNNNNNNNNNNNNNNNNNNNNNNNNNNNNNNNNNNNNNNNNNNNNNNNNNNNNNNNNUUUCCAUUGCAGUCAGAGGGGCCACAAGAAGGCCCAGUGUCCGAGAUUGUAUCCAGUAGGGCAGGUGCCAGCUCCUGCCCUUGGGAUUUCGAGUACCGCCAGCAGUUGUCGAGGCCCGGCAAGGGUGCCUACGGCUCAGAGCCGAGUUUUCCGGUAGAUUUCAGCAGGGAUUCGAGCAGCACUGAGUAAUGAAGGUACGUAACUUUUGUUUUUCUGUCAGCUUAUGUCAUGAUUAUAUUGUUAUGGUUCUGCAUCAAAUUGUGGUAUAAGUGUUGUGUUAUAGUGUGGCUUGCUUGUGAUUAUGUUAUAUGCCAUUUGCAUACCUCGGAUAAUUGGUUGGUAGUUAGGGAAUGUGCUCUUAUGGAGAAGGUUUCGGAGGAUGCAGNAUGGUUGGGAGAGAUUUGGUUCGUUUCGCGAGUUCGGAGUGGUUAGUGUUGGGUUGGAUUGGUUAGAUCCCUAGCUAUGGCAGGCUUGGGCUCCUUAGCAGAAUGAUUAUGGAAUGGCAGCAAAGAUCGGGAUCUCUUUUGAGUGUGAAGCAGCAAGGGGUAAGCAGGAUCGAAGUGGGGGAGAACCCUCCGGGUAUACAUGGAUAAGAGUCUCGUAGACUCAGAAUGAGUGCGCGGCCUCUGAGAAGAAAUGGUAGUAGCACAGUGAUGGAUGGAUUGAGAAGUUCAGAAUUGGGAGUUCGAGAACUUUUCCCAGCAGUUAGUUCAUGUAAUCGAGAUGGUUAGAAGCUGGUUGGGAAUCCAGGAUUGGAGGACCACCUGUCGGACGCAUGAGAGUCGGAAUGAAGAUCCUGAGAACGGGUAACAAGAGAUGUUUUCGUAUUAGUAGCCAGUGUCUGAGGCAGCAUGCAGGUUGUGUAGAUUCAGGAGUUGGGAGGUUGGAAACUUCCCAACAAUAGCUUCUUGUAUCCGGAUUAGUAGACGGUUGGUUUGGGAACCAAGCCGAAGGAUUCCUCGACGAAGCGCUAAGUAUAUCAAGGAUAUAAGAUGUCGAGGAUGAUGCAGAAUUCAAAGUCUAAGGACUGUUUUUUUUGAGAAAUCGGGAUGAGGAAUCACUAGCAGGACUAGGGAUAGUCAGGAUGUUCUCGAGAUAGUAGUAGUGUUGUAAGUCUGCGGGGGUAGCCGUAGCAUUCACUAGCAGUCAGAUAGCAGUAGUAGUGUUGUAAGUCUGCGGGGGUAGCCGUAGCAUUCACUAGCAGUCAGAUAGCAGUAGUAGUGUUGUAAGUCUGCGGGGGUAGCCGUAGCAUUCACUAGCAGUCAGAUAGCAGUAGUAGUGUUGUAAGUCUGCGGGGGUAGCCGUAGCAUUCACUAGCAGUCAGAUGGUAGUAGUAGUGGUGUUGUAAGUCUGCGGGGGUAGCCGUAGCAUCCACUAGCAGCCAGAUAGUAUUAGAGAGUUGUAAGUCCGCGAGCGUAGUCGCAGCCUUUUAUCAGAUUGGUAAGUAGCAUGAGCGCGUGUUAGACGCGGGAAAGCAGUUGUACCCACCAGUUCGGGUGUAGCAGUGAGGAUAUGGGAAUCCACGGGUUAGAUUUCGGAUUUCCCAAAGGGAUCAGUUACGGCUAAGUUAGCAAUUUGGGCUUUGGAUCGUCACAUCAGUUAUGAGAUCAGAGUAGCAGUGGACCGUUAGGGUUCAGGUAUGUUGCGGACUACAGUCAGUCUGGGAACCAUCAUGUUGUUAGUCGUGGAAUUGAUGAUGUCAGGAUGUGACGUAUGGACCCGAUCGGUUGGAUCGGAAAGUUGCUAGAGCCUCAGUGACAGGAUAACUAGUGGAAACUAGUCCUAGAGGAAAAUUUCGUUCAGAAGUCGUGGAAGCGACUAAGUGAGGAGUCCCUUGACUCCACAGUUGGGUUGGAGUUCAGUGUUCCAGUCAGUUCAGUGUUUCAGGCAGCUCAGCGUUUCAGGCAGCUCAGUGUUUCAGGCCGUUCAGCGUUUCAGUCGGUUCAGCGUUUCAGGCAGGUUCAGUAUUGCAGCUAGUUCAGUGUUUGGAAGGUUUCAGGGUUUUGGGUUAGUAUUGCAUUUGCGUUGGAAUGCAAGUGCUGACGGUAUAGUUGGUUGAUUUGGAAUUGGCAAGUCCCUCUCAGCAGGAUCAGUUGAGCCUUUUGCCGAGUAUAAGUGAUUGGUAGGGAUGGCUAGGCAGGUAGCUUUUCAUUCAGGAAGAAAGGCUCGAGUAAGUAGGAGAUGAGUAAGCAGGUGGGAUAAAAGCAAGCUGGUUCCAGCAGCAUCGUUUCAGUAUGAACGGCAGGAUGGAUAGAACAGUUAUAGAUAAUCAAAGUAUCUUUAGGAGUCGCUGGAAGAGACUAGGAGUUUGCGAUGGAGUGUAGUGACCGGUGGGAGUCCGGUAACUCAGAUAUAGGGAGAUUGGUUAGACCAGAGUAGUCUCAGUACAUCCGGUAGGCGGAUGGGAGGCAGCAGGAUUUUCAGUCGGAGGAAGUAACGUUGAGGAGAUUAUGGGAAAGAGAAGGAUUUAGUAUGUUCUAUCGGUAGUGAUCGGCACUGUGAGUGGCCGGAGUGAUGGGCAAAAGAGUGAGGGAUUUUCCAGACAAAGAGUUGGAGGCAGUUCGCAGGCAGUUGAUCAUAGCAAACUUCGAGGACGAAGUUUAGUUUAAGUAGGGGAGAGUUGUAACACCCCAAAGAUUGGAAAGUCAAGAAAAGAAAGAAGACCUCAAUUUUAAGAAGAGACUCGGCGAGUCCAAGGAGGGACUCGGCGAGUCCNNNNNNNNNNNNNNNNNNNNNNNNNNNNNNNNNNNNNNNNNNNNNNNNNNNNNNNNNNNNNNNNNNNNNNNNNNNNNNNNNNNNNNNNNNNNNNNNNNNNNNNNNNNNNNNNNNNNNNNNNNNNNNNNNNNNNNNNNNNNNNNNNNNNNNNNNNNNNNNNNNNNNNNNNNNNNNNNNNNNNNNNNNNNNNNNNNNNNNNNNNNNNNNNNNNNNNNNNNNNNNNNNNNNNNNNNNNNNNNNNNNNNNNNNNNNNNNNNNNNNNNNNNNNNNNNNNNNNNNNNNNNNNNNNNNNNNNNNNNNNNNNNNNNNNNNNNNNNNNNNNNNNNNNNNNNNNNNNNNNNNNNNNNNNNNNNNNNNNNNNNNNNNNNNNNNNNNNNNNNNNNNNNNNNNNNNNNNNNNNNNNNNNNNNNNNNNNNNNNNNNNNNNNNNNNNNNNNNNNNNNNNNNNNNNNNNNNNNNNNNNNNNNNNNNNNNNNNNNNNNNNNNNNNNNNNNNNNNNNNNNNNNNNNNNNNNNNNNNNNNNNNNNNNNNNNNNNNNNNNNNNNNNNNNNNNNNNNNNNNNNNNNNNNNNNNNNNNNNNNNNNNNNNNNNNNNNNNNNNNNNNNNNNNNNNNNNNNNNNNNNNNNNNNNNNNNNNNNNNNNNNNNNNNNNNNNNNNNNNNNNNNNNNNNNNNNNNNNNNNNNNNNNNNNNNNNNNNNNNNNNNNNNNNNNNNNNNNNNNNNNNNNNNNNNNNNNNNNNNNNNNNNNNNNNNNNNNNNNNNNNNNNNNNNNNNNNNNNNNNNNNNNNNNNNNNNNNNNNNNNNNNNNNNNNNNNNNNNNNNNNNNNNNNNNNNNNNNNNNNNNNNNNNNNNNNNNNNNNNNNNNNNNNNNNNNNNNNNNNNNNNNNNNNNNNNNNNNNNNNNNNNNNNNNNNNNNNNNNNNNNNNNNNNNNNNNNNNNNNNNNNNNNNNNNNNNNNNNNNNNNNNNNNNNNNNNNNNNNNNNNNNNNNNNNNNNNNNNNNNNNNNNNNNNNNNNNNNNNNNNNNNNNNNNNNNNNNNNNNNNNNNNNNNNNNNNNNNNNNNNNNNNNNNNNNNNNNNNNNNNNNNNNNNNNNNNNNNNNNNNNNNNNNNNNNNNNNNNNNNNNNNNNNNNNNNNNNNNNNNNNNNNNNNNNNNNNNNNNNNNNNNNNNNNNNNNNNNNNNNNNNNNNNNNNNNNNNNNNNNNNNNNNNNNNNNNNNNNNNNNNNNNNNNNNNNNNNNNNNNNNNNNNNNNNNNNNNNNNNNNNNNNNNNNNNNNNNNNNNNNNNNNNNNNNNNNNNNNNNNNNNNNNNNNNNNNNNNNNNNNNNNNNNNNNNNNNNNNNNNNNNNNNNNNNNNNNNNNNNNNNNNNNNNNNNNNNNNNNNNNNNNNNNNNNNNNNNNNNNNNNNNNNNNNNNNNNNNNNNNNNNNNNNNNNNNNNNNNNNNNNNNNNNNNNNNNNNNNNNNNNNNNNNNNNNNNNNNNNNNNNNNNNNNNNNNNNNNNNNNNNNNNNNNNNNNNNNNNNNNNNNNNNNNNNNNNNNNNNNNNNNNNNNNNNNNNNNNNNNNNNNNNNNNNNNNNNNNNNNNNNNNNNNNNNNNNNNNNNNNNNNNNNNNNNNNNNNNNNNNNNNNNNNNNNNNNNNNNNNNNNNNNNNNNNNNNNNNNNNNNNNNNNNNNNNNNNGUCAGCUUCGGACUUCGGUCCGAUGGAGGGGGCAAGGCCCCAGUCAGUUAGCUUCGGACUUCGGUCUGAUGUCAGCUUCGGACUUCGGUCCGAUGGAGGGGACAAGGUCCCAGAUAGUCAGCUUCGGACUUCGGUCCGAUGGAGGGGGCAAGGCCCCAGUCAGUUAGCUUCGGACUUCGGUCCGAUGUCAGCUUCGGACUUCGGUUCGAUGUAGGGGGCAAGGCCCCGUUAGUCCGGACUUCGGUCCGAUGCAGUGGGCAAGGCCCAAUAUGUGCUUUAUAUGUUUUGUAUGAUAUGUGGUAGAUUGGGGGAGCUCACUAAGCUUCGUGCUUACGGUUUUCAGUUUUGUUUUCAGGUACUCGAUUUCCAAAAGAGGAGCUCGGGAAGAUUGCAGAGCACACACCAUAGUCAGUUAGCCUGGGAAUGUUUGACUCUGAUAAUGAUAUUAUGUUUUGAAUUGAAUACUCAAAAGUUAUGUUUGACUUAUGAUACGUUGUUAUAAAUCUAUUUUUAGUAAUGUUUAAAAGAAAUUUUUAGUCAUGAUUUUUGGGUCGUUACAAAUACCUUGGAAUAUUCAUAUUUGCAUGUAUAAUAGAGAAAACGUAGAUCCAAGGUAUUUAGGGUUGCAUGUACACCAUAGGAGUGAUAGAGUGCUCAAAACCCAACAAAUAGGUCCGAGUCCUUCAUUCUAAGAUUAUUUAACCUUCAUAGCAUGUAAUUUAUUGUAUUCACUUGAUGGUUAACUCCCAUCAACAUGGGUUCCACAAAGCUCAAAGCAAGGAACAUUCGGGCAGAGAAGUCGGUUGUCACUAAAACGCAACAAAAUUUGACAGAUCCUCAUACAAAAUCCUCAAUCUCAAACUCCCCGCACCACGGGUGCACCUUUGCCCUGCUCUCACUCUCCCCAGAGUGGCUAAUCAUUCCUCGUGCUGACCAGCUAUACACUGUACCCACUCAUGAAACUUCCACCAACCCUACAACACUCUUGUAUGCUAGCUGUACAUAACACUGGAUCCUAUAGACAGUCGAAUAUCUGAUCCGAACCUAAGUCCUUCAUCAAACAAGAACAGAAAAUAAGGCCGAAUGAAACAUUCUCAGGCUAAAGAAUCUUAGUUAUGUACAACUAUAAUGCAUACUCUAAGCAAUUGUAGUAAUGAUGUCAAUUUCAUCUAAGGAAGAACCCUAGGCUAUCAUGCAUCAUAUAAUCAGGAAACUCUAUCAUGCAAUUCCUAUAGAUCCCUAGCCUAUCACUAACAUGCUAUUUUAACAUAUCACAAGAUCAAUAACAGUGUAGCAAUUUGGGGUCUACUUACUGGCUCCGACUGAUCUUACACAUAGUAUCCUCUUUAGUUUGAAAGCGACUUUGAAAGUUAUUUUUAAAACCUUUACUUUGAAAAUUAUUUUUUAAAAAACCCUUUUUCCUUAGUUUGAUACUGGAUUCACACGAGUGUUCCUCCAAUUCACUCAAACCAAGGCUCUGAUACCAACUUGUAACGUCACAAAAAUUUCAACAAAUUGAAACCUUUCGAAACAACCCAUUUAUUAAGAAAAGUGUUUUGACCCGUAGGCGCUUUGUACGCCUUGAACUCCCGGAAUGAGGGAGUUCGAUUCCUAAUCUGACCCGUAGUGAUCUCAGCUCAGAAAGAACAAUUUGCUCCUCUAUAAUCUCCAUGAUCCCCUCCUUGACGGUAUUGAAAAUCACUGGGGUAGCGUUAAGGAUGUCGCGAGUAACAUCGACUACGAUAAUCUCAUGCAACCUCUCAUCAAUCGGCUUUGCCGCAGAUCCUGAGCCCGAUCCCGAACCUGAACCUCCUCGCGUAGCCAUCACCAUCCUCAACUGAAAAAUACAACGUAGAAAGCAAUUGAUAAGGAAUAUCAAAAGGAUUUCUCCCCACCAGACUGAUGGUUUUUGAGCACUACACCAUUCCUAUGGUGUACAUGCAACCCUAAUGCUUCAGAUCUAUGUUUUUCUCAAGUUAUACAUGCAAAUCAAAUCAUCCAAAGCAUAAACCCUAAAUAGCAUACAAUUUUUGGAAUUUGUAACUUAAAAAAAAAGUUAGAAGAAUACAUUUUCCUUGUAGCUUGUAGAUCUUGACCUUCAAGAGCUUAGUGCCUCAAUUGUUGCACUCUAGUGAGUCACAAACACCAAGUAGCAAUUUGGAAGAAUAUGAGAGAGGUUAGGAGGCUCAAAAUCGGCUAGGGUAUUAUCUUAGAAGCAAUUGACUAAUUUCAAGGUGUCAUGGGGUAUUUAUAUAGUUGUGCAAUUAGGGUAUUUAACUGAAACCCUAAUUCUCUGCUUAGGCCUUAAGCAAUCCAGUAGAUCCUUCCAGAAGGCCUCUUAUGGACGAAAUCUAUGUGGGCUAUACAUAAGAUUUCGUCCAUCCCUUCUUAGGGAUCCACAUGCUCAACUUGGCAACUACCAUAUAAUUGCAAUAUCAGUCCUUGUAAUCUAACCAGUCUCUUUUGAUCACCAAGUUAAUUCCAAAUCAAUUCCUGAUCAAUACUAAUUAGUUAAUCUGAUUUCUCAAUUAAUAUACCAUUCUUAUAAUAUAUUAAUAAAUCAAAAUUAACCUCUUUCUCCAUAAUUCAUCUAGUCAAGUUGCUAUGGUGCAGGCAACCAAAAGCACCAUGCUACUAUCGGGUCAAGUACAUACAAUUUAUAGUUAUGGGCUUAGACACCUAAUCCAACAGUCUCCCUCUUGGAUAAGUCUAAUAACUAUAACUACAAGUAUGACUUCAAAAUCCGAUUAGCAAUCGUAGCUCUCAAAAGCCGCUGUUGGAAUCUGACCUAGUCAAUAUGUAACAUCCAUAAAUUUUACACCAAAUUUAAACUUUUCAAUCAUAAAUAAAAACCAAAUAGCAUUAUGUUUUCAAAUCAUUAUCCAUCAGAGUGUCCCAAAAUCAUAACAUAAGGAUGAGGAGUGGUAGGUCACGCCUACGCGUUGCUAGAUCUCCUGAAGUACCUGGAACAAUAAACCGAAAACUGUAAGCCCGAGGGCUUAGUGGCUACCCCCAAAAUACCUAUACCACAUUGACAAUACCAUAUCAGUAAUAAUCAAUCAAUCAACAUGCAUAUCGGGCCAUCGGCCUGACUGGACCGCCCUAUAGGGCCUACAGUCUAUCUGGAUCUAUCCCGAGCCUUCGGCAUGACUGGUCCGCCACAUGGCCCUACAGUCUCCCCGGACCGAUCAUAGGGUGUGCAUACUUUCAGCACAAAGCAGGACCGCCUCAACCCAACUAACAAUCAAAUAACUAUGUGCGCAUAACUAUCAUAUACUGGCAUAUACAAACAUCAAGCAUAUCUAUCACUGGUCAUCAAUCAUAGAAUUCCCUCGUAACUAGAGUACCGACCUAGCAGGUCACUAACAUACCAAUCCCUACGGAUCAUAAGAGCAUAACAUACUGUCUACCCUGAUUCCGAUCAAACAGAUCAUAACCACAUAUAGCAUACCAUAACAAUAAAAACUAAAGGGUCGACCUUGGUGCUGUAGACCCUAUCGAUAUAGUGAGGAUAACUCACCUCAUAGAUGUCGACUCGGAAGGUAAACUCCAAAUCUCGGAUCAAUUGACACAGGCCCCACCACAUAUCGCAUAACAUACACGUAAGUCCUUAACCUUAUAAGGUACUCCAUAACCUACUAGUCAACCCCUGAUCAAAGUCAAAGUCCUCAGUCAAGGUCAACAGUCCAUGUUGACCUCAACUCGCCGAGUUCCUUGAAGCAUAUUCAAACUCGCCGAGUCAUCGGGGUGACUCGUCAAGUUCCUUUGAUUCUCGAUCAAACUUUAAGGCCACCCGUCGAGUUCCCUCCUUGCAACUCGACGAAUACACAUGCAUACAUAUCCAGGAGAAAACUCAUCCGCCUCGCCGAGUUGUUCUUCAACUCGUCGAGUCUAUGGAAAUCAUCAUCGGACUCGUCGAGUUGUUUAUCCAACUUGUCGAGUUCACGACCAUCUUCAUGUGACUUGCCGAGUCAACCUUGCGACUCGCCGAGUCCAUUCAGUCCGUUUUCCAUACAGAUCUAUUUUGAGUCAUGCAGCGGCUCCAACUCACAGAUCUAAGCUUCUAGGACAUGCUUAUCACGUAAGGAUGCAAACUUUACGUGCAUGCAUGGCUUUAAAGGCUCCAAAUGCCAAAUCUAAGAUCUUAAUGAGGCUUCAUGCUCAAUAGGGACCUCAAUCACGACCAAAAUUGUAACUUUAUGCUUCUAGAAUCCGAAGAGGGUCCAGAUCUGAAGUUACAACUUCAGAUCUAGCCCAUAGCUCAUCAUACCAACUUGAUAUUACAAGAAAACCCUAAAACUCAACCAAUAGAGGAGAUUCAUAAGGAAAAUGAUGGUUUGGGUACGUCUGGAAGAUGAUAUCUGAGAUGAGUGUUGAUUUCCACACUCUAAAUGCUCCAAUCUCCUUCUCCUCCAAGUCUUCUCCUUCCAAAGAUCCUCUUUUCAAGCUUCAAACACACACAAGGCACCCACACACGAAUAAGGGCUCUCAAGGACUCUUUAGAACUGUAAAUAGGUCCAAGGGAGGCUAAGGCCCCUUUAAAUAGGGAUACAAACCCCAAGAUUUAGGGUUUCAUCUGCCAACUCCUACUCACCAAGUCCCAAUAUGGAAUCGUCAAGUAGGUCACUUAACACGGGAUCUCACCCCGCUGCUACUCGACGAGUAGGGCAACCAACUCGUUGAGUAGAGCGUAACUCAAUACAUCUUAUUUAAAACAAUACCUAAGAACCGGGGCGUUACAAAUCUCCCCCACUUGAACUAGACCUCGCCCUCGAAGUCCGCUGGAACAAACAAUGUCGGGUAAUGCUCGCUCAUCUCCGCCUCCGGCUCCCAUGUCCACUCGGAUCCCCUCCGAUGUUCCCACUGUACCUUUACCAAAGGUAGUUCCUUGUUCUGCAGAAUCUUCUUCUUCCUUUCCAAAAUAGCCACAGGCCUCUCCACAUAGUUCAGGUGCUCAUCGACCUGAAUGUCAUCCAACGAUACCACUGCCUCCUGGUCCAUAAUGCAUUUUCGCAAUUGCAAAACAUGAAACGUGCUGUGGAUCCGGCUGUGCUCCUCCGGAAGCUCUAGCCUAUAAGCCAGCCUGCUAACCCUGGCAACAAUCCUGAAUGGCCCAAUGUAACGGGGACCUAAUUUUCCCCUCUUCCUGAAGCGGAUCACACCCUUCCAACGUGAAACCUUCAGGAGGACCAUGUCACCCACCUGAAAUUCCAGUAUAGAUCGGCGUCGGUCGGCAUAACUUUUCUGCCGACUCUGAGGGGUCUGCAAUCGCUGUCUAAUCUGUUGUAUCAUCUCGGUAGUUUGCUGAACUACCUCUGUCCGACCCAUUACCCUGUGGCCAACCUCGCCCCAACAGACUGGGGUCCUACACUUCCGCCCGUACAACAGCUCGAAAGGCGGGGCGGGAAUACUGGAAUGAUAGAUGUUGUUGUAGGCGAACUCUACAAUCGGUAGGUGGGAAUCCCAACUACCAUCGAAAUCAAUGACGCACGCCCUCAAAAUAUCCUCGAGGGUCUAAAUGGUCCGCUCACUCUUGUUGGAUAAGGUGUCUAAGUCCAUAACUAUUUCUGGUCAGUACUUGACCCGACCCGACAUGGUCCAUUUGGGUUGCAUGGCACCAUGCAAUUGGAUAGACUAAAUGAGAGAAAUAACACUUGGAGAUUAUUAAUAUAUUAUAAGUUCUAAUAUAUUAAUAAUAUUAUUUAAUUAGUUUGAUCAAGAAUUAAUUUAGAAUUAAUUAAAUGAUCAAAAGAUAACUAAUUAAAUAUAUGGGUUGAUUAUGUAAAUCAUCCAUAUCUUGUAUAGUGGGCUAAGAGGCUCCAUGGAUUAUCAAGUUGGGUUCUACCCAUAGGAUGCUCCAUGGAUGCUCCAUGGGAGUUACAAACCCAUGGGUCAUGGAAAUGAAGAGUCAUGACACAUUAGGGUUUACAUGGUGUAACCCUAGAUGUGUCAACACUAUAUAAGAAUCCCAUUCUCCACCAAAAUCUGACACACAUAUGAAACAAGAGGGCUAGUCCGAUUUCAAGAAGUGUGUGUUCUCUCAAAAGUCUUUCCAAGAGCAUUUGGUGUUGUGUGAAGCAUUUAAGGCAUCACACUUGGGGUGCUAGGCUCACAAGGUUUCAAGGAACAUAAGCAACAACAAGGUAAGUUAUUCUAUCUUUCAUUCAAGUUAAAAAUUGUUCCCCAUGUAUGCUAGAUAGGAAUAUAACCUUGGAAUUCAACUUUGCAUGAUAAUUAGACAAACAUAGAUCCAAGGUUAUUAGGGUUGCAUGUACACUUAGGAAGUGUUAGAAUGCUCAAAACCCAUCAGUGGUAUCAGAGCCUAGGCUUGUUUGUUUGUUAUUUGUGCUUAAAAGUUGAAGAAAGUCGAAAAUCUUGCUGUCUGACUGAUGGACUCGGCGAGUCCAUGGGGAGGACUCGACGAGUUCAUGUGUAUCUUCAACCUACUCGGCGAGUAGGUUUAUGCACUCGGCGAGUAGGGUCGACAGAGUGCAGAAUUUCGACUUGUGUUGCUGGAAAUGGAUUAGAAUCAUUACCCUAAAAUGUUUUGGUACUUGAAAACUUAUUUUAGAAGGUGUAAUGUCUUUUCUAACUCAUUUACAACAACUAGUUAUCAAAAUUACAAAGAUUAAAUGUGAUUUUGAUUCUUGAAAGUGUUCAUAUUCAUAUUCUUGUUCUUAUGAUGUUUAGAUGAUCAUAGGAAUUAUUUGUAACCUAUGUGGUAGAUUAAUUCAUGAUCAUAAUGUGUUUUAAUGGAGUCCAUAACUUGUCCUCAAGUUAUGGAAAACCAAAAGUCUCUUGGAUUAAAAAACAUUAAAAGAACACAAGAGUUAGGAAAAAUGAAAAGUCCUCAUUUUAUUACUCUAUUAAACUCAUAAGUUACAAGAAAUGAAAAGUUUUGAAAGUUUACAAAACUUGCCCUCAAGUUUUGGAACAAGUAAAGUUAAGUUAAAACUUUAGUUCCAACCCCUAGAAUUUUAAAAGUUAAAAUUCAACCCUUAUACUUAUAUUAUUAUGAUUUAAUAAUUAUAUAUAUAUGUAUAAGAACAAAGUCGUCUUACCGCUAGUACGCCUCAUUCACGAAGCCGGUCUAUAAGGUGGGUAUAAGGUUGUUGCCUAUAAAAUGGUGACUUAAUGGGUGUCCACUCUCACCCACCGCUUGCUUGAUCGGUGGAGGGUCGUUAGCCGAACGGGUAAGACAAGGACUUAUUAAUUCUCAUUCAAAGUAUGAUGAAUAUUAUAAAGUAACUAAAUGUUUUAUUAAAUUCCCAAUCUUAGUUACUUUAGGAAAAAUGUGAAUAAGGUGCUAUUCCAUGAAAUUACACUUUACACUUUGAUUAAGUCGUUGGUGGAGCGUGUGUGGUUAACCGGCACACUAACUUGGACUUAACAAGGUAGGUAAAGGGUGACUUAGGGUUUAUUAUAGUAUCGAUGGAGCGUGUGUGGUUAACCGGCACAUCGAUUGAGUGAUAAACUUUAAGGGUACCAAGUGAUUUGCAUGGUUACUUCACACCUCGUUUUGUGAUCCUCGGUAUCCCAGUCACAAAACUUGGAGGGCACACUCGAGAUUGAAACAUGCCUUUGAAAAGUUCAUUGAAUCUCAAAGAAUCUAGGAAUUUCUAAGAACCAUUCAAAAACCUAAUACUAAAAUAUUGCGGUUUUCGUGGUGGAAAUUGGUGAAUCGUCAUUCACCUACCUUUCAAAUAUGAUAUAGCUUAGAUUACGGCAUACCUCUUCUAAGUUAUAUUAUAUUGUGAUUGGAUCCUAGCCUUAAUAUUACAUUUGGGUGUUUUAUUAAGGACUCUCUUAUAUCUAAACUAAUCUUGUCCUCUUUCCUUCAGAUGUCUUUCAACAAUGCUUCUGGCUCUAAUCCUAAUGGCUCCUUUACCCUUAUGAACUUGUGUGGGAAAGUCACCUUUGAUGGAUCCAACUUCAAUGAGUGGAUCAGAAACAUCAGGAUGAUUACCCGCUACGAGGACAAAGAAUAUGUCCUUGACAAGGAGCUUAAGGAGAUUGAUGAGUCCACUGCAACUCCUCAGGAGAUCGCUGAAUUUCGGGCACAUGAAAGGGAUGCUACGAAAGUGGCUUGCAUCAUGAUGGCCACGAUGACAGCGGAACUCCAAAAGUCUUAUGAGGAUUUCUACCCUUAUGAAAUGCACCAAGAUUUGAUGGAAAGAUACCAUCAAAGUGCAAGACAAGAGAGGUAUGAAAUCAUCUGCUCCAUGAUAACAACCAUGAUGAAGGACGGGGAAUCCGUCACGAGCCACAUGCAGAAAAUGCAAAGGUAUGUGGAUCGUUUGCUGAAGCUUAAUGUGAACUUCCCGGAGGAUCUUGCAAUAGAUAUUAUUUUGCAUUCCUUACCAUCGUGCUAUGAUCAAUUCCGCAUGACAUAUCACAUGAACAAGGAAGAAGUCACCCUCAGCAAACUUCAGGGACUUCUCAAGACCGCAGAAUCAGGUCUUAAGGGGAAGUCGGUUGCUAUCACUCCUACUCAAAACUCUACUCCGGUUUUGGCAAUCGGGAAAAGUCGAGGGAGGAAGAGAAAGAGCUCUUCUAAGGGUACCAAGGUUCGGACCCUUGAUGGCUCUUCUUCAAGUGGAACCAAGAAAGGUUUCAUUACUCCUUCUUCUGACCCAAAAGAGGCUGAAUGCUUCUAUUGCCAUGAAAAAGCUCAUUGGAAGCGGAACUGCCCAAAAUACCAGCAAGAUGUGAAGGAUGGGAAAGUUAAACCCAACCAUGCAGGUAUUUACACUAUCAUUUCUAAUAACUCACCCCAUUCUAAUUCUUGGGUCCUUGAUACCGGGUGUGGUAUUCACAUUUGUUGUGACUUGCAGGGACUAAGAAGAAGUGAGGAUGUGGAGCAAGGAAGGAUAAACUUGAUCAUGGGGAAUAGGAAAGCUAUACCUGUUACCAAGAUUGGAGUUUAUACUUUAUCGCUAAGUAGUGGGUUUAGUUUAGAUUUGAAUAAGUGUUGUUAUUCGCCAGGAAUGGCAAGAAAUAUUAUUUCCUUUCAUGCUUUGUACAAACAAGGGUUUACCUUUUCAUUUAAUAAUGAAGUUGGUUCUAUAGAUGUUUUCUAUAAUAAUGUCUUUUAUUUUAAAGCAUUACCUUGUGAUGGUGUGUAUGAAGCUGUAUCUGUUGUAGAUAACUUGGGAAAUAAUGUUUUGUGUAUUGAUUCUACUAAUAAUAACUUGGAUAAAGCAUCUUUAUGGCAUUGUCGUCUUGGACAUAUAAGCAAGAAACGCAUAGGCCAACUCCAAAAGGAUGGAGUCUUGGAGUCGUUUGACCUAAAGUCAGAUGAUAGUUGCGAAUCAUGCUUACUUGGAAAAAUGACAAAGUCACCCUUCACAGGUUCGUGUGAGAGGGGUGAAGGUUUGUUGGACCUUAUACACACGGAUGUGUGUGGACCAUUCAAACAUGCCACAAGGGAUGCUAAUCGUUAUUAUUUGACUUUUACUGAUGAUUAUAGUAGAUAUGGAUAUGUCUACUUGAUCAAGCAUAAGUCAGAGACUUUCGAGAGGUUUAAGGAAUUUAAACAGGAAGUCGAGAAUCAAUUGGGCAGGAACAUUAAGAUGCUUCGAUCCGAUCGUGGUGGUGAGUAUCUUAGUUCAGAGUUCCUCGACUAUCUAAGGGAAUGUGGGAUAGUCUCACAAUUGACACCUCCCAGGACACCACAGUUGAAUGGUGUGGCUGAGAGGCGUAAUCGAACCUUGUUAGAUAUGGUUCGUUCCAUGAUGAGUCGAGCUACGCUACCAAUCUCAUUCUGGGGGUAUGCCUUAGAGACUGCCGCCCAUAUUCUUAAUCUAGUCCCUACAAAGAAAGUUGCCAAAACUCCUCACGAGAUGUGGACUGGUAAAGUACCUAAACUAGACCACAUCAAGAUUUGGGGUUGCGAGGCUUUCGUGAGACGCGAGACUCAUGAUAAGCUCGAACCUCGAAGCGAGAGGUGUAUUUUCAUCGGUUACCCACAGCGAUCCUUUGGUUACCUCUUCUACAGACCUAGUGACAAUGUGGUCUUUGUAGCAAGAAGAGGAGUCUUUCGAGAAAGAGAGUUUAUAAGCCAAGGAGACAGUGGGAGGCAAAUUGAUCUUGAAGAAAUUCAAGAAUCAAGCGGUGAAGGAACUUCAAACUCUAGCCCUCAACUUGAGGAGGAAACUCCUGUUGAGCCAAUUGACAAAUCUGUACCUCUGAGACGUUCCACGAGAGUUAGGAGUGCACCUGAGCAUUACUAUGGAUUCCAUAUUACUGCAGAAGGUGAGACACUUAUUAGUGAUGAGACACUAGUAAGUCAAGAUGACCCUAACAGCUACGAGGAAGCCAUGGCAGGCCCCGAGUCUGCUAAAUGGAAAGAGGCUAUGGAUAGCGAGAUACAAUCCAUGUAUGACAAUCAAGUUUGGAACUUGGUUGAAAAUGUACCAGGUCGUAAGACAGUAGGGUGCAAAUGGGUCUUCAAGAAGAAGACCGACAUGGAUGGUAAAGUACACACUUAUAAGGCUAGACUGGUUGCAAAGGGCUUCUCUCAAAUUCCUGGAGUGGAUUAUGAUGAGACCUUUUCUCCGGUAGCCAAGAUUAAGUCUAUUCGGGUUCUGUUAGCCAUAGCUGCAUUUCAUGACUAUGAAAUAUGGCAGAUGGAUGUCAAAACCGCUUUCCUUAAUGGAAAGUUGGCUGAAGAUGUUUACAUGAGUCAGCCAGAGGGUUUUGUCAGCAACGAGUACCCUAAUAGAGUGUGUAAGCUUGAGAAAUCCAUUUAUGGAUUGAAGCAAGCACCUCGCAGAUGGAAUCUUUGCUUUGAUGAAAAGGUCAAGGAAUUUGGCUUUUCUAGGAGUGAAGAUGAAUCUUGUGUGUAUGUCAAGGCUAGUGGGAGUAUAGUUAGCUUUUUGGUAUUGUAUGUGGAUGACAUACUACUCAUAGGAAACGACAUUCCAACCCUGCAGGAAGUAAAGUCCUGGCUUGGGAAGUGUUUCGCUAUGAAGGACCUUGGUGAAGCUGCCUAUAUUCUAGGGAUAAGAAUCUUGAGAGAUCGGAGUAAAAGACUAAUUGGACUUAGUCAGAGUACCUACUUGGAUAAGGUGCUGAAGAGAUUCAGCAUGCAGGAUUCCAAGAAAGGAGAGUUACCCAUCCAGAGUAACACCAGAUUGAGUAAGACACAAAGCCCUAGCACUGAGGCUGAGAUAGCAGAAAUGAGUCGAACACCUUACGCUUCGGCUGUAGGAUCGAUCAUGUAUGCUAUGACGUGUACUCGACCCGAUGUAGCUUUUGCCUUGAGCAUGGUUAGCAGGUAUCAGGCGAACCCUGGCAAGGCACACUGGACUGCGGUAAAGAAUAUCCUCAAGUACCUACGGAGGACUAAGGACUGGGUCCUUACCCUCGGUGGGAGUGAUGACUUGAGAGUUGUAGGGUAUAGUGAUGCUAGCUUCCAGACUGAUAGGGAUAAUUUCCGCUCUCAGUCGGGCUGGGUCUUUACCCUAAACGGAGGAGCAAUUUCUUGGAAGAGUUCCAAGCAAGAGACAGUGGCAGAUUCUACUUGUGAAUCAGAGUAUAUUGCAGCUAGCGAAGCAGCAAAGGAGGCGAUAUGGCUGAAGAACUUCAUUGGAGACCUUGGAGUUGUACCAGCUAUUAAAGAGCCAAUGGAAAUUUUCUGUGAUAGUGAAAGUGCUGUUGCCUUAGCCAAGGAACCAAGGGAUCAUGGGAGAUCCAGACACAUCGACAGAAAAUACCAUUUCAUUAGACAUCGGAUCGAAGAAGGACUCCUCGUGGCAAAGAGGGUAUCAUCGGAUGAGAACCCAGCAGAUCCCCUCACGAAGGGACUGAGUAGGGUUAAGCAUCUCCAGCAUGCUCGGAGCAUAGGGCUGAAGGAUGAUAUAAGUUUUAGUAGUUAGAUAACCCAGAAAUUUGUAAAGUGUAAUUGACAUUUGAUGAUGAAUAAAAGGUGUUUUAUUUAUGAGUAAAGUGUUGCUAUCUCUUGUCAAUCGUUUACUAUAUUUCUUUUGCAUGUUUUGACUUCCAGAAUAAUUUUGUUUGGUGUAACAUAUUAUUCAAACCUCCACAGUCGGUCAUAUGUCGGAAGUAGGUAUGAAUCAAGACUGUCAUGAUGGGUUGUAGAGGUCUAAGGUGUUGGACAAGGCUACAACAAUCAUGAGUGCUCAUAAGUUCUGAGCAUUGGACUCAACCCACGCUCACUGGAAUCACUUCAUGGAAUUCUAUCUCGAGUGAUCGUGAGACGGUAAUAUCAUAUAAGUCUUCAAACCUAGAGAUAUGAUUUGUUACUUACAAGUUGGUUAUGCAUUGACUGUACGAAACCGCAUUGGUAACUCGAUGUUAUAAAACGUACUUUUGUGUGUAAUUCAAUGAGUGGUAGAACAAACAUAUGAGUCGAAGUUUAUCUGUUCCUUCUUGGAUUAGAAGCUGAUAUCUGGGCCCCUCGAUGAUUUUGUUUUGACCCAUGUACCGGGCCCGGUCAGAACUAAGUUGAUGUGUUCAAUUAAGUUCUAUGUCAAACAAAUCGGAAAUCGGGAAACAAAUGCUGGACAAUAAGCAAGACAAUGUUCCAUGUAUUUGUCCGGCUGAUAUCUAGAACGGAGGAUUAUAUGAUCACUUAUCUUAAAUGGCGUACCAUCAUCUUCUCAGUUCCGAGAGACCUUGAAAGAGCUACGAUUGCCGGUCGGUUCCUGAAGUACUAGAGAUAUAGUUAUUAGACUUAUCCAAGUGGGAGACUGUUGGAUAAGGUGUCUAAGUCCAUAACUAUUUCGGGCUUGUACUUGACCCGACCCGGCAUGGUCCAUUUGGGUUGCAUGGCACCAUGCAAUUGGAUAGACUAAAUGAGAGAAAUAACACUUGGAGAUUAUUAAUAUAUUAUAAGUUCUAAUAUAUUAAUAAUAUUAUUUGAUUAGUUGAUCAAAGAAUUAAUUUGGAAUUAAUUAAGUGAUCAAAGGAUAACUAAUUAAAUAUAUGGGUUGAUUAUGUAAAUCAUCCAUAUCUUGUAUAGUGGGCUAAGAGGCUCCAUGGAUUAUCAAGUUGGGUUCUACCCAUAGGAUGCUCCAUGGAUGCUCCAUGGGAGUUACAAACCCAUGGGUCAUGGAAAUGAAGAGUCAUGACACAUUAGGGUUUACAUGGUGUAACCCUAGAUGUGUCAACACUAUAUAAGAAUCAUAUUCUCCACCAAAAUCGGCUACACUAAGAAACUAGAGGGCUUGGCCGAUUUUGAGAAGUGUGUGUUAUCUCAAGAGUCUUUCCAAGAGCAUUUGGUGUUGUGUGAAGCAUUUGAGGCAUCACACUUGGGGUGCUAGGCUCACAAGGUUUCAAGGAACACAAGCAACAACAAGGUAAGUUAUUCUAUCUAUGAUUCAAGUUAAAAUUGUUCCCCAUGUAUGCUAGAUAGGAAUAUAACCUUGGAAUUCAACUUUGCAUGAUAAUUAGACAAACAUAGAUCCAAGGUUAUUAGGGUUGCAUGUACACUUAGGAAGUGUUAGAAUGCUCAAAACCCAUCAACUCUGCCCAUCAGUCUGCGGAUGGAACGCCGUGCUAAAAUGUAGUCUCGUGCCCAGUUCCUUGUGGAACUUCUGCCAAAACGGGAAGUAAAUCUGACAUCCCGAUCGGAAACAAUGGAAAAUGGGACCCCAUGGCGAGAGACAAUCUCGCGGACGUACAGGUCGGCCAACUUCUCUGCCGAUGAACUCUCCCAUAUGGCUAGGAAAUGGGCACUCUUGGUCAAUCGAUCCACGAUGACCCAUAUAGCAUCAAACCCCUUUUCCGUCUUCGACAACUUCGUGAUGAAAUCCAUCGCGAUCAGUUCCCACUUCCACAUGGGAAUCUCUAGAGGCUGCAGCUUACCGUGCGGCCUCUGAUGUUCGGCCUUGACCAUCCUACAGGUCAAGCACCUCUCAACAAACCAAGCGAUAUCUCGCUUCAUACCAGGCCACCAAUAACUCGAACUCAAAUCACAGUGCAUCUUGGUGGCUCCCGGGUGAAUACAAAACUGAGACUUAUGAGCCUCCUCCAUCACUGUCUGCCGGACCCCUUCGGACAUCGGAACCCAAACCCGACCGUAACGGGUCAACAAUCCGCGGCUAUCCUGAACAAACCGGGCGCUUUCACCCUUAAUCCUUUCCAACUUCCAGUUCUCCGGCCUCAUACCCUCAAUCUGAGCAUCCCUGACCAAACCCACCAGCGGGGAAUCCACCGUUAUCCUCAUACACUUGGCUGGGGGUAAAGGACCCAACUGAAUUACGGCUCAGAGCAUCCACAACUACGUUCGCUUUACCAGGAUGGUAAAGGAUCUCAUAAUCAUAGUCCUUGACCACAUCCAGCCACCUGCGCUGCCUCAUGUUCAGGUUCGGCUGAUUCAUGAUGUGUCUCAAACUCUUGUGAUCCUUGUAUAUAGUACAACGGACCCCGUACAGAUGGUGCCUCCAAAUCUUGAGAGCGAAGACCACCGCUCCCAACUCAAGAUCUUGCGUGGGGUAUCUCAUCUUGUGCGGCUUCAAAUGACUCGAUGCAUAAGCUAUCACUCAUCCCCUCUGCAUGAGGACUGCCCCCAAAUCUGUGAUGGACGCAUCACAAAAUACCACAAAACCCUCAACUCCCUCGGGGAGUGUCAACACCGGCUGAAUAUACUGUUGAGCCCUAGCUGCCGAACAAAACCCUGAUCCCAACCUGGUGCCCUCACCAUAUGUAGUGACAAAGAACAUGGUUUGGCAUGCGGAAUUAAAGCUUGCACAAUUGAACAUGGUGAUUUGGGUGUUUAAGAGAUAUAUUGAAUGUAUAUGGUGUUACAAAAAGGACUAGAUCUAGACUACAUAAUUAACACACACUUACACACUCACUUCUACAUCUCUCAAGCACACCUCUAUAAGUGGACAAACCCACCUUAUAUAGAGGGGUUUACAUGCCUCUCUCUCACUCUAACAAUCAAAUGGGUCUAAAGGCUAAAGCACCACAUGCAAGUGGGUUUUACAAAAGUCAAACAUUUACAAAGUCAUGAAUGAAGAGCUUUGCACCCCAACAUUCUCCCCCUCAAAGUUAGGAAUGAAUCACCCAUUUCAAAUCUUCCAAAAUCAAGCACUACGCGGUUCGAGCCUCAAAGGUGACACAUGUCGAAACGAACUUCAAUCUUCAAUUCUUCCAUGACUCUUCAAUUUGGGCUCUAGGAUGUGAGACCUUACAAACCGAGCAGCAACGAAUGAUUAAGAGUAUUCCAAACUCCAAAUAAUCACCCAAAAGUUGCGCAUAAAAACACACCCCAAAAAUCUUCAAUAAAACCAAACCCAUUUCGAAUACAUCACUUCCGAACAUCCAAUUACAUCAUCUCGUAGGCUUCAAAACUUCAAGAUCACUUCGGUCUUCAAAUCCGCGUAAUAUGAAAAAUUCAAGUUCGAAUUUCCAUAUAAAACUUCUCCCCCUUUUUAUAAUCGAAAUUUGAUUAUAAAACUCCAAAGGAAAAAGAACGUGCUAUAUUCGGAAUUUUUCAUGUCAAAACUCCCCCUUAACAUGUGGCAUAAACUUUGAGCUUCAAUCCGGAAAACCCAAAAAAUAAUCAAUUUGUUUUUCCAUUGCUGUUCAUUGAUCUUGAAGCCCUUAACAUGUGGAAUUUUUCACGGAUCGCCUUUGACAAAAUUUCUCAAAAAUGGGUAGAAAUUGUCAAUUUCAAAAUUCUGCAGUGACCCGUUGCGCCCAAAACAGCAAAAUAUGCAAAACUCUCCCCCUUUUCCAAAUCUGGGUAGAAAGCGUCAAUUUGCACAAACUGCAGGGGCCUGAAAUGCACAAUCUUCAAAUUUUAGCAAAAAAUAGUCCUUUUUCGAUUUUGGGUGAAAACUGCCAAAAAUUCGAAGUCUGAGGGACCAUUUUCGAAAUUCUGCUCUUUGUUCACAAUUCAUACGAAGAUUCCGCAAAUAUUCGAAGCUCCAAAUUUUUUUUUGAAAUCGGGUGAAAAGUGUCAAAUAUUCAGAAAUUGUGUUAAUGUUCGAAGUGCCAAAAAUUCGAAGGAUCAGGGGCCGUUUUCGAAAACUUGCCAUUUCAUCAAAUCAUACGAAGCCUUUUUCCAUUUGUCAACUAUUCAAAACAAUAAGGGCCAUUUUCAAAAAUUCUAUCUUCCUUCUUUUUAAUUCAUAUGAAGACUUUUUGACAAAACAUAUCAAGCAUACGAAGAGUGACUGUGAACAGUAAUGCACAAUGAUACCCUUCGUAUGUUAACCCAGUUCUUCGUUUUUUUUUUCAUCUAUUACCCUUCGCCUUUUGCAAUCCAUUCAUAUACCCUUCGUUCCAAAAUCAUCAAAAUCAAUAGAUCCUUCGUUCAAACACCCUUCGUAUGAAUCUUUUAACAUCUCUUCGUACAAAUCCAAGUUUUUCCCAAACCAACACCAACUUAGUCUUCGAAAAUUAGUAACCCAAACCAAUUCUUCGCUUUUUGGUGUAAACCAUCUGUUCUUACAGUUCUUCUUCACUUCGUACAUCAAUCACCAAAAACCAAUCCUUCGUUCAUUAACCAUGUAAUGCCCUGUCGUCCAAAUUGAUUUCAUUAAAAUCCAAAUAGGCUUCGCUUUUCCAGUUGAUGCCAAUGAACAAACGUGAUCAACCAUUUGAUUUUACAGUUCACUCUUCGAAUCUUAACCCAAAUCGAUCAUUAACCCUUCGUUUUUUCAGUUUAUCCCAAAACUGAUUCCACUACUUUCAUUCUUCACUUUUCAGUUUAACCCAAAACGAACGAAAUCGUUUCUUUGUUCCUUACAGUUCUUCCCAAACUCAUCGACAUCAAGAACAAACACAUCUAUUCGUUCACUACUUCAAUCGAUAUCAACUUAAUCAACACAAAUCAAGCUUGCAAAAUCACAGAAUGAACGGAAUCAACAAACCAAACUUGAUUAUCAACCAUACGAAAUCAAAAUCAUCAGACUUCUCUAUUUAUGUAAACUCGAUUUUGACUUUUUGGUUGACCCUGACAAACAACAAAACUAUUGAUCUUUAAUCCAAUUUUGGAUCAAACACCCAUUUUUAACAUAAAUCGUAACAUUCUUCAACUGUUCUUCAUCGAGUUCUUGACCGAUUUUAUCAAAAUCAAAAACUAAAUUGUUGACUUCUCAACUACAACUCGAUCAUAAUCGACUGAUAAUUAUCCAAAUCAGAUUCAGUCAAUUCAUAAGUUCAGAAUCGCAAAUCGUUGAUCAACUUUCAUAAGCGAAAAAGAAAACUCAAGAACAUUAUGAUUACAAGUCAAAAUAUGUUUGAGCUGAUUACAAGAACAUUAUGGUACAACCGAUAAAAGCGUACGUACAUAUCAAACAAAGAACAACGAAUUUUAGAAUUAAAUCACAUUGGAUGAAUUUUGGGUUCCAUCAAAGAUAUCGGAUAAAAAAAUAUGUAUGGGCUCAAAUUUAAACAUGAACAGUGACAGAUUCGUACAUUGGAUCAUAAACGAACAAAAUAUUGGGCUGUUGAUAACCACACAUAUCGAAAUUAUCAAAUAAGAGUAUGAAUUGGGCUCCAAGUUCAUUUAUGAACAGUAAGAUGUCAAAAUUUUUGGCUAAAUCAAAAUAAAUGGAUCAUAAUGAAUUUUGAGCUCAAAUCUCGAUUCAAACGAACAACUGUAAAAUCGAGUCGAACAAACAAAUAUGAGAUUGGAUCGGACUUUGAUCAACGAAAAAAUUAUUGGAUCAUAACAAAUGGGUUUUCAAAGAACAUUUGAUCCAAUGAGUCAAACGAUCAAAAAUUAAGAACGCAACGCACGAUUCAAAGAGAUUAAGAGAGAUCAUAGAGAGAGACUCACCAAAAUUGAUCAAAUUACGACAAAAUUUGCCAAACCGGGAAUCAUUCUUCAAAUAUCACCUUGAUCUUGAAGACCCGCUCUGAUACCAAUUGUUGUGACAAAAAUACUACAAGUUCUCCCCCACUUGGGGUUCGAACCCCCACCCGCUAUCCCUCAUAGUCGAUCAUGGCGCCAAAACGGCUAAGCCAAUCCAUCCCUACAAUCCCAUAUACAUCCCCCAUGGGGAUAGGAAUCAAAUCUAUCGGGAAUGACACCCCGAAAAUCUCCAACUCGCAUCCCCGGUAGACCGAAGAAAUAGAAACCCCGUGCUCUUUGGCGAUCGAAACUCGCAACGGGCACUCAAGAUCAUCCAUCGGCACACUAAACCCUCUAGUGAAAGUCUGAGAUACGAAUGACCGACUGGCCCCCGAGUCAAACAAAACCAAAGCAGGCAAAGAAUUUACUAAAAACGUACAUAAUCAUAGGUACAACCAAUAAGUACAACACAAAUACGAUAACUGAGACAGAGAAUAGAAACGUACCAGCAACCAUAUCCGGUGCUGACUUGGCCUCCUUGGUCGUGAGCUGGAAGGCACGACCCUGAGCCUUCGGAGGCUCCAACUUAACUGGCCUCCCGUCUCAAAUCAUUACAGUAGCUGGCACAGAACCCUGCACCGACUUCGCGGCGAGCUGCGGACAACUGGUCUUCACAUGACCAACCUGAUGACAAUGGUAACAAAUCCUCAUAUCUGUGGGAGGGGCGGGCUGAUGGUAGCCCUGGCAUAGUGCCCCUCCUUUCCACAUUUGUGGCACCCACUUCCUGCUCUACAAGUUCCCGAAUGAACCCUGCCACACUUUCCACAAGUGCGGCUCUGCUGACCCACACCGUGUAUCAGCGGUCUUAGCCCGCUUAGGCGCCGGCUGAGACUGUGCCGGUGCCUGACGCUGCUCCUUCAGCUGCUGCUCUAUCUCAACUCACGCUGCCUCGCGGCUUCCUGAAGGUCCCGGAGGGUAUCACAACGCUGUGUAGCCACAAACUGCCAUAUAUCCAUCUUAAGCAUACUCAGAUAACGAGUCAUCUGAGACUGUUCUGACGCAAACUCUGGGCAAAACAUAGCCCUCUCAGUGAACAUCCGGGUGAUCUCCAUCACCGACUCCCCAUCUUGUCUCAAUGUCAAAAACUCCUGAGCAAGCCACUCCCAUUCCACGCGCGGAACGUAGCGGGUGCAAAACAUAUCCCGGAACUGCUCCCAAGUAAUAGCAUCCCACUAAUCAUCAGAAUAUGAACCUGUCUUCAAUCUCCACUAGUCCUUUGCCCCGAGCCUAAGCAGUUUCAGAGCACACCUGACCUUCUGGUCAGCAGGACAUGAGCACGUGAAGAAACAGCCCUCCACGUCAGACAACCACCACAUAGCCCUGAUCGCAUCCUGUGUACCAUCAAAUGUCGGGGGCUUCGUAUUAUCGAAGUCCCGAUACUGGAAAGCCCUGCCGGCUCCUCCUCCAACCCCUGCCGCAGUUACAGCCUAAGUGGCUGCAACGACAGCUAUCUCUGCUAGAGCUGCAUAUCGCUCAACAAAAUACUCAACCAUUGCGGUCUUAAUCGACCCAAACAUCUCUGGCAGCUGUGCUCGGAACAUAGCAACAAUCUUGUCUUGCAUGAUCUCCCGGAUCCUGGCAUCCAACUCCUUGGUCCCUAUUUGUACCACGGGCUUAGGUGCUACCGGCACCUCCAACCCUCAGUCUCCCGACCCCGAUCCUGAUCUUGAUCCAGAAGCAACACGUCUCGUCACCACCAUACUGAAAUAUAUAUACAAGUCAUCAAAUAAAUAACAUAAUGUCGGGAGACCAAAACCCACAAACCCUAGGGGGUGUGAUUUCCUUGCUAAGCAUAUGGGUCCUGUGCUUUAAGUAGUACGGGCCCAUACUACCUUCCACACCUACCCAUAUUUGUCUCAAGUAACACCACAACGCCCUAACAAUAUUAUCAACAUAGAAAUGCGCUCAACCCUCACUUCUAGGGGAAUACCAACUAUCUCGCACCUAGUCUCACCACUUAUCAUGACUCACACAUCCAUGAAACUUCCAUCAUCCCCUGCCGCGCCAGUGCAUGCUAGCUGUACGUAACACUGGAACCAAUAGACUUUCGAAUAUCCAAUCCAACCCAAAGGUCGAAUCAACAUUUUCAGGCUAUAAGGUCUUUAUUAUGAACAACCGUGAUGCAUACACUAAAAAUCUACAGUUAUGAUGUCAAUUCCACAUACAAGAAACCCUAGGCUAAUAGGCAUCAUGUAACUAGGCAAAUCUAUCAUGUGAUUCCUGAAGAUCCCUAGCCUAGCACUAGCAUGCUGUUCUAACAUAUCAUAAUAUCAAAUAACUAUAUGGUAUUUUGGGGUUUACUUACAGGCUCCGGCUGAUCGUACCCUCUACAUCCUCCAUCCUUUAUUUUGAAAACCAUUUCAAAAACUUACUUUCUGAAAAUCUCCUUGAUUUGAGACUGAAUUCACACGAGAGUUCCUCCAAUUCACUCAAACCAAGGCUUUGAUACCAACUUGUAACAUCCAUAAAUUUUACGCCAAAUUUAAACUUUUCAAUCAUAAAUAAAAACCAAAUAGCAUUGUUUACAAAAAUGUUUUCGAAUCAUUAUCCAUCAUAGUGUCACAAAAUCAUAACAUAAGGAUGAGGAGUGGUACGGUCACGCCUUCGCCACUACAAGAAAAAGACCCUUUUACGACGCGCAAGCAACGACACUCGGAGAUUUAUGUUACGCAAAAGAGAGUGACGUUAAAAAAAAUGUUAUCUCUUUAAAAAAUUUAAGAAUUUAGGUUGCACAUUAUUGCGUGCCCUUAAAUUAGUGUCUCAUGUAAAAAAAUUAAAAACACGAAGGGCACUUUAUCUAAAAGGUGCGCCGUCUAUGAAUGUCGUUUUAUAUUUUUUUAAGGAACGCGCUUCUCCUUAGAGGGAAAAUGAAAUCUCCAAAUUUUUUAAACCCCCACCUUCUUCUCCCUCGUCUCCACCCCCUAAUCGAAGCUACCAGUUGAACAACCCCUAAUCCACACCACCACCUUCUCGUCUCUCCUUCUCCACCAGGUUUUCUCUCAUCUCUAUCCUCCACCUUCUGGAUUGUAAAGGCGUCAUUUUAUAAUUCUUUUACCAAACGCACAUCCAUUAUCCUCAAUUACAAAAGGCGUCCAAAUCUAGGGGUUUUUUUUCAAGAAGAAACCAAACGGGAGUGCUCUCUUCAACAUUCGAUACCUCCGCUCGCCCCACCUGCUGGCGACCUUGGUUCUUAUAUCCUCCCAGUUUUUUGCGUUCUUCUUUCAGAAAUUUAAUCGAACAAGAUCUUGUGCCAGGCAGUUAAUCUAACGAUGGCGACAUUUUGAUUUUGAUCUCAAAAUACAUCAAAUACGAGCUUAUGUUGGAACUGAUUACCUAUAUAUCUUUUCCUUUAUGGGAUAAAUACAUCGAAUACGAGUAACAACAACAAUAGUGUUCCAAUCUUGCAUUGAUAUACACACACGGAUAUCGGAGCAUCCUAAUCAGCAAUUGGACCGCUAUUAUAACAGGUGAUAUACAAUUUUUUACGUAGAAGAGCCUCUAGCUUUUGUUAGGUCCAAAAUAAACUAAACAUGGUCAUACUCUUUCCUACAGUUUACAGCUUUAGGGAUUAAUAGCAAGUCGCCCUUUAUCUGAACUAAAAACCGCUGAGGAAGUUGCAGCUGCAACAAAUUCUAAAGACGAAGCCAAUAUUGAAGAAAAUGAAUGGGAAUUUCAUCCGGAUGCAGUGGAAAAACCUUCUAAACCUGUAAGUGAAGGCGUAAUAGAAGCUGAAGAGGUGGAGUCUUAUAUUGCCAUUAGAGAAGAGCUGUACAAGAAGGCUAAAGAAUUUGAUUCAAAGAUUAUUGAUUUUGGGACUGCUAUCAGAAGACCCUACUUGCAUAAGGUUUUUAACAUUUUUUUUGAUAAUGUAUACAGAGGCAACCGGAGAUUCACUUAUUCACUUGAUCUUACUUGUGAACUUUGAAUAUGUGUGGGUCCGAAGGGCUUCAUAUGGACGGAAAAGUGAUAUAGGAUAACGAAAGGAAUAUAACUGUUAACAGUUGAUCAAAAUCAAAAGAUACAAUUGGUAUUCUUUGUUUAGGUUUUGUUACUGCUUAAUAUAUAACUUCUGCAUGUUAAUUGCCACAGAGACGACAACCUUUAGGGUUUGCGUUAAGGUUGAUUGUUACAGAGAUAUGGAAACUUUAAUGAGAAAGCUUAACUGAAGAACUUAUAAAACGACUAGAGUAUAGAGUUUCCUUGGCUGAUGAAUGGAUUAUCUCUAAUUAUGUAGCAGGUACUCCACACUCAAACAAACACUGAUAUAGUUUCGUAGGCUUUCAAGUUUCAAUAUUGUAUUCCUAUUUAACAUACUGAGUCUACUCUUGCAAAAGUUGUGGCGAAUUUUUUUUUCUUCAUGCAACUGUAUCACAAAUAUAGCUAACUGGAAAUAUUAUUAUGAUUAGGUUAUCUAGUUCUUCAUUUAGACCUCUACUUGUAUUGCCUAGUUAAAAUAUAUAACUUUUAGCACUUUUUGUGUUUAUUUGGACUGAUUAGAUGUUACAUGGUUGAGAAUUUGGAACUGCUAUCACCUUUGUAUGGUUACCUUGGUUGUUCACGGUUGUUAUCUUCUAUACAGGUUUAAGAUACAAUCAAUCACCUAUUUACUAUGGGUGAUAGUGAAACAGUUGUUGCUCAAUCAUCAGCUAUCCAAGAGCAUCCAUCAACUACAGUUAAUAGAGAUUUGGCUGCUUCUACAGGUAUCGAUACCAUGGAUGUAGACAAUGUCAUUCCUCAUGAGGAUGAUCGAGCAUCCAUCCAGGUAGUAUCUUACUGCUGCUAUAGCAACCCCCUAUGUUCUUUAGAGUUCUUGGGCAUAAACUUCCUCUUUUUGGUUCAUAUGGUGGCUUUUUUAUAUAUAUUAGUAGAAAACCAUGUUACACAUCACCCAAAAAACAAAAUGAAAAGAAACUGAACAAAAAACUAUGAGUUUUGAUUUAUGUUAUAGAUAAUAACGGGCAUUUGAUUACUUAAUAGUUUUUAGAAUCAGUCGGGAGUCUUUCCAAGAAUUCAGAAAGUUUUCAAGAAUCAAAAGCUACAGAGUCUUCUUUGCACUUUUUGAAUAGCAACUAGCAAAUCCCUUCUAUCUUAAUGUUCUUUAUAUAACUUAUUUGCUGCAUGAAAUCUUUUCUUAAUGCAUAAGAAUUUCAUGCUUUCAGACUUUACUUACAUGGUUGCUUUUUAUAUCAGGCAUCACCCGAACAUUGUUCUAUUGCUUUUUAUCAAGAGGGGUAAGAACUAAGAAUUACUUUCUUAUUUUAUCUUUUUCUGUUAUUUUUUCAAUCUGAUAAUUUAUAUAUAUUUAAAAUGACUUGUGAUAUUAAUUUGUCCAAUAACUUUUGAUGAGCAUGUGCGUAGGGGUAAAACGGGAAGAGGAAAUGCUCGGGAGAUGGGCUUUGAGAGUUUCCUUGACUUUGUUCUAGCCCUGGAAAACAAAGACACUCCAGAGGGAAUUACAUAUCUUUAAUGAUGUUUAGAUCUUAAUGGAAGAGGCUUCUUUACAACAGCUGAUAUUCACACCCUUUUCAGGUAUAACUAAUUAUUAUUAGGAAAUAGGAAAUUGAAAAUUGGAAGUAAAGGAGGGGAGCAUUUAAAGUUUAAAUGUUGCCUGAUAUACCCUUCCUACAACAAAAAAUAAAAAUGAAAAAUCUCUGCUUUUCCUACUUGUUGCACGCGAGACACGUCUGCAAGCCUCUUGACUAUGAGAUACAUAUUUUCACCAUAUAUUAGUAAUAAAAAAAUAAAAAAAUGAUUUGAUAAUUGAUUGGUACACUACACUACAGGGAUGUGCACCAAAAUUAAAUUUAUUUACUAUUAGUGGAAUUCAAGAUAUGUACAGGAGUGUUUGUUGCCUUUAUAAUUGGUACAAUGCUAACAUGGAGGACCUUGGCAUUGACAGGUUUUAAAUUAGUCUAAAUUAUAUUUAUUUACUACUAGUGGCAUUCUUAUGGAUAAAGAAAAUAAAAGGUGAUGAAUUCUAGUGUUCUGUUUGCAGGAUUAAUCCCUUGUGCUGUUCUAUUAGUGGGACUUUUCUUUGUACCAGAAUCUCCUAGAUGGCUGGUAUGUGAAGUAUCAUGAUUCAUGAAGCUGUUUAAUUUAUCUUCAAGAAAUUAUGUUUGACAUCAUGCAUGCAGGCAAAGAUUGGAAGAAAGAAAGAGUUUGAUGCAGCCCUAAGAAAACUUAGAGGGAAGGAUGCUGAUAUAUCUGAGGAGGCGGAUGAAAUCCAGGUGUUCAUUUCAAAGCUCUCAACUUUUUUUCUUAUUUUUGUUAACGAAUAAAAAUUAUAGAAUUCUUUUUAUGUGUUAUCAAUGGGGUCUUGAAUAUGUUGAUAGGAUUAUAUAGAAACACUACAAAAGCUCCCGAAGGCCAAAAUAUUCGAUUUGUUUUAGAGAAGAUAUUUGCGAUCUGUCACUGUAAGUUUAUUUUCUUGAUAACUCUUGUUGGCUACUUUAAAAAAAAGAUUUUUAUAAUUGUAGUCCGAAUCUUGUUUUGACCAUACAUGGUACUUUUUUUUUUUUUCUGUAAUUGUAGUCUGAAUCUUGUUGGCUACUUUAAAAAAAGAUUUUUCUAACUUGCUCCUGGACGUGAUUGUGCUAUUGAGUUUGAUCUUGGAAGUGGAAGCUAUAAUGUAACUUGCUAUUGCUCAUACAACUUUUGUUGGAAUGUGAGUAUCAUAAUUCAUGCAUUUUUAUAAAAGUUUAAAAUAUUAGUUUAUGUUUUUUCUAUAUAAAAGAUAAAAUAUUUUUGUUGCUAUUGUUGUAGUGUACAAAAGAAACUCAUCGCCUUGUGGACUGUGAAACUGUGUCCAAAUGGAUUAUGAAGAAAAGUGCAGAGUCUGAAAAUAUGAAUUGGUAAAGGUCUAAAUUGCCCCUUGGCAGGUAUGCUGAUCGAAUUGCUAAUGCUAAAUGGGAAGUUAAAGAACAUGGAAUGGAACGCAAAGGUGAUUAUUUUUAAUUUUAGCACCAAAUAUUUUAAAAUAUCAUUUUUUUUAUGUUAAAUCAUAACUAUAACUCAAGGUGCUAUAUCUUUUAUCUGUUGUUUGUAAUGUUGAUAUGAUAACAUUAGUUAAUAACAUAUUUAUAUAACAACUCUAUCAGUUAGCUAAAACUGAUUAUGUCAUUAAUAUAUUAAAUUUCAUAAUUAUUAUUUAUUACAUUAAUGCUUUUAAUAUGUUCUUUAGUUGCUUACACCAUCAGUUCUCAAUGGUCGAUUAGUUAAUGCCCACCAACAUCUCCUAGCACUAAGGAUAUCAGAUUAUCUUGGAAUACACCAAGUUCUGUGAUAUUUUCAAUACCAAUCAUAAGGAGGAAUUACAAUAUGGUGUUAUGGAAGGAGUCAAUCUCUUAGGGAAGUAAUGGAGCCAAAAGAAGGUAGUCUACUCUAGGUGCAGUUUGUUAUUAUUCUAUUGGUGAUUUGAAGCAUGGAGUUGAUUCCUCCUGCAAGUGAAGUUACUUAGUUGGAAUUUGAUGUACAUAGUAGAUUAGAUGCAAAUUUAUUUAUUGUAAGAAAUAGAAUUGUAUGACAUUAAAUUUAAGCAAUGGAUUCUAUUUUUUGUAUAUAAUAUUUUAUUUUCAGUUAUGAAACAUUAAAUACAAAUUUAAUUAGAAAAUAAGUAAACCUAUAAAGAUUUUUUUUAAACAUUUAAAAUUAUGAUACGCAAAAAUGUGUGUCAUCUUCAUUUAUGACAUGGCCUUUCUUGACAGGGGCUUUCUUAAUACGCAUUACGUGUCAUUAACACGCGCGGCGUAAGGUUACGACACGCGAAUGCGUGUCAUCUUCCUUUAUGACAGGGUCUUCCUUGAUACGCAUUGCGUGUCGUAAACGCACGUCGUAAUUGCGCGUCGUAAAUGAGCGUCGUAAAUGCGCGUCGUCUAUAAACGACGCGCAAAAGCGCGUCGUCUCUCUUUAUGACAGGGCCUUCCUUGACACGCAUUUGCGCGUCGUCUGAGCCUUUUACGACGCGCAAUGAGCGUCGUAAAAGGCUGUUUUUCUAGUAGUGCGCCCUAGCGGCAUAUCACACACACUCUUGUUUCCGCAGUUAUGAGUUCAUUAUGGGAUUGAUACUUUGAUAUUUUGGUUGUUUACAUGUUGUGGAUUUCAAAUUUGGGUUUUCGAUGUGAAAUGGUUUAAUUGAACAAUGUUUUNGGCCAUCGGCCUGACUGGACCGCCCUGCGGGGCCUACAGUCUAUCUGGAUCUAUCCCGAGCCUUCGGCAUGACUGGUUCGCCACGUGGGCCUACAGUCUCCCCGGACCGCUCAUAGGGUGUGUGGGCCUUCAACACAAAACAGGAUCGCCUCAACCCAACCAAAAACAAAUAACUAUGUGCGCAUAACUAUCAUAUACUGGCAUAUACAAACAUCAAGCAUAUCUAUCACUGGUCAUCAAUCAUAGAAUUCUCUCAUAACUAGAGUACCGUCCUAGCAGGUCACUAACAUACCAAUCCCUACGGAUCAUAAGAGCAUAGCAUACUGUCUACCCUGAUUCCGAUCUAACAGAUCAUAACCACAUAUAGCAUACCAUAACAAUAACAACUAAAGGGUCGGCCUUGGUGCCGUAGACCCUAUCGAUAUAGUGAGGGUAACUCACCUCAGAGAUGUCGACUCGGAAAGUAAACUCCAACUCCCGGAUCACUUGACACAAGCCCCACUACCUAUAGCACAAUAUACUCGUAAGUCCUUAACCUUAUAAGGUACUCCAUAACCUACUAGUCAACCCCUGAUCAAAGUCAAAGUCCUUAGUCAAGGUCAACAAUCCAUGUUGACCUCGACUCGUCGAGUUCCUUGAAACACAUUCCAACUCGCCGAGUCAUCAGGGUGACUCGUCGAGUUCCUUUGAUUCUCGAUGAAACUUUAAGGCCACCCGUCGAGUUCCCUCCUUGCAACUUGACGAAUACACACGCAUACAUAUCCAGGAGAAAACUCAUCCGCCUCGCCGAGUUGUUCUUCAACUCGUCGAGUCUAUGGAAAUCAUCAUCGGACUCUCCGAGUUGUUCAUCCAACUCGUCGAGUUCACAACCAUCUUUAUGUGACUCGCCGAGUCCAUUCAGUCCUUUUCCCAUACAGACCUAUUUUGAGUCAUGCAACGGCUCCAACUCACAGAUCCAAGCUUCUAGGGCAUGCUCAAAAGGGACCUUAAUCACGAGGCGAUCCUGUUUUGUGUUGAAGGCCAAGUUUCUAGGGCAUGCUCAAUAGGGACCUAUUUUGAGUCAUGCAAACUUUACGUGCAUGCAUGGCUUUAUAGGCUCCAAAUGCCAAAUCUAAGCUCUUAAUGGGGCUUCAUGCUCAAUAGGGACCUUAAUCACGAUCAAAACUGUAACUUUAUGUUUCUAGAAUCCAAAGAGGGUCCGAUCUGAAGUUACAACUUCAAAUCUAGCCCAUAGCUCAUCAUACCAACUUGAUAUUCCAAGAAAACCCUAAAACUCAACCAAUAGAGGAAAUUUAUAAGGAAAAUGACGGUUUGGGUACGUCUGGAAGAUUAUAUCUGAGAUAAGUAUUGAUUUCCACACUCUAAAUGCUCCAAUCUCCUUCUCCUCCACGUCUUCUCCUUCCAAAGAUCCUCUUUUCAAGCUUCAAACACACACAAGGCACCACACACGAAUAAGGGAUCUCAAGGACUCUUUAGAACUGUAAAGAGGUCCAAGGGAGGCUAAGGCCCCUUUAAAUAGGGGUACAAACCCCGAGAUUUAGGUUUUCAUCUGCCUGCUCCUACUCGCCGAGUCCCAAUAUGGACUCGUCGAGUAGGUCACUUAACACGGGAUCCCACCCCCGCUGCUACUCGACGAGUAGGGCAACCUACUCGUCGGGUAGAGCUUAACCCAAUACAUCUUAUUUAAAACAAUACCUGAGAAUUGGGGCAUUACACAAUAACGCGUCCUUUAGAUAAGGGAUCAUGUAGUCCUCCAUUCUCAAGAUAUCGUGUGGACAAAGACAUGGAAUAAAGUCAUACUCAUUGUCUAAUAGUUUGUUUCCCGAUUUCUGAUUUGUUUGACAUAGAAAUUAAUUAAACACAUCAAUUUAUUCCUGACCGGGCCCAACACAUAAGUCAACACAAAAUCAUCGAGGGGCCCAAUAUAUCGCUUUUAAUCCUCUUAGGAUAAAAGGAAGAGAUAAUCUUUGACUUAUAUUCUUGUAGUAUUUACUUCUUAAAUCGUACAAAAUAAUACGUUUAAUAACAUCAAGUUAUUGAUGCGUUUACACACUAUCAAUGCACAACCAACUUGUAAACAAUAACUAAUAUAUCUCGGUUUAAAGACUAUGCUAUUAUCGUCUCACAAUCAUUCAUGAUAAAUUCCAUCAAGUGAUUCAUAUGAGCUUGGGUUUAAUCUAAUACUCAAAUAUUAUUUCAGGAGCACUCAUGAACAUUGCAACAAACCUUUGCUAUGUCCAAACACUUAUACAAUCUACAAACCAAUUCAUGAUAGUCUAACCUCAUAGCCUACUUCCAAAGUAUGAUCGACUGCGGAUAAUUCGAAUAAUCCUAUUAUUCUGGAAGUCAAAACAUGAAAAAGUGAAACAAUAGUAAACAAUUUACACAAGAUAGUAACUUUACUCAUAAAAAAAAACCUCUUUAUUUAAUCAUCAAAUGUCAAUUACAUUUUAUCUAUUACAAGUUUCUAAACAAUUAUCUAACCACUGAAACUAAUAUCAUCCUUUAGACCAAUGCUCCUCACAUGCUGUAAGUGCUUAACCCUGCUUAGACCCUUUGUGAGGGGAUCUACUGGAUUCUCCUCUGACGAUACCCUCUUGAACACGAGGAGUCCCUCCUCUACCUGAUGUUUGAAGAAGUGGUAUUUUCUGUCGAUGUGUAUGGAUCUACCAUGAUCCCUUGGUUCCUUGGUUAACGCAACUGCUCCUUCGUUAUCAUAGAAAAUUUCCAUAUGCUCCUUUAUGGCUGAUACAACUCCAAGGUCUCUGAUGAAGUUCUUCAACCAUAUUGCCUCCUUCGAUGCUUCGCUCGCUGCUAUGUACUCUGAUUUGCACAUUGAAUCAUCUACAGUCUCCUGCUUGGAACUUUUCCAAGUCACUGCUCCUCCAUUCAGGGUAAAUACCUAGCCCGACUGAGAGUGGAAGUUAUUUCUGUCGGUCUGAAAACUAGCAUCACUAUACCCUAUCACUCUCAAAUUUUCACUUCCACCAAUUACAAGGACCCAAUCCUUCGUCCUUCGUAGAUACUUAAGAAUGUUCUUUACUGUUAUCCAGUGAGCUCUACCAGGGUUCCUUUGAUAUUGACUAACCAUGCUCAAAGUAAAAGCCACAUCAAAACGAGUAGACGUCAUAGCGUACAUGAUCUAGCCAACGACAAAAGCAUAUGGUACUCGACUAAUUUCCACUAUCUCGGCAUCGGUACUCGAACUUUGAGUCUUACUCAAUUUUGUAUUGCCCUGGAUUGGUAACUCCCUUUCUUGGAAUUCUCCAUGCUAAAACACUUUAUCCAAGUAAGUACUUUGACUAAGUCCUAUUAGUCUCUUACUCGUAUUUCUCAAUAUCCUUAUCCCUAGAAUAUAAGCAACCUCUCUGAGGUCCUUCAUAGCGAAACACUUCCCAAGCCAGGGCUUAACCUCUUGCAAAGUUGGGAUGUCGUUUUCUAUGAGUAGUAUGUCAUCCACAUACAAUACCAAGAAGCUAACUAUACUCCUACUAGCUUUGACAUGCACGCAGGACUCAUCCUCGCUUCUUGAAAAACCAAACUCUUUGACUUUCUCAUCGAAACAAAGAUCCAUCUGCGAGAUGCUUGUUUCAAUCCAUAAAUGGAUUUCUCAAGCUUGCACACUUAGUUUCGGUACUUUGCAUCCACAAAACCCUCUGGCUAAUUCAUGUAAACAUCCUCAGCCAACUUUCCAUUAAGGAAAGCAAUUUUGACGUCCAUCUGCCAAAUUUCAUAAUCAUGAAACACAACUAUGACUAGCAUAACUCUUAUAGAAUUGAUGUUGGUCACUGGUGAGAAGGUGUCGUGAUAGUCAACUCCCGAAGUUUGAGUGAAACCCUUCGUAGCUAGUCGUGCCUUGAAUGUGUCCACUUUCCCAUCCGUGUCGGUCUUUUUCUUGAAGAUCCACUUACACCCGACCGUCUUACUACCUGUUAUAUUGUUAACCAAGUUCCUAACUUGAUUUUCAUACAUGGACUGAAUCUCGUUGUCCAUCGUCUCUUUCCAUUUUGCAUACUCUGGGCCUGCCAUGGCUCUCUUGUAGUUGUUAGGUUCAUCCAUAUUUAUUAGUGUACUAUCACUAAUAAACAUAUCACCUCAGCAGUUAUAUGGAAACCAUAUAACACGGGCGGAUCACUAACUCUAGUGGAACGUCUAAGAGGUAAGGACUCGUCGAGUCCCACUAUGGACUCGUCGAGUUCAUCUGUCAGGGGCCAGAAAUCGAUUAUUUUCAGCUUUGAACAAUUAACCAUGACAUCAAAUACAACAUAAAAACAGCCUAGGCUCUGAUACUACUGAUGGUUUUUGAGCACUACAACAUUCCUAUGGUGUACAUGCAACCCUAAUGCUUCGUAUCUAUGUUUUUUUCAAGUUAUAUAUGCAAAUCAAAUCAUCCAAAGCAUGAACCCUAACUAGCAUAAAAAUUUGGAAAUUUGUAACAUAAAACAUAGUUAGAAGAAUACUUUUUCCUUGUAGCUUGUUGAUCUUGACCUUCAUGAGCUUAGUGCCUUAAUUCUUGCACCUCGAUUGAGUCACAAACACCAAGUAGCAAGUUGGAAGAAUAUGAGAGAGGCUAGGAGGCUCAAAAUCGUCUAGGGUAUUCUCUUAGAAGCAAGUGGUUGAUUCCAAGGUGUCAUCGGGUCUUUAUAUAGAUGUGCAAUUAGGGUAUUUGAUUGAAACCCUCAUUCUCUGCUUAGGCCUUAAGUAAUCUAGUAGAUCCUUCCAGAAGGUCUCUUAUGGACAAAAUCUAUGUGGGCUAUAUAUAGGAUUUCAUCCAUCCCUUCUUAGGGAUCCACAAGCCCAAGUUUGCAACUAGCAUAUAAUUGCAAUAUCAGUCCCCAUAAUUUAAUCAGUCUCUUUUGAUCACAAAAAUAAUUCCAAAUCAAUUCCUGAUCAAUACUAAUUAAAUAAUAUGAUUUCUCAAUCAAUAUAUCAUUCUUAUAAUAUAUUAAUAAAUCAAAAUUAACCUCUUUCUCCAUAAUUCAUCCAGUCAAGUUGCUAUGGUGAAGGCAACCCAAAUGAACCAUGCUACUAUUAGGUCAAGUACAUACCAAUUAUAGUUAUGGGCUUAGACACCUAAUCCAACACGGGCUCCUUAGAGCUUUCAGGUCUCUCCUUGUCUCGGGUACAAGUCUUGUGCUUUUAGUAGUACGGGCCCAAUACUACCUUCCACACCUACCUGUACAUUCCCCCAAGGCCAUACCUGAUACCUCUAAUUCACCAAAACAUAGAUAAAACAUGACAUACGAAACACAACACAUAUCCUAGAAUCCUUGGGGAUUUCUCAAUCCUCAUAGAACCAGAAGUCUCAAUCAACACCGCAGGUUGCCUUAUGCAUGCAAGUUAUACAUACAUAUAAUCACAUAGACUGUCAAGUGAAGUUUCUACCCUAAGACCAAAAUGAAGCAAGGAACAAGAAGUAAGGAAGAAUCCAUCGUUCUAGGGCUAUGAAAUCCUACACGUAUACAACUUUGAAAGAAUACACUUAGCAAAUAACAAAGACAACAUCGAUUUCAAGCAUUAUAUUCAUAGCAUUGAAUUCUAGCUAGUAGGCUACAAGGCAUCACACAAAUCAGACAAUUCUCAUAACUCCUGAAGGUAUCCUUAGCCCUAUUCUAGCAUGCAUUUCACACAUUAACAUACUGGUUGUAAUUCAUAAGCUUGGUUAAAUUUUUGGAAACACUUACUUGAGCUUGGCCGAUUGCGUGCAUUGCACUCUCCCUUUUUACUUAAGAAAACCGGUUUAAGAAAAAAUUUACUUUUGUUUAUUUUUUAAAAAGGGUUACCAUUUCCUUAGUUUGAGUUCUGACACACCUUCGAGUGUGGCCGAAUUUCUCAAACCAAGGCUAUGAUAGCAACUUGUAACAAUCCAAAAAUCUAGAUAAAAAUUUUCAUUUUUUUAAAAAUAGAAAUUACAAUCAUAAUUUGUUUAUGAAAAUCCAUUACAUGAUUUCAUAUCAAAAUAUCAGAGUAUCGCUAUCGAUAAAUGAGGAAAUUCUUGGGAGUGAUGUUGCGCCAUCAAGCUGGUCCAUUCCCAUCAAUACCAGAAGUACCUAAAAACACCCAAAUAAACUAUAAGCAAAAUGUAACAUCCCAAAAAUACAGGCAAAAAAUUUCAUUUUUAAAUACAUUAUUAUAACACCAGCAGUAUAAUAAGACAUCCAUAAUAUCAUGUCAUGUCAAAACUAAAGUAGAAAUAAUCAAAACAUGUUAUAAUAAAACAAUAUCAAGGUGUAAUCUCAAAGAUCUCAUGUGCGGAAAACCAUAGCGUGAUGCACUGUGAUCAAGCCGACUCCUUUCCUUUAAAAACGAGUACCUGAAACCAAAACUGUAAACCGUAAGCAUGAAGCUUAGUGAGUUACCCCAUCAUACCACAUACCAUACAACAUACAUGCUACGAAGCAUAUCUGGGUGUUGACAUACCCCUUUGGUAACUUUAACCGAUAUCCGGGGACUGUUUCACCCCUAUCACUACCACAUAAUAACAUAGCAUAACAUAUAUAAAUAUACUGUCAUGCAUAUAUGGGUGCCCGACCUACCCCUUCGGUAUCUUUCAACCGGUAACCGGGAGCUAACCUCCCCAUCGGUAUCUUUCAACCGGUAACCGGGAGCUAACUACCCCUUCGGUAUCUUUCAACCGGUAACUGGGGACUAUUUCACCCCUACCACUACCACAUAAUAACACAACAUAAUGUACUGCAAGGCAUGCAUGGGUUCUGACGAUCCCUUCGGUAUCUUUCAACCGGUAUCCGGGGACUAAUAUUUCACCCCUAAUACUACUAACUCAUAUAACAUAGCAUCCUAGAACAUAGAGCAUAUCAGAUAGUUGUAAACUAGACAAUUAUCACAAAGACAAUCAUCUCAUACAUAGUCACCUACUAGUGGGUCAGCAUUGGUGCCUUAGACUGUCACACCCCAAAACCGAGAACGGCGGAAAUGUUCUGGGGCGGAGGACGUCAUGUAUAAUAUCAACAACAAUGUAAAGUAGUAAACAAGCAACAACAUCAUCCAUUGCAUUAAUAAAAUAAUUAUUAUACAAUUGUAUUCUGUCAAAUUUUGAUAAACACUAAAGCAUAAAUCAAAAUGAAAGAUAAGUCUUGAACAAGCUCCAUCUUCCUUUCUCCUUGCAUCGGUACCUGUCUAUGAUGACCUGAGGAUACAAGUAAUUUUGAAAGCGAGUAUCAGCUUUAAAGCUGGUGAGUUCAUAAGUAUAUAAGUGUCAUUGCCUUGUUUGUGAAAAGCUGUUAUGAAGGCCAUGAAAACCUUUAAAUGAAAAUGUUGAGGUAAGUAUGAAAUCCCUAGAAAAAACCCUUAUUUUCUAUAAGUAUGAAAUGUAGUCUUCUACUAAGACCCGAAUGUUCUGUACGUAUGAAGUGUAGUCUUCUACCAAGACCCGAAUGUUUUGUAAGUAUGAAGUGUAGUCUUCUACCAAGAACCGAAUGUUCUGUUUGUAAAAUGAUAGUUUUCCCUUUGUAUUGACUAGUACUAAAAGUGCUUAGUCUAACUCAUCGUCUAUGUGAAUGCAUCACAAAAUAAAGUAAACAGGAAAAUGUACUACUGUAAGUGUUGUCACUGGGUACUAGGACCAACACAGCCUAGGUAAAUAUUAUCCCGAGGUACUAGGGUUAACACUACCUAAAAAUAAAGUAAACAGGAAAAUGUACUACUGUAAGUGUUGUCACUGGGUACUAGGACCAACACAGCCUAGGUAAAUAUUAUCCCGAGGUACUAGGGUUAACACUACCUAAAAAUAAAGUAAACAGGAAAAUGUACUACUGUAAGUGUUGUCACUGGGUACUAGGACCAACACAGCCUAGGUAAAUAUUAUCCCGAGGUACUAGGGUUAACACUACCUAAAAAUAAAGUAAACAGGAAAAUGUACUACUGUAAGUGUUGUCACUGGGUACUAGGACCAACACAACAUCGCAUUAAGCGAAAUGUAUAACCUAAUGAACAUCCGAAGAUUGUCCAAUUGUCCUCUGUAGCAGCAGCAGGUGGGUGGAAGGGUUAGUCCCAAAUCGAUCUUCCUAAUAUAAGUAGUAACCUUAGACCUCCGUAGAUGGUCAUCGACCACUGGUGCUAAUCAGUGGGGUUCGGAAUGGUGAGUCCCGCCUAGAUAUCCCAUUGAACCGGGAUAGGAAAGAUAAUUUACACAGAAAGUACUAAUAAAUUAUCCUCUUAGUUCUAAGUACAAGUAUCCAGGUAAGUGAAUACAGGAUAAUGCACCUAUGUAAAAGUGUUCCUGUAUGGCAUUCAUGUAUGUGCGUCCAUGUAACAGGUAAGUAUAUGUGAACAUAUUCAUGUAUCAGGUAAGCAUCUGUAAGUACUCAUGUAUCAGGAAAUGUACUAGUAUAGACUCAUGAAUGAACUGACUCUUGUGUGAUUCUUUGUAAUAGAAAUAAUGUUUGAUAUCUUCAAAUUAUCCCUAUGAUAAUUUACUGUAAUAUAACUGGAUGAUCAUGUAGGUUUAUACACUCUUACUACUCAAGGGUGUGGGAAACUAAAUGAAAGAUGUAAACUAUAAACUCAAUACAUAUAUAAGAAUAUAAGUGUAUAUGCAUAGUUUAGUUCAAGAAUGUAAAAAUGGUUUUGUAAGACCUCUUAUGGGUUUUGAACAAUAAUUAACAAUGACUUGAUGUCAUUUUAAUAAACAUUUCAAAGGUAAAACAUUUGGUAACAAUGUGUUUUUAAUAUGUAAAACCAUUUCAUGCAUCACAUUUUGUAGCAUGUGAAAUCCGUUAAAUGACAAACAUAGUUAUAAAAUGCAUAUCAAUGAUUCAAUAACAUGUAUGUUUCUACUUGUAUUCCCCCCAUUAAAGCAUUUAAAAUCAUUUAAAAUAUUGAUUAGGGGUAUGAACUCACUUGAUUGAAGUGGUUGAUUUGAAAUAGUCCAGAGAAGAAUCAAGCAGAACUUCGACAGGAAGAGCUGAAAACGCGGGAAAAUCUCAGGAUUCUCGGGAAUCUCGGGAAUCUCGAGAACACAAAACCUUCCUUCGGGACUUGAAGGUGAAAACCGGGGCUUUGGGAGGGUCUCGGGGGCUUAAACGCAGAGUUUCGGCGCGAGAAAGAAAGGAACUGAGCAAUGGAACUCGGAGCCCUUGAAAUCUAUUUAUAGGGGCAUUUUUGGGGUGUGCCACGUCGUGGCAAGUGAUGGCCACGUCGUGGGGAGUCAAACCUAUCCUCUUCCAUUGAUUGGACGCCCUCAGUCACUUGCCGGGUCGCGGCAAGCUUGUGCCACGUCGUGGGGCCUGACAGCAUCGGAUUUUGGGCCCCGAACUUGUAAAAUCCAUAACUUUCGCAUACGAGCUCCGUUUUCGACGUUCUUUAUAUGCACACAUAGCUAAAAAUAUGAUCUACAAAUCUCGUUUAGACUUCAAUUGCAAAUUUUGACUUUAUUUUUAAUUAUUUAUUUUUAACGGGUCGGGACACGAAAAGUCUGUUAAAAAUCCAUAACUUCUUCAUCCGGUGUCCGUUUUCGUCAGACUUUUCGCCGUUGCGCUACUAAUGUUGAGACCUUAGAUUCUCAUUUAGGUUGUUUUGGCACNUUUGGUCAAAAGUAUCUCGAGCUCUAUUUCGAGUUUUUAGCUGUCUACUGCUAUACUCGAAUCUUGGAAAAAUCAUAACUUUCUCAUACGAAGUCAGAUUUGGACGUUCUUUUUAUGUACGCUCACGGUUUGAGGUUAUCUAUAACUUUCAUUUAGAUACUUAAGGCUAAAAACUAUUGUAUUGAAACUUCGCGUUUUUCGUUUAAUCGGUGUUGUCGGUUUUGCCGAGAAUCUUCGGUUGGUCAUAACUUCUUCGUUAUAACUCGAAUUUUAGGGUUCUUUAUAUGUACUAAAACCUUGAUACGAUUCCUACUACUUUAUUUAACCCAAAUAAGAUUUUAGGAAAGUUAUAUUUUGACCUAAAUUUGAUUGGUUUUACAUUUCAUUGUCUCGAAAUAUCGGGUUGUCACAUAGACCCACCUCUACUGGAAGGUAAUUCACCUCGAAUGCAGAAGCUUCCUAAAGAAAUUCUUAUUGCUGCCCUGCCCACUUCCCGAGCUAUCAAUACCAAUCAAUAUACCAAAUUAGCAAUUGGUUCCCAUACCAAAAUCCUUAAUCCAUGCAUGGGAUAAAAUGACCAUUCUACCUAUGGCCCAGUAUGAUCCGGAAUUAUGGCCAUAACCCAAACAAAAGCCCAACACUAUAAUGUCCAUAAUACAAUCAAUGGCCCAAUUUUCUAAAUUGGGCCCAAACCUCUACGUGAGUCUUGCCAUGAGGCCCAAUCAUUCUUUCCAGUCCAAUACACCUCAUAUUCUGAUGGCCCAAUAAUAAUCCAAACAUUUAAACCCAAAAUGCUAAAACUCACUCAUGGCAUGGUCCAUGGACUAGUUUUCCAAAUUGGGCCCAAGACUUUAGUGGGCCUCUACAAAUAAAAUAUCAACCCCAAAACUGAUGGCCCAAUAGCGCCCAAAACAACAAGCCCAAAAGAUGGCCCAAACUGAAGCCUAAAAACCAAAGUCCCAUUCUGCUGAGUACGCGGGGCGUACUCAGCUUGUACGCUAAGCGUACUGGCUUAAGGGCUUGUACGCUACAUGUAGACGCUUGUACGGCCAGCGUACUCCUCCUGUUGACCAACUCUCAAUCCUAGCUCUUAAUCCAUUAAGCCAAGACGUCCAAAACCUCAAAAUGGCUUAAUAUAAGUGACUUGACCCGUAAAGUCGAAUGCUUUAAGCCUUUGCAUGGCUUAUUUAAUCCCAAACACUAAAGAUGAAUUCCAAAAGGUCAAAAUCACUCCCAAAAUGUCUUAGAACUUCUUAAUACCUUAAGACCUCAGUCCAAACUUCCAGAUCUGAUUUCAAGGGACUUCUUAAGUCAUAAAUUUUCCAACUUUAUGACUUAGCAUAACUCAAUGGGGCCUAAAUCUAAAACCUAAGUUCCAAACUUCAUUAAAUGAAUACCAAAUCAUGCAUGGAAGGUUUAUACCUCUCAAGAUCUAGACUUUAUGACUCCAUAACCUCAGUAAGGACCAAAUAAGAGGCUCAAAGGUUCUGGAGUAACUUCUACUCACAAGAACCACCUCAAAGGGACCAAAAAAACAUAACAACGUACCAUUUUGCUAGAUCUACAUGAAAAAGUUGUCAAUGUUGAGACUCUAUACCUUCAGAAGAUAGAUCUAGGUGCACAAAGCUUGGAUUCAAAAGCUCCAAGUCAAACAAUGACUCUUCAAGAAGUUCCUUCUUCCUCCUCUAGCACCAAAACACACCAAAAAUCACUUUGAAGCUCUAAAAUUACUCAAAUGGGGGCUAAGGGUCGAUUUCUAGGGUUUGGAGGGAUGGAGGAUGAAGGUAUUAGGGUUAGGUUAUGAGAUAAGGAGCUUAAAUAUGCUCCAAGACCCUAAAAUAGGGUUUUGAUCUAACUGGCGUACGCUCAACGUAAUUAUGGUACACCCGACGUACUCCAAAGAACAUUCGCGACCAUCCUGGUCAGUAUGUCCAGCGUACUCUAAGGUACGUCCAACGUAUUGCCUUCUUCACUAGUACGCCCUGCGUACUCUUUGUGUACGCCAUGCGUACUCGGCUAACCCUGAAAACCAUGAAACUUCUGAAGGCCAUAACUUCUUCGUUAUAAGCCCGAUUCCAAUGAUCCUUAUAUCCACGGAAAGGUGACGAGAAACUCUAUGCAUCCAUCAACUUAUUCUCACCUCAAAACCUUCUGAAAAAAAAAUCCAAAAUUUAUAAAGAUCUUCAACUACCACUUUACCGAUAUACCCCUUGGCUCCAAAACACGAACCGAACACCCGAAUCACUUAUAAUACAUCACCUGCACCCAAAUGGGCCUAGAUACUACCUUUUCAAAAGCCCUAAUACUUUUGAUGACCAGCCUUCAGGCCACAUCGUUAGACUAGAAGUCAAUCCGGAACAGGGCGUUACAUAAAAGCUUAGUGAGUUCCCAAAAUACAACAUAACAUAUAACCACAGAAUACCACGCUAUAUACAUAAGAUUGCCAUAGGAAACCCCUAUGGUCUUUACCUGGAAUGCCAUGGGCUACCCCCAUGGCCUGAUAUCCAAGUUCCAUGUGCUACCCCCUUGGUCUUUACUUGGAAUGCCAUGGGCUACCCCUAUGGUCUUCACACAAGUGCCACGGGCUACCCCUGGGGUCUUCAAAUAAUGAAUUCAUAACAACUAUCAAUGCACAUGUCAAACAAUGGGCCGAAAUUAGUGCCUUCGACCCAUUGAUAUAGUGAGAAGACUCACCUCAGACUGCUGAUAAAAAUACUACUCGGCUAUCGGUCCAGAUAUCUCACACUGAAUAUACACAAGUUAACCUAAUUAGAAUUAAGUCACAAACUCAAGGCAUAGGCCAAAACCCUAAUUACAAACUCCUCCAAUAAGGCCCAAAAGCCUUUCUCCUUUAAUGGGCCUAACAUCCAAGCUCCAAAACAAUUAUAGGCCAUAAGGCCCAAAAGGCCCAAACAUGCCACCUAUGGUCCAACAACAAGUUUAAAGGCCCAAAUACUCUAAUAGAUCCAGGCCCAAGGCUAAGUAGGGCCCAAAUGGAUCAAAGGCCCAACAAUAGCCUAAAACUCACUGGAAGCAUACGCCCAAUGUACAACAUAUAUACGCUUAGCGUACUGGGUUAUUUGGUGGUACACACAGUGUAAAAGCUAGUACGUCCAACGUACAAGCUGCUUUGCACAAAUAGCCAUUAAGUGCUUACUUCAUGAAGCCGCUUCGUCCGAUUCCAAAUCUUGGUCAUCAUAAAGGUUGUAGGGCAAAAAUUUUGUAACUUUAUGCCUUUGAAUGCCAUAUGGGAACCUAACACCUCGUUUUAUCCUUUAAGACUCCCUUUAAGAUCUUAAACUCAUGCAUGGUGUCAAAACAACCAUCAAGUUAACAUUUUUAUGGUUUUAACAUGCCAAAGGAACUCAAAUCAAACAUUUCUAACCUCUGGAGUUGCUCAAACUCACAAAAGAGGAUCCAUGGACCAAAAAUGGACUUAUUACCAAACCCUAACUCAAACUAGCGAAAGGAUAAGCAAGGUCUGGACUUUUUACCUCCAAAAGUUCCGCAAGAUGAAAUAGAUGCAGGAUCUAGAAGCUCAACCACGUAUAAGACUUGAUCACAACCUUCUCCUUCUUGCAAACACACUAAAAUAGCCACCAAAAUCACUUUUAAUAUCACGAAUCACACUCACUUGCAAAUUAAGGUUUAGGUAUGAUAAGAGGCAAUAGAAGUUGUUUAGGGUUAGGUCUAAAUGGCAUAAGAGUGUUAAAAUGGGGCUAAAAUUAGGAUUUUUGUCUUAGGCCACGUACGCCCCGCAUACAUUGUGCAUGUCCGAGUCCAAACCACCCUAAUAUGCUAAGCAUACACAUAUGUACACCCAACGUACGUAGGGACCUCCUUUGCAAAUAAGUUUCAUUCCAAGGGUUAAAAGGGUAACUUGCAUUCCGAAUGUUACAUAUAGAUAAUCAAAUACUUGAUUCUACCCUAAGCCCUUCAUCAACCAAGAACAUGAAAUAAAGCUAAACCAAAAAUUAUCAGGCUAUAGAAUCUUAAUUAUGUACAACUAUGAUGCAUACACUAAGCAGGUACAAUAAUGAUGUCAAUUCUAUAUAAGAAGUAAUCCUAGGGUAUCAAGCAUCAUAUAUGAGGAAAUUUUAUCACGUAAUUCCUGACGAUCCCUAGCCCACCGCUAGUAUGUUGUUGUAUCAUGAAUAACAUAUCAAAUAACAGUGUGGGUAACUUGAGGUAUGCUUUCUUACCGCGGCUGACCGUACACAUCACAUCAUGCAUUCCUUGGUUACUUUUGAAAACCAUUAAAAAAAACUUUUACAACUCCCUAGUUUGAGUUUGGAUUCACACGAAUGUUCAUCCAAUUCUCUCAAACCAAGGCUCUGAUACCAACUUGUAACACUCCUAAUAUCAUAGAAAAUUAAAAAUUUUAAAUUUCAACCAUUAACCAACAUUGUUUAUAAAAAGUGCUCAUUGCUUCAAAAGUAUUAUUCAAAAUCAUAGUUUUUCCCAAGACAUAAAAACACAAAACAGGAAGAUGUGCACGAUCACGCCUUUGCCUUCCCGCGAUUAUCAGAAGUACAUGAAAUAAUAAACUGAAAUUGUAUUUCAAAGCUUAGUGAGUUCCCCCAAAGUACCAUCAUGAAACAUAUAAAAUACAUAGAUUAACAUGAUGGGCCCACAACCUCCCAGUUGGAUUACCUUGGCCCACAACCUCCCUGUUGGAUUGCCCUGCAUACCAUAUACUGGGUCCAUAACCUCCCAACCGGGUUGACUUGGCUAGUUUGUGGAGUUUGACCUAUUUUGAGCCAAGUAUAUUUUGGAUAAUUUGGUAUUAAUUUAAGUUGGGAAAUAUUUUGGGAUAAUAGGUGUUGAGUAGAGCCGGGUGUCGGGGAAGACAUUUAUUCAGCUUGUGUUUAGACUGAGAGGUGAGUUUUCCUCACUAUACUUACAAGUCGAAGGCAUCAAGGCCGACCUAAUGGAUUGAUAUCCUGUUAGAUACUAAUUGAAGAUAUGUUGAGUAUGCGAUACAUCUGUAUGAUUAUAUGAUAGGUAUUGAUAUACAUUAGACUGGUAGAUCUGUAGGACUACAUGUGAUUAUUGGUUGUGUAAUCACCUGUUUGUUGUAUGUAUAUUAUCUAUUAUAUGUCGACAUGUUACUUUAGGGUUGAGAAUAUUGCUUUGUGCUGUCAUUCGACAGACCGUGACAAUCCAACCAGAAUGUUUUGGGCCAGAGUAAUCCAACAGGGAGGUUGUGGACACAACAUGCUAAUCUAUGUAUUUUAUAUGCUGCAUGAUGGUACUUUGGGGGAACUCACUAAGAUUUGACUUACAGUUUCAGUUUAUUGUUUUAGGUACUUUUGAUGAUCAUGGUACGAUGAAGGUGUGAUAACGCACAUCUUCCUAUUUUGUGUUAUUGUGUCUUGGGAAAAACUCUGAUUUUGAAGAAUACUUUUGAAGCAAUGACUCUUUUUUUAAACAAUGUUGGUUAGUGGUUGAAAUUUAAAUUUUUUAAAUUUCUAUGAUUUUUGUAAUGUUACAUUGGUUUGGCUUGUAACCGAUCUAAACCCCCCACAUACCCUUGUUAAUCAUAAAAGAAGAAUCCAUUUAGAACUAACUAUGUUCAAAAAUAAGAACCAUAGUGUGUUAAAUAUUCAUUACCUCAAAUGUAGGGAUCUUUUGAUGUCGAAGAACAUUAGUUAAGAUAAAUUAAAAAGGAUAUUCAACUAAACCAAAGGUCUUUUGGCCUAGCACUAUCAUAUGUUGGAAAUGUGACCCUUCCUAAUAUCAGAAAAACGUGUUAUUUCGAUUGCUUGGAUUACACUGAAAGUCAUGAUACACUUACGUAUUAAAGUAUUUCGAUGGUACAAUCAAAAUUUAAAUUGGAUAAAAUUCUGUGAGAACAACAGAGAAUGAAAAUGUUAUGAUUCUUGUGUGUACCAGAUUCAAAUGACCAAAAAGGGAUAUGACUCCUUGUCCGAAAAUUGUCAUAUUUCCAGUUACAAACUGCCACAAAACCAUCACUAAACUGACUUAGUCGGCUUAACAAACAAGAACUACAUAUUUAACAUACAAAGAAAAGCUAACAAGUCUCCUGAUACUUGUAAAAAUCAAAUGAUGUAAAAAAAUUAGAUAUCAAAAAAUCUAGUAUUAACAUAGAUUUAAUUAAACUUAUAGAUUAUCUGUUUAUAUAUCAUGGAAAUUUAUUCCCAAGGUCAUCCUUAACUCGUUAACAAGUUUUGGGUGUAACGAUAUAACAAUAUCUAAUCAUUACUCCUCUGAUAAAAUUUUGGAUUCUGUGGUCUAUAGGUUGCAUUUUUUGUUGCUAAUAGGAGUAGAAAAGCUAAAAUCAUUUGGGUCGAUUGGAUUCAUAAUCCUACUUCAACUUGCACUCUUAUGUAAUGUUUUUUUUCCUAGCUUACUGCUAGUUUUUAUAAAAUUUUAUCUUGUUCCGAAAAAACUCCUCUUAUAUAUUGGUCAACUUUGAGAUACAAUUAAAAAGGUUCUCUUGCCACAUCACACGCCAUCCACCCCAACGACCACCACACAAUAAUAUCGAUUUGGUAUAGACCAACAACUAUCUCUUUCCUCAUCUCCCUCAAAUCGGUCUUCAUUUCCUUUCUUUUCAGUUUGCUUUUUAAUAUUCAUACAUAGAGACUCAUUUUUGAGAAGUUAAGACACAUAAAUGUGUUUAAUAUUGGAAUCCCACAUGACAAAGUAGCAUCUAGGGAUGUCAAUGGGGGCAAACGGGACGGGGGUUGCAUUCCCCACCCCCACCCCCAAAANNNNNNNNNNNNNNNNNNNNNNNNNNNNNNNNNNNNNNNNNNNNNNNNNNNNNNNGCCCCCGAUUGAUUUUGGGCUACCUUAUUUGCACUAAAAGAAGUUCUUGUUUGGACUAAUAGAAACUAUAUUUUGGGUUAUAAAUAGAUAUUUAUAACAUAAUUUUACAUGUACAAACAACUUAAAACAUGUUUUAUUUUGAAGUUUUGUAUGCAAAAAUCUUUUUAUUGUUUAUUAUAUUUAUAUAAUUAAUAUAUGUCAAUUUAUAUAAUUUAUUAACGGGGCUCCCAUGGGGGUUUCGGGACGGGACUACCAACCCCUGCCCCAGCCCUUGAAAUUAAAACGGGGGUUAACCUUGCCCCUGCCCCCGUCCCCGAUUAUUUUCAACAAAUGCCCCCAUACAAGAUGGGGUCCCCGCGGGAUCGGGGUCCUACGGGACUUUUUGACAUCCAUCGUUAAGUAAAGAAUGUUUGUGACGAUGUAACUUCCUCUUGAUAUACAUAUCUUUUAUUAGAGACCGACCGAUGUCAUCCUUUAACACUGUAAAUUUUCAAACAAAGUUUUCAUUUUAAAACACAAUAAAACACAUGUCACAUUCCUUUCAAAAAUCACAAGUAUCAAUUUAUCAAUACAUUUUAAAAGUUGUUUAUCGCAAAUCCAGAUCCUCAAACAUAACUCUUUUCUCUUGUGUGUACAAUCAAACCGGUGCCUUAUCGUGAUCCUGAUAAGAACCUGAAACACAUAACACAUAACAUGGUAAGCAAGAAGCUUAGUGAGUUCCCCAAAACACCACAUACAGCUCAUUAGCCACUCGAGGCUAUAACACAGUAAGACCCUCCGGUCAAUGUAUCUCAGUGGGAUCCUCCGGUCCCAAACUCUGAUGGACCCUUCGGCCGAAUAGAAUUUUCCACCCGCGUCCAAGAUUCACAUAUACUCGACGAGUUUGGGGACUCCAACUCGUCGAGUCCCAAUGCAAAAAUGCAAAAAUUCAUAUGUAUAAUACGUAUCGGGAACCGGGCGUUAGAUAUUGGUUGUAUAAUCAUUUGUCUGCUGUAUGUAUAUUAUCUGAUAUAUGUCAACAUGUUACAUUAGGGUUGAGACUACUGCUUUGUGCUAUCAGUCAACAGAGAGUGGCAAUCCAAGCAGGAUGUUAUGGGCCAGGGUAAUCCAACCGGGAGGUUGUGGACACAACAUGCUAAUCUAUGUAUUUUAUAUGUUGCAUGAUGGUACUUUGGGAUCACUCACUAAGCUUUAGCUUAUAGGUUCAGUUUAUUGUUUCAGGUACUUCUGAUGAUCGCGGUAUGACGAAGGUAUAAUCAUGCACAUCUUCCUGCGUUGUGUUAUUGGGUCUUAGGAAAAACUCUAAUUUGAAUAAUACUUUUGAAGCAAUGACUUUUUUAAACAAUGUUGGUUAAUGGUUGAAAUUUAAUUUUUUAAAUUUCUAUGAUUUUUGGAGUGUUACAUUGGUUUUGGUUUAUAACCGAUCUAAACCCCCACACACGCUUGUUAAUCAUCAAAGAAGAAUCUAAUUAGGACUAACUGUGUUCAACAAUAACAACCAUAGGGUGUUAUAAAUCCAUUACCUCAAAUGUAGGAAUCUUUUAAUAUCGAAGAACGUUAAUCAAGAUAAAUUAAUAAUGAUCGUAACAUCCUGUUUAUUAAAUAAAUAAAUAGAUAAAAAUUUGAUGAAAGAAUAGUCGCCCUAAAUUCAUAUUAUUUAGUGGGGCGCUGGUUUUGGGGAGCCGAAUGGUAUAAUUUGGAUUAUUCGGAGGUUAAAAGUGUAAGUUCUAGAUUUAAUUUGAAAAUGAUUUUAGAAGUCAUGGUGUGUUUAGUAAUUAAUGGACUUAAAUAGAAAGGAUUUGAUGGCUUAAGGGGGUGAUUGGUAAUUUCGGGACCUAUUAUGAAACGACUUUCAGAGAGAGGGGUUAAAGGGGUAAAUUUCUGAUUCAUUUUGAAAAGAUUAAUAGAGGGAAGGCUACUGUUGUUAUUAUGGGGAGAAGUUUUAUGGGGAUUGGGGUAUAAGACCUGUCAGCCCGGUAAACCCUAAACCUAGCCAUGUGUCCCAGCCGCCGCCACCUUAUACCCCCCCCCCNNNNNNNNNNNNNNNNNNNNNNNNNNNNNNNCUCCGGCGCCGCCGCCAUCAUCCCGUUUCCGAUCAGCGAGCUGCCGAGAAGCUACUCCAUUGGACUUCUGCCACUCUUCUCUUAUCCUUCUUCAGUCGUUGCCAUGUGAGGCCUCAUCCACCACCCGCUACUUCAUCGUUGGAGUGCUACCACCACUGUCGGUGCACCAUUGUUGUCGCUGCUGUUGAGGCCAAGGAUGAAGACGGAUGUUGGGACGUCGGGAAUGAAGAAGAACAAGCCACAAGUCGCUGUAACGUUGGUUGUAGCGCUGCUGCUCCGCCACUGCCCAUUUCCGUUAAAGACAAGGUCGUCACUUGUUUCUCGUGGAUGGCUUAGUCGGAGGUGUCGUUCGUUUCCGUGUGGUGCUGUUCCUCCGUGAGCUGCUGCACUGGUGGUGCUGCCACUGUUGCCGUUAGUGUUGCUGCCACUCUCUACCGUUGUCGCCGUACGCCACCAGGUGGGUGGCAGGGUUCUUUUGCGAAUGAAAACAGUUUGUUUGUGUGUGUGUGUUGUAUGUGGUGAUGUUUGGCCUGAAUUAACGAGAACAAUCACCACCACCUUCGUGAGGUGGUAGCUGCCACCAUGUACCACCACCGGCCACCACAAGGGUGGAUGUGUAUGUGUGUGUAUUGGCAUUUAUGUUGUAAAUUGUAAUUAGUGCUAGUGUAAUCAAAAGAAAAACUCAAAACCACCACCGUGAGGUGGUGGCUGCCGCCACCAGUCGCCGUGUUGGAUGGCGGUGUGCUCUGUUUAUAUUUAGACUUUGUUUGGGUUGGACAAAAUAGACUAGACCCAUAACCACCACCGUGAGGUGGUGGCCGCCGCCGUGAGCCGUCGUUGACCACCACUACACGAGGUGGUAGUGGGUGGUGCCUGACUUAGGAACACCCUAAUUGUCUUAAUGAAACCUUAAUGGGCCUAAGGACUUAGCUUUUGGGCUUAAUUGGAUUGUAAUGGGUUGGAAACCCUAAUUAGGGUUUAGAAAACCCUAAUUUUGGAAUUAUUGGUUUGGACUUAUCGGGACCCACAUUUGGGACCAUUGGAGUGAUGACUCAAGCCCGUUUUCAUUGUAUGCUUGGACUUAAUGGAUUAAUGUAAUGACCAAAAUUCUCUAUGUUAGUGAAGUUGGUUUUCCGUUACAUAGAAUUAAGUCGUACAUGCGUCUAGGAUGUGAGAUUAGACCGGUUUAUAUAAAAAAAAAUAAUAAAUAAACAAAAACAUAUUUUUUAACAUUUUAAGAAUUUAAUAGGGAUUAAAAUAAUUUAUAAGAUUUAGUUAAUAAUUAUAAUGAGCUAAAGAUAUUUAAGUAAUAUUACGAGUUAAAUAAAUACUCAAAUUAUUAAAAAGUGGCUUAUUUUAUGUGUAAAUUAAUCAAAUUAAACGACUAUAAAGAAAUAAAAUAAAAGAAAAGGUAAAGUAUAUAUAAUAUGGCCAGGGUUAAUAAUGAAUUGAGUAUAAAAGAUCAGGGACUAUAACUGUAAAUUGGAAUUCAAUCGGUGAAUUGAAUUCUAUAAGCUCGUUACCACUGAUAAUAAAUUUGUUUUAAUUAAUUCUAUUCGAUUGCCGCAACCUAUGUUCUUCUUAUUCGUUUCCGUUACCAGGCAACUUAUUCGCCUUGCCGAUUACACCUUCUCUUUAGGGUUGCCAUAUUUGUGUCGACCAGAAAAAAAGAGAGAGAAUUGAGUGUGAGAGAGUGUCUGCGUGAGAAGGAAUGAACGAGGCUCACAUCCUACUGCUAUUAGAUCGAAACAAGGUAAGCUCUUGAUCCCGAAAACCUGUCAUGUUUUUUUUGUUCAUCAAUGGCUUAUUGUGAAUAUCUUGCUGCCAAAAUACUUGUUUUUAGAAGCCACACAAACCCGUGAACUACUUCAAUUCAUCUCUGUCAAGCCUUAGGGAUGAAGCACCCAUGUUUGAGUCGUGUCGGGCUUAGUCGAGACAACCCCAUAAGCCAUCAGAACACCAGAAUCACAUUUUGGAAUGGUGUCUUCUCUAAAGCGUAGCCUCAAGUCCCUUAGACGCUUUGUUAAGGCUUUGAAACAGAAGCAGGGGAAGCUAUAUGUGUUCUUUCGCAAUUUUAAUGCAUGCCUCUGAAUUGCUACCGGACAAUCAAAAUAGACUAAUGCUUGAUGGAAUAUGAUAGUUACAGACAUAAUGGUUGUAUAGUUUCACUAAUGACUAAUUCAUAUCUAGACUUAGCUAUUUAAAUCAAUAGAAAGAGUCUGGAUAACAUAUUUCAUGAUAAACACUUAAAGAUUAAUUCAUCGUCUUGUGUUAAUGUAUGUAAUUCCAUAAAAGUUAAGAUGUUAAAAAAAUGGAUUGCCUACGUAAUAUUGUCUAAUUAGAAGUCUACUUCACACUAGGGUGUCUUAUAAAUAUAUGAGUGUAAUUUAUAAAAGAGUUUCAGUAUUAUAAAAAGUGAUUUAAUCACUAAUUAUAUGUCAAGGAGCAUGAUAUGAAAUAGUUGAUUAAAAGCAAUUGAUUACAAAUCAGUGUCAUCGGCUAUAAGGCUUCCUUAUGGUUAGUUAACAUUACAUUAUUCAUGAUACAACUUAAUUAUACUAUAGAUUAAAAUUGUCUAUCCUUAGCUACAGUAAAUAUGCUAAGGAUUUGGCAAAAAUGAUCCUCCAUCUAUAUGGGUAUUUAUAAUUCUGGAUCAUUUCUUUUAAGAGGUUAUAAUUUGCUAUUUUCUAUAUUUUGUGUAUACGUGUCGUUCUUUUUACUGAUCAAAGGUUUGAUCGUGUGCGUGUCAUGGACACGCGUUUUUUUCCUGUGUUUAUUAUCGAUCACCCUAUUCUUUUCAUCUGCCCACCGCCCUUACUUCCAACAUAUAUUCCACCGGCUUCCUCAUUCAUUUUUUCAUUAUCCCACCCCUUCAUUGACUAACUUCACCAACUGUGUUAUUCUUUCUUUAAAGAAGCUCAUCGGUUCCUUAUAUGUUUUUUUCAGGGCCUAUGUUUGUUGGAAUCCUUACGCUUGCUGACGUCUUUUGUGAUUAAGGGAUAAUUUUGUUCCUGGUUGCAUAUUUGAGUCUCAGGCACUCACUUCCUUUCUCUUUCUCUGUUUUCUUUCUACUCAUGGCAUCUCUAAUGGCAUUCUAUUACCGUGUUUGUAGGUUUACGCUUCGAAUUGUGUGAUUUUGUAUUUUUCAUUUCCGCUUUCGCUCUUGAAGAUGAGUAGUAGAAAUCGAUUGGAUGGUGAUUACAAAUACCUCUUGUCAUAUCGAUUUGAUUGUAAGUAUCUCACCUCUAAUUUGUUUUCUUUUUUUGGACUUUGUUGUUUUUUCAAAUAACACUUCUUACCUUCUAAAGCUCGGUUUCAUACACUUCUAUCACUUUUCUGUUAUCAAAGCUUCUUGACUAUGGUAAAUAUGGAAAAUCCUGUGACAUGUAUGUUUAUGCCCACAAAGUGUUUGAGGAAAUGCCUUUUGUGUUUAGGUGCCUGAUUGUUAUUCUGUUGAGUGUAUAAUUUCACAAUAUUGCGUAAAUUUUUAUUAUUGAGGCUCAACUGUGUAACUUGAACUGUUUUAUUGUAGUCUUACGGUUCUCUCCGUUCGAGGCAACAUACGACACUCACAUUCCACUACGCUGAAGCAUGAGACUUUCCGAUUUGUUGGUCUUGCCAAGUAGAUUCAGAUAACAUUUUCUUUCCAUAUAUUCUUCUAAAAAGCAGUAAUUUAUGAAAUUCUCAUUCUACAAUCCAGAAAACUGUUAAAAAGGAGCUUGAAAAUCUCCAAAAAGAUUAAUACUUUUAUUGAUUUGGCUAUUACCAGUGCUUUUUCAAGGGAAAUUAAAACAAUCAAAGGGAAUUUUCUACAAAAUACGUAAAUAUGUUAAUAGCUGUGUGUUUUUUAUUUUUUUUUUUGAUAGCUAAUUAGCAUUGAAGUGGUAGAAUGAAUUGGUUAUUAUUUACCCAUAUACCAGAUUAUGUCAUCUCUCUAUAUGUUUGGAAUGUUUGUGGGUUUGAUAUGUUUGCUGCUACUGUCACACCACAGUUGAAAAAACAUAUUUCCCUGCUAAAGGGGUUGUGUAAUUGUGACCAUUUUACAGUUUUGAUUUCAAAAUUAUAUUAAAAAAUUUAAAUUGCAAUCAAACUCAUAACAUGUGCAUGUUUGACUGAUUGAGUUGUCCUACAUCUCAAAAAAUCAGGGAACAAUCGACGGUGUUGACAUUAAGCCAACUUCAAAUUCGUGGGUCACAGUAACUGGAGGUAAUUUUCUUUCUUGAAUGCUUUUGGUUCACCUGUCAAUUUUAGUAUUUAUUUGAAGUAUAAUUUGUGUUUUGUAAUGUAAUAAUAUACUCUCACACAGAAGUUUUUAAAGCAGUGCUAUAUAGGAAAAAAUUAUUAAACUUCUACAAAGGGCAUUAGCAAAGUUAUGGGAUAAAACUUUAAACGGCCUAAAACAUUAACAAACUGUGAAACAGGGAAGACAAAAUUCAAUGGUUUUUAAAGAUUUUUGUUUUUUGGUUGUCUACGUUAACGAUCCUGCUGUUAAAAUGUUAUGAUUAUGACUAUUUUGUCCUUCCUUUCAUUACUUUCUGAAGGUGGUAAAGAAAAGGGAUAUAAUCCAAGGGUAAAAUGGUCAAUUUACAAAUUUCACAGCUGUGAUGUUAAGUUAGAUGGCCUAGGGAUGAAACACAUUACCAAACAGUGACAUAUGAAAUUUUUGUACGACGUUAAAGUUUCAUAUCUAUAUUUCAAAAAAAAAAUUCAUUUGCAAUUUUCAUCUGUAGUUCCCUGUUUUUGACUAUUUAUUGCCUCUUUUAUAUUGUGAAAAUUAUGUUUGGGUUGUUGUUUAUGAGGUAAUUGGUAUUGAUGUCAAUACAUAACUUUCAAAAGUGUUAUCUGCCAUACAGGAGAAUUUGGGAAAACAAGCACAUAAGCAAGAAAAAAGAAGGGAAGGUCAUAAUGUAAAAAGAGAAGGUUAUGACGAUGAGAAUUUAAUUUUGCACCUUCAACUUUAGUCACUUUCAUCAUUUUUAAUGACUCAUAGUUUCUUGCCAUUCUCAGUCUAUUUUGAUUUUUAGAUAAACUUAUUUUAUUGAAAACUUUUUUGUAUUAUCAAGGAACAUCAUUCGAUAUCUCAACUGAAAAUUAUGAUAACAACAUUACUAGAUGAGGUUGUUUAUGAAUUUUUAGCUAUAUAUUUUGCUGCUAAAAAAAAGAUAAGAAUACCUUGACAUUCUGACCCUCGCGAAGCGAGGCUCACCCUCUAGUUAAUAUUAAACCAAGGUGAUUUGUAAUUUAUAAACUACGAUAGACUUAUCUAAUCAAUUAAUAUGACAUAAACUAAAUAUAGUUUAAUAUUAAUCAUGUUUAUCUUAGCCUAAACUAAAUAAAUAUAUACUUUUUGUUUAGGUAUUUGUUGAGUAAAAGAGCUACGAAUUCACGUUUUGAAGUGAUUUCACUACCGAACUAAAGGUGAGUCAAUAGACUUUUCAUAAACCCUAUAUAUAGUCGAAAACUACUUUCCGAAAAUGGCUCGAUUAGUCAAAUUAGAAUAUUAUUAAUUGUUGAUAUUAUGCCUAUAUGUGCAGUAUGAGAUAUGCCAUUGUUUUGCUUUCUGUGACAUUUACAUGCUUAGUAAAUUUGGUUUAUAUGUCUAUCUUGGUACUUGAUACGAUUAAUUGCAACUAUGAUAUGCUAUAUGAAAUGUUUGAUAUUUGACUAUGACCUUGUUGAGUAUCUUUUAGUAUAAACUAGGUUACAACCCGUGGAAACCAUGGGUAAAAAAUUUAAAAACAAAUUUAUAUUAUUAAUAAGAGUUAAGAUUGUCAAUCCUUUUGUAUUGAUUAUUUAAAAUUAAAAUUAAUACAAAUUUGUAAAAAAGUAUAUAAAUUUGAAUAUAUGUUAAAUAGAAACGCAAUCAAUCCAUCGAAAGUUAAAUAUGAAUAUAACUAAAAUGCAUCUUUGAAUAUGUGAAUGAUUUAUGAAGUGUGAGGGCAAAUCAUUAUUUUUUGUAAUGAGGGAGCAAUCAAGAAACACCAUGUGGCGUCUAUUAAAGUCUGAAAAUCAAAUAUCGAAACGAACUGAAUAUUAUGGAUUACAAUUACAAUGCUAUAUAAAGAAUAAAUUAUUUAAAAAAAAAAUGUUACAAAAAAUAGAAAAAAACACAAUUGUUAGAAGUUAAUGGGUACGAAGCAUUUAUAAAUUCCUAAAAACUUCCUUAUACACAACAUUUGAAGUUUUGUUUGUAAGUCUACCAUCCUUAUCUAAAAUUAACAAUUUCAAUCCUUCUCUACUUUGAACUCUAGAUAAGGCAACAUACUGUUGUCCAUCUGAAAAAAGGAUCCUUGAGAUACAGACCAACCUUUAAUAACGACUGGCCCUGACUUUUAUUAAUUGUCAUUGCAAAACAUACAGCCAAUGGAAAUUGUCUUCUUUGAAAUUUGAAUGGAAUUUUCUUUCCAGAUGGACUUAAAGACAUUCUUGGAAUAAAUGUUUGCUUUCCAAUAUUAGUUCCAGAUAUGAUAAUUGCCUCAAUAACACGUUUGCCCAGAGAUUUCACUUGUAGUCUAGUGUCGUUUCAUAAUCCAUUUUUCUGAUCAAUGUUUCUUAGUAACAUAACUGGAACACCGACUUUUAGAAUUAACUUGUGAUUUGGCAAACCUGAUACUUUAAGACCAUUUAAAAUAUCCUGGGAGUAUAAAUUGGGAUCAAACUGAUCAUGAACAAACUCUGAUUGGCAAAGAGUAUCUGAACUUAAAUAUUCUACUUCAUCUUCGGGAAACAAUGCUAGCAAACGAUCAUUGAUUUGUUGGACAACUUCAUUUUUUGGAGCUAGUAUAGCUCUUUCUUGAAAAUAACUCGUACCGUUGAAUUUUUCAAAGAUUGAAGGAUAUACAAACUCAAUUAAUGAACCUAUAGGAUCAUGUGGAUCAUUAAUGAGAAUAUCAUUCGGAACAUCAAUAAUCGAUUCACCAUCCUUCAAACCACCAACUUUUCCUUCUCCUAUGUCCAAAAGCCAGUUUGCAAAAUUAUGUAUUUUUUGAAUAUCAUAUGGAUCCUUUCCAACGGUUAGUCUCAUCUUUUUUGUUAAUCUAUGGACUUUGCAUUGUUGCCAUAUAUAUGAAGAGCUUAAAGAAGCAUUAACGAUAUUUUGUCUGCUACCUCCUUGAACAACAGGUAGAAUCUGUCUAAAGUUUCCUCCAAAAACAAUCGCUUUCCCUCCAAAUGGAAUAUUUGAGUUGGUAGACUUAUCAAACUUACAUACAUCUCUCAGAGCUCGAUCUAAAGCUUCAAAUGCAUGUUUGCGGACCAUAGGUGCUUCAUCCCAGAUAAUCGAUGAGCUUUUUCUUACUAAUCUGCUGAGUUCACUAUCAGGCGGUAUCUUACAAACAGAAUACUCCGUAAGAUUCAACGGAAUUAUAAACCGAGAGUGUGCUGUCCUACCUCCAGGCAAUAAUAAAUAUGCAGUACCACUUGAAGCAACAUUUAAAACUAUAUCACCAUUACAUCUAAUUGCUGCAGAUAACGUCUUCCAAAGAAAGGUUUUGCCUGUUCCACCAUAUCCAUAAACAAAAAACACACCUCCUUUAUUAUCAUUGACUAUAGUCAUGAUAUCAAGAAAAAUAUUGCUUUGCUCGUUUGUUAAUGCAUGAAACAUACUAUCAAACUCUUUCUUUAAAAGCGGUAUGUCAUACUCUAGCUCCUCCAUGAUAAAUCGAUUUGUUGAAGAAGAAACUGUAUCGAAAUCAGGGUAAGGCCUUUGUUUAUAAUUUUUAAGACUGGUGUUGUUAUGAAGUAAAAUCUGUUCGAUCUCGAACAAAGUCAGGUUUUUGAGUUGAUCCUUAUUGAGUGAUAAACCUGUAUAAAAUGAACAAUAUGUCAAAAAGAAUAUAAUAUUAAACAGUUUAAUGGUAAUAAAAAAAUUAUACCGUGCAUAUUGAUAAUAUAUAGUAUCCGUUUUUACAAAUACUGAUAGGAAAUUAUAAUACCUGGAGACUUUAAUCUACGCUGUUGGUUGUAAAGAAUACCAUCCGACAAGUGUUGCCAUGUAUUUUCCCAAACAAACUCUGGUCUACCCAAACUGUUAGACAUUAACAUCGUAGCAAAUAAGAAACGAAGAUAAAAACCAGUUCCUGAAUGACUUGCUUCCUUAAUUGCAUCAACGUAUUCUUUGUCAUCAUCUAAGAGGCCCAAAGCAUAGCAUGCAUCUCGAAAAGUAGGAAAUUCUUCACCGUUUACCGUGCGAAUUUCUUCAAAUGAUUUUGGACCUUUCACUUUAUUUAAAAGAAUCCGUAAGAAGUAGACUUCGCCAAGUUUAGGUGAAACAGAGUGAAUCCUUCCUAUUGAACGUCCAAUUUUCCUUGGCUUCCACAACUUAUCAUCAGGUUUCCAAACAAACUUUGUAGGAAAUUCAACAUAUGUAAGUUUUCGUGCAUCUUUAUUAAUUUUAUUACAUUCCAUCCAAGAUGUGAACAUAGAAGCAGCAACUGAAGGUUGUUCAAGAACAUCGUCAAUAUCAUCGUCUGCAGCAUAUAUGACUUGUUGUUGAUCAGGAAGAUAAAAAGGUAGUCGCAUCACAGAAGGAUAUCGGUAAUGGACAUCGUAUUUAAAUAUUCGCCAUGAUGCUUCACAUGCAGAUAUAUAUCUACAAUCAUAAUAAUCUUUUAUUUCAUCGACAACCUUUUCGUGAUUAGAAUCAGCGUUGAUGUCAUCAACAAUUAUAGCUCUAUCUGGACCUUUGUUUAUAUAUUUAAACAUAUACUUUAUGGAAGAUCCCUGAUUGCACCAUUCAACAUUAAUGUGUGCCUGAUAUCUUUUCAACAUAUAUUUGUUAUAUGGAACAACAUUUCUGUUGUCUAACUUGACACCUGAUUUUUCGACAAAAUAUCCAUUGUUUCUUCUCAUAUAUAAGGGAUAACCGUUGACAUCAACCGAAGAAUGAUCACAUAAUUGCUUUGGAAAAUUUUUCGAACAUUGCUUGUCAACCAUGCAUGGACAAUUCAUAUUUUCCAGCUCCAUAAGGACCAUGUAUCAUGAAUUCACUUACAAGUGAAUACAAUUCUGGAUCUUCAUUGAUAUUUGGAAUCUCAGCAGAAAUAAUCGGAUCAAUAUAUUCAACAGUAGGCCGCUUGGAGUCGGCAUGCAUAAACAAACAAAUAUGACUAUGUGGCAAACCUCUUUUUUGAAAUUCAAUUGUAUAGACCACUGCAAAUUAAUUUUAUAAAUAAGAUAAUCUUUGUACUGGAUGAAAUAUAUUUGCAAAUAACAAAAAAUAUUAAGAAACUAAAUAAUCAUUAUAAAAAAAUAUUAGAAAUAAAUACAACUUUUAAUACCUCCUUGUACAAUGUCGAAAAUUUUAUUUUCCCGUAUGUCUUUAAUCAAAGCAUCGAGAUUUAUUUUGAAUAACCUACAUAAGAUAUCAGGUCAAUCUUCUGGAUGUAGUGAAGUGUUAUGAAGAAACCUUUUAACUUUAGGCCAUUUUGGAUUACAUGUAAAGGUUAUGAAGAAAUCAUGAUAUCCAAUCCAUUUACAUAAGGACAUGGCAUCAAGGUAGUUUUACAUCAUAUAACGUGCACCACCAGUGAAUGAAGAAGGUAAGAUUACACGUUGUCCAACAUUGGAUAUAUCUUUAUUCCCUAGGUCUUGUUGAUUACGUAAAUUUUCAUAAGACUCACAUCUAAGAAUUUGUUGUUUGCUCCUUAUGAAAUGUAAUCUCUCACUUUCAAUCAUAGUAUAAGCAUCAACCAAAAACUGUUGGAACAACCUUUUUGAAUUAAUAAUUAGUGAAAAAUAUUGAUCCCUGUCUUGUAUUCUAUAAGAAAAAAAUUCUCUCAUUGUACAGUUGGGCCUCUUGCUGUUGCUUAUUGGUGUAAUACCUCGAUGUGGUAUGUCAACCCUAUAACCAUCAUCACCAUAUGGAAACAGUAGUGGAUUCUGAAAGAGGAAGGUAUGAUGGAUGUAAUUUACUAAUACGCCGUAGAGAACCUGAUGAAGUUUGAACAACAAUAUAUCUUUUAUCAAUUGAAUCACCAAUAUCUCAAAUAAUUAAAGCGGCAACCUCAGAAGCAGAUGGUAGGUUGUAUAUCCUUCCAUCUUGGUCCCUGAUUCCAAUAAGUCUCAACUUGAUAUCAACAUGAGGUUUUUGAUGAAAACAAUCCCUAACCAUUCUAUAAGACUGAACCAAGACAUUAUUUGAAUCCAACAUCAACUUCAAAUCUUGUAUAAUAUCAUUAUCAAGGACAGAAGAAUUUGAUGUAGAUCGUUGAUUCUCUCCACUACAAGUAACAUGAACAUAUAAACAUAAGAUAAAUAAAUAAUAUAAUGUUGAUGAAUAAGAUAUCUAUUAAUGUGAUAAUUGUGAAAAGUGUACCCAAAACAUGUUCGUCUAUUCGCGAUCUCAUUAUCAGUAUCGUAUAUGUACAACUGAGAGAAUUUUGGUUUUAACCCCUGUUCCGGUAAAAGGCUUCCGAUACUAUGAUAAUUUUGACCGCUAAGUCUAAAAAUGUAUGGAGCAUUUCCUCUAUUGAUUGAGGAAUCAAUCUUUCCACCCAUUGACGUAAAAGAAAACAUAGAAUUGUAAGAACGAAUGUUCUUCAUGAAGUGUUUGCUUUUAGAAUCUCCCGAUGUAAAAAGAUGAACAUAACUUGAAGGUGAAUUCUUUAAAGCUGGUAGUUCUACUUUGCCAUAACCACAACAUAAACAAUAAUUUUGAUUCGACUUUUUUUUUUUUACAUCUGAUAGAUUCAUCUUUCCAUAAUUUUGCAAAACAUGUUUGGUAUACAACAAUCUGAUCACCAUGAUCCAAAUAAUCUGUCAAUUAAGGUUGACAUAAAAAUGUUAAUCAUGUAAGUUUAUAUAAGUGAAAAAUAUUGAAUGAACAAAUGUAAAUAUUAUAUUUUUAUCAAAAUUACCUUUUGAUAUACCGUUGUAUAUGUUUUGAUCAUUUUGGCCAUCGAUUUUGUCUUGAUCGGAUCUCAGACCAAAUAUUGGAAUAGGAGUUAAAUUUGGCAUUUUUUUCUUUGCUUUAUUAUUUGGAUUAGUUAACAUGACUGAAGACGAUUUUGAUGUUAUUGUAGAUGAUUUGUCGGAUGUGUCGCCAUUUGAAAAUACAGAGAAUUGUCUAAUAUUUGUUAACGGCGAUUGACAACUAUUAUUGAAAAUAUCCAUGGCUGGGGGAAAAAUUGAAAGUAUGCAUUGUUAAAUAUGAUACAAUAAUAAUAUAUAUUAUAAAAUAAAAUGGUAAAAUAAAUGAGUUACCGUUGGAAAUGUUAGAUAACGGAGUUCUAACAUUUAAAUGUGAAGGAGGAGUUUGUAACAUUGCUUGUUUUGUUAUAUAUGCACUUGUUUUAGAUCAGAAUGUGCUUUUAUUUCGAUGUACAACUCCUUUGAAUUCAUAUACAAAAAAAUGGUUAUGAGAAAUGUAAAAUUGUUUAAUAAUUAUUUUAAUAUUAUAUAAAUAUGAAUAUUGAUAAAGAGAUUAUAUAAAAAGACGAUGAUGUAAUAAAUUUUAUUACAUAUAUUUAAAAAAAACUUAAAAAGUUUAAAAGCAAUCAAGUAUGUUACCGUUUGAAUCCAAUCUGAUGUUUGGUAACGGUGUCUGAAAACUGUUAUUUGGAAUAUCGAUGACUGAGAAAAGAAGAUUGAAAUGUACAUUAUCAAAUAUGAUACAAUAACAACAUAUAUUAUAAAGUAAUAUGGAAAAAUAUAUGAAUUACCAUUGGAAAUGUUAGAUAACGGAGUUCUAACAUUUAAAUGUGAAGGAGGAGUACGUAACAUUGGUUGUUUUGACAUAUUUGUUGUUGAUGUAGAUGUGGAUACGCUUUUAUUUCGAUGGACAACUCCUUUGAAUUUGAUUGGAAAAAAAAUCUUAUAAGAAAUGGAUAAAUUUUAAAUAAUCUUGUAAAUUUUUAAAUAGUAUAUGAAUAUUAAUAAUGAUAAAUAGAUUAUAUAAAAAAAUGUGGAUGACAGAAUUUUUAUUUUACAAAUUUAAAAUAGAAAAAAAAAGUGUAUAAGCAAUCAAGUAUGUUACCGUUUGAAUCCAAUCUGAUGUUUGGUAACGGUGAUUGAAAACUGUUAUUGGAAAUAUCCAUGACCGGGAAAAGAAGAUUGAAGGUAUACAUUAUUAAAUAUGAUAAAAUAAUAAUAUAUAUUAUAAAAUAAAAUGGUAAGAUAAAUGAGUUACCAUUUGAAAUGUUAGAUAACGAAGUUCUAACAUUUAGACGUGAAGGAGAAGUUUGGAAAUUUGAUUUUUUUGACACAUUGGCACUUGAUGUAGAUGCGGAUAGGUUUUUAUUUCAAUGCACAAUUCCUUUGAAUUUGUCUGCAAAUAAAAAAAUUGUUAUAACAAAUGGAUAAAUUUUAAAUAAUAAUGUAAUUUUUCAAAUAUUCUAUGAAUAUUAAUAUACAAAAUACAUGACACAAAAAAUGAGCAUGUAAGAAUUUUCAUUUUACAUAUUUAAAUAAAGAAUAAAGAAUAAAAGUGUAUAACCAAUUAAGUAAAUUACCAUUUCCCUUCAUUUUAAAAAGAUGUGAUGUUGAUGAAGUUGUAUGAAUUCAUUCGGUCAUAACUUUUUUUUUAUUGUCCAAGUAUAAUUUUCUUAUUUUUCUUUUUUCUGUAGCCUGAACAUGAUAGAUGUUCCUAUUUGAAUCUGUAUAAGCAUAUAUACACACAUAAAAUAGUUAUAUUCAGAUUAAAAACAUUGAUAAAGAAAGUUGUAAAAUAUAUAAUGAACGUACUGUUAUCACCUGGGUUAGUAACAUUUGUAGAAGAUGGAAUUCGACCGACUGAUGUAGUGUACAAAGGUAAUUGUUUUGUAUUAUCCAGAUAGAAAUUAUUUAAUUUUAUCUUCUUAUUAGUCUUAAAAGAGUCCAUGUUAGUAGCUGCUAUCUGAAAUGGAAAAAGAAAUAUAACUUUAUACAAAAACAUUAUAUAUUGAAAAUUAUUUUCAAAUUUAAGAAUAAAUAAAUAAAUAUUUCAAAUUUAAAAUAGUAUGCAAUAAACCCAAAGAAAAGAAAGUAUUAUGUAUUAUUGAUGUGCACAAAAGUACCCACUAAUUUUAAUAUUUAUAACCUAACAAACUUAGAAUAACUAUGCACUUAUAGGCAGUGUACCUAGUCAGAUUACAAUAUAGCUUAGGUAAGUCGGGUGUCGAUCACAGGGAACGGUGGUGAAUUAAUUUAAUAUAUUUGAUUAUAGGUUACAGGUCACAUGAAAAGAAUAAAGAAAUAGUUUAAUAAAUCUCAAACUAACAAUUAAUUAACAACUUUGGAUAAACUAACUGGAAAGCAAAUCUCUUCAGGUACUUUGGUUUAGAUAAAUUACACCUUAAAAAACAUAGACAAUUGUAUACACAAGUUCAUUUAUUCAUGUUCACCGAUUCCUAAAAUGAUUAGAUUCGCGUUCACUAUAACUAAUCCUUUAGCAAACAAGUCAAUUCAAACAGUGAUCAGUUGAUUAAACUAACAUGCUUCCUAGUGUUCAGUUCGUAUCAAGCAAGACUUGUAAAUAUAGUUAAUCAAAUUACUAAUUCAAUUUAACCUCUUGUUGAUGGUCAUCAAACAAGGCUCACACAUUAACUUACUUAUUCCCAAGUUAAUCCUAGUUUCACAUUCGUUAUUCCUAGACUUAUAAUCUCGAUGGUCAUCAAAAUCAUAAGAGACAAGCAAUCAAACAGAUGUUCAUAUAACUCAAUUUACUUAACAAUUAACAUCAAAUAAUUAUCAUUAAUACGUAAGGAUCUUUUAACAAGCUUGGCAAGAUAAAUUAAACAUAAACAAACAAUUCAAUAUAGCAAUUAGUCUAAUAAUCAAGGUUUCAUUCAAUCAUAAACACAAAGUAAAAGGUUUUUACACCCAAAUCAGAAACUAAAUACAGAAUAGUAACACAAUGGAAUGCUAAACAUGGUCACGUUAACAACCCAUAUGAUUACCGACAUGUAUCCACUCUCCAACCCUUCCGAUCUUCACUCCUGUUAGCUUAACGGCCUUCCGGCCGCCUUCUAGACCCUCAAAACGGCUUAACAGAAGUUUAAUAUCGACUAAAUUAGGUUGGAAGUCGAAUCCCCCCUUCUGGUUAGCUGAUAAUCGACUUUUAUAACCUUUGUAACCGACUUACGUACGCUGGGCGUACUAAGGGUUUAUACGCGAUUGGAGUUAUCCGAUGCCAGCCGUUACGUGGGGCAUACACAAGAAUUACGCUGGGCGUAACUCGUCUUAGCCAUUACGCUUGGCGUACAAGUAAAUUACGCGGGGUGUAAUCGUUCCUCCAGCAUUUUCCUUUCUUUUAGCCUCUAAGCCUGAUUUCCGCUUCAGUCUUUUCUUUUGUGCUUUAUCGACAACGAAUAGCUGCAAAUCAUAAUUUAAAGCAUUAUGAGUACUUUUUAGUUCUAAAAGAGAAUAAUAAAGGCCAAAAUAUUAAGAUAUAAUGCAUAAAAAUAUAUAUAAAAAUACACAUAUCCAAAUACCCCACACUUAGUCUUUGCUUGCCCCCAAGCAAAUUUUAAUUUUAUUUUACCAUUAUCGCAUUAAACAAUCCAUUUAAAACUCAACCAUUAUGCCAAGACCUCAACGCAUGCAUUUGUGUCUAAAAUUUUCCUAAAAUACCCCCCUACUUUAAAUACUCACAAUCUUCAUAAACACUUGCCCACUUUUUACGAACAAUGCUCAUUUUAUGCAACCCUCCGAAUCCAUCCGCAGAAAACCUCCUUAUCCUCAAGGUAUUUUCCUUGAUAAUUUGAUCUUUGAUUUCUUUGAAUUCACCAUCUUAUUUGAAUUGAUUUCUGGUAUCUUCAACUUUUUUGAAUUUCUUGGAAUUUUGAUCUAAUUCUUCACUUUAUUCGCUCCAAAAUUCUUCAAACUUUUCUUGCAAUUCUUUUUUUUUUUCUUUUAACAUGUACCUCACUUUUUUCACUCAAAACCUACAAGCUUAAGCAGAGGCGCUCAACCUCAACCUUUAUCGGUUAACGAUAAUAAUUUUCCUGGAUACAUUUCAGGUUUAGGCUGCUAAACAUAUUGCAUCCCUCAAACCAAGCGGGGUUAUGUUUUUGUUCCAUGAUUUCACUAAAAUAAGGGAGGCCACAAAUGCACUAUAACGUAUAUUGGCUCAACUAAACAUUUGAGUUCUCAUCGGAUCAUCUCAUACAAUAUUAGCAAAAUUUAAAUUAUCACUAGAUUUUUCUAAAUUAAACUAUUAUUUCAAGUUUUAAAAUUUUUAAAUUUCCUAAAUCUAGCAAUUUCCUAACUAUUAUUUUAUUUUUAUAAUUUACUAUUACCGACCCCCUACCCCACACUUAUUUCAUACAAUGCCCUCAUUGUAUGCUAAAACGAAUUAAGAACAUAAAAAGGGAGAAAAAGGAACAGACUCCCCUGGGUAGUUGUGGCGAGAUCGAAUGGGGCUGCUACAAGUUGCUCCAAAUAUCGCUGAAAGACUGAAAACUGAACUGCUGCUUCUGAAUUUGUCGAAAAAUAAAAUCAAGACUGCCGACUUCAAAAAAUGUGGUGCACAAUAUUGCAAGUAAAUGCAAUGUGUAGUAACCAUGACGUGGGAAAGUGUUGACCACAUCAUGUCUUCAAAAAUGACAUCCUCUUCUCGCGAUGAAAAAUCCUCCACAGCAUAGGAAAGUGUCAGCCAUGUCGUGGCAGCCGGGAUGAUACGUCUUCCUCGCGUCAAAAUAGAACUCUAUGGUGUGGGAACAGCUCAUCAUACCAUAAAAGGUAAAAUAUCGUAAAAAUGCCAAUCGUCUAAAUGAACGCUCACGAAAUCAAUAUGCACCCCACACUUAUGACAAAUUGUGGGUCUUGACUAUACUUUUCGAACUCUCACACGACUCUCUCUAGCAACAGUCGGACCUAGCUGCUAAACUUACUGCCAGCUUUCUAAGGGCGAAAAUUCUGCAGAGAUCUAAACAACCAAAGAGCAUCAACAUGGAAAACAAAAAUAGAACAUCCUAAAUUAAAGUUUAAUUACAUACCAAAUAAAAAACUAAAACUAGAAACACAAAAAUAAACUAAAAAUAACAUAAAAAUAAAAAGGAUAACUAAAUCACUCAUCAUCUCCAUCAUCAUGCUGCUGUGUCCCAGAAGUACCGGCCCCAUCAUGUCGUGGCCGGAAUGGUGGAGGGUAAGGAACCGAGUACUGAAACCCCUAGUGGGAAAAGAAUACGGUCAACGCAUCCCCAUACCACUAUUGUUGCCUGUCCACAUGUGCAACAUACUCACUAAGGUUCUGAACCCUCAUGUCAAGACAGUCAAUGCCCUGAGCUAGGUAGCGCAUAUCAAUCUUCGGCUCAGGUCCCUGUUGCGCUCCCCGAGGAGCAGGUCUACGCUGCUGGACCCGUCUCGGCUGUGGCUCGGCAGCACCCUCCUCGUCCGCCACAUCAUCUGCUCGUACNNNNNNNNNNNNNNNNNNNNNNNNNNNNNNNNNNNNNNNNNNNNNNNNNNNNNNNNNNNNNNNNNNNNNNNNNNNNNNNUGAUCUCUCGUUAACAACUGAUAUGAUCGGGCUAGUCGCGUGAUAAAAUGCCCUCUGCACAUCGGGCUAUCCUCCCGAAGUCCCCUGGCCCUCUGUCCCAAAUAUGCAGCUAAAGCAACUGGAAGGUUCAGGUGCCUCCCUGGAGUAACAAGUGCCCAUAGGAAAUACAAGUCUAUCGAAGGCACUCUCUCACUAUUCUUAUGAUGCGUGAGAGUCAUGGAAAUCAACCGGUGCAACAGUCUAUAUGUAGUAGACCGAAUCAUCCUACCCCGUGCAGUAGAUGGCGUAUAAACUCCCCCUGUAAUCUCAGCCCAAAAAGUGUGCUCAUUAUAUUCAUCUGGCCGCUCCGUGAGACAAUCAGCAAGGAAUGUCGGGAAGUGGACACUCCUCGUCUCAUCUGCUGUGUAUAUACCCACUCAAGUCGCAAGCUCUAUGACACUGCACUCCCGACUCACACCCCCCAGUCUAAAGGCAAAAGUUGUCCUAUCAUCGGGUGCCUUCCUAGGAUCAUAGGAAACUGUAGCGUAAAACUCCAACAAAAAUUCCCGAUAAACAGGCUCCUGGAUCCUGAACAAUCGUGCCCACCCCUGCCAUACGAACAAUUCCACUCCAAUCGCGUCCGAGUGCGUGUAUUGCAAAAAAAUCCUGGAUCAGUGUAGCAAGUCCAGUCCAGGUCGCCAAUUCCCAGUCGAAUGAUGGUGCUAUGUCGAUCUCCUUGGUGAGCAGCAAACUCAAACUGUUGACAUAUCGUGCCCGGGUUGCAUCGUUCAGAGUUUGCGGAAAUUGUAAGAAACGNUCAGAGUUUGGGAAAUUGUAAGAAACGGUGAUCGGUCACAUCCUCGGGUGGGUUGGUCCUUUGAGUUCUUCGGGCCAUAAUCUGCACACAUAAACACAAAACCAAACAAAAUAUAACAGCAUUAAAAAAAUUUUAAACCAAAAAAAAAUGGUGCUGGAUAUGGACUGUACGCUGGGCGUACGUCCAGGUUCCACGAAUAUGUGUUCUGCUUCCUUUUCUUGUGCUAAAGUUAUAACCCAUAUCAAAAAAUUUCAAAUUAACCAACUGCAAGCAAUAAACACAGCAGGGCAAACACAUGGGGCAUAUCGAGCUUCGUGGUCCAAGACAGUAGAAAAACGGGACCACUCUAAAAAAUAUGAACCAUUCUCCUGUUCGUUCCUUAUCUUAUCAAGAUUAGAAAGCACUACAAAAGAAAAACUUCAUUGGGGCAGUCAAGAAUCGAAGUCAACAGGGUUACGCUUAGCGUCCGUCCCCGAGCUCAAAAUGAUGGGUCUAUCACGGGAUUAAGACCAAAUUAGGUACUAGGGUUUAGUCCAUUGAUGGAAAUCGGUCUUUUUAAGUCCUAAUCAAAACAUACAAUUAUGAAAUCGGCCCUAAUUCAAGAACCCUAUAAACCCUAGAUUUCGAACAAAGGCAUUUUGCAGCUUAUUCCAUCGAUUUAAACACAAAUCCAAAACAUUGAGUAACCGAAAAACUUACCUGUGUGCUGAAUUUUACAAGAAAAGAAGCAAAAUUGAAAAUCCUUGGGAGAGCUUGCCGUCACAGUUCGUGUGUGCGAAGGAAAGGAUUUUGAAAAAGUAACAAAAAAGUCAAGGGUCAAAAGAUAUAACCUGGUCACCGAUUUACGCUGGGCGUAAAACAAGGUUACGCUGGGCGUAACUCCAACUCCAUGAAAAGUCCAUCCGCGAUCCGGGGUUUAUUACGCUUGGCGUAAUUAAAAUUACGCUGGGCGUAAUGAAGUAUUCCUUUUCUUUAACUGAAAUUUCUUUUCUUUUAACUAUUUAAUUAAGGGACUAAAAACUUAAUUAUUUUUCUUUUUAAUUUCUUCAGCAACUGAUGACUUUCCGAUGAGUAAAAAAAAUGAGACGUCAUAAUCACUUAUCUUUGUCAAGAUCAAACAACAAUGGUUGAUUAAAAACCUUUGCACGCAAGAAUUGGUUUGCGAAAACACCCACUUUCGGGACCCGUUAGAAUAUUUCCUUUGUUUUCUUUGCACCUUUAACUAAAAGCGGAACAAGAAGUGACCUAACUAGUCAAGAACAGCAAGAGUUCGGUCUUCCACUUAACCACCACAAUACGCCUUACUAUACUACGCCUCAUGGAUUGAGUUGGACAAAUCAACAAAGUAGUAAGCCAACCAGGUCAAGAAUUUCCUAAUCGCUUGGAUUCUCGAAACCCAUGCAAAAAGUAAAGUCAAGCAAUGUGUACAAUCCCAAAUUCCUGCAAUUAACAACAAGAACCUUCCCGACAAGUGAAAUGAUAUCAACGAAAACCAAACUAAAAAUAAAAACUAACUAAAAACAAAUAACGAAUAAUCAAAAAAACUAAAUUAAUGACAAGCUGUUCCCGGCAACAGCGCCAAAAACUUGAUGUGCACAAAAGUACCCACUAAUUUUAAUAUUUAUAACCUAACAAACUUAGACUAUCUAUGCACUUAUAGGCAGUGUACCUAGUCAGAUUACAGUAUAGCUUAGGUAAGUCGGGUGUCGAUCACAGGGAACGGUGGUGAAUUAAUUUAAAAUAUUUGAUUAUAGGUUACAGGUCACAUGAAAAGAAUAAAGAAAUAGUUUAAUAAAUCUCAAACUAACAAUUAAUUAACAACUUUCGAUAAACUAACAGGAAAGAAAAUCUCUUCAGGUACUUUGGUUUAGAUAAAUUACGCCUUAAAAAACAUAGACAAUUGUAUACACAACUUCAUUUAUUCAUGUUCACCGAUUCCUAAAAUGAUUAGAUUCGUGUUCACUAUAACUAAUCCUUUAGCAAACAAGUCAAUUCAAACAGUGAUCAGUUGAUUAAACUAACAUGCUUCCUAGUGUUCAGUUCGUAUCAAGCAAGACUUGUAAAUAUAGUUAAUCAAAUUACUAAUUCAAUUUAACCUCUUGUUGAUGGUCAUCAAACAAGGCUCACACAUUAACUUACUUAUUCCCAAGUUAAUCCUAGUUUUACAUUCGUUAAUCCUAGACUUCUAAUCUCGAUGGUCAUCAAAAUCAUAAGCGACAAGCAAUCAAGCAGAUGUUCAUACAACUCAAUUUACUUAAUAAUUAACAGCAAAUAAUUAUCAUUAAUACGUAAGGAUCUUUUAACAAGCUUGGCAAGAUAAAUUAAACAUAAACAAACAAUUCAAUAUAGCAAUUAGUCUAAUAAUCAAGGUUUCAUUCAAUCAUAAACGCAAAGUAAAAGGUUUUUACACCCAAAUCAGAAACUAAAUACAGAAUAGUAACACAAUGGAAUGCUAAACAUGGUCACGUUAACAACCCAUAUGAUUACCGACAUGUAUCCGCUCUCCAACCCUUCCGAUCUUCGCUCCCGUUAGCUUAACGGCCUUCCGACCACCUUCUAGACCCUCAAAACGGCUUAAAAGAAGUUUAAUAUCGACUAAAUUAGGUUGGAAGUCGAAUCCCCCCUUCUGGUUAGCUGAUAAUCGACUUUUAUAACCUUUGUAACUGACUUACGUAUGCUGGGCGUAAGUCGGAUUACGCUGGGCGUACUAAGGAUUUAUACGCGAUUGGAGUUAUCCGAUGCCAGCCAUUACGCGGGGCGUACACAAGAAUUACGCUGGGCGUAACUCGUCUUAGCCAUUACGCUUGGCGUACAAGUAAAUUACGUGGGGCAUAAUCGUUCCUCCAACAUUUUCCUUUCUUUUAGCCUCUAAGCCCGAUUUCUGCUUCAGUCUUUUCUUUUGUGCUUUAUCGACAACGAAUAGCUGCAAAUCAUAAUUUAAAGCAUUGUGAGUACUUUUUCGUUCUAAAAGAGAAUAAUAAAGGCCAAAAUAUUAAGAUAUAAUGCAUAAAAAUAUAUAUAAAAAUACACAUAUCAAUUAUGUAUUAUCAAUAUUAAUUUUUCUUCAAAAUAAGUUGAAUAUAUCAAGAUAAAAAGUAUAUUCAAACUAAGAAAAUAAACCAGAAACACACAUACAAUAUUUUUGAACAACAAAAGCAUAAAAGUACAUACAAAAAAUAUAAAGACAAAGAAUUUACCAUUAUGUCCCUAGAGUACUAAUAAUGAGAAGAACAAAGAGAAACUGAAAUAUAAAUUUAUAUAGUUGCACUCAUGAAUGACUAAAAUAACACGAAAUGUAUUAAUUGUCAAUGUGGUUGAGCGCAAAUUACCAUUAUGUCCCUGGAGUACUAAUAAUAAAAACAAAAAUUAUAAAAUCCUUAAAAUAGUUCUAUAGAUGGUAUACUGGUAAUUAAAACAAUCAGUUUUUCCACAUGCCUCUUAAAAAAUCAUUUACAACCAUAAAUAAGUUUACCAAUAUACCCGUAACACAUUAAUUUUGUAUAUGUAAUAUGUAAGAUAUGAGAUAUAUGUGGCGAGGGCAUUUUCGUCCUUUAAACAUACUUAUAACAAUUAACAAACCUCAUGAUACAUUAUAACAGUGGAUAAUGGAUCGACAUACAUAUAUACUUUUCCUUUUAAUGAAGAGGCGUGAAAUAUGCAAUUGACAGAAAUGCCCCUUCUACAAGACACACCUAUUUAAAUUGCAUAAAACCACACCGCUUAACCUAUUUAUUCAUAUUUGAUGUUAGAGUUCUAUAAUUACCAAGGUGUUUUUAUCUUUUACUUAAUAGAAAUAUGUCUCGAUCAAGUAAGUUCAGGUAUAUGUUUUUUUUAUCUAAUGCAAAUAUAAUGACAUAAUAAGUAAAAUAAGAGAAAAACUACAAAAUAUUGGGUAAAAUUAAAAAACGAGCCACACCCUUUAAACAAACCAUCAUUGGGUUAUCAAAAUCAGUAACAUGAAUGUAGUCACUAUAAAUUAUAUGCAAAUAGGUAUACAUGAGAAAUAGCUAAAAUGAAAAAUGAUAACUACCUCCACCUUAUAGUUUAUAAAAAAUAAGGCAAACACCUUAACUACAUGCAUAGAUACUCUACUCCCAAUACUAAAGAAAUUAGUCUACAAAUGGCUUUAGUUAAUAUGUUUUUGGUUUAAACCGGUUCAGAUCAAUGACAAAAAAAUAUAAUUAUAGUAAAACAUGACAGAAAUGCCCCUUAAUUCAAAAUGGGACCAAUCAAUCAAGUAAUACAAAAUACAAUCACGUAAUACCUAAGCAGAGAAAAUAUAACACAAAAAACAGAAAAAAAAUUUAUUUCUAUAAAACAUGACAGAAAUACCCCCGAACUAAAAAAAUAAAAAUAAUCAAAAUUACAUUUCUAUUCGUAUGAGUUUGACGGUACUUUUAGGUUUCUUUGUGUAAUCCGUCAAUGAAUCUGGCCUAUGAGUUUGACGGUACUUUUAGGUUUCUUUGUGUAAUCCGUCAAUGAAUCUGGCCUAUAAACAUGACCUGAACCAAUUUUUUUACUUGGUGAACCAAUUUAAUAGAAAAAAAAAUUUGUUCUAAUUACCAUUCUACCAUUUGUAACUUGGGAAUGAUUAAUUAACAUACAAAGGUGAAUUUUCUCUACCUGCUGCCUUACGUUCAAAAUGACAAAAUUGUAUUGGUAAACAUGAACCAAAAUGGACAAAGGUUUCAAUUUUGGACAAACACAGUAAAAAUAUGAACCAAAACAAUAAACAUUGAUAUAAUUUUGCGAUGGUAUUAUCUCCAAAAGAAUAAAAAAUUUCAAUUUUGCGAUGAUAUAGUUUCAAUUUUGCGAAGAAGCAACGUAAGCAGUAAACCAGAUUGCGGUGAGAGAGAGAGAGAGAGGGCCUGCCGCCUGCGAUUGGUAAUUUGUGAUGGUAUCUCUCGACCGAGAAAGGGGAGCGAUUGAUGAACAGAACCAUAUUAAGAGGAAUUAUGAUUGUCAAAUAAGUUUUUGAUCGUUCUUUUGAUCGUUGUUAUUUAGGACAAUAUCUCAUAGUGAAAUACGAAUAAGGUAUCAGUUAAAGUGUCACACACACGCAUACACAUUAAGAAGCAUAAAUAACUUUCAAUUUUGCGAUUAACACAGACAUUGAGAAGCAGGGGCUUACAUAUACACAAUGAGAAGCAGAAUUGAGAAGCAGAAACUUACCGAAGGAUUGAAGUCGUUGACACAGACUCCAAUAACUGAAGUGUCGAUGAUGCUUGAUUGUUGGAAGACAAUGCUGUAAAGAACCUUGGAAACACGAUGCUAUAAAUAAAUUAAGAAGCAGAAUUGAGAAGAAGAAACUGAAAUCGAGAUUGAAGUCUAAGAUUGAAUAUCCGAUAAAUAAUUAGUCCAUGAUUCAGAAACUUGAAAACAUAAUGCUGUAAAGAAAUAUUGAUUAUCAUAUUUUUGAAAUAUAUAUUGACAAUAAUAUGAUCAAAUCGACAUAAUAAUCAAAAUUAAAUGUAAUCGAUGUGAUUGAUAUGGAUACCAUAAUAACAUGCUCUUAAUCGGGUAAGAAAUGAUUUUGAGUUAAUGUGUACAACUGGUAGCAAAGAUAAAAAUCGGUAAUUAAAAUAGGGAGUUAUAUGGAUUCCAUAUUGGAUUCAAUAUUCAAUUUCAAAUUUCCAUAUUCCACAUCGAUUACUACGUGAAACAAUAAAAUAACAAAAACGGUAUUUUACAUUUGUAGAAUACUAAUUAAUUGCAGAAUACUGAUUUUUUGAAGUUUAUAAUUUCACUAUAAAAAACUGUAAUAACAUAACCAUUUUUAUUUUUCUGAUUUAUUUGAAGUAAUUUAGACUUAUAAUACCUGAAAUAGUGGUAUGUGUUUUAGAGUUUUGUACAAGAGCAUUGUGUUUUUUAAAAGUAUUUACAUAUCUACGGUACUUUUAAAUUUAUUUACUAAAAGAUUGUAAAAUUUUAAAAUUCAUGUGGACCUAUCCCUUUUAUACCAAAAAUAUAAGAAAUUAAUUAUGCGCCUCCCCACCGCUCAUUUUUCUCGCAUUUGUCGCUGGAAAAUGAUGGCCAACAAGAUAAUUUCAAAACAUUAUAAAAAGAUUUCUCUUUCGCUUGUUUGCUCGCUAGAAAAUGAAAACAAACAUAAACGGUCAUAAAUAAAAACAACCAAACACGAAUUAAAUAUAUUGACAGAUUUAGAUUCUUCCGGCUGCGAACUUGGUUUGCUCAUUGGAAUAUGAAUACAACCAAACAAUUUGGAAAUCGAAAAGGAAAUUGUUGGAAAUGCACCACGUUCAUAGAUCUUGUGCCAAAACAUUUCUCGUAUAUAUUUGUUUCAAACAUUGGUCGUUCAAUCAAUGUCAUAUAACUUGGAAAUUUGGAGGGGGGAGGGGUUGUUUAACAGAUGAUACCGAGGGUUAUGAAUGGGUUAGUCGGUGGCAAGGCGGAUGUAGAGGUUCAUCCGCAGUGUGGUUUGGGGAGAAUUUCAGCAGUGUUUUGGAGUUGACGAUGUCGGACGGUGAUCGUGUCAUAGGUGUAAACACUGCACAACACAACAUGUAGACUAGGUAUUACUGGCAAUGCUUGUUAUGAAAAAAAUAAAAAACCAGUAGACUUCAAUCGUUGAAGCAGGGAAAAUGUGGUUGUGGUAGGUUCAAUGGAUGUAUGCGCACUCAUGCACAGUAGGGGUUUGCAGCGGUGCUAAGGGUUGCCAAAUGGUUUUGCAAGUAAUGUGAGCAUCAAAAGACAAUUAACAUGAUUUCAUUUAUUUUAUUUAAGUACAAUUAAAUGGGAAAUAAUUUUAAAAGUACUAUAUUAUAGUAAAUAUUUUUCUUAACCGCUACCUUUUAGUAAAAAACUAUGUGUUUUAAACAGGUAUAACUGUAUAAAAAACCUAAGAGUUUGCAGAGGUUCAUGGGAUUACAUCUUAGUGGUAUGUGCUUUAAGGGUAAACACAUUUUUCUUCUUUUAGGCUAGAUUUAUUACAUCACAAGGAAUCCCGUGGCGAGGGCAUUUUCGUCCUUAGGAUAUAUAAAUUUUGUUUCCGGUACUGUUUUGUACUUUGUAGUGCUUAAGAAACGGGAAGAUAUGAUUAAGUUGUGAAUGAUCUGGAUCCAUAUCAAUGAUCCGGUACUAUUCUACCCUUUGUAAGAGAAAAACACAUAAAGUCACAAACUAUAUACCCCUGUUGUGAAAAUUACCAAUAUGUCACUAUAAAAAAAUGAGCAUUAUUUUGAACAGGUUGUUCUAAUUACCAUUCUACCCUUUGUAACUAGAGAAUGAUUAGUUAAUAUGUCAUGCAUUGUUUCCUCCUGUUGCGUGUUCAAUAUUAUAACAAUCAAUAAACAAUUUUAAUGGAAUUUAAAUGAUUGAAAUUGUAGAGAUGAACAAAAGAAUUGACAAAGGGCAAAAUUGACAUCUAAUGCAUUGUUUCUUCCUGUUGCGUGUUCAAUAUCAUGACAAAUCUCAUUUGACAGCUUCAUUACAAUUUUUGUUUCAUACAUUACCUCAAAUAAUAUACAAGCACAUUCCCAAGAAUGCAUUCACCGAUAUACCAUUUUAUUGUGAAAAUUACCAAUAUGUCCAUGUACAAAAAAUGAGUAUUAUUUUCAACAGGAUUUUAUUGAAUUUAUUCAUAUUUGAGACAUCUUUUUUAUAGAGCAAAUAUACUUAUAACACGAAAAUGAAAAGUAGAAUGGUAUAUUUUUUAAUUUUUUUGAAUUUUAUUGCAAAUAUAUUGGUAAAAAAAAUCUUUAAAAACAUAAUGGUUUCCUUCUUUUACACUAUCAAUAGACACACAUAUAUUAAAAGAAGAUUAAUCUAAUUACAGGCAUAACCCAAAAAGCAGUUUUUUACUUAAGAUAGAGAUUAGCAGCGUAAAGAAACCAAGAACUAUCAAUGUUUGAAUACUGAACACCACGAAGAGCAAAACUGUCAAACAAAAUCCCCAAAAAAAAUAAUUCAAGAAUAUUGUUGGUGCAUAAAAAGGACAAUCUAAAAUUACUUUUCAAGCUUUGGUAUUAAUAGACCUGUGUUUCCAUCCACCCUGGAAUUCAAGCGAGGUAUUUUUGUCGACGAAUUCACAUUAUCAUACUCAUCAAUAUCAAUGCUAUCUCCAACGUUUCGCUUUUUUACCAUUGUGGGCGAAUUAAACUUGAACGGACUUGUAGCUUCUAUUUGUCAUGCAUGGAAGGGGUCAAAUUAUCACUGGUUUGUUAUAUCGCGUCCUUAAAGCAAAAACCCGAAACAGCGUUAGUACGAUAAUAUUAACAAAUUAACAAAAAAAUAAUUUAUAAAAGGAAUUUAUAUAAAAUUAAAAAAUGUGGAUUUAUAUUAUAACCUUUAAUGACUUUGUUUCAUGAGAUGCUUCGUGAGAUGCGAUUUUGUAUCGUCAGCAUUUGUAGAAUUACCUCCCUGCUUCAAAAGUUUAAAUAUGUAUUAUCAUUUGUGGGAUUAAAUUUUUGUUCCAUCAAGAUUUACAAUUAAUUAGUGACGAUCAUUAAAUAAAAGUAUGCAUCAUAAUAAUUAAUUAAUUUUCAAAAAACAUAAAAAUAUAUGUAUAUAAAUACCUCAACAGCUAACUUUUUUUCCAAAACAUUGAUAAUGUUACUAUCAAGCGUAUAGCCAAGUAUCCCAAAACGAUUGUAGUUAUUGGAUACGUUAAAACUAUUAACAUCUAACACGAAUGCCAUCUUUUUAUGCACCAGACAGUUGAGGUCAUAAGGAUACAAUCUCGGAUCAUCACCAGCCUGGAAAGAAUGAGUUAUGUAAUAUUAUUAUGGUUAAAAGCACAUUAAUAUAGAUAAAAUCAAAUAGAUAAUAGAAUUUAAUAAAACAAAUAAUAUAUUUAUAGUAUGUCUGUUUGAUUUUCUCUAUGGGUUCACUUGCACGUUUUUUGACGAGUUUAUAAGCAUCUCUAUCAAACAUAGUGAGUGUGAUUGUUCCAGAUUCAUCUUGGACACGAAUAGGUAUUUUAUACCUACAAAAAAGUACGACAUAAAUAUCAUAUUAAAUAUUAAAUAUGUUUAAUGUGUAAUGUUUGUUAAUGUAUUUAAUUUGUGGGUGAACUAUUGUUAAAUUUUAAAAACCUUGGAACUGAAGAUAUCUCCUUUUUUUACACUUAGAAUUAUAACAUUCAACAACCACACUUGCAUCACCACUAUCUGGACCGCUGAAAACGUUUCUUGGUUCAACCUUCCUUCCACAUUUUGAACACGCAUCAUAAUACCAAUCAAUAUCUUGUCGGAUACCAUAAAUGGUACCAACAAUGAUAUAUUUCCCGACCUUAAAAAAUAUAAAAUACAAAAAGAAUCAUAAAAAAAAAUACAAUUAUAAUAUUAUAAUAAACGAAUAAUAGAUAACAAAAUCACAUUAAAAAAAACUAAAUUAUUCACAUACCUCUUGUGGUUCUAGCAAAUCGACAACAUUUUUAACGUUGUGAUUUGUCAAAAAGUCAUCAUAUUCAUUGCAUGAUUGAGAGCUAUCAACGGUCAAAGAAGAAGAAGGAUUUUGAAUUCCUCGUAAUCCAACCAUGUUGUUUUUUUUAUUUGAUAGAUUAAUUAUGAAAUUAGUAAAAUUAUUAAAAAGAAACAAAAAAAACAAUGAAUUAUUAAAAUAGAUUGUUACCUAUCUGUGAAUGUAACAAUUUCGGGAAGAUCAACAUUUAUGAACAUCGGUGUGUGUUUAUAAUAACUGUUAAAAUAGUUAAAAUAAUGAGCAAUAUAAAAGCCUAAAAUAACAAAGGGGUCCUUUUAUAAGAAAUGUACCGUUAUAGACAUUAAGUCUUGCAAACUGCAAAAUAACAACCACACGACCAACUUCUUUAUGUGCUUCAAGAUAAGAAAUCAAUUGGUAUGCAAUAUCUCCAAACAAUGUGACGUUAACCUGCAAACCUCUGCAAAAACAGUACGGGUUAAAUGAUAAUAUAAUAAUAAAAUUACAUAUGGCAGUUGUAACCUAAUCAAUUUAAUAUAUAAUAAUAAUAAUAAUAAUAAUAAUAAUAAUAAUAAUAAUAAUAAUAUAAGAUAUAAUAUAAGAAAAGUUAUGAUUUGUAAAGUUAGCCGAUGUUUGGAUUUGCUGACAUCACGGGAAUCAAGCUUUCCUAACGAAACAACUUCACCAAUAACAUCUACAAAAUGAUAAUACAAUAUGUCAAAAUGAUGUAAAAUUAAAGAAUUAAAUAUAAGAUGCAAUUAAAUAGGGGAAACAUUUACCAAUUGAGUUAUUAGAUGUAGCUGUUGCAGAAAUAAUGCUUUCAAACGAUACACAACAAAAGUCAUAUGUUGUUUUGGACUAAAAAGUUAGACAAUCAUUAACAGUUUUUCGUCCAUGCAAGUUUAACUUGGAGAGUACAUCACUUAUUUUAAAAAUGUAUCUGUUUGGAGCUAUAGUGGGGGAUCGGAUGUAAAUUGCUUUAUCUUCUUUCAGUUUUAAAAGUGUAUCUCUUGGGUAGACACUUGCUCGGAUUUUUGUACCCUAUUCACAUAUCGUAAGAAUAUUAUAUAUAUUGCGAAACAAUUGUAUAUUAAUUUAUAUAAAUUGGUCAACAUUGAAUCAAUUAUUUGACCAUGAAUGAUUUUAAAUAAUAUUAUUGGAAUGAGCAAAUAAACAAAAAAAAAUAAUUUUGAAUAAUGUAAUUAGAAUAGGAUAUUUUACCAUCUCAUCCAUUAAUAUCAUUUCAAGUGCUUUGACAAUACUAGGGUUAACUUUGGAUAAUGAUCUCCACAGCCGGAUAAUACACACUUUUAGUGUUUAAUCAUCCCUCAUGUUGUCUAAGUCUUUGAUCAAAGUGACAUUUCUAUCUGCCAUUGUCACUAUAAUAGAAAGACAUAACAUAUUAAGAAAAAAUAAUGGAACAAAAUUACACAAAAAAUAUAAAGACAAACAUAAUUACAAUUAUGUCCCUGGAGUAGUAGGCGGAUAAAAAGAUUCUGAAUAAUACAAUAAAUUAUUAUAAAACAUUCAAACAUAUUCAAACAAACUAUAUACCGCUGCUGUGAAAAUUACCAAUAUGUCCCUGGAGUUGUAGGCGGAUAAAAAGAUGAAAAACAAACAGGGCAUUUUCGUCCAUUGAACUUACUUAUAACAUGAAAAAUAAAAGUACAAUGCCAUUAUAUGUAAUAUUUUCGAAUUUUGUUGCACAUAUAAUUUUUUUUUUUGUACUGUACUGUUGGAAUACAUUUUUCUUUCCUUCUGUUAUUUUACUUUGUAACUAUUGGAACUAAUGUUUAUUAUGUUAUAUAAAGAUAAGCAUUGAUGGAAAGGAUACUAUUAGGGAGGAUGAUGUUGAUGAAUUGACUUCCAAUUCCAUAGUUACAGAUUAUGAAAUAUCAAGCAUAUCAGGUUCAGAACUAAAAUAGAACAAAAUUACACAGAAAGACAUAACAUAUUAAGAAAAAAUAAUGGAACAAAAUUACACAGAACAUAUAAAGACAAACAUAAUUACAAUUAUGUCCCUGUAGUAGUAGGUGGAUAAAAAGAUUCUGAAUAAUGCAAUAAAGUAUUAUAAAACAUUCAAACAUAUUCAAAUAAACUAUAUACCCCUGAUGUAAAAAUUACCAAUAUGUCCCUGGAGUAGUAGGCAGAUAAAAAGAUGAAAAACAAACAGGGACAACCUCAGUGAUUCAAGCAUAUCAGGUUCAGAAAAAACAAAAAACAGAGAAUUAGAUAAAAAGAUGAAAAUACAUUCUCCAUAUUUUACAGAUUUACAGAUUAUGAUAUAUCAAGCAUAUCAGGUUCAGAAAAACAAAAAACAUAGAAUUUGACAGCCUCAGUGAUAAAAUCGGUAAUUAUAAGUAAAACAAUAACAUACAACGUUAAUGUGGCCUAAGUCCUAAUUCAUAUAAAUCUGAUUAUUUACCAAUCGCAGGCGUACCUUCAAUAGUUCAAUGGGAUAGACUCGAAGAAGCAACGUAAGCAGUAAAGCAGAUUGCGAUGGGGGUAGAGAGAGAGAGAGAGGGCAUGCCGCCUGCGAUUGGUAAUUUGCGAUGGUAUCUCUCGACUAAGAAAGGGGAGCGAUAGAUGAACAGAACCAUAUUCAGACGAAUUAUGAUUGUCAAAUAAGUUUUUGAUCGUUCUUUUGCAAUUAACACAGACAUUGAGAAGCAGGGGAUUACAUAUACACAAUGAGAAGCAGAAUUGAGAAGAAGAAACUUACCGAAUGAUUGAAGCCGCUGAUUGAAUAUCUAAUAACUGAAGUAUGGAUGAUGCUUGAUUGUUGGAAGAUGAUGCUGUAAAGAAUGAUUCAUAUUUGUAUGCUUCAAGUAUAUAUUGAACAUAAUAAGAUCAAAUCGACCUAAUAAUCAAAUUUAAAUGUAAUUGAUAUGAUUGAUAUUGAUACAAUAAAAAGAUGCUCUUAAUCGGGCAUAUAACGAAAUUGAUUCAAUAUUCCAUUCGAUUUCCAUCCAUAUUCCAAAUUCCACAUUCAAAUUGCCAUAUUUCCAUAUCUAAUUUCCGUAUGUAAUGCUACGUGAAACCAAGCAGGGGUAAAAAUGGGAUUUAACAUUGGCAAGAAAGUGAAUUUUUGUUAGGACACGUUUCAAACAGGUUUUGUUUAUUAGAUAGGGAGAUGUUAUGAAUCUUGGUUAUGAUAAUACGAAUAUUGUAUGCUUGUACUUGAUUUACGAUCGAUUAUGUGGGGUUAUGCAUAGAGGGCAAGGGUAGGACCUAACACUUAGCAUGAAACCCUAUCCAGAUACAUUCGAGCCUCGUUAGUUGAGAAAUACCUUCUAGGAAAAGAGAUUAAUCCAUUUACGAGUUGAUCGGUCUUUCUAGAUGCCCGUGCGACACAUUGUACGCGUACACUUCGGUGUUUGCGGAUUGGAGUGAUGUUGGCCAUUCGAACGAGGCUUGUACAGACAUCACGUAGGUGUUGGGAGGUGGCGGACGAAUGCCACUGCUUGUACCAACACCAGAACGGCACCGCGAUGUACUUGUACAUUACAUAGUCGGAGUAGUGAAAGUGGAGUCUUGGGGUCGGUGUGGCAGGGGGGGGUCACGAACCACCUAAAGCACUUGGUUGUCCAGACACACAAGUAGCGAACGGGUUUUCCUUUUGGGUUAGGUAUUACUACGAGACUACCUAUGCCUAUACGAUUAUGAUACAUUUUUUUUUAUAUGAUGAUAUACGAUUACGAUAUGAUUAUGCAUGAAAUACAAUUGAUGUUACAUAAAUGAAUGAUAUGUGAAUGGAUGAUACAAAGUUGAAUGAUUGAAUUUUAUGUGAAAUAUGAUUGAUUAUUGAUUGGUAUGUGAAUUUUGUUUAUAUGAUUAAAAUAUGAAUGAUUGACCCGUUAAGGGAUGGUAUGUUUUCCCUUUGAUUGUGUACAAACUCUUAUUGGCUCACGAAGCAUUUGUUGACACUUGUUUCUUUGCUUUGUGCCUUUAUGAUUGGUACAGGUAGCUUAAGAGCUUCGCUUGGUGAGAUGGGGUCAUUUUUUGGUAGUUUAUCCUUAGAAUAAAGAUGCCACUUGGAAACGUUAUUUAUUUUUUGAUACUUAUGCUUCCACUACAAUUAAAUACUUUUGAUAUUUUGGUUUUAAAUUGAACGUAACUUGGUGGUUUGAAAUGUUUUUAAAAUAAAUAAUGUGUACACUCUUCCGUUGCAUUUUCCGUUAAAAGAUUUUAAAAAUAAAUGAAAUUUUUUCGCGAAAAAUCAUGACUUUACAAUUAAAUCCUUAAUAGAUUAAGUCCUUAACAGGUUAAGUAGGAACACUUAACCCUAAUCGUCAUUUUAUGUGAAAAACCCUAAUUGGGUUUGGGUUCUUAUUAGGUCACUUAUUGGACUGAGUUGUUGUGGGCCUUUGUGGGCCAAUUGGGAACAUAUUUAUGGACUAAGGAAAUUAUUGGUCUUUAGGAUAAGGCCCGUUGGAAAGGCUUGGGCCCAAUUUGGAAAAUUGGGCCAUAAUUAGGCCUUGAUGAUUAUGAGACUGGAUUAAAUGGUUGGGCCUUAAGAUAAGCCCAUGUAGAGGUUUGGGUCCAAUUUGGAAAAUUAGGCCAUAUGUUGGGCUUUGGUCCAUAGUUUGACUUUUGGGCUUUUGGAUUGGGCCUUGGAGUUGAAUAAAGCUAAGUCAGGGGUAAAAUAGUCUUUUACCCUAACCAUGGAAUUAUGGUUAUGUAUUGGAACCCAAUUAUUAAUUGGGUGUCGUUUUGAUGUUGAUAGUUUAGGAACCUAUCAACCAGCAGCUAAGAUUUUACCCGUGGAACUUGAGCAAUGCGAAGUGAGUCUCCUCACCAUACCAACGGGUCGAAGGCACCAAUGUCAGCCCAUUUUAUGUUAUGUGAUACACUAGCUAAAGUUGUAUUAUGUGGCAUGUUAGCUGGUUAUGUCAUAGGAAGUAUGCUAGUGGUAUAUGUGGUAUGCUUGUAUGGAAGACCAUGGGAGAGCCCAUGGCACCUGGAUGUAAGACCAUGUGGAGAGCCUAUGGCUUUCUUACUAUGUUUUAGUGUUAAUGUAGAUUCACUAUUGAUAUGUUUGGUAUGCACGUAUAUGUGGUAUGCUAGUGAUUAAGUGAUAUACUAGCUGACUAUGUGGUAUGUGGUAUGCUAGUUGUCUUUGUGAUACUUGCAUGAAAGCCCAUGGGAGAGCCCAUGGCACCUGGAUGUAAGACCAUGCGGAGAGCCCAUAACUUUCUUACUAAAGACCAUGGGAGAGCCCAUGGUAACCAGAUGUAAGACCAUGUGGAGAGCCCAUGGCUUUCCUAUUAAAGACCAUGGGAGAGCCCGUGGCAUUUAGGUGUAAGACCAUGUGGGGAGCCCAUGACAUCCUGGAGUAAGACCCUGGGGACGAGCCCACGACAUCCUUAUAUGUUUAUAUUCAUGGCUUAUAUGAUUGAUAUGACUUAUGUGGAUAUGUAGCUAAUAUAACUAAUAAAUAUUAUGAGAUUAUGUGGAUUGUAUGAGGUAUGCUCUGGGGAAUUCACUAAGCUUCGUGCUUACAGUUUUGUUUAUGGUUUCAGAUAUUUAACUUUAGGAAAGGAAGGGCUCAGCUUGACCGCAGCGUACACACCCAUGCUUUCCACAAUGAAUGAAAUGUUUUAAUUAACAAUGUUUUGGAAUGAUUGGAAUAAAUGAUAUCUAUGUUUGGGUUAUAUUAAAAAUGAAAUUGUUACCCCUGAUUUUUGGGUUGUUACAAUGAUAUUCAAUUAAAACACAGGUCUUUUGGCCUAGCACUAUCAUAUGUUGGAAAAGUGACCCUUCCUAAUGUUAGAAAAACGGGUUAUUUUGAUUGCUUGGAUACCAUUGAAAGUCAUGAUACACUUUCAAAUUGAAUUAUUUUGAUGGUACAAUCAAAAUAUCAAUUGGAUAAAAUUCAGUGACAAACAGAGAAUGAAAAUGUUAUGAUUCUUGUGUGUACCAGAUUUAAAUAACCAAAAAGGGAUAUAACUCCUUAUCUGAAAACUAUCAUAUUGACAUUUACAAACUGCCACAAAACCGUCACUAAAUUGACUUAGUCAGCUUGACAAACAAGAACCACAUAUUUAACAUACAAAGCAAAGAGAAAAAGUUUCCUAAUACUUGUAAAAAUCAAAUGAUGUAAAAAAAUUAGAUGUCACAAAAUCUAGUAUUAACAUAGAUUUAAUAAAACUGAUAGAUUACUUGUUUAUAUAUCGUAAAAAUUUAUUCCCAAGGUCAUCCUUAACUCACUAAUAAAUUUUGGGAGUAACGAUAUAACAAUAUCUAUUCGGUACUCCUUUGAUAAAAUUUUGAAUUUUGUGUGGUCAAUAAGUCGUAUUUUUGGAUUGCUAAUAGGAGUAGAAAAGCUAAAAUCAUUUGGGUCUAUGAGCUUCGUAAUCCUAUUUUAGCUUGCACUCUUAUGUAAUGCUAUUUUUCCUUGCUUCCUGCUAGUUUUUAUAAAAUUUUUUGCUGUUCCAAAAAAAAAAAAAAAAAAAAACUCCUCUAAUAUAUUGGUCGGUCGACUUUGAGAUACAAUUAAGAAGGUUCUCUAGCCACAUCACACAUCAUCCUCCCCCAAUGACCACCACACAAUAAUAUCGAUUUGGUAUAGACCAACAACUCUCUAUUUCCCCAUCUCCCUUAAAUCAAUCUUCACUUCCUUACUUUUCAGUUUGUUUUUUAAUAUUCAUACAUAGAAACUCAUGUUGGAGCAGUUAACACACAUAAAUGUCCUUAAUAUUGGAAUCCCUCACCAACAAAGUAGCAUCGUUAAGUAACUAAUAAGUUAGAGACCAUACGUACAAAUUAGCCCAAACCAUAGGGACCAUUCGUGUAAUUUACUCUUCCUCUUAAUAUACAUAUUUUUUAUUAGAGACAGACCGCUGUCAUCCUCAAUAUAAUACAUGUGUCCCCAAGUCCAUUUUGCAAUUCUUUUUGGAUUUGGCAAACUUGUAUAUACAAUUUCCUCUCUUUACUUUUCAUAUGUCAUAACCUUUGCUUUAGUUAUUGCUUUCUUCUUCCAAUUUCUUGUCACCUUGUAAAUAUUUCUUUGACCUCUCUUCUUUCCCAAUUGUCACUACUUAAUAGAAAUUCUUUAAAAGGAGUUUCUUUAUUUUGACCUUGAACCUUCUUGCUCCACCAUUCCGAUUAUUAGCUUAGCCUUUCAUCCUUGACGGAUAUGGCCUCCUGCUACAAUUACCAUGUAACAGAGCCGGCCCAAAGCAAGUUCAUCCAGUGCCUUUGAACAUGGCCCAAAAAAUCAGAGGGCCCAUUUUUUUUCAUUCUUUAAUAGGGUAUGUUCAUUUGGCCCAAAAAAUUUAGGUUAUAUCCAUCUAUAUACUCAGUUAACGAAUGCAGGAAGCAGGCAAGAGGGAGCAGGAACUCAAUUUUCGGGAAAAAGAGAACUCUUCGGUUUCUUCAUUGGUAACGCACGCAUGGAUAAUAGGAAUCAUCAUUGCUGGAACGGUAACAUCAAUUUACAUUCAUUUAUCAUUCAUUCUAUUCCAUCAAUUUACCUUCACUUCUUAUUUCUUCCUUCUUUAUCUUCUUCUUCACUGAUCAGUUUUUACAAAGAUUACCAACAAUUUUAGAAGAUUCAAAAGAAGAAAUUCAAAGCCAUCAAAUUUCGAAAUCAGAAGGUUCAAUAUCAGAAUUCAGAACAAUCAAAAUUCGAAAUAAGAAGCUUCAAAAUCUUACAGUCUUACAGUCUUACAGUUUGAGUUUCGAAAUCAAAGGUAUAAUACUAAAAUUAAACUUUAGUUUAUUGUUUCAUGGGUUUGUUUUUUCUAAUUGAGUAAUUUGAUAAUUUCAGAUUUCUUAUCGGUUCUUCUUUUUUCAUUUUCUUUAAUUCCAAAUUACUAAAUCAGGAUGAACAAUCAACAGUGAUAUCAGUUUUCAAAAAUUUGAACUUAGAAGGAACAAGGAAUUGAGGUAAAUUCUAAUUCAGAUUUCUACUUUUUAUGUUUUUUUGUUUAUGAUAAUUUCGAAUUUGUAAGAACUAAGAAGUAAUUAUGAAUUUAUGAUCUCAUCAUUUCAGAUUGCAAAUUUUCUGAUUUCCUUAGAAUCAUAUUCUUGUUUUUUUGAUUUGAAGUGUCGAUGAUAAUAAGGUAAUUUUUGGAUUUCUUAUAUGAUAUCAUUGCAGAUUUUGUGAUUUCUUUAGAAGCAUAUUCUGAUUUUUUUUCUUUGCAGUUUUGUUACAUUCUUUUGGUGAUUUGAAGUGUGGAAAAUCUGAACCAAGAAGGAAUCUAUAAAUUGGAAGUCAUAAAUAAGGUCGUUUCUUUCUUUUCUAUAACUUAUUAUGCCUCCUAAAAUAAAAAAAUAUGCAUCUGGAUAUGAAAAACGUAAGAAAAAACAAAAAAUUGAAGAAGAUAAUAAAACUCAAGCAGGAUCUAUGGAUAAGUUUAUAACAAAAAAAACACAAAACUUUACGAAAAAUGAAACACAAAAUGUUAAUGAAGCUAAUCUUGAUAAAAUGAUAAUGUUGAUGUUGAUGUUGAUGUUGAUGUUAAUGAUAAUGUUGAUGUUGAUGUUAAUGCUAAUGUUAAUGUUAAUGUUAGUGAUAAAGUUGAUUUUAAUGAUAAUCCUAAUGUUGUUGUUGAUGAUAAUGUUGAUUUUCACACUUUUGAUAUAUUUGAUCCAAGAAAUCGGGAUGCUCUUGAUUCUAGUAUGAUAAAUAUUUUAGUGUUGAAAGGUCCUAAAAGAGAUUUGUCUCUUACAAAAGGUCCUAAAGAUAAAUAUUUAAGAAGAUUUUCUGCAACAUAUUAUACUAAAACUUUACCAAAUGGGGAAAAAUGUGAUAGAGAUUGGCUUGUUUAUUCUAAAGAAAUUGAUAAAAUUUUUUGUUUUUGUUGUAAAAUAUUUCGAAAAGGGUGUCGGAAGGGUCAAUUAGCAAAUGAGGGUUUUAGGGAUUGGAUACAUCUUAACACUAGAAUUAAAGAGUAUGAAACUAGUAUGAAACAUGUUAAAACUAUAAAUACUUGGUAUGAUUUGCGUUUAAGAUUACAAAAAAAUGAAACUAUUGAUAAUGCGGCUCAAAAACAAUUAGAAAAAGAAAAAGUUCAUUAGAGACAAGUUUUGUUGAGAAUUAUUUCUAUUGUGAAAUUUCUUGCUAAACAUAAUCUAGCUUUUCGUGGUACUAAUGAGAAAUUGUAUGAAGAUAACAAUGGAAAUUUUUUAGGCUUAUUUGAAAUGUUGGCUGAAUUUGACAUGGUUUCUUAUGACCAUAUACAACGUAUUACAAAUGAAAUUGGUAUCCAUAAACAUUAUCUUGGGCAUAGGAUACAAAAUGAAUUAAUACUUUUGCUUUCUUCAGAAAUAAAGUCUAUGAUUAUUAAAAAGAUAAAAAAUGCAAAAUAUUUUUCUAUAAUACUUGAUUGUACUCCUGAUAUAAGUUACCAAGAGCAAAUGACUAUUAUUUUAAGAUGUGUAGAUGUCUUGUCAAAUGUUGUUUGCAUUGAAGAGUCUUUUUUAGGGUUUUUAGAUGUAAAUGAUACAACCGGCCAAGGACUCUUUGAUGUUUUACAAAAUGAAUUGAAUUUGCUUGAUCUUGACAUUAAUAAUAUACGUGGCCAAGGUUAUGAUAAUGGAUCAAAUAUGAAAGGAAAACAUCAAGGAGUGCAAAAAAAGCUUUUAGAUAUAAAUUCAAGGGCUUUUUAUACUCCUUGUGGUUGUCAUAGUUUGAACUUAACUUUAUGUGAUAUGGCUAAUACUUGUGGUAAAGCUAAAGGUUUUUUUUGGAACAAUACAACGUAUCUAUACAAUUUUUGCAAAUCCCACUAAGAGAUGACAAAUUUUAAAAGAUAAUGUGAAAGGGGUAACUCCUAAAUCGUUGUCAUCCACUCGUUGGGAGAGUCGUGUUGAUAGUGUUAAAGCUAUAAGAUUUCAUAUACAAAAAGCUUUACUUCAAGUAGCCAAAAAUGAUAAUGAUCCAAAAAUAACAAGUGAAGCUAAAUCCUUAGCAAAAAAUGAACUUGACAACUUUGAGUUUAUAUUGGCAUUAGUAAUUUGGUAUGAAAUGUUAAACACUAUUAAUUUAAUUAGCAAACAAUUGCAAUCAAAAGAUAUGUUUAUUGAUGUUGCUAUGGAAAAAAUAAUGGGGUUAAUUUCGUAUUUUAAGGAAUAUAAAGAAAAUGGGUUUUUAAAUGCUUUACAAACCGCAAAAGAUAUUGCCUUAGAAAUGGGGAUCGAUCCAAUAUUUCCUAAAAAACGUGAACCUAAAAUAAAAAAACAUUUUGAUGAGAUUUCAAACGACACUUCUUAUAGUUUUUCACAAUCCGCCCAAGAGAAAUUUAGAGUUAAAUAUUUUAUUUAUAUUGUUGAUCAAGCAAUUAGUUCUUUAACUACAAGGUUUGAACUAUAUCAAUAAUAUGAUAAAAUAUUUGGCUUUUUAUUUAAUUCAGAAAAAUUGCUUUCAUUAGAUGAUAUAACAUUAAAGUCUUGUUGUAUGUCUCUUGAAACUUCACUCAAGAAAGAUGAGCAAUCGGAUAUUGAUGGAAAUGACUUAUAUGUUGAAUUAAAAUUACUUUUACAUCUCUUGCCUAAGGAAAAAUUGACAGCAAUUGAUAUUCUAAAUUUUUUAAAACGUGUUGAUUGUUUUCCUAUUACAUCUAUUACAUAUAAAAUUAUGUUGACUAUUCUUGUUACUGUUGCAUCUGCAGAACAGAGUUUUCCAAAAUUGAAGAUUCUGAAGUCCUACUUAAGAUUUACAAUGACUCAAGAACGACUUAAUGGAUUGGUUUUGAUGACGAUUGAGCGUAAUAUGUUGGAUAAAGUUACUUAUGAAGAUGCUAUUGAAAAAGUUUAUUUCAACGAAUAUUAGGAGGAUGACUGUUUUCAAGUAGAAGCUAAUUUUUUUUUGUAUUAUUUUGAAUGAAAUUUUAAUUUUAUGUAUUUGCAAUAGAAAAUUAAACUAUAAUUUUUUUUUUGCUUAAAUUUUGAGAUCUUUCAAAUUUUAGAGCCUAUUUUUUGUUAAAUCGCACAUGGUCUUCAAUAUCUCAGGGCCGGCCCUGCCAUGUAGACCGAGACCCCUACUUGUAACUAACCUUUUCGGUCCUAAUAGAUACACAUGUAAAAAACUAAUAACUACUAACUAACUAUUAAUUAUUUAAUAUAAAAUACAAAUAGAACAUCAAUGAUAAAUAUUAAAAGGGUGUUGCUAAAUUGACACCCCUUAGACACCCUAUAAACACUUUUAUUAAAAGUCAAUUUAUAAUAAACUAUUCACAAUUUACUUUUUCAAAAAACAAUGCAAAUUAACUAAUAAAAAAAUCUUAAAAAUCAAAUAAGGUUUCAACAUGAGAGAAAUUAUAUUGCAAUAAGUUUGUUGUCAGGUGAGGAAUACAAUGCAUAAAUGAUUUACAAAAUCGAAAGUUCCAGACACAAGUUAAAACUUAAAACCCUAAAAGACCACACAAAUUUCAAUCGUCGACAUACCCCACCACAAAGGCACAAACAAUCAAUGAAACAAGUGUAGAUGUAGAGGCCUUUUUCACCACAAUCACCCUUCAUCGGCCAUUUCGAAGGCCACGUGAAAUGUCACUAACGUGGCCCUCUAAAUAUCCACUACUUUGUCUUUAACCCCUCCCCCCUCCCUUAUAAAACACUCCAUCCUCCUCCUUAAUCACCAUCACCAACAACCUUCUCUCCUCCCUCAAAAGUACCACCAUCUUUUCCGACAUGGCUACUUCUUCAAUCUUCAUGGCAACUCCCAUCACACUCCUCAAGAAAACUCCCACCUUCUCCGUCAAAUGUAUGUCACAAACACCUCAAAGCGGUGAACCGGAGGUUUCAAAACCAGCAACCACCCCAACACUACCACAGAUCAACAUUCCUCCUCCUCCGCCACCUGCUCCAAAGGUCAGCACGAAGUUCUCUGACGUGUUGGCGUUUAGUGGACCUGCACCGGAGAGGAUCAACGGAAGGUUAGCCAUGAUAGGGUUUGUGUCGGCGAUGGCUGUGGAACUGAGCAGCGGUCAAGACGUGUUCACCCAGAUCGGCAACGGCGGUGUUGCGGUGUUUGUCGGGACAAGUGUGGUGUUGACGUUGGCGUCGUUGGUGCCGUUGUUUAAAGGAGUGAGCGUGCAGUCGAAGUCGAGUGGACUGAUGACAUCAGAUGCAGAGCUUUGGAAUGGGCGGGUUGCGAUGUUGGGUCUGGUGGCUUUGGCUUUUACUGAAUAUGUUAAAGGCAGUGCCCUUGUCUAGAUAAUGUAGCAUAAACUUUUCUAUUACAGAAUUACAUCUAAGAUAGGCAAAUGUAUAUUCUUUUGAAUAUUUAUGUGUAUCGAUUUACCAUACAUAGUUCAAAUCAUGAAAAUCAUGUUUUUUUGAUAAUAUAGUAUAAAACAAAUAUGAUCAAUCAAAUCGAACGAUUGUGGUAUCUUUCAAUAUAAAAUUCUUUUUACAAAAAUAAACAAACAACAUACUAAGAUAAUUUUUUGAGGAAUGAACCUAGAUUAGCAAUAUAAGAGUCAAAGUCUACAAAGAUAUUGACAUCCUAGUUUCACAACUUCCUCUUUGAAUGUUGAAGGUGAUCAUUAAUUCAGACUGAAUAUGUGGCUAAGUCCAGCCUAGUCAAUUAGCCAAUUUAAGUUGACAAGUAUCCAAAAUUCAAAUAAACUACAUGGCUCAAUUUCAAAGAAAACUGAAAAAUGACUAAUGCUCACAAAAUGAUCACCGAAUCAAUUUAGGCUAUGAGGAGUGGUCACAUUCAAACCACCGGAAAAACGCUGCAAAGUCAGUGAUAUGUCAACUCCAUCACCUUCUAAACAUUGGAAACAAUUACCACUCCGUGUCAUUUAUAUUUUCAUUUUUUUUACAUUAGAUUAAAUAAAAAACAUAAUUACUAACUUAAGUAAUCAUUUUACUAAUUAAAAAAUCAACUAAACAUAUAUUAAUUUUCAAAAUUAAAUAAACAUAUAUAGUAUAUAUAGUUGAGGGUUUAACUUAAUUCAAAGAAAAGUAAGAGGGUAUAAUAAGAUUAAAAGACAUAAUUUUAGAGACCAAAUUUGUAACUUUAGUUAAAGCAAAUAUGAAUGGUCUUCUUCACAGGUCAUUGCUCAAUACCAUUUUUUUUCUUUUACUUCGAUGGAUACAAAGGAAAAGGGAAAAAAAGGGUCAAAUAAAUGACCGUUAUUGUUCUUGCUUUCUUAUCCGUCGUCUUCAUCCGUCUUUGCACCCACAUUACACCCAAACCACCGGCCUUAGGGGUGGUGGUGUUCACGUGUCCUUAGGCCGGACACAUCAGCAAGAUGUGUGAGUUAGUCCUCCCACUCCGAUUAGCCUUAAGCACUUAUUAAAAGCUAGUCUAUUUCUUGUUAGGUUGAAAUCUAAUGUUAUCAUCAAAUCUAUACAAGAUUGAGAUUGAUAUUAUAGUAACAAUCUCCCAAAGAAAAAUAAUAUAUUUAAAAGAAUAUAUAUAUANNNNNNNNUAUAUAUAUAUAUGAAUUAUGCCCCAAGAAGUACUAUGCAUGAGUAUAAGAUUACUAUUAUCUUUGGAUCCAUUAAUUGAUAACUAAGCAUACUUCAAAGUUACUAUAUGGUCGUAUGAGACCCGCGAAUAGGAAAUUGGCUGCACCCUUGGCCCGAUUCGAAGGCUAAAACCCAAAAGAACCAUGCACAUGAUUCGAACCAAGUGCUCUAAUGCUAUUUUGCCCAACUUACAUGAACUACCUCCAUACACAUACUUAAGAAACCCAUAAUCUCAUCCAGAUAGAGCAGGAAUGCCAGAGAUAAUCGGAAUAAUACCUCAAUCAAUUACAAAAAACAUCCGCAUUAUCGGUUGAAACAAGAUCCCAUACUUGAUUGAGACUGAACGGAUUCCAUCGCUACACAACUAGCUCGAGAAGACUUCCACGGAUCUCGAAAGUUGCCUAAACCUGAGUCUGCUAUGAAAUAGGUUCCCACUCCACCAUUGAGGGUAAACACACUUGAAGCCCCAAUGGACAUAGAUCAUACUAAGCUUGAUAACAGAUCAGCCUGACCACUACAUCUCGACUGACACAAUUAAACUUCCAAGUGAACUUUUAUUGAUUGAUGAACCCCACAACCAGUGGUCGAGGACACUUUAACACUUAGUCCAGAGAAUCAAGACCACAUAGAACUGAACAUACCCACUCAUGGAAAGAUCCAUCGACCAACGUCUGCCCAACUAAUAUGAAAAUAGUAAUCCAACAACAAACUGGGAAAUCCCUCAACAGCUAAAAAUACUCAACCUGAGAAUCCCGAUUCUCCUCCACUUAGGGCUUAAACUACCAUUCACUAGCGCUAAAACCAAAUCAUAAAUCAAACCAUAUUGAGGAUAUACUCCCUUCCUAACCCUGGAAGUUACGAGCCUCUUCACUCCUUCCCCGAACUCGGAAAAAAUGAAAGGGCAUAACCCUAGCCAUUGAUAAUGACGUUCCAAACCAACAAUCAACCACUUCCAACUGUAAAACCCAAGUCAAUCUUAAUCAUCGUCCCCUUCACGAGUCCCGCGACUCGAAUACCCGACCUCAAGCAAAACCCCCGAGGCCUCAAACAAAAAAGCUCCCUAGGUCUGCACCAAACAAACAAAAUCACUAACGCCACUGGGGCUCAAAACACUUACCAUAUCCAUCCGCAUGUCGGAGCAUCCACAAGCAAAAUAUUAACAGGAACAUAAACACUGCCGCGAAUCAUGGUAUCCAACCAUGCUAUCUUCACCGACCAACCCUUAGAAUCCCCAAAACCUUCCUUGAUUAGAUUAUGGAUCCUGUGCUUCAAGUAGUACUGGCCCAAUACUACCUUCCAUACCUAUCCAUACUUUCCUCAAGAAUCAUCCCAAGUCUUUUAAGUCCUAGUCAUAAAAUACUCCUGAAACUUGCUUAACAAUGAAGCAACCACGCUAAAAUACUCACCUACACUCCCUCUGCCAUCAACUGCUGAUAAACCCCUACCAAUGCCAGCUAACCACUUCAUGAAUACAAUUACACACAACCAAGCUUAAAUAAUCCUUCGAAUAAAGGGCUUAGCCCUACAACGAUUGGACUCAAACGAGAGCUGCACAAUAGGUUUGAGUCCUUCAUUCUAAGAUUAUUUAACCUUCAUAGCAUGUAAUUUUAUUAUAUUCACUUGAUGGUUAACUCCCAUCAACAUGGGUCCCACAAAGCACAAAGCAAGCAACAUUCGGGUAGAGAAGCCGACUGCGACUAAAACGCAACAAAAUCAGACAUAUCCUCAUAGAAAAUCCUCGAUCUCAAACUCCUCGCACCACGAGUGCGCCUUCACCCUGCUCUCACUCUCCCCAGAGUGGUUAAUCAUUCCUCGUGCUUACCCGCUAUACACUGCACCCACUCAUGAAACUUCCACCAACCCUACAACACUCGUGUAUGCUAGCCGUACAUAACACUGGAUCCUAUAGACAGUCGAAUAUCUGAUCCUACUCUAAGCCCUUCAUCAAACAAGAACAUGAAAUAAGGCCAAACCAAACAUUCUCAGGCUAUAGAAUCUUAGUUAUGUACAACUAUGAUGUAUACACUAAGUAACUGUAGUAGAUGAUGUCAAUUUCAUUUAAGGAAGAACCCUAGGCUAUCAGACAUCAUAUAAUCAUGCAACUUUGUCAUGCAAUUCCUGAAGAUCCCUAGCCUAUCACUACCAUGCUAUUCUAAUAUUUCACAAGAUCAAAUAAAGUGUGGUAAUUUGGGGUCUACUUACUAGCUCCGACUGAUCAUACACAUCGUAUCCUCUUUAGUUUGAAAGUUAUUUUUAAAACCUUUACUUUGAAAAUUACUUUUUUUAAAACACCUUUUCCUUAGUUUGAGACCGGAUUCACACGAGUUUUCCUCCCAUUCACUCAAACCAAGGCUCUGAUACCAACUAGUAACGUCACAAAAAUUUCAACAAAUCUAAACCUUUCAAAACAACCCAUAUGUUAACAAAAGUGAUUUGAUCCGCAGGCACUCUGCACGCCUUGAACUCCCGUAAUGAGGGAGUUCGAGCCCCAAUCUGACCCACAGUGAUCUCAGAUCGGAAAGAACAAUCCGCUCCUCCAUAUCCUCCAUGAUCCCCUCCUUGACGGUACUGAACCCGAUCUCGAACCUGAACCUCCUCGCGUAGCCAUCAUAAUCUUCAACUGAAAAUACAACAUAGAAAGAAAUUGAUAAGGAAGUUCAAAGGGAUUUCUCCCCACUGGACUCCUUAAAGCCUUCAGGUAUGUCCUUGUCUCGGGUACAAGUCUUGUGCUUUUAGUAGUACGGACCAAAUACUACCUUCCACACCUACCUGUACAUUCCCCCAAGGCCAUACCUGAUACCUCCAAUUCACCAAACCAUAGAUAAAACAUGACCUACGAAACACAGCACAUACACAUAUCUUAGAAUCUUCGGGGAUUUCUCAAUCCUCAUAGAACCAGAAACCUCAAUCAACACCGCAUGUUGCCUUAUGCAUGCAAGUUAUACAUUAAUAGAAUCAUAGAGACUGUCAAAUAAAGUUUCUACCCUAAGACCACAACCAAACAAGGAACAAGAAGUAAGGCAGAAUCCAUCGUUCUAGGGCUAUAAAAUCCUAAACAUAUACAACUUUGAAAGCAUACACUUAGCAAAUAACAACGUCAACAUCGAUUCCAAGCAUUAUAUUCAUAGCAUUGAACUCUCCUAGGCUACAAGGCAUCUCACAAAUCAGACAAUUCUCAUAACACCUAAAGGUAUCCUUAGCCCUAUUCUAGCAUGCAUUUCACACAUUAACAUACUAGUUGCAAUUCAUAAGCAUGGUUAAAUUUUUGGAAACACUUACUUGAGCUUGGCUGAUUUCGCGCAUUGCGCUCUCCCUUUUUACUUAAGAAAACCGGUUUAAGAAAAACUUGACUUUUGUUUCUUUUUUUAAAAAGGUUUACCAUUUCCUCAGUUUGAGUUGUGACACAUAGUGUGCCCGAAUUCCUCAAACCAAGGCUAUGAUACCAACUUGUAAAAGCCCAAAAAUCCAGAUAAAAAUUUUCAUUUAAAAAAAAAUAGAAAUUACAAUCAUAAUUUGUUUCUUAAAAUCCAUUACAUCAUUUCAUAUCAAAAUAUCAGAGUAUCAAUAUCAAUAAAUGAGGAAAUUCUUGGGAGUGAAUGUUGCGCCAUCUAGCUAGGCCCUUCCCCUUAGUACCGAAAGUACCUGAAAACACCUAAAUAAACUGUAAGCAAAAACUUAGCGAGUUCCCAAAAUACAACAUAACAUAUAACCACAGAAUACCACGCCACAUACAUAAGAUUGCCAUGGACAACCCCAUGGUCUUUACUUGGAAUGCCAUGGGCUACCCCAUGGUAUUUACCUAGAAUGCCAUGGGAUACCCCCAAGGUCGGAUAUCCAAGUGCCAUGUGCUACCCCAUUGGUCUUUACCUGGAAUGCCAUGGGCUACCCCCAUGCUCUAAUAUCCAAGUGUCGUGCGCUACCCCCAUGGUCUUCAUAUAAGUGCCACAGGCUACCCCCGUGGUCUUCACAUAAUGAAUUGCAUAAAAACUAUCAAUCCACAUGUCAGGCAAUGGGCCGCCAUUGGUGCCUUCGACCCAUUGAUAUAGUGAGAAGACUCACCUCAGACUGCUGAUAAAAAUACUGCUCGGCUAACGCUCUAGAUAUCUGACACUGAAUAUACACAAGUUAACCUAAUUAGAAUUAAGUCACAAACUCAAGGCCUAGGCCAAAACCCUAAGUACAAACUCCUCCAAUAAGGCCCAAAGUCUUUUUCCUUUAAUGGGCCUAACAUCCAAGAUCCAAAAAGGGGCAUAAGGCCCAAAAGGCCUAGCCAUGCCACUUAUGGUCCAACAACAAGUUCAAAGGCCCAAAUACUAUAAUAGAUCCAGGCCCAAGUCUAAGUAGAGCCCAAAUAGCUUAAAGGCCCAACAAAAGCCCAAAACUCAUUGGAAGCGUACGCCCAACGUACAUCAUCAGUACGCUUAGCAUACUGGGUUCUUUGGCGGUUAGCGUAGUGUACAAGCUAGUAUGCCCAACGUACAAGCUACUUUGCACAAAAAGCCAUUAAGUGCUUAAUUCAUGAAGCCAUUUCGUCCGAUUCCAGAUCUUGGUCAUCUUAAAGGUCCUAGGGCAUAAAGAUGGUAACUUUAUGUGUUUACAUGCCAUAUGGGAACCCAACACCUGAUUUUAUCCAUUAAGACUCCCUUUAAGAUCUUAAACUCAUGCAUGGUGCCAUAACAACCAUCAAGUUAGCAUUUUUAUGCUUUUAACAUGCCAAAGGAACUAGGAUCUAACAUUUAUAAUCUCUGGAGUUGUUCAAACUUACAAAAGAGGAUCCAUGGACCAAAAAUGGACUUAUUACCAAACCCUAACUCAAACUAGCGAAAGGAUAAGCAAGUUCUGGACUUUUUACCUCCAAAAGUUUUCCAAGAUGAAGUAGAUGCAGGAUCUAGAAGCUCAAACACGUCUAAGAGUUGAUCACAACCUUCUCCUUCUUACACACACAUUAAAAUAGCCACCAAAAUCACUUUUAAGCUCAAGAAUCACACUCACUUGCAAACUAGGGUUUAGGGACGAUAAGAGGCAAUAAAAGCUAUGUAGGGUUAGGUCCAAAUGUCAUAAGAGUGUUAAAAUAGGGUUCAUGCGCAAAAAUUAGGGUUUUUGUCAUAUGCCACGUACUCCUCGCAUACAUGGUGCAUGUACGCAUCUAAACCACCCUAGUACGCUAAGCGUACACGUAUGUACGCCCUGUUGGAUUAGUGUUUAAGUCCAUAACUAUAUUUGGUAUGUAUUUGACCAGGUUGUGCAUGGUCCUUUUAGGUUGCCUUCACCGAAGCAACUUGACUAGAGGAAUUAUAUAGAAAGAGGUGAUUAUGGUUUAUUAAUAUAUUAUAAGAUUUAUAUAUUAAAAGAGAAAUCAUGUUUGAUUAAUUAACAUUGGUCAAGAGUUAAUUAAACAUUAGUUUUGUGAUCAAAAGAAGUUAAUUGAACUUAAGGGGCUGAACUGUAAUUAUGUGAUAGUUACAAAGUUAGGCAAGGAAACCCUAAUGGAUAGGGUGGAUGAAUUCUAGGGAUAUAGCCUUAAGAAUUCGCCCAUGAUAGGGAUUCUAGAAUUAUCUUAUGGGCUGCUUGGUGGCUAAGUAACCAUAUAAGAAUAAUGAAUGAAACCCUAAUUCCUAAACCUAUAUAAAGGACCCUUGGUCAUGGGAAUUUCGGCAACUUGAACCCUAGAAGUCCUAGAGCCGAAAUUCUCCUCUUCCCUCUCUUGCUUCCUCUAAUUGCUAUUGGUGUUUGUUAUUAAUUAGAGGCACAACACUUGAGGUGCUAAAGUUGUCAAGGCUUCAAGAUCUUCAAUCAACAACGAGGUAAGCAUCUUGAUAUACUUUGCUAAGUUAAUUUCAAUUAUAUACACUAGAUCUAGGGUUUGAAAGUCUUGGAUGAAUGCACGUACAAUUAGAGAAACCUAGAUCCAAGCAUUAGGGUUUGCAUGAGCACAUAGGAUGUUCUUUUGGCUCAAACCUAUCAGUGGUAUCAGAGCUUUUGUUUGGUUUCUAUUGUAUUGAUGCCUUGCUUGUUCAUCCUCUCUUGAAAAUCGUGAUUUUGUGUUCUCUGCCUGACGAACUCGAUGAGUCCCAAUGUGGGCUCGACGAGUAGGAUGAACUCGACGAGUCCAUAAGGGCACUCAACGAGUCGGAGCGUCAGACAUAGAUUUUCGGGAUUUCUUGUUGUUUUGCUUAAUGAUAAUUACCUAAAUCGUUUUUGACUAAUAAAAUCUGAAUUUUAUUACUGCUUUAUGUUUAUCCUUUCCAAAACAAAAGAUAAUUUCCAUUUAUUUGAAUAAUAAAUUCCUUAUAUGAUAAUAAUUGAUUAUUUAAAUUAUUUGUUGAAUUAUCUUAUGAAUAAAAUUGAUUAGGUCAAAUUUAGAUAAUCAUUAAAUUAAUUGUUUAAUUUAAAUUAUUUGCUAUUUGAUCCUUUAUGUUUUGAAAAGUUCAAAACUUGUCCUCAAGUUUUGAAAUUUAAAUUUGUGAUUAAAAGUUUAAUUUAAACUAUUUAAAUUUCAAACCCUAGAAUUUUACAAGUUUAAAAUUCAACCUUAUACUUUACAAUANUUAAACGCUAGUCUUACUGUUAGUAGGCCUCAUUCACGAAGCCGAUCUAGAAGGAGGUAUAAGGUUAUGACCUAUAAAAUGGCCAUUUAAUGGGUGUCCACUCUCACCCACCACAUCCUUGAUUGGUGGAGGGUCGUUAGCCGAACGGGUAAGAUAGGGCAACCCUUUCUCAUGAAUAAGUAUAAUGAAUUAUAAAAGUAACUAAAUGUUUUACAAAAUUCCCAAUCUUAAUUACUUUAGGCAAAAGUGAAAUUGAUGCAAUUCCAUUAAAUUACAUUUUGUACCCGUGCUAAGACGUUAGUGGAGCGUGUGUGGUUAACUGGCACACUAAUUCGGUUCUAAGAAAAGGUGGUAAAGGGUGACUCAUUGUUUCUCAUUGUUCGAUGGAGCAUGUGUGGUUAACCAGCACAUCGAAUAGGUGACUGUAACAAUGAGGGCACCAUGUAUAUUUGCAUGGUUAUUCAUACCCACUUUGUGAUCCUCAGCAUCCCAGUCACAAACUAGAGGGGCAUAUCAAGAUUUAUACAUGCCAUUGAAAAGUUCAAUGAAUCUCAAAAUAUCUAGGAGUUUUCAAUACAUUUAAAACUUAAUCUCUUUUUCGUUUUUCAUGGUGGAGAAUUAGUGAAUCGUCAUUCACUUACCUUCAAAUUAUUUGCAUGUUAGAUUACGACACCCCUCUUCUAAUAUGUAAAUAAUGUUGUUGGAUCCUAGCCCUAAUUUCUCAUUUAGGUGUUUCAUUAGGGAUUCAUUUCUAAUCAAACUUUGUUCUUUUUCCUUUUCAGAUGUCGAACAACAACAAUGCUUCCGGAUCGUUCUCACUCAUGAACUUGUGUGGGAGAGUGAUCUUUGACGAGUCCAAUUUCAAUGAUUGGAUUCGCAACAUCCGAAUGGUCACUCGUUACGAGGACAAAGAGUAUGUCCUUGAUAAGAAGCUGAAGGAAAUCAACCUCAACACUGCUACUACUGAAGAGAUCGCCACCUUUAAGGCUCAUGAGCGUGAUGCCACGAAAGUCCAUUGCAUCAUGCUAGCGACCAUAACUGCAGAACUCCAAAAGUCCUAUGAGGACAUGUAUCCCUAUGAAAUUCAUCAAAACUUGUUGGACCGGUACCACCAAAGUGCAAGGCAAGAAAGGUAUGAGAUCAUCACUUCGAUGAUCACUACCAGAAUGGGUAAUGGAGAGUCCCUUACCGCCCAUCUGCAAAAGAUGCAGAGAUAUGUUGAUCACCUGCUAAAGUUGAAAGUUAACUUUGAUGAAGAGAUGGCAAUCGACAUUAUCCUUCACUCCUUACCUCCCUGCUACAACCAGUUCCGCAUGACUACCACAUGAAUAAGGAAGAGGUCACCUUGAGCAAGCUUCACGGCUUGCUAAGAACUGUUGAGAGCAAUUUCAAGGAUAAGUAUGUUGCAUCAACUCCAACUCCCACUGCUGCCCUUGUCUUGGAAAAAGGGCAAGGGAAGGGUAAGAAAAGGAAGGCUCCCUCAAAUAUCCACCACAAGGGAAAGUCCCAAGAUGUUACCUCUUCUAGUGGAACCAAGGCUGGUUCUGCUAAACCCAACUCUAACCCUAAUGAGCCAGAGUGCCACCACUGCCACAAAAUAGGGCAUUGGAAGAGAAGCCGCCCAGAAUAUCUGCAAGCUAUCUAGGAUGGGACGAUCAAGCCAUCCUUCGCAGGUAUUUACACUAUUAAAUCUAAUGAUUCAUCGCAUGCUAUUUCUUGGGUUAUUGAUACAGGAUGUGGUUUUCACAUAUGUUCUGAUUUGCAGGGACUAAGAAGAAAUAGGGAUGUGGAGCAUGGAAGAAUAAACCUAAUAAUGCGAAACAAAAGAUUGUCGCCUGCCACCAAUAUUGGAGUAUAUAUAUUCCUUAAUGCUUAGUAAUGGAUUAGGUUUUGAUUUAAACAAUUGCUGCUAUUCGCCAGAUAUGGCAAGAAACAUCAUUUCAUUUCAUGGUUUAUAUAGGCAAGGAUUUAGAUAUUCAUUUGAUAAUGAAAAGGGUUCUAUUUAUGCUUAUCUUAAUAGUGUUUUAUAUUUUGAAGCAUUGCCUUGUAAUGUAAUAUAUGAAACUGUGAUGGUUGUAGAUAACUUAGGAAAUGAUGUAUUGUGUGUUGAUUCUUCCAACAAUAUAGAUAAAGCAUGCUUGUGGCAUUGUCGUCUUGGACAUGUCAACAAGAAACGCAUAGCCCAACUCUAAAAGGAUGGAGUGUUGGAGUCAUUCGACCUUAGGGAUGAUGACGUGUGUGAGUCUUGUUUACUUGGAAAGAUGACCGAUGUGUGUGGGCACUUGUGAAAGGGGUGAGGGUUUAUUGGAUCUCAUACACACCGAUGUGUGUGGGCCCUUUAGAUUACCACAAAAGAUGCAAGCCACUUCUAUGUGACUUUUACCGAUGAUUAUAACAGAUAUGGGUAUAUCUACUUAAUCAAGCACAAGUCGGUAACCUUUGAAAGGUUCAAAGUGUUUAAAGAAGAAGUGGAGAAUCAUUUGGGCAGGAAUAUCAAGAUGCUUCGAUCCGAUCGAGGAGGAGAGUACCUAAGUCUUGAAUUCCAUGACUAUCUCAAGGAAUGCGGAAUCGUUUCACAAUUGACGUCACCUAGGACACCGCAGUUAAAUGGUGUGGCUGAGAGGCGUAAUCGAACCUUGUUGGACAUGGUUCAUUCCAUGAUGAUUCGUGCUUCACUACCUAUCUCAUUCUGGGGGUAUGCCUUAGAGACUGCCGCCCAUAUCCUUAACUUAUUCCCUACGAAGAAGGUUGCCAAAACACCUCACGAGAUGUAGACAGGGAAAGCUUCCUCGUUAGCACAUAUCAAGGUUUGGGGGUUGCGAGGCUUUCGUAAGACGAGAGACUCACGACAAGCUCGAACCUCGUAGUGAGUGGUGUAUUUUCACCAGCUACCCACAAAAGACCUUUGGAUAUCUCUUCUAUAGUCCGAGUGAGAACGUUGCCUUCAUUGCGAGGAGAGGGGUUUUCCGUGAGCGAGAACUCAUAAGCCUAGGGGACAGUAGGAGGCAAAUCGAUCUUGAAGAGAUUCAAGAGUUGAGCGAUGAAGGAACCUCCAACACCGGGGCUUACCCGAGGAGGAAACUCCGGUUGAACCGAUUGACGAGUCCUUACCUCUUAGACGUUCCGAAAGAGUUAGGUUUCAACCCCAGUUAUAUGGCUUUCAUAUUACUACAGAAGGGGAUACGUAUAUUAGUGAUAUUAUACUAAUAAAUUUGGAUGAACUUAACAGCUAUAAGGAAGCCAUUGCAGGCCCAGAGUCUGCAAAGUGGAAAGAGGCGACGGACAGUGAGAUUCUGUCCAAGUAUGACAACCAAGUUUGGAAUUUGGUUGACAAUGUACUAGGUCGUAAGAUGGUCUGGUGCAAAAUGAUCUUUAGGAAGAAGGUACUAAAACGUUUUGUGACAACCCGAAAUUUCCAUUUUGUACGAACAUUAGCUAUUCAAUAGAAGCUAGUCCAAUUUCAAUGAAUUUCAGACUUUUCUAAAUAAAUUUGUGUACAUUAGGGUUUACGUUUAAGGAGAUAUCAGGAGAGUGGAUGCUCAUGGGUUUGUGAAACUUGAGCAUUUCAAAACUUCAUAAUGUUAGAGUCCAAUUCCGGAAUAAAAAUAUUUUCUGCCAAAAUAUUUCAGGACUAUAAAUAGAUUUCUGAACUAAAUUCAUUCAUUAUUCACACUUCCAACUAGAGAAAAGCCAUUUUCUCUCUCACAGAUCUUCGGGUUUUCAUCCCAAAUCGUGAGUACACUUCUUUAGUUGUUUUAUAAUGCUUGUUAUAUGCUUAAUAACAUAGAUUACAUGUCAAAUAUGUGAGAUCCGGGAGUUUACCGCCCAAGAACGUUCUUGGGGAGUAAACUCGAAAAUAAAGCUUUAAGGCUAUCUAGUCCCAUUUCCUUGUUAGGUAACUAGCUUAGGAUAAUAUGUAGGAUCAUUUGAGACAAGAAAACAAUCCAGAACACAUAGCUUUAGGAGUUUUCGGCCCAAGAGUUUCUUGGACCGUAAACACCAAAUACAAGGGCUUAAAUGUGCCCUAAUCACUCCCAAAGGCUUUAGACUUUAACCCUAAAUUACUUCUAGCUAAUAUGGGGACAUUAACACAUCAAAAAAACCCCUAAAAGGGAGUUUACGGCCAAGAAAUGCUCUUGGGCCGUAAACACCAAUUAAGGGCACCAAAGUGUGCCUAGGGCCCCCCUUAGCAUAAAUCAAAUGCCUCGAAAGUAUUCUACUUGUGUUUGAGACUUGAAAGAAUUAAAACAUCCAUCCCAUGAGAGUUUACGGCCGUAAACUCUAAGGGAUAUGGCCUUUUGGCCGUAAACUCCUCAAAGGAGUGUUAUCUAUGCCCUAAACUACCCAAAGGAUUAAACCACCAAACUAGGCUUAUUCUAGAAAUCAUUUAGCACUUUAAAACACCCAUUACCACCAAGAUUGGAGUUCACGGCCGUAAACUCAAGGUUUUACGACCGUAAACUCCUUGUGUGGGGUUUAUUGGGUAGUAAACUCUUAUACAAAGUCCUUGGAAGCUUUAAACCCCUUUAGCUUGUCCCAUAACAACUUAGAUGCAACCAUUAGGACCUAUAACACUUAUACAAGGUGUUUACAUGUUCCUAAGUGUCCCAACUUAUUUCAUUAAGUUAUUAUUUGGCUAAUUAGUUAUAUAUAUGCUCAUUAUAUGAUAACUAGGCUCGUGCGUGUGAACAAGUCUCCGUUUGCCACCUAGCACGGUAUCCGACACUACAAUCCAAACCACUCACCACAAGUGAGUUCAUACCCCUUUAAUUAACCUUUGAAAUACUUUUAAAUGUUUUAAAUACUUUAUGGGGGGGAUACAAGUUAAAUGCUUAUAGUUAUUGCAUCAAUCACAUGUGAUUACAUUAAUCAUAUGUGAUUAAUAACUAGAAAACCAAUGAUCUUAUCACUGUUUAAACUGUUUAUCAAACUGUUUUACUUCAAACUGUUUUACAAACUCUUUUACUCAUCAAAUACUUUUAUUUAAACUUUGUUAUACUUCUUAUAAACCGCAUGCCCAUAUAUGUAUAGAUAUAUAAGCAAUGUUUAAAGGGUUUAGGAAGGUCAUCCGCCCUAUUUCCUUUUUCUCGAUUUGGAUGUGGUCUGGUGGGAUUUCGGGUAACCAUCCGAAGGUCGUUUCAAUAUUAAUUAUAUAUCAAAUGUACAUAUAUAGACAUAAAAGUACUCCUUNUAUACUAGGAGAAGAACAUAUACAACUAUACUAGAGGAAGAACAUAUACAACUAUACUAGAGGAAGAACAUAUACAACUAUACUAGAGGAAGAACAUAUACAACUAUACUAGAAAGAGAACAUAUACAACUAUACUAGAGGAAGAACAUAUACAACUAUACUAGAACAGUUCAUUACAUUACACAUACUAGAAUACGUUCAUUAUUGUGAUAUGAAUCGGGGCAUGACUUAAAUGCCAUGGCCCGAGUUGUAGCCAGAGUCUCUUGAAGGGAGAGCGUGAGUUUGCGUAUAGAUCUAUACUGGAUUGACUAUCCUACACCUUGCUGCUAGCUACAGCCGGACCUGCAGGUCUGCGGGUGCCAAACGUCAUUCCGUUAUUACGACCAUUCGUAUGUCGUUGUUACCAGUCGAUAGUAUGGUGCAAUUAGUCACAUGAUACCUUAAUAUAAAUCCGGUUUAAGGUAGUUAGUACAACAAUAGUUCCUAUAAUACAACACUACAGUACUACAAUAAUUUACCCAUUACAUAUAUUUAGUGAUUAUUUCACUUAAACAUUAAUGUACAAACUAUAUUUUGUUAAAUGAUAGUUACACUUGGGAAAUUACACACUUUUACAACAAACGAGCAUACAAAACAGUUAAGCCUUGGUAGAAGGCUACUUUAAUAGAAAAUAUAGGUUUUUCUGAGAGAUUCAAACUUUUACAAACACUUACAUACAUUUUACAAACUUACACUUGAGACACGUUCAAACGUUUUGAUAACAAACAUCGACACUAAAAUACUUAUGAACUCACCAGCUUAAUGCUGAUAAACUCUUUCAAAAUAACUUGUAUUCUCAGGUCAUCAAUAGACAGGUACUUAGGCCAGCUUUUGAGAAGAUGGAGCGCAUUCAAGACUCAUCUUAUUAUUUUGAUUUACAUUAUAUUUUGGUGUCUAAAACUGUACAGAACACGCUUGUAUUAAAAUUAUAUAUUUAAUGCAAUGGAUGAUGCUGUUUGCUUAUUUACAUUUACUGUGUUGUGAUACUUUACAUGACGUCCUCCGCCCCACAACGUUUCCGCCGUUCUUGGUUUUGGGGUGCGACACGUUUUAGUAUGGAGAAUUCAAAGAAGGCAGAGUUACCAAUCCAAAGUAAUGCGAAGUUGAGUACGACUCAAAGUCCGAGUACUGAAGUCGAGAUAGCAGAAAUGAGCUAAGUACCUUACGCUUCCGCAGUUGGCUCGAUCAUGUACGCUAUGACUUGUACUCGCCCUGAUGUGGCCUUCGCUUUGAGCAUGGUCAUUAGAUAUCUAGGGAACCCUAGAAAAGCACAUUGGACCGCAAUCAAGAAUAUUCUUAAGUACCAUCGAAGGACCAAGGAAUGGUUUCUAGUCCUCGGUGGGAGUGAUGACUUAAAGGUGCGAGGGUAUAGUGACGCCAGUUUUCAGACCGACAGGGACAACUACCGUUCGCAGUCGGGCUGGGUCUUUACCCUAAAUGGUGGAGCAGUGACUUGGAAAAGUUCCAAGCAAGAGACCGUAGCUGACUCAACAUGUGAAUCAUAGUACAUUGAAGCAAGCGAAGCGUCAAAUGAGGCAAUAUGGUUGAAGAACUUCAUUGGAGACCUUGGAGUUGUGCCGACCAUACAGGAGCCUAUUGAGAUUUUCUGUGAUAAUGAAGGAGCGGUUGCCUUGACCAAGGAACUGAGGGAUCACGGCAGAUCUCAACAUAUUGACAGAAAAUAUCACUUUAUUCGAUAUCAGAUGGAAAAAGGACUCCUCGUAGUGAAGUGCGUAUCGUCAGAAGAUAACCCAUCAGAUCUGCUUACGAAGGGACUGAGCAGGGUUAAGCACUUGCAGCAUGCUAGGAGCAUCGGGCUGAAGGACGAUAUUAGUUUAGAUUAGAUAGUUUGGAAACGUGUAAUAGAUAAAUUAUAAUUAACAUCUGAUGAUUAAAUAAAAGAGUAUUAUUUAUUAGUAAUGUUACUAUCUUAUGUUAAUUGUUUACCUAUUGUUUCAUUUUGCAUGUUUUGACUUCCUGAAUAAUAAGAAUUAUUUAAAUGGUCUACAGUUGUUCAUAUGUUGGAACUAGGUAUGAAUGAAGACUGUCAUGAAUUGGUGUGUAGAUUGUCUAAAGUGUAUUAGACAUAGCAAAAGUUUGCUACAACAUUCAUGAGUGCUUAUGAAAAGUUUUGAGCAUUGGAAUAAACCCAUGCUUGCUGGAAUCACUUCAUGGAAUUCAUCAUGAGUGAUCGCAAGACGAUAAUAUAUCAUAUGGUCUUAAAACAUAGAUAUAUGGUUUAUUGUUUUCUAAUUGGUUGUGCAUUGAUAAUGCGUAAACACAUCAGUAACUUGAUGUUAUAAAACGCAUUGUUGUGUAUGAUUUGAUUAGUGGAUAGUAAAUGCAUAUAAGUCUAAGUUCAUCUGUUCCUUUUAUCCUAAUAGGUUAAAAGUGAUAUCAGGACCCCUUGAUGAUUUGAUUUGACUUAUGUGUCGGGCCCGGUCAGGACUGAAUUGAUGUGUUCAAUUACGUUCUAUGUCAAAUGAAUCAGAGAUUAAGAAACAAACUGUUGGAUAAUAAGUAUGACUAUGUUCCAUGUAAUUGUCCGCAUGAUAUCUAGAACAAAGGAUUAUACGAUCCCUUAUCUUAAGGACAAGUUACUGAUAAGAUCAAGAGUUUUGAGAACUGUGAUUGCUAAUCGAAUCCAGAAGUUGCAUUUGCAUUUAUAGUUAUUAUCAAGGUUGUAAAAAAUUCUCGACGUUAGCUAGUCGGUGGACUGGGGUUAAGAGAUUAAUCGGGUAGGCGGAGAUUAAUCGGGGGAUUAAUGGAGACCAUUAAUUGAUAAUUUGUUGAAUUUUAAAAAAUUGAAUAUGACUAAUAUCAUAUCAAAGUCCGUAAGUACCACUAAUAUCAUAACAAAAUAGGUUGAUAUGUUUAAUACAACAUUAAUCAUGCUUGAAAUAGUUUCUAUUGAGAUAAAACUUCUUAAAAAUGUUUAAAUUUCAUCGUUUUAUACAGUUUUACUCAUUAUUUAUGCAUGGAUUAAUCGCUAGGUGCCAUCUAGUUGGUUGAGUAAUGCCUAGGGAUUAAUCGGAGAUUAAUCGGGACCUAGUCAUGAUUUUUACAAUAAUGGUUAUUAGACUUAUCCAAGUAGGGGAAUGUUGGAUUAGUGUCCAAGUCCAUAACUAUAUUUGGUAUGUAUUUGACCCAGUUAUGCAUGGUCCUUUUAGGUUGCCUUCACCAAAGCAACUUGAUUGGAGGAAUAAUAUAGAAAGAGGUGAUUAUGGUUUAUUAAUAUAUUAUAAGAUUUAUAUAUUAAAGGAGAAAUCAUGUUUGUUUAAUUAACGUUGGUCAAUAAUUAAUUAAACAUUAGUUUUGUGAUCAAAAGAAGUUAAUUGAACUUAAGGGGCUGAACUGUAAUUAUGUGAUAGUUACAAAGUUAGGCAAGGAAACCUUAAUGGAUAGGGUGGACAAAUUCUGGGGAUAAUGCCUUAAGAAUUCGUCCAUGAUAGGGAUUCUAGAAUUAUCUUAUAGGCUGCUUGGUGGCUAAGUAACCAGAUAAGGAUAAUGACUGAAACCCUAAUUCAUACACCUAUAUAAAGGACCAUUGGGCAUGGGAAUUUCGGCCACUUGAACCCUAGAAGUCCUAGAGCUGAAAUUCUCCUCUCCCCUCUCUCUCUUGCUUCCUCCAAUUGCUAUUGGUGUUUGUGAUUCAUUAGAGGCACAACACUUAAGGUGCUAAAGUUUUCAAGGCUUCAAGAUCUUCAAUCAACAACAAGGUAAACAUCUAGAUCUACUUUGCUAUGUUAAUUUCGAUUAUAUACACUAGAUCUAGGGUUUGAAAGUCUUGGAUGAAUGCAUGUACAAUUAGAGAAACCUAGAUCCAAGCAUUAGGGUUUGCAGGAGCACAUAGGGUGUUCUUUUGGCUCAAACCCAUCACGCCCAAUGUACGUAGGGACCUCCUUUACAAAUAAGUUUCAUUCCAAGGGUUAAAAGGGUAAAUACCUACAUUCCGAAUGUUACAUAUAGAUAGUAAAAUACUUGAUUCUACCCUAAGCCCUUCAUCAAACAAGAAAAUGAAAUAAAGCUAAACAAAAAUUCUCAAGCUAUACAAUCUUAGUUAUGUACAACUACGAUGCAUACACUAAGCAACUACAAUAAUGACGCUAAUUAUAUAUAAGAAGUAAUCCUAGGGUAUCAAGCAUCCUAUAUCAGGAAAUCCUUUCAUGUAAUUCCUGAAGAUCCCUAUCCUACCACUAGCAUGAUGUUAUAUCAUGAAAAACAUAUCAAGUAACCGUGUGGGUAACUUUGGGUAAAUUUUCUUGCUCUGGCUGAUCAUACACAUCGCAUCAUUCCUUGGUUACUUUUGAAAACAAUUUUUGAAAACCAUUAAAAGAAAACUUUACAGCUUCCUAGUUUGAGUUUGGAUUCACACGAAUGUUCAUCCAGUUCUCUCAAACCGAGGCUCUGUUACAAACUUGUAACACUCCAAAUAUCAUAGAAAAUUAAAAAUUUUAAAUUUCAACCAUUAACCAACAUUUUUUACAAAAAGAGUCAUUGCUUCAAAAGUAUUAUUCAAAAUCAUAGUUUUUCCUAAGACCUAAUAACACAAAAUAGGAAGAUGUGCACGAUCACGCCUUCUCCUUCCUACGAUCAUCCGAAGUACCUAAAACAAUAAACUGAAAUUGUAAGCCAAAGCUUAGUGAGUUCCUCCAAAGUACCAUCAUGGAACAUAUAAAAUACAUAGAUUAACAUGUUGGGUCCAUAACCUCCCAGUUGGAUUACCUUGGCUCACAACCUCCCUGUUGGAUUGCCCUGCAUACCACAUACUGGGUCCACUACCUACCGACUGGGUUGACUUAGAUGGUUUGUGGAGUUUGGCCUAUUUUGACCCAAGGAUAUUUUGGAUAAGUUGGUAGUUAUUUAAGUCGACCAAUAUUUUGGGAUAAUAGGUGUCGAGUAGAGCCGGUUGUCAGGGAAGAGAUUUAUUCAGCUUAUGUUCAGACUGAGAGGUGAGUUUUCCUCACUGUACUUACGGGUCGAAGGCACCAAGGCCGACCCAACGAAUUGAUAUCCUGUCUAUACUGAUUGAAGAUAUGUUGAGUAUGCGAUAGAUCUGAAUGAUUAUAUGAUAGUUAUGAUAUACGUUAGACUGGUAGAUCUAUAGGGCUACCUAUGAUUAUUGGUUGUAUAAUCAUCUGUAUGUUGUAUAUAUAUUAUAUGUUAUAUGCCGACAUGUUACAUUGGGGUUGAGACUACUGCUUUGUGUCGUCAGUCAACAGACCAUGUCAAUCCAAUUGGGAUGUUGUGGGCUAGGGUAAUUCAACCAGGAGGUUGUGGACACAAUAUGCUAAUCUGUGUAUUUUAUAUGUUGCAUGAUGGUACUUUGGUGGAACUCACUAAACUUUGUGUUAUAGUUUCAGUUUAUUUUCAGGUACUUCUGAUGAUCGCGGUACGAUGAAGGUGUGGUCAUGCACAUCUUCCUGUUUUGUGUUAUUGGGUCUUGGUGAAAACUCUGAAAGUCAUGACACACUUCAAAUUGAAGUAUUUCGAUGGUACAAUCAAAAUCUCUAUUGGAUAAAAUUUAGUGACAACAACAGAGAAUUAAAAGGUUACGAUUCUUGUGUGUACCAUAUUCAAAUACCCAAAAAGGGAUAUAACUCCUUGUUCGAAAUAAAGCUAAACCAAAAAUUCUCAAGCUAUAGAAUCUUAGUUAUGUACAACUAUGAUGCAUACACUAAGCAACUACAAUAAUGAUGCCAAUUCUAUAUAAGAAGUAAUCUUAGGGUAUCAAGCAUCAUAUAUCAAGAAAUUCUAUCAUGUAAUUCCUGAAGAUCCCUAGCCUACCACUAGCAUAUUGUUCUAUCGUGAAAAACAUAUCAAAUAAUAGUGUGGUUAACUUGGGGUAUACUUUCUUACUCCGGCUGAUCGUACACAUAUCAUCAUUCUUUGGUUACUUUUGAAAACCAUUAAAAAAACUUUUACAGCUCCCUAGUUUGAGUUUGGAUUCACACGAAUGUUCAUCCAAUUCGCUCAAACCAAGGCUCUAAUACCAACUUGUAACACUCCAAAUAUCAUAGAAAAUUAAAAAUUAAAAAUUUCAACCAUUAACCAACAUUGUUUACAAAAAGAGUCAUUGCUUCAAAAGUAUUAUUCAAAAUAAUAGUUUUUCCCAAGACCCAAUAAUACAAAGCAGGAAGAUGUGCACGAUCAUGCCUUCGCCUUCCCGCGAUCAUCAGAAGUACCUGAAACAAUAAACAGAAACUGUAAGCCGAAGCUUAGUGAGUUCCCCCAAAGUACCAUAAUGCAACAUUUAAAAUACAUAGAUUAACAAAAUGGGUCCACAACCUCCCAUUUGGAUUACCUUGGCCCACAACCUCCCCGUUGGAUUGCCUUGCAUACUACAUACUGGGUCCAUAACCUUCCGACUAGGUUGACUUGGCUAGUUUGUGGAGUUUGACCUAUUUUGACCAAAGGAUAUUUUGGAUAAUUUGGUAGUAAUUUAAGUCGGGCAAUAUUUUUGGAUAAUAGUUGUUGAGUAGAGUCGGUUUUCGGGGAAGAGAUUUAUUCAGCUUGUCUUCUUACUCAGAGGUGAGUUUUCCUCACUGUACUUAUAGGCCAAAGGCACCAAGGCCGACCCAAUGGAUUGAUAUCCUGUUAGGUACUGAUUGAUGAUUUGUUGAGUAUGCGAUAGAUCUGUAUGAUUAUAUGAUAGUUAUUGAUAUACGUUAGACAUGUAGAUCUAUAGGGCUACCUGUGAUUAUUGGUUGUAUAAUCAUAUGUCUAUUGUAUGUAUAUUAUAUGUUAUAUGUCAACAUGUUACGUUAGGGUUGAGACUACUACUUUGUGUCGUCAGUCAACAGACCAUGAGAAUCUAACCGGGAGGUUGUGAGCCAGAGUAACCCAGCCGGGAGGUUGUGGGCCCAACAUGCCAAUCUAGGUGUUUUAUAUGUUGCAUGAUGGUACUUUGGAGGAACUCACUAAGCUUUGGCUUACAAUUUCAGUUUAUCGUUUCAGGUACUUGUGAUGAUCGCAGGACGGUGAAGGUGUGAUCAUGCACAUCUUCCUGUUUUGUGUUAUUGAGACUUAGGAAAAACUCUGAUUGUGAAUAAUACUUUUGAAGCAAUGAAUCUUUUUGUAAACAAUGUUGGUUAAUGGUUGGAAUUUUUUUUUUUUUUUAAAUUUUUAUGAUUUUUGGAGUGUUACAUUGGUUUUGUCUUAUAACUGAUCCAAACCCCCACACACCCUUGUUAAUCAUCAAAGAAGAAUCCAAUUAGAACUAAUUCUAUUCAACAAUAACAACCAUAGGGUGUUAGAAAUCCAUUACCUCAAAUGUAGGGAUCUUUUGAUGUCUAAGAACAUUAAUCAAGAUAAAUUAAUAAGGAUAUUCAAUUAAACCAAAGGUCUUUUGGCCUAGCACUAUCAUAUGUUGGAAAAAUGACCCUUCCUAAUGUUAGAAAAACGGGUUAUUUCGAUUGCUUGGAUUCCACUGAAAGUCAUGAUACACUUUCAAAUUGAAGUAUUUCGGUGGUACAAUCAAAAUCUCAAUUGGAUAAAAUUUAGUGACAACAAUAGAGAAUGAAAAGGUUAUGAUUCUUGUGUGUACCAGAUUCAAAUGACCAAAAAGGGAUAUGACUCCUUGUCCGAAAACUGUCAUAUUAACAGUUACAAACUGCCACAAAGCUGUCACUAAACUUGUAACACCCCAAGUUCAGAAGUGCAAGUUCAGGGUUCUUGGUGUAAUUAAGGAAGAUCGACUCGGCGAGUCGAGUCGUGAUUUGGCCAUGUGCUAAGUGACUGACUCGGCGAGUAGGCAGCUAGACUCGACGAGUCAGUGCUGGAGUGAGAAACCCUAAUUCAUGGGGUUUGCACCCUAUAUAAGGAACCUUAAGUCCCACCCCAGCCUCUUUAGGACUCCCUCUGAUGUCCAGAAACUUUCCACAUCGAUUUCAAACCCUAAAUUGAGAGUGAGAGGGAUUUAAGUGUGUUUUGGAGCUUGAAGAAGAAGGAUACUUGAAGCAAGAGUUGGUGGGAUCAUAGAGGAGCGAAGUGGAUCUGAUUUCCUUGCUUCUUGGCAUCAGCAUCAAGGUAAAAAGUUGUUGCCUUGACUUUGUUGUGUUUAGAUGGUUCAUGAAUGAAGUUUUAGGGCCAAUUUAUCAUAUAUGAGCCUCUUUUCGAGUAUUGGGUUUAGAUCUGUGGUUGCUACUACAGAUCUAGACUGGUCCUGACUCAUGAAUCUGGAAAGUGAUAGCUUUGGGGCUUGAUUGAGAGUGUCCUUGCCUUAAAACUUCACUUUAGCUUGAGUAGAGCUUGUUGAGCCUUGCAUGCACGUAAAGUUGGAAACUUUACAUGUAGAUCUUGCCCUAGGAGUCCAGAUCUAUGUAUUGAAAGCAAUAGUUUGGCCUGUGAUCAUCUGAAUGAAGGUAUUACGUAUGGACUCGGCGAGUCUGGGAGAUGACUUGACGAGUCGGACAAAAGAUUUGGAAUGAAUCGCGUAGUAACUCGGCGAGUCACAUGGGUGUACUCGACGAGUUGGAUGAAGAUAGGCAAGAACUCGACGAGUUGGAAGAACAACUCGACGAGUCUAUUGAAGAUUGCCUUGGGCUCAACGAGUCUGUUCUUGGACUCGGCGAGUCUGGUCGAGGAGUCCUAACCUUUUCUGGUUAAGUCGUGAAUCGGUGAGUCGAAGGAUGACUCGGUGAGUUGAGCAUGAAGGGACUCAGAGUUUGUUGGACUCGGCGAGUCUUGGGGCAACUCGACGAGUUGAGUCGUAAUAUGAGAGUUUUGAGUAUGGGAACUCGAAGAGUCAACGAGUUGACUCGGCGAGUAGGGUCAACCAGGAAGGUUGACCUUGACUGAGGACUUGGACUUUAACCAAGGGUUGACCAGUUGACUUCCGGGGGUAUUUUGGUAAUUAUUGGUAUUUAUUGAUUUGGUUUUUGGUAAUGAUCAGUGGCGGAGUUCGUGCUGGUGGUUGGAGCAGCGUGAUCUUAUUCUUCAGUCGGCAGUGACAGUUGAGUUAUCCUCACUAUACUGACAGGGUCUACGGCACCAAGGCCGACCCUCCAUCGGAUGGAAAUCCGGGUAUUGUUGUUAUGUUAUUGCUAUAUGGAGAUCCUUGUUGAUGGAAAGGCGGCCGACGAACGCUCGGUGGACUCUAUAUCCUCAAGGAAUCAAUUUGGAACCCGGAAAAUCAUAUUUAUUUAGGAAUGUAGCAUAUGGUUUUAGAGGUUGUCCUAAAUGGGAGGAUGUGGAUACGGUUAGUUAAGUUUAAUAAUUAUUAUUUUAUAUAUAUAAUAUUACUGAAAUUACUAGUAUUUAAUUUAUAUUUUUUUUGCAGGUUAUAUCUGUAAUAAAUGUUGUGCAUACCCAUUGGUUUUUGGUGGUUCUACAUUUAGAUACCUGGAAAGUAGAAAUUUUUGAUUCAGCACAAGUUGCGGGUUACUUCUCAACAUACAACACUAAUGGAGAAUUCAAAAGUUUUGGAGAUAGUAUUAUCUCAGAGUUGGAUGCCAUUGAUUACUGGAGCCAUUUCCCCCAUUGGACACAGAGACAAGCAAAGGUCGAGUUUUUUGAUGUUUNGACACAGAGACAAAGCAAAGGUCGAGUUUGUUGAUGUUGUAGACGCCCCACAACAAGAAUAUAGUCUUGAAAGAGGGGAUUGUGGAGUAUUUGUAUGCAUGUUUAUGGAAAUGAUUGUUUCUGGGGGUACCAGUGGCGAUUUCAAGGACAUGUAGAGAAGCUGCAUUUCUCUAUAGAAAUAAGAUGGCAAAUGUUAUUUGGGAUACUAUAUAAGUUGAUAUUAGGAACUUUGUAUAUAUAUUAAUAUUAAAUACUUGUUUCUAGUAUGUAAUCGUGUCACUUCUGGUAGUAUGUAAUCUUGUAAUUAUCUUUUAUAUUUUUUAAACAUAAUUCACCAAAAAAUGUUACGAAACCAUACAUUCAAACAAAAUAAACAUUACAAAUAACAUGAAUACAUUACAAUAGAGUCGUCUACAUAAAAAUAAGGUUUCUUACGACUAACAAACAUUAGAUAAAACAUUGGAAAUAAAAUACUCAUCUACUUGAAAAAAACUUUAUCUUUUACCAGAUUCCAAACGUCCGUAUACUCGAAAUCAUGUCCAUCAAACUUGCAUAGGUAAUAUCCAUUCACAUCUUCAAGAAGUUCUUCAUUAUCUGCUUGAGAGCGUCGCAUUUUCUCAGGAUUGUAGCAUCGAUUGAACCAUGUGACCUUAAACUUUAAAUCCAUCCAUUUACUAACAAUAGCAGGUUUUAGUCGUUCGUGUCCUUGCCCGACUUGAUAGUUGAACAAAGCUAUGAGGCGGGACCAUUCAUCACCUACAAGGCAAUUCAGGGGAGCCAUCACUGGUAGACCCUCGUAAAUGGUAAUCCAACUUUGUAUUAGGACCAACAACUCUGUUGGCGUCCAUGGAGAUGUACAAUUUGUUGGAGAGGCUGCAUUAGAUGGAUUUGUUGCAUUCGAAGAACUUGGUACAUUGGACGCCAUUUCUUAAUUGAUCUACUAUCAACUAAAGAAUUGAAUUUCGUAUAGACACUACGUUUAAUAUAUGUACAAACAUAUGUUAUACAAAGAUAUGUCAGUAACGCGGACUGACGAGCCAGUAACGCGGACUUACGAGCCAGUAACGUGGACUGACAACGAUUAAUAUAUAUAAAUAGUUUCUUAAUGCGGACUGACGAGUCAGUAACGCGGACUUACGAGUCAGUAACGCGGACUGACAACGAUUAACAUAUAUAAAAAGUUUCUUAACGCGGACUAACGAGUCAGUAACGCGGUCUUACGAGUCAGUAACACGGACUGAAAACGAUUAAUAUAUAUCAAAAGUUUCUUAACGCGGACUGAUGAGUCAGUAACACGGACUAACAAUUACUAGACAAAACAGUUUUGCGGACUGACAAGACAGAAACACGGAUUGACAAGUCAGUAACGCGGAGUGAUCAUUGGCUUUGCGGACUCACAAGUCAGUAACGCGGACUGACAACGAAGUAACACGGACUAACAACCCCGUAACGCGGAUUGAGAACGCAGUAACGCGGACUAACAAGUCUAUAUAAAACGACAAACAACAAUGUAUCACUUCAUCUAAGGUAUUUUAGUUCAUGUGCUUUGUAUGUUUUACAANUUCAUGUGCUUGUAUGUUUUACAAUGGGUUCAAACCAAUGGACCGCUAACGAGUAUUUCCUUCUAGCUCGUGCAUAUAUUAAUGUCAAAGAGAACACCAGUUUGGAGGAUAUAAUGUUUUUCUCCCAACUAACGAAUACCUUCAACACUGACGCUGAAACCACCAUACAAAACCAUCGCAACACGCUUGAUAUAGCUACAAAAUGGUAUGAAUUGAAAACGGAAGUUGUGUUAUUAAACGAUCUUUAUAAUAAGAUUGAAGAUGAUCAUGUCAAUGAUACUGAGGAAGAGAUCUUGGAGGUGUCUAAAGAAGAAUACAAAUCCAUUAGCAACGGACAGAGUUUCGAGUUUGAAGCCCCUUGGAAUCUUUUGAAAAAUGUACCGUUUUUUUAAGUAGAACUGCAUUUUGUAUUGUUCUUGUAUUUCUUUAUUUAAAUGUAAUAUGGUAUUUAUCCUUUAUUUUAAAAAAAAAUAUUUGACCAACAAAUGUUACAAAACCAUACAUUCAAAAAACAUUAUCUGACAAACAGCUUACGCGGACUGACAAAUAAGCUACGCGUAAUGACAACACAUUUACGCGGACUGACAAGUAAGUUCUGCGGAAUAAUGUAUACUAAUUCCUUAUAAAUUUUGACAACCAUGACGAAAAUUUACAAGGUGUCGAAAGUUGUGAAAAUGAGUUCAGUCAAUCAGGUAUUAAGGAAAAGUUUCUCCAGCCUACCGACUUUUUUCCAUAAGCUGCAAAGAAGCAAUCCUACCACCUUCACGUACAUUACGAAGGAUCGGUACAAUCGUUUCCAAAUUUGUUUCGUGGCAUUGGGAUGCGUGGUAUGUAAUCCCUUAUAGUAAAUAAAUAUUUAGUUAUUUCAAGUUGGUAUAUGCCUAAUAUUCUUAUGUUGACUUACAGAUUCGUACAUUUCUCACGUCUAUGAUAUCAAUCAUAUUCGUUGGUCAAGUACCUCUAAUUGGGGCAUAUGUAACAUCCAUGUACAUUGCUUUUGCUUUAGAUGGAAAUCAUGAACCCCUUCUCAUAGUGUUUGCCUUGGGAACCAUAAAUUGUGACAAUUCAUGGUUAUGGUUCAUAAGGAGGCUUAAAGACUGUUUAGGUGACAAUACAUAAUUUGGUUUCAUAAGCCAUAUGUCUGAUUCUAUGGACUUUGCAGUCCACAGAGUCUACCCUGAUUCAUAUCAUGGCUAUUGUUGUAAAAAUAUAGCCAAGAAAAUACGCGCUUCCAUCGGAACCAAUACAGUCGUAGAACAGUGGUUCUGUAAGACGUGUAAAGCAUAUAAUUUAUCUCAAUUUUAUGCAUGUUUGAACAAUUUAAAAAAUGAGGUAAAUGGGAAUGAUCUUCAUUGGCUUGACAAUAUUCCCAUUGCAAAAUGGGUACGGGCUUGUUUUCCAAGAGUAAGUUUCAAUGUUAAAUUCAUUGACAUUCCCGAUGUUUUCAAUUGGUUUAAAACAAACACGCAUGAGUUUCCAAUAACAACAAUCAUUGAAAUGGUUCAUGACUCGAUGUAAGAAGUUUAUCUUCGACGUGCUGUUUUUGGAGGUAAUUAUAAGUUAUGACAUCAUUAAAACGGUGAAUUGAUAUGUUUAUUAUACGUUAUGACCUUAUAAUUUUUUUUAUUGAUUCAGUUGAUUUCACAGGGGAUAUCCAUAAUCUUCUAACCCCUUAUGCACUUAAGGUGAUUCAUAAAAGAUUUAUCCACUCGGAUGGUUGUAGGAUUACGCAUAUUGUUGGCGAUAGAUAUGAAGUGACUAAGUAUUCAACAACCGAAUAUGUACAACUAGACCGUGGUAUUUGUAGUUGCGGUAAAUGGCAAAAAUGCGGUAUACCUUGUGAGCAUGCUAUAGCUUCACUACACAGACUCGAAAUUGCAGAAAUCCAUCAAAUGGUAAAUUUAAAGUUAAGUACAGCGGUGUAUCGAAAUGCUUAUCAAACUGAGACGGUCUAUCCUAUUCCAACCCUUAGGCAUUGGGAAAAACCAGUCGAAAGUGUUGUGGUCUUACCUCCACGCCAAUUCAAUUGAACUUUAUUGUAUGGAUCACAACGAAUAUUAGUUUUUAUUCAGUUCUAUGUUAACCGUACUUGUAAUGGUUUGUUGGCAUUCUUUACUUUUUAAUAAAAAAAAUGUUUACCUUUAAAUAAAUAAUUGUAUUUUCAUAAUUGUAAUAUGUAUGCAUGACAACGACUAGACAAAAAAACUAUGCGAACUGACAAACGCAGUAACGCGGACUGACAAAAACCUCUACGGACUAACAACAGCUCUCUGCAGAGUGGAAGGGACUAUAUAUAGUCAUGGAUGGUCGUCGGAUUUUUCGUAUAGAGUUAUAAUUUUUUAAAUUUAAAAUGACUUCAUCUUCAUCUUUGUAUAUUUGCUCGUGCAACGAAGUUGAUUGUUUCUAUUGUGAUCCGAUCGACCCUUUUCUUGCACCAUCACCAAAUUUAAGAGAGUCAUAUAUGUCGGAGGAUACUUUGCAACAACUACAAUGGGCUGAAGAACAACAAAAAAAAAGAUAAAGACUCGUCUCGGGCUCUCACUGAACGACGUGACCUCAUUGCGGCGGAGUGCAAAGAUGUUGAGGAAAGGAUGACGAUUACAAAAAAAAAUCAAAAAUCAUGGGGAAUGGAAAAAAAAACNCUAAGAAGAAUCUCAAACUGUCUGAAAAAUGGCUUGCUGACAAGGAUGCAGAAAUGAUAGAACUUGGUAGGCAAAAGGACCGUAUGGAAGAUAAAAUAAGAAUAAGGGACGACUACAUAACAAUGGAGAAAGAAAAGUAUCCUUUGCAAUUCCCUUAAGUUAAUUACCGUUGUUGUACGUUUACUAUAUGUUUCUAGUUUGUUGAAUGUAUUAACUUCGAGUAUUAGUUAUUAUUCUACUAGUAAUUAUGCAGUAAUAUAAUCAUAAUAUUACCCAUCAUCUUUAAAAUAAACACACCAGCUCAAAGUAGACAAAUUAAUGUCCUCUAAAACAAAACAUAAUUAAUUAUAAAUACAACAUCAAUCAUUCAAAUCAAACGUUGAACAAUAGUCUUCUCUCUACGUCCCACUCGUCCAACGCGUGUCUUGUGUCCCGUGCGUCUCUAGCGUCUCCUGAGUCCCUUCUGUCCCUUUCCCUUUUCCUUUUGUGUUACUACUUGAUGUCGUAUUAGUUUUUCUAGCCUUUUUUUGUUUCUUUGGGACCAAUGUCGGACAAGUCGCUGCAUUAUGUGUUGUACUAUCACAUCUACUACACCUUCUUAUUAUAGGUUCCUCACCUUGUGACGGAAUACGAUUUCUGUUUCUCGGUCUACCAGCUUGACGUGUAUCCAUUAUCGGGGGUUUCACAACCAUCAUGUUAGCAGGAAUCUCCCAAUCACACGGUUCUGGAAGGGGGUAAACCGGCUCCUCAUACGUACUUCGGUAUGUUUCCAUUUUGUAAGCAUCUAUAGCCAGAUGUCCGAAGUUAGUUUUUUUCAAGUGCUUCAAGACCAUUAUCACAUGACCACAAGGCAACCCAGUUCCUUCCCAAUAUUUGCAUGUACAAGUCUCUUGCCUCAGAUCAACUAUGCCACCAUGUUUGAAAUCAUGAACUUCAUAAAGUGCAUCUGAAACACCAGAAAUGGACCAUCCUGUCGUACGCUCUUCAUUUUUACUAACUACUUUUUCAGCCCACUCGGUUAGCACUGUUGAACGUUUCCCUAUAAAGAAGAUAUAUAUAAUUAACUAAUUAUUCGACCUAAUUAAAGACAAAAUAAAAUUCAUACCUCCUUCGAUGCGACGCUUGUAACACCAUUCCUGUGAAAGACGUCGGAAGAACUCAAGAAGGGGUAUUAUAGGCAUCUUCCUUGCAUCUACAGAUAAAGCAUUCAUGAACUCUGCACUGUUCGAGGUCAUGUAAUCGUAACGUUUCGAUGGCGAAUAUGCUCUAGUCCAUUUAACACAGGGAAUUUCACUUAGAUACGCUGCUACUUGCGGCCUAGUAGAACUAAAUAUAUACCACAAUUCUUCAAAAACAUUUCUUUUGUAAGCUUUCACAAGCCUCCAAAACAACCCUUUUGUUUUAUCAUUUUUCCCAAACUUGUGUACUAUGUUUCCUAGUGUGACAUCCCCAAAAUCUUGGCCAGAAAAGACCGAUUUCAUUGAUGCUUUUUAAAAUAAUUUCAGAGUAAAUCCUUUUGAUUUUAAAAGAGAUGCGGAAUUUGUUCCCAAAAACAAAACAUGAUAAAAUAGAUCUUUUAUCAAAACAUUUCAUAAAGAAAUAUAAUUUCAUUUCAUAAUCAAAACCGGGAUGUCAUGUUCCGAUACAGACCAUAAAGCAUAAACGAUAACAUUACAAGUCAUUCAACAAAUAUUAUACAUAUGCAGACUUGUAAACAAAACAACUUGAUGAUUCAUCCAUCUUAUGCCCUUACGCCACUUCCUGUAAUACAAGUAAACUGAGUGGGUCAGGCUUGGGAGCCUGGUGAGCAUAUAGGGUUUUCAACCCACAAUAAAUAAUUAUAUUUAAUUCAACAAUCAACAAUAACCCGAUUACCCAUUCCCGUUUUCCUUACUUUACGUCCCUAAAACAACAUCUAUUAUAAGGGACCUAAUCUAGGAGUUUCAUCGGGACAAACAUUACUGCAAAGGGGCUUCCUUAGCAAUAAAUAUCCUAAAGGCAACCAUGAGGGGGAUAUAGUUCACCGGUGAACACGUCGUUCACAAGACCUACAGGUUAUGAGCCUACUAGUGUUCCACAGGACUGUCUAGAAUAGUCCGUGGUCGUCAUCCAUACUCUGCUGAAUGACUAGAAUAACACCAACAACAUCGAGGCCUCUCAUCUGUUUAUUACACACCAACUAUCUACCCAUGUUCUACCCAACAUAUUAGUAGAUAAAAAUAUACAUUUGUAUACAUAGUUUAAAACCUGUAUAGCAUGCUCAAUCAAUACAUUUUUCCACAUAACAGAUGAGGUACACACACAUAACACGUAUUUCAUAGAGAAUAAAUCAGAUCUAUGAGAUAGAAGAAAGUGAAUAUACAUCCACACAUAUAGUCAACAAAGUAUACACGUAACACGUAUUUCGUAUAAAAUACUUCAUAAUAAUGUGUUAGAAGAAAAUGACUACACACUCACUUGAUCAGAAGAUGAUCGGGCAACACUACGACUUGUAGAAGUAGUGUUUCUCCGUAGAUCUGGAAGAUCUUCACAUAAACCGGGCUCCUCGCGGGCAGGUCUUCGGCUCUGAAAUCUCACUUCUCGGGAUUCUCGGGACUUCGGAUCUUGCUUCGGGGCUCGCGAAUAAUAUUGGGGCUUCGGGGUAUGAUUGGCAAGCAAAUCGAGGCAAAAACUAGAGAGAAGAAAGAGUUUGAACUAGAGAAAAUGGUUGAUCUCGCAUUCUAUUUAUAGGCUGCUGGGUCUAGGAUUAUGCCGGGCGUAAUUUCCAGGUACGCUGGGCGUACUAAGUACACUGGGCGUAAUUAGGUUACGUUGGGCGUACUUUGACGUCACUGCAUGCGUCAAUUGGUGGCACUCGAGUAUUGGUCAGACAAGUUGCACCCCUCUGAGUACGCUGGGCGUACUCAAAUUACGCUGGGCGUAAUUUGACUCGUCAAACUUCUAAAUUGCGUAACUUUGGCAUACGAGCUCCGUUUUCGACGUUCUUUAUAUCAACGCGUAGGUUAGACCAUACUCUACAACUUUCAUUUAGACUCAAUUUUUACUUUUAUUUUUAUUAUUUAUUUUUAGUAGGCCGGGACAGGAAAACUUCGUUAUAAAUUCAUAACUUCUUCGUUCGACGUCCGUUCUCGCCUAACUUUUCAUCGUUUCACUACUAACAACGAGAUAUUCGAUUCUCGUUUAGAUUGUUCUGGCUAAAAACCGCUCGAUCUCAAAUCGAGUAUUCGGGCUGCAUACUGCCAAGUCGAAACUUCAGANGAAAAUCAUAUUCCUCAUACGAAGUCAGAUUUGGGCGUUCUAUAUAUAUUUAGAAACCUAGUUUCAACUACUACAACAUUAUCCAAAGAUAUCGAGUUUAUUUUACACUUCAUUUUGACGCUAAUUUUUAUUCUUAAUUCAAUUAAAUUAUAAUAAUUAAGAAAACACACACAUAAUUCACAUAAUUCACAAAUAAUACAUUUUUAUUAUUUCAGAUUGGGUUACAAAGGUUAACCUAGACUAUUACAUUGCUAAAAAUGGCAAGCCCAUAAUCACGGGCGUUACAAUUUUCUCCACCUUAGAAUGAUUCCGUCCCUGGAAUCACACAUCAACAAAUAAAUGCGGAUAGCGACCCAUCAUGUCACUCUCCGUCUCCCAGGUGAGAUACGACCCAUUCGUGUGUUUCCAACGGACAAGCACUAACUCAACCAUCUUACGUCGCAAUUUCUUAGUCUUCCGGUCAACGAUUGCUUCUGGUUCUUCAAUCAAUCUUUUGUUUUCAUCAAUUAUUAACUCUGAAAGUGGAAUCAUGUCGGGAACUUCUCCCGUGAACUUCCUCAAGUAACACAUAUGAAAAGUGUUAUGAAUUCCAUUCAGUUCUUCGAGUAGUUCGAGCUUGUAAGCUUGGUUCCUAAUUCUCUGAAGAACUUUAAACGGUCCAAUAAACCUUGGACUUAACUUUCCCCUUUUACCACAUCUUAUAAGUCCCUUCCACGGCGAGACUUUAAGCAAAACCGAAUCUCCAACUUCAAAAGUCAUCGGUCUUCGCUUUUUGUCAGCAUAGCUCUUUUGACGGUCGUGAGCUGCUAACAUUCUUUCCCUAAUUAUUUUCAACUUUUCAGCCGUUUGAUGGACUAUCUCUGGUCCCAUAAACUGCUUUUCCCCAGCCUCAAGCCAACAAGACUGCGUACGACACUUCUGUCCGUACAAAGCUUGAUAAGGUGCCAUCUUAAUGCUCGAGUGGAAACUAUUAUUAUAGGAAAAUUCUACCAAUGGUAAAUGUUCAUCCCAAUUACCUAGGAAUUCCAAGGUACAUGCUCUCAGCAUAUCUUCAAGUGUUUGUAUCGUUCUUUCACUCUGACCAUCAGUCUGCGGAUGGUAAGCUGUGCUUAAACACAACUUGGUACCCAAUUCCUCUUGUAGACUUUUCCAAAACCGUGAGGUGAAACGACUAUCACGAUCCGACACAAUUGUUAACGGAACACCGUGAAGCCUCACAAUUUCCUUCACGUAAGAAUUCGCAAGCUUUUCCAUAGACCAUUUCUCAUUGGCUGCUAUGAAAUGCGCACUCUUAGUGAAUCGAUCAACGACCACCCAAAUCAUGUCGUGACCAUUCUUUGUUCUGGGCAGUUUAGUGACAAAAUCCAUAGCAAUGUCUUCCCACUUACCCAUAGGCACAGGCAAUGGUUCUAAACUCCCGUACGGUUUCUGAUGUUGUGUCUUGACUCUCGCACAAGUCACACACUCGGCCACAUACUUUGCAACAUCAAGCUUCAUCGUCGGCCACCAGUAGUAGGGUUUCAGGUCCCUAUACAUUUUAGUGCUACCCGGAUGAAUCGAGUACAUGGUCUUGUGAGCUUCUUCCAUCAGAAGAUCUCUGACUCCUCCUGUCUUAGGUAUCCAAAUCCGAUCUUGGAACACCUUCAGUCCAUGACUGUUUACACCGAACACCAACGUUUUGCCCAAACGUUCCUCCUUUCUGUCAUUCUUCUCAGAAGCUUCGCUCUGAGCUUUCUUUAUACUUUCCAAAAUAGUUGAGACAACUUCAAUUCUCAACGCUCUUGGCCUUUUCCUUUCGGGAUUGACUUUCCGACUGAGAGCAUCAGCAACAACAUUAGCUUUACCGGGGUGGUAAAGUAUCUCGCAGUCAUAGUCUUUAAGUAAUUCUAGCCAGCGUCGUUGCCUCAUAUUCAAUUCUUUCUGAUUAAAGAGGUAUUGGAGACUCUUAUGAUCAGUGAAAAGUUUGCACUUCGUGCCAUAGAGGUAAUGCCUCCAUAUUUUCAGAGCGAAAACUACCGCUGCCAACUCCAAAUCAUGAGUCGGGUAAUUCUUUUCAUGCUCUUUCAGCUGUCGAGACGCAUAUGCUAUCACCUUUUCUCUUUGGGUCAAAACACAACCCAAUCCAACACCAGACGCAUCGCUAUAAACAGCGAAGUCUUCAACUCCAUCGGGUAGAGAAAGUAUCGGUGCCUCGCAUAGCUUCUUCUUUAACUUCUCGAAUGCUUCUUUAUGCUUCUCACUCCAAGCAUAAGUAGCUCCUUUGUGGGUCAAAGCUGUCAAUGGAGUAGCAAUCGAAGAAAAGCCUUGGAUAAACCUUCAAUAAUAUCCGGCUAAUCCCAAAAAGCUUCGAAUCUCCGUGGGACUUUUCGGUUGUUCCCACUUCAUCACAGCUUCGAUCUUCGCUGGAUCAACCAUUAUCCCUUCUUGGUUGACCACGUGACCCAAGAAUUGUACUUCUCGAAUCCAAAAAUCACAUCUGGAGAACUUUGCAUACAACUUAUCCUUCUUUAAAACUUCUAACACUUCUCGCAAGUGUCUGCCAUGCUCCUCCUGGCUUUUCGAGUAAAUCAGAAUGUCGUCUAUGAACACUAUNGAACGGAUUACAAACCCUGUUCAUUAAAUCCAUGAAUGCUGCUGGAGCAUUGGUUAGUCCAAACGACAUAACCAAAAACUCGUAGUGCCCAUAUCAUGUUCUGAAUGCAGUCUUCUCUAUAUCCUGCUCUCUUACUUUUAGCUGAUGAUAUCCUGACCUCAGGUCGAUUUUUGAAAAAUAACUUGAACCUUGUAGUUGAUCGAACAGGUCAUCAAUCCUCGGCAACGAAUAUCUAUUCUUUAUUGUUGCCUUGUUCAGUUCUCUGUAAUCGAUGCACAUCCUCAUACUUCCAUAUUUCUUUUGACGAAUAACAUCGGAGCUCCCCAGGCCGAUGAACUAGGUCUUAUGAAACCUUUGUCCAAUAACUCCUGAAGUUGCAUCAUCCGCUCCUUCAUCUCCAUCGGUGCUAGUCGGUAAGGUGCUUUUGCUAUAGGCGUCGUUCCCGGCAACAAGUCGAUACGAAAUUCUACUUGUCGAUCAGAAGGUAAUCCAGGAAGAUCUUCGGGAAAUACUUCCGGAUAAUCACAUACGACAGGAAUAUUCUGCAUCACCUUUUUUUCCUUCUUAGCAUCGAUCACGAAUGCUAAAUAUGAUGUACACCCCUUGGUCAAACAUUUUCUGGCUUUCAUUAGAGAAAUGAUUCCAGAAUUUACUCUGCGUUUAUCUCCAUACACCAUAAACGAUUCCUUCCCAGGCGGGUUCACUUUCACUAUUUUCUUCUUGCAUAAAAUUUCGGCAUCAUUGGCGCUAAGCCAAUCCAUUCCCAAAAUGAUGUCGAAACUGUUAAGUUCGAUAUAAAGGAGUAGUUUUCUACCAAAUUCAUGCGAUAUAAAGGAGUAGUUGGCUCCAGAAUCAAAUAAAAUUUGGGCAGACGAUUUGUUUACGAGAAAGGUACCUGAACGACAUCAGCUUCAUCUUUAGCAGCUUCCAGUGUCAUCUGGAAUGCUCUCGCCUUCGGCUUUGGCGAAAUGUUGGGUUUUGUUGCCUCCUUCUUCUUCGGACAAUCUCUUGAUAUGUGCCCUUCCUCACCACAACCAUAACAAACAUUCUUGGUGAGGGUGCAGUCGUUGGCAUAAUGCCCUGGCUUUCCACAUUUCAAGCAUGUGGCUUCCCCGCCGCACUUCCCAUGAUGCUUCUUCUUGCAUUUGUCGCACCAUUUCGCUUCGCCUCCUCCACCCCCUCUCGAACUAGACUUCGAGAAUUUACCCUUUUUGCUGGACCCUGAAGAUCCCUCGAACUUCCUCUUUUCACCAACCUCUGACCUUUCCAGACCUUUUUCCCUGAUCUGGGUCUCAACAUUUCUAGCAGCCCAGAUGGCGGCUUUCAAUGUGGUUGCUUGCUUAACCAUUAGACCAUAGUCCGCUGGUAGUCCAAGGGCAAACUUGUUGACCUUAGAGAGUUCUGUAGGCACCAAAUAUGGGAUAAACUUCAUCUUUUCUGUGAAACUUGCAGCGUAUUCAGUAACGCUCAAUUUCCCUUUCUUCAAAUUCUGAAACUCAUUACUGAUUUCCAGAAGGUCCUGCUCGGAGCAGUAUUGCAGUUUUAGUUGUUCCACAAAGUCUUCCCAAGACAUUUUGCUUGCUUCUCCCUUGGGCAUAGAGUCAGCUAACAGCUUCCACCAACUCAACACGCCAGAUUUUAGCAGAGGGAUCGCAAGAGCGGUCUUCUGCCUGUUGCUGCAUUCGCAACUUUCAAACAUAGUCUCCAUUUCGGAGAUCCAGUCCAUAACUUGCACCGGCGUCGGGCUUCCGGAUAGACAUGGUGGUUUGGAUGCCAUGAAAUCCUUAUACUUGCACCCACGACCAUCAUUUCCUCCAUACUGGUUAUUGCGUCUAACCACUGGUUGUUCGUCUUGACCAAUGAUCCCACUAAAGUUUUCUCCUUCAGACUGCCCUCCAUUCUCCUCGGGCUCUUCCGCUUGAAUUGACGGUUCUUCACGAUUCUGCCUAAGCAGGCGUCUUGUUUCUUCCAUCUGACGAUCCAACAUCAUUUGAAUCAUCAUUUGUACACCAGCCAUUGUUAUCGGCUCAGGUGCAUCAGCUACGACAGGUACUUGUUGAAUUACAGGCGGUUGAUUCCUGUUUUCAUCAGCAUUUCCAACUCCGCUUCUUGUUCUCACCAUUUUUGAUCUACACACCGAAUAAUUUCACCUUAUUACUCCAAACGAUUACAUGCUAGUUCUAAUAUCGUAUACAUACGCUUAGAAUCCUAAACACAUAAACCUUCAGAUCCGGUUGGCAACAAACCGUAGAUCCGAACAAAUAAUAUCAUAUAUGGCAACAUAUAACAUUUAGCACAUAAAAGCAUUUUAGGCAACUUUCCUAAAAUAAACUAGUGCUCGUGUCUAAAAUUUAUCAGACACACAUCUCACAAUCUCCACUUAGCAUACUAAGUUUAAGUCUAGAAAUCCUACAAAUUCCUAGUUCGCUUAAACUAAUGCUCUGAUACCAACUGUGACAUCCCCAAAAUCUCGGCCAGAAAAGACCGAUUUCAUUUAUGCUUUUUAAAACAAUUUCAGAGUAAAUCCUUUUGAUUUUAAAAGAGAUGCGGAAUUUGUUCCCAAAAACAAAACAUGAUAAAAUAGAUCUUUUAUCAAAACAUUUCAUAAAGAAAUAUAAUUUCAUUUCAUAAUCAAAAAUCGGGAUGUCAUGUUCCGAUACAGACCAUAAAGCAUAAACGAUAACAUUACAAGUCAUUCAACAAAUAUAUACAUAUACAGACUUGUAAACAAAACAACUUGAUGAUUCAUCCAUCUUAUGCCCUUGCGCCACUUCCUGUAAUACAAAUAAACUGAGUGGGUCAGGCUUGGGAGCCUGGUGAGCAUAUAGGGUUUUCAACCCACAAUAAAUAAUUAUAUUUAAUUCAACAAUCAACAAUAACCCGAUUACCCAUUCCCGUUUUCCUCACUUUACGUCCCUAAAACAACAUCUAUUAUAAGGGACCUAAUCUAGGAUUUUCAUCAGGACGGACAUUACUGCAAAGGGGCUUCCUUAGCAAUAAAUAUCCUAAAGGCAACCAUGAGGGGGAUAGAGUACACCGGUGAACACGUCGUUCACAACACCUACAGGUUAUGAGCCUGCUAGUGUUCCAUAGGACUGUCUAAAAUAGUCCGUGGUCGUCAUCCAUACUCUGUUGAAUGACUAGAAUAACACCAACAUCAAGGCCUCUCAUCUGUUUAUUACACACCAAUUAUCUACCCAUGUUCUACCCAACAUAUUAGUAGAUAAAAAUAUACAUUUUUAUACAAAGUUUAAAACCUGUAUAGCAUGCUCGAUCAAUACAUUUUUCCACAUAACAGAUGAGGUACACACACAUAACACGUAUUUCAUAGAGAAUAAAUCAGAUCUAUGAGAUAGAAGAAAGUGAAUAUACAUCCACACAUAUAGUCAACAAAGUAUACACGUAACACGUAUUUCGUAUAAAAUACUUCAUAAUAAUGUGUUAGAAGAAAAUGACUACACACUCACUUGAUCAGAAGAUGAUCGGGCAACACUACGACUUGUAGAAGUAGUGUUUCUCCGUAGAUCUGGAAGAUCUUCACAUAAACCGGGCUCCUCGCGGGCAGGUCUUCGGCUCUGAAAUCUCACUUCUCGGGAUUCUCGGGACUUCGGAUCUUGCUUCGGGGCUCGGGAAUAAUACCGGGACUUCGGGGUAUGAUUGGCACGCAAAUCGAGGCAAAAACUAGAGAGAAGAAAGAGUUUGAACAAGAGAAAAUGGUUGAUCUCGCAUUCUAUUUAUUGGCUGUUGGGUCUGGGAUUACGUUGGGCGUAAUUUCCAGGUACGCUGGGCGUACUCAAUACACUGGGCGUAAUUAGGUUACGUUGGGCGUACUUUGACGUCACUGCGUGCGUCAAUUGGUGGCACUCGAGUAUUGGUCAGACAAGUUGCACCCCUCUGAGUAUGCUGGACGUAAUUUGACUCAUCAAACUUCUAAAUUGCGUAACUUUCGCAUACGAGCUCUGUUUUCGACGUUCUUUAUAUCCACGCGUAGGUCAGACCAUACUCUACAACUUUCAUUUAGACUCCAUCGGCUAAUUUUGACUUUUAUUUUUAUUAUUUAUUUUUAGUAGGCCGGGACAGGAAAACUUCGUUAUAAAUUCAUAACUUCUUUGUCCGACGUCCGUUCUCGCCUAACUUUUUAUCGUUUCGCUACUAACAACGAGAUCUUCAAUUCUCAUUUAGAUUGUUUCGGCUAAAAACCGCUCGAUCUCAAAUCGAGUAUUUGGGCUGCAUACUGCCAAGUCGAAACUUCAGAAAAUCAUAACUUCCUCAUACGAAGUCAAAUUUGGGCGUUCUAUAUAUAUUCUGAAACCUCGUUUCAACUACUACAACAUUAUCCAAAGAUAUCGAGUUUAUUUUACACUUCAUUUUGAUGCUUAUUUUUAUUCUUAAUUCAAUUAAAUUAUAAUUAAGAAAACACACACAUAAUUCACAUAAUUCACAAAUAAUACAUUUUUAUUAUUUCAGAUUGCAUUACAAAGGUUAACCUAGACUAUUACAUUGCUAAAAAUGGCAAGCCCAGAAACACAGACGUUACACCUAGUAUAUGAAAAGCACACAAGCCAUGAUGAGCAUGUGGAAAAACAUUUUCAAUACUAACGCGAAUUGUAUCGGCCCUAUCAGUUACAAAAGUCAAUUCUUGACAAUCACUAACACAUUCAUACAACUUUUCAAGAAACCAUGUCCACGUAAGACCACUUUUUUUUUUCAUAUUCCGUGCGUAAGGGGCAGUAUCUGGUUGUUCCCAUCCAUAGCUACUCCAUGCAAUAUGGUUCCCUUAAAAGCACCCUUCAAAUGGGCACCAUCCAUAAUUAUAACUUUACGACAAAAACUUUUGAACGCUCGUAUCUGCAAUAUAUAAAAAUGGAACACAUAAACACUCUAUAAUUUGUUUACAAAAAUUAUAUAUUAAAUAACAACAAGUUUUUUGUAUUUACCGUGCUCCCAAUGGCAUAAAAACAACACUCGAAACAAUCUUCAGAAUCUGUUUGAAUAUACGCAACUGUACCGGGAUUAUGCCUCUUCAAAUUGUGAAAAUAAAUAGGAAGUUUGGCAAAACAUUCUUCAGAGGAUCCCAACAACAGUUUCAUAGCAUAUUGUUUUGCACGCCAAGCUUGUUUGUAAUCUACGUUGAUUUCCAGCAAAGCAUUCAAAUCCCUUGAUAUUUCAUUAGGCCUCCAAACCUUGGAACGAGUUUUUCCCAUAAUCUCAUGCAAUAUAGUACCCAUGACUUUUUUAUUAGCAUGCUUAUGAUUAGGGUGUAUCUGUAAUGACGAACAUGUGUACACGUUGUUGAAAGUCCUGAUUUCAAAUUCAUCAGUGAGAUCAAGGCGUUUUGCAUACAAACGCCAACUACAGUUCUCAAUUUCACAAUAUACCUCAUAACGAUUUUUGUUAGAAUGUUUGGUCUUAAACUGAAACUUUUCUCUUGUUGCUUUAAGAAUCAAUGCAAAAAUUAGUUGUUGUUUGUUGUCAUAUGUUUGACGAACAAACAUAUCAUCAUUUGGACCUAAACUGUGAAAUGGUCCGGGUUCAACAAUAGGAUCAGGACAAUCAGGUAUGGGAGACAUACCGUAAAAAAUGUCUGAAGCUUUUUUCCCGUAUGUGAACUCAUCUUCUGACCAUCCUUCAUUUGACUCUUCACUGUCUGAGAAAGUUUUGUUAGUCAAUCUUCUAAACCCAUAUAAAUUUUUUUCUUCAACCGUAUUCAGUGCCACCGUUUCUUCUUCUGGACAAUCUUCAACAUUAUCAGAUACAAUGUUAUCAACAUUGUAUGGUACAACUUUCUCAGCUGCUUCUGUCUGUUCGACCAAUCCCUGAAACACCUCUAAAUACAAAUGCACAAUCUCCUUCGUUUCAGAAAUUACAUUUCUGAGUUGAUUAACAUCUGCUUCAUCUAAAAUAUUCAUCACAUACCCAUGAACCGGGUGUUGAAAUGACAAUGAUAUAUUACUAUUGAACACCUUAGCCUUACUUUUGACCAAAUCAAACAAUAUUCGAAAAUCAAAAUUAGGCGGAGGCAGUAAACCCAAGUUGUUUAACUUUGGUCUAACGUAGGUGUUAAUCGCAUUACUUAUCUGCAAAAAACCUCCAGUACAUAAAAUAACAAAACUCAUAUUUGGUUUUGAAAAUCAAAUGAAAACGAACUGAUCUAUCGACCAAAAUAAAACAAACAUAUGAAAAAGAAACUUUUGUAUCAAAAAACUCUUCAAAAUCCGCUCCAACCACCCAUUCCACGGAGGCAUUACUCUCUCCGCAGAGACCCAUUCCGCGGAGCAUGAUUAAAAAGGCUAACAACCUAUUGUUCGACCACUUCGCAGAGAUGACUUCAUUCCGCGGAGGUCCGCGGAGGGUCCUCCGCGGAAUGCAUGUCUAUAGCUGGAAUUUUUUUUUUGUGUCUAAAUUUUUAAAUUUCCCCCUUUUUUCGUCUAUAGCCUAUAUUUUCUCUAAAUGAUUUACAUAUUGAAAGUUCAGAAACAAGUUAAAACUUAAACCCUAAAAGAGCGUACAAAUUUCAAUCGUCAACAUACCCCACCACAAAGGCACAAAUAAUCAAAGAAACAAAUGUAGAUGUAGAGGCCUUUUUCACCACAAUCACCCUUCAUCGGCCAUUUCGAAGGCCACGUGAAAUGUCACUAACGUGGCCCUAUAAAUAUCCACUACUUUGUCUUUAACCUUUCCCCCCUCUCAUAUAAAACCCUCCAUCCUCCUCCUUUACCACCAUCACCAACUACCUUCUCUCCUCCAUCAAAAGUAUCCCCAUCUUUUCCGACAUGGCUGCUUCUUCAAUCUUCAUGGCAACUCCCAUCACACUCCUCAAGAAAACUCCCACCUUCUCCGUCAAAUGUAUGUCACAAACACCUCAAAGCGGUGAACCGGGGGUUUCAAAACCAGCAACCACCCCAACACCACCACAGAUCAACAUUCCUCCUCCUCCGCCACCUGCUCCAAAGGUCAGCACGAAGUUCUCUGACGUGUUGGCGUUUAGUGGACCUGCACCGGAGAGGAUCAACGGAAGGUUAGCCAUGAUAGGGUUUGUGUCGGCGAUGGCUGUGGAACUGAGCAGCGGUCAAGACGUGUUCACCCAGAUCGGCAACGGCGG